GAAGAGCGUGAAAACCACUGGUGUCCACGAUGCCAGUUCAGGCGAGGUUCAUCAGGAUAGCAAAAGCGAAGAUCGUUGCAGGCAUGGUUGCUGCCACUGGUACCAUGGACACUGCCAAAGAUGCUGUCGAACUGCCGAGGAGACCCCUGAAGCCACAUCUGGAGAUGAGGAUACCGUAACCGCAGAUCGUUGCAGACAUGGUUGCUGCCGCUGGUACCAUGGACAUUGCCAAAGUUGCUGUCCACCUGCUGAGGAGACUUGCAGACAUGGUUGCUGCCACUGGUACCAUGGACACUGCCAAAGAUGCUGUUGAACUGCUGAGGAGACCCCUGAAGCUACAUCCGGAGAUGAGGUCAAAAAUUAAUGCUAAAUAAAUAAGGGUGUGACACAGGAUCCGUGACACCUAUAUUAUUACCUUAAUAUGUUAUGUUGUGUUUGCCUUUGAUGGUUGAUUUCCUAUAUGUGUAAAAGACUUGUGCGGCUUCUCUUUGAAUUGGUGUAGAAUCAACAGGGGAAGCAUGUAAUGAGUACUCAGUUCGAGUGCUCUUCUUAUGUUGUUGUCAUGUUGAAUAAAUAAAUCUACUUGAUCAUCUACUACAAUUGAUGGUCUCUAUCUCAGUUACAUCAGAAACUUCUGUACCUUGGACCUGCUAGAAUUUUGUGUGAUUGAUAUAAGACGUGCAGCAUGUUCAAUAUAUGUAUAUAUGUGCUUCUUCAUCGUGCGAUGCCAUUACACAAUGUGAAAGAAUUCAGCAUCGACGGAGUGAAACGUACCCAAUCCUGUUCCUGAGAAAGGAAAAAAAGUCCCUCAAAAAUGAACAUUUUGGAUGCCAUCAAGAUUUUUAUUUGAAUGCCAUUUGGAUAUCUGAAUGUUGUUUUUCUUACCUUUAGCUUCGUUCAAGGUCUUUUUGGUGGAAAUGCUUCGUUUAUACGAAUUUUCCUACUUGGUUAAUGCUUCUAUUACACUUGUACAAUACACAUUUAAAAGUCUAACACAAUAAAAGCUUGUGUAGUUCAUAUAUUUCAUUUCGAGAAUGUUCGUACUUUUCAGCUAAACUAUAAAAAUACGUAAUAAAUUCUUGAUACAUUAUACUUUACGAACAAGGCUCUAAAUUUUAAAAAUAUUUAAUACUAUCACUUAUCAAUAACUCCACAUGUUAAUUUGUCUUCCAAUUCAGUAAAUUAUAGUAGCUAAUUCUCAAAGCUAACCGACACCAAAACUCCCUCACUUGUUCACCUCCUAGUGGAUUUAUACUAAUUACAUUGCAUUUAUUUCCUAAGCAUCAGUUUUGUAACCCCUCAUAUUAAAUCUCAAUGAUUGAUUUUAACGGUUACCAAUGCGUCUAGUAAUUGGCUUGCUAUUAAUUUGAACUAGACAUUUAUUAGGUCUAGUAGAAUUUAUUCCUUCUUAUCAUUAGCUAACAAGACUUCUACAAUUUCGGGUUUUGCUUAGAAAUCAGUCUGAUAGGUUAACUUGCUUCGACCAACUUUAUGAGUUGCUUUUUUUUUUUUUUUCCAUAUUUGACAUUUCAUGUUACUUUAAUAUGGGGACCAAGUUAGUAUUGUUGACAUUUCAUAUCUAAGACUUCUUAAUUAAUUGAUUUGUUAUAAGAACUAUAACGUAUGCGUGUUUUGUAAGCUUUCAUGUUCUUUUUUUUUUCAAUUCUUGUGGACCAGCAACGGAUAGUUUCUUCUAGUACCAAGCUUCCUUUGAAGUUCUUUAUUUUUUUUUUUGUGUGUCCAAAUGUAAAUUAAAAGAACCAACAACUUUGAACAAGUCUAUAUCUAGUAAAGAUAGAUAUAAAGAGGGAUACUAUAUCACUGCAACAAAAAAGGGAUUUGGCGAGGAGCAAAAGUCCACGCCAAAAGUUUUGACUUUCUCGCCAAUUAAUUUCAGCAAGAAAAUGCUUCCUCCCCAAGUUUCUUGCUAGAUGCUCGUUGCUAAAAGUUAUUAGCGAGGAUAUUGCUACUUUUCUCUCUAAUGAAACAGAUCAAUAGCAAGGGUUGACCUCCUCUCCAAUCUGAUUCAAAUACUAUGGCAAGAAAAACUUUCCUCACCACUAAAGUUAAAAACUCCCCACAAAAAUCAGUAGUUCCUAGCAAAUAGUCAAGGUGUUUUGCUAGGAAAAAUAGUGCAUCCUCACCAAUAGUGUAGAAUUAGCAAGUAGUCUUUUGACAAAUCUGCAAUGCCCUGCGUACCAGAUAAACAUUUUUGGCCAGGAAAGUUUCUUCUCUAAUAAGCAAUAAUUGAUUAUUGCCUAACUGUUUGGUGGGAAAAUGUUCCUCUCCAAUGCUGUUAUGAACAUUUCUUAAUCCCAUUUUAGCAUGCUAAUCUUAAUUCUUUGAGCAAAUUACUGGGUGGUGACAGGUUGUCGCUGCCUGUGCAAUAAUAAAAUUAAACCUAACUGCCUGUGAAAUUUGAUUUCAAGCUCAAUCAAAUUCUAAGAGUCAAUGAUAAGAUCGAAAAAUGUGGGACCAUUGUUAAGAUGUAGACGGAGAUGGUUGCUUAUUGAGCGUUGGAAGUAUUUCAUAUGCAAGUUGUAAUUAUAUCUCAACUUGUAUAAUUUUAAUUUAGGGAGAAUUAUAAUUUUGGUCCCCAAUCUAUAGUGUAUGCCCAGAUUAAGUCCCCAAUCUAUUUCUAAAAUCAAUUUUGGUCCCUAAUCUAUUCAAUUUUGCGCUAAAAGUGGACAAUUGACGGAAUUUGUUCAAUUUCAAUCGGAACCAUGUCACGUGAGAUCACGUGCCGACACUAAAACCCCCUUUUCAAUUUUUUUAAUUUCCGAAACACUUUUUUUAAUAUUUUCAACUCUGUCUUGCCUUUAGACAUAUUAAACAAAGACAUUAAUUGCUAAAAUUCUCUAAUUAAGGACUGGAGCCCACCAAAAAGGUUGAAUAUCAAACAGAGGAAAAGAAGCUGUCGUCCACUACUUCCUUCUUUCCUCAUCUUCUUUCUUCCAACUCAAGAAGAAACCCUAGGAGCUUCAAUCCCAUUCUAAUCAGACAAAACCAUUUUCACGUCAUUGUGACAAAAAGUUGCAAGAUCUGGGCAAAAACUUUGUAUCGAGUCUCUUCUAUUUUCAAUUUAGCUCCUCAUGGAACCAAUGAAAAAUUGCGACUGCAAGCAGCGAGCAAUAAUGGUUACUUCUUGGAUAGACAACAAUCCUGGGAGAAGAUAUUUCACUUGUGCAAUGAAGAAGGUAUGAUUGUCUCUGUUUCUGAUUUCGAGAUUUCUGUCUCUAUUUCUGAGUUUUGUGCUAAAGCUUUAUGAUGUUGGCUGUGAAGGGUGACAGAGGAAAAGGAUGCGAUUAUUUUGAAUGGCAUGAUCCGAAAAUGUGUAGAUGGUCAACAGCCCUGAUUCCUGGACUACUACAUAGCAUGAACUCUAAGAAUGCUACAAUUGAGAGGCUAAGAGCAAGGGAAAGAAAAUUACUGGUAGCAAUUUUGUUGUUGCUACUUCUGCUGGUUAUUGUGUUAUUGGUGUAAAACUCAAGAAGGUUGGACAGACUUGGUAUCAACUAAGCAGCUUAAGGAAAAUGUGUUAAGUAUUAAGCUAAGCUAGGUACUGUCUGAACUUAGAGAUGAAAGAUAUUCAUCCAGAUUGUAAUUUUGACUUUUUUUUUGUUGGAAUGGGUGAAUGUGUAAGUUAGAAUGUACUAUCAGGCUAGUACAUUCUGUUUAUUGAAUGAAUGAAUAUAUUGGAUGUUCCAAUUUGCUUUUAAUUAGUUGUUUCUAAAGUUCAUUUACAAUUUAACUGGAUGUUGAGUUCUCCUUGAAAAAUGAAUUAAAUUUGAGAAACACCACAAAACAGAAUGAAAACUUGAAUGAAAGCAGAAUGUAAAGAAACACCAGAAAACAGGAUGAAGUAAAUUCACUGCAAUCCCUACCUAGAAUCCUAUAUAAAACUUGAAACAACAAGUUAUGAUAAUUUCCACAAUCCAGAACUACCAGAAAACAGAAUGAAAACUGAACUUCAAAAUGUGGAAGCAAGCAAAAUAAAAUGACCAGAAUUCACGUUCACAAUCUAUGUGCAAGAUAAAAGAAGAAUUCAUUGCUGGAUUGGAACCAAUGAACAAAAGAUACAUUCAGUGAUCAUUACAACCAUCAAAUAGACAUUGUUUUGUCAUUUGCCAGAAAUGAUUUCAAAAUGGCCAGAAUGUCAUGUUCACGCUGGCUUGUUCUCAAGAUACAAAAGCUACUAAUCUGACAAAAGCUACUACUAAUCAAAUUCAGCAACACAACCACUCCAAAAGCUACUGAUUAACAACAUUAAGUUAGGUACUGAUUAGCAACAUCCAAAAAGUGCUGAUUAGCUACUCUUCAGCUAGUUGAUGCUAGCUUUUCCUUUGUCAUUCCAAGGUGGAUUUGAACAUCUCUGAUCCUAAAACGUAUCCCUGUUCCUCCUUGGCCAACUGGUUGACUGCUAUGUACCACAAAAUUCUCUGGGAUCCCAAAAGCUUCAUGCAAGUUUGGUUGAGCAGUAGGGGCAGAACUGAUUAUAUUGUCAUUACCAGUUGCUGGGUUAUUUAGUGAUGAAUCUAUUUGCUUUGCAUUUCAUUUGGUGUCAUUUCUCUGCAAUACAUCAGCAUUUAAUCACUAAAUAUUGAACUCACAAGAAACAAUAGCACUAUGUACAUUAAGUAAUAAAAAUACAACAGAUUUUCUUGAUGUUUUUGUUCUCCUUUUCUUUGCAUUUGAAGUGUUGCCUCUAACCUGCAACAAAGCAUAAAAUGCAUUAGCUGCUACAAUGUUACAAACAUAGUUCAUGUAUAUCUAUUUACACAAAUUACACGCCUGACUUACAGAGUUAUCUAUUCUCAUGUCAUCUAGUUGUGAGAGACUCAUAUCCUCCUGAUUUGCUUGUGUUUCCUGCCCCUGUUCAAUCAUUUGAUUGGGUGCAACACCUGCUUCCUCUCUAAGCUUGCAUGUUCGUGUGUUAUGGCCUUGCUUACCACAGAAUGAGCAUUUACAAAUUUGACCAAAUCUCCUCACCUUCUUGCCCUGCUCCUUUGUUUGCUGUAUCUCAUCAGCAGAUUUUCUCCUCUGUUUCUUUGGUGUUCCUGGUGCUCUUCCAUAAGUUGGUGGCAGGGGUGGCUGAACAUCUACAUCUUCCCACUCAUGCUCUCCAUUCACAGGUAAAAUGCAAGGAUCAUAACACUUAAGAUACGUUUCAACACUGUAACAGUCAUCAAUGUACUGCAUAGGGUCCUUCAUAGCAAUCCACAAAGUUGAAAUUGCAUGAGCACAUGGUAUCCCUGUCAAAUCCCAUUUCCUGCAUGAGCAAGUCCUAUCCUCAAUAUUGACUGCCCACUUUUCAGCAUAAGGAUCAGCAACUUCAAAACUGAUAUCAUUUGAUUUGUAAGGCACACAAUAAGUUGCCUUGUCAAUAUUGACCUUCAUCCUUUUUCUAAUUUUUGGACAGAAACCAAAUUUGCUCCACUUUUUCCUAACUAUAUCUCUAUUUUCUUGCAUUCUUUGCAUGAUAACAUGCCUCAAUGCCUCCAUCAUGACAACAAUGGACCCUUCCCUGGCAUAUAAUAUUUUGCUGUUAAAUGAUUCGCAUAUGUUAUUCAACAACAUAUCACAUUUAGGGAAUGUUCUGAAGUGUGAUCUACUCCACUCUGCUGGAUUCUUGUCCUCUAACCACUUAAUUGCAUCAACAUCCAGUUCUGCUAUGCCUUCCAUUCUUCUUAUAAAUUGUGCAUGAGUAGUUGCCUUAGCUGCUUUCCAUAAGGCUUGCCUCAUGGCUGUCCCUUUGAAUCCAGCAGCUACCAUAUUGCUAUGCAUAUGCUUCACACAAAAUCUAUGAUCAGCCCCUGGAAAAAUUGAAUCACAUGCCUGAAUUAUGCCCUUCUGCUUGUCACUCAUUAUGGUCCAUUCAUAGUCAUUUUCAAUUUUUAGAUCCUCCUUAAGUAAAGUAAGAAACCAAAUCCAGGAAUCCUUAGUUUCUCCCUCAGUUGCUGCAUAAGCAAUUGGAUACAAACCAUUAUUUGGAUCAGUAAUACUCCACCAGACGCACCUUUAAGAAAAGUCCCAUCUAACCCAAACACAGGCCUGCAAGCAGCUAAAAAUCCUUUUUUCACCCCAGCAAAGCACAUGUACAAUCUUUGAAAUUUCCCUUGUUUGGUGACUGAAUCACAGUAGUCUUCUACAACCUUCAUUACUAUAGUACUACCUGGGUUACUUCUCAAGAUUUCAUUGAUAUAUUUGGGCAACUUAUUGUACUGGUCCACAUCACUACCUUGGACCAACUCCCUGCUAAUUUUUCUAGCUCUAUAGCCUUGAUGUCUGCUCAAAUAGCACUUGUUCUCUUUCAUUACCAGGUUUUUGAAGCUAGCAGUAUCCAGCUUGGGAUUCUCCCUAAAUGUGUUAACAUAUUUUCUGCCAAUCCACCCAGAUUUCACACUCUUGUUAUGAUAUGAAAACCCACACUUGUGUUUCUGCUGGAAUGUCCUAACUUUUAGUCUGCCAUCACCUUUCAACUUCCUAGCAUAUAUGCACCAGUCACAGCCUUUUUUAGGACAAAUUGCCCUGCAUCUAAUGGUGUCACUCUUGAUAAAUUUAAAUGGUCUACCCCGCUUGAUAUUCCAGGUUCUAACUGCCUCUUUAAACUCCUUGAAUGUGGUAAAUACCUGCCUAAUUUCAAGGUUGGGGUUAUCUGCAUGUUUGGGGUCAUACAUAGGGGGUCUGCAAUGACUCUCUUCAUCUGAACCUUGGAGACUAUCAAUAUCUGAACCUGAAUCUGGUGCAACAUCCAUGUCAGAGUUGUCAUCAUCAGUAUCAGAAUUACUCACUGUUAGUCCCCUAGUUUCCUUUUUUUCAUUCCUCUUAAGCUGCUCUUUUCUGUGAUUUUCUACCCCUAACCAUUCUAAAUUAUGAUCAACAUCUUCUUCAUACUCAUUGUCAUCAGAAUUUUGCUCAUAAUCAGAAUCUUUUCCUGAAAAUUCUCCAGAAUCAGAACCUAAGGUGUAUUGACUAUCAGAUUCAUCAUAUUCAUCUUCUAAUACAAAAUCUUCAUCAUCAAUAUCAGACCCCCACUGUGAUGCUAAUAACUCACUAAAAGAAACCUCUAUGUACAACUCAACUACCCUUCCAUACUCAAACUGAUCAACACAAUAGGCAUGCAAUUCUCUAUCAUGCUCUAACAAACGGAAGCCACGUUCCUCUAUCAAAAUGUGGUACUUUUUGUCACCUAUAGCCCCAACCUGACUUUCUAACAUUCUAUCCAUUUCAAAAAGGCUUAUACUUGUGACCUCUACAUGAUCAAAUACCCUUAAUUCACCUCCCUCAUAAUGAAGAUCAGGUUUAGUUUCGCAUUUUCCCCAUAAGUGACACUUCAUAGUCACUUCCGUGCUAUCACUGUCUACAUUAAAAAAAAACAAAAACAACACAGGCCAUAAUUUAGAUGACAGAAAUAGGUGCUGCUAGCAAACAGACAAUAAAAAAUGCAUACUUUAGCAAACAUUCAAAGACAAGGACCAUCAAUUGCAGUAAAAUAAGUCCCACUUGUACAGUAAGAACCAGCAUGAUAAGAUCCCGUUUAGAGACACACAUGGACCACACCACAAAUGACAAAUUUUUUCCUUAGUUUUUCAAGAUUGGUCGUUAAUACAGCCAAAAUUGUCAGAUUUUCCCCCCCAAGUACAAAAAGCAUCUUUUUUCCACUAUAUUCUAACAUUAUAGUUAGCGAUUGUGCAUAUAUAUCACAAAAAGAAGGCAAAAUCCCAUACCAUAAUUAGGUGCUGCCAGCUUGUUCAUUUCCUUAGGUCUCACUGCCAUUUCUACUUUGCAAUGCCAUGAGCAGCUUCAGCUUGACUGAAUUCAGCAGAUUUUUCCUUAAUUUUUUCACGUUUUGAUUCUCGAUUUUGGCUCUUAGGGUUCGGUGAGGUGUUUGCUGAAGAGAGUUUGCCCAGGUUGAGUAGUGGACGACAGCUUCUUUUCCUCUGUCUGAUAUUCAACCUUUUUGGUGGGCUCCAGUCCUUAAUUAGAGAAUUUUAGCAAUUAAUGUCUUUGUUUAAUAUGUCUAAAGGCAAGGCAGAGGUGAAAAUAUUAAAAAAAAGGGUUUCGGAAAUUAAAAAAAUUGAAAAGGGGGUUUUAGUGUCGGCACGUGAUCUCACGUGACAUGGUUCCGAUUGAAAUUGAACAAAUUCCAUCGAUUGUCCACUUUUAGCGCAAAAUUGAAUAGAUUAGGGACCAAAAUUGAUUUUAGAAAUAGAUUGGGGACUUAAUCUGGGCAUACACUAUAGAUUGGGGACCAAAAUUACAAUUCUCCCUUUAAUUUAAUAAGAUUAAAUUAAUGACAAUGCCAAUGAUUUCUGCGUCAUGCAUGACAUUCUUUUUUCUUGUACUCUCCCAAAAGCUGAAAAUUCUCAUCUCAAUCUCCUCCUCCAGCGAUGGCUGCAUGUCUGCACAUGUUCCCCCACAACAAGAAUAAUGAAUCAAUUGCCAUAAUUGCACGCAUUUAAAUUUUCUGAGCUGAUGAUAAAUUGCAUAGUUUUGAUUUUUUCUGUUUCCGGUUCCCGCUCUAGCUACUUCUAGAUUUAUUAAUUGGGGAAUAAAAGAAGAAGGAAUAAAUUAUACCUUAUUUAAUUACUUUUUUAGUCAGGAUAUCUAUAGUGGAUGUAAUUAUCUCUAUAGAAAUGAAUGAAGCAUCCUAGCUUGUGAUCAUUAUCCUCUGUUGCAAUUCUCUUGUUCAAACUUCAAAUUAAGGUUUUGUUUAAUAACCCAAUUCAAUACUUAAAUUUAAUAGAUUCAGAUCUUAACAUGUUCAGAUACGUUUGAUAACCAAAAUUUAAACAUCUGAAUAAAUUAAGUGGCACUAAAUUUUUUAGACAAAACUUGCUCCUAAAAAUAAGUAAUAAACUAUUUACUUAUCACUUAAUAUGAUAUAUACUCAAAUGUAUCAGAUUUAAUAGAUAACAAUUUAAUAAUUUAAUGAAUUCAAAUUUCAAAUUUUAGAUUUCAAUUUUAUCAAACGCACCCUAACUCAGUGCGAACUGAAUAUGAAAUCCAAAGUUGAAAAUCCAAGAGGUUAGAACUUUGAAACAAUAGAGCCUCUAGGCAUAUUCAGCAUUUUUACAUUCUACUGAUUUAGGGCAUCUUCAAUUAUCAGUUUCAACUCCAUAGUAUAAUAUAGAUAUUACCUCUAAUAGUUGUACGCACUUACACAACAAAUACAGAUUGUGAAAUUAAUUGUAUAAGUUUGAUAUUUUGUAGGUAUUGGGAUAUAAUUUUCACGUUUAGGAAAAAGAAAAUAUGUUAGUAAGUAAUAAUGUGAUACCCCUUGUCCCACGUUGGAAGUGGGAGAAAAAGGAUUGAUAUAUAUAAGAUUUGGUCUCAUAAGUUACUAGUUAUUUGGAAUAACCAUUUCGGGAUAGUGAAUUUCGACACAAAAAUUACUUAGGCCAACCAUAGGCUUGGAUGGUGACAAAUAACUUACUAGAAGCUAGGUAUAUUUAUGUUUAGAUGUCCUGAAAGCAGAGUAGUUCAUAAUCUAGAUAAUGGUAACGAUAUGAUGAGAAUGAGAAGUUAUAUGGUAAACUUUAUCGAUUAAUAAUUUCAUCAAGGCAUCAUAUACAAGCAUGAUGAAACAAUCCCAACUUUCAUUCUUUUGUUAAAUCUUAGUUUUUUUGUCUUAAAUUUUUUUCAAAUAAAGGAAGGAUGGAAUUUAAGCAGUAGAGGGGUGGAAGGGGAAUUUGAAUUCAAAAUCUCUAAUUUCUAAGCUUUUCACUAAGCAAUCGUCAAAACCAAAAAAAAAAUAAAUAAAUAAAAAAUGAGGACCUUGUGGUCAAUGCUCCUAUUCGAAGAUUUAUUCCUUUGGUUUGUCAUCAUCUCCCUCUAUUGAAAUCUAAGUACCCUUGGUUGACAAUUUGUUUCCCUGAGCAUCCAUCAACACUUUUAUAUAGUAUUAGAUUAGAUUAGAUUGUCAAUGCACCAUCAAUAUCCUUAAAUAUAAUAGCUUAAGUAUAGUAAUCAAAAUACUGUUAGUAAUCUGUAUGAUUAUUCUUUAUCCUUUAAUGUUUUAGUUUUAGGAAGAUCACAUAUGCUGCGUAUAAAGCAUGCCAUAGGCUAAAUUAAGGUAAAUUAAGUACAUUGCUAAACUGGAGAGCAUUGCUAAAUUAAGUACUUUAAGAUAAAGACUUAAGCAGCCAGAUCCAUUUGAUGUCAGCAGCUUCAAUAUCCACCUCAAAAUAAAUUAGCCUUUGUUCUAGAUUUAGCUUAAUGCUAAGUCCCUUCACCAUUCUUAGUAAUAAUUCAAUUCUGCCUCAAUUUUCAAAAUAUAUCCCAAAUAUAUGAAUAUCUUGAAACCAUCCUUCAAUCUCAUUACCUACUUAACAAAAUGUUCCAUAAACACAAAUAUAUUAAUGAAUUUGGAGUUGGUUUGAAGUAUUAAAGAGAACCGCAAGCUAGAAUUUUCCAUAUAUUCAAACAAGAAAUUGGAAAAAUCUGACUAGCUUGCAACGAGUACUACAUCUCAAGACAAGGGAUCUUUUCAGUCACUCUUUUAUUGUAUCGAAGACCUACUUGCAUCUAUGAAUAAGCAAUACUGAGUGAUUUUAGAUGUGAAGUUGAUUCCAUGUGGUAGGACAACUUUGGUUUUCAAAAAUAAGGGCAGUCCAAUUCACUCAAUACAAAAAAAAAAAAAUUUAAAUGAUAAUAUUCAAAGGAACGUCUAUCUUACCUAAAAAAACAAACAAACAAAAAAAAAACAAUAAAAAGGAGAUUGAUAUCCUAUCCAGUAUCCACAGAUUGAACAAUAGCCACAUUAUCUUAUAAUUCUUAAUGAUCAUUAGCUGAACUAUCAACUUUAGCAGUCAAGAAAGGCUGUAACUUGUAUAAGGACAAUAAAUUCUUUAUUCCCGCGUCCGGAGACUUGAGACAUGGACGCUUCAUUAGUCAAUAAUAAAGUGUGGAAUUCGACGAAUAUUCUUAGCUCGUUCAAGAUAACAGAGAAGAUUCACUCUUGUACAAGCAACAGGCACAGCUACUUAAACAAUUGGAUAAUUUCAUAAACCUUGGCUGAAGUUUUGGACAAUUUCAGUACCCCUCUUAUUUUCAAUAUUACGCUGACCAUUCUUACUUUAACUAAUGUAGUAACCAAUUCAGCCCAUAUCAGUAAAAGAAAUGGAAUAAAUUGACAAGAAAUGGUGUCAUCACAUUUUGUUCCACAUUUACCCUUAUAGACCCUAAAAGAAAUAUUGUAACAUAGGACAAAUUUUACUUCGUACCUUCGAACUUGAAUCACUUUUCUAUUCUCUUACUCUAAACAUUAAUUUUGAACGCUUUCCAUGUGACUGGGGGCAACAGCACAACAGAGCUCUUCUUAAGUCUCUGAUCGUUAGUGUCACAUGACCAUUGCUAAUUAUGCUAUUGCUUUUGAAUGGAAAUAGCAUAAAAGUCUUGGUGAAUGAACAAAUUGAAUAGACCAUUUUGCAGAGCAGUGAAAUAUUCCGAAGCCGUGAAGCACAGUGAUAAGCUACAAAUUAUAGUAAUUUAUAUUUAUUAAUUGUCAAUGAAUGGUUUUAUUUGAGCUAUAAUUAGAAUGGAAGUUGCCUAAUUUAAGUAUAUUUUGGUUUUUGCGGGAAAAGCACGCAAUUGAGGAGGAGAUGACUAAAAAACGCAACAAAAGAAGAAGAAACGUUGGGCUGCCAGGACACAAGGAUCAUCGGGUGGAUCCUUUGUCCAACGCCAAACAGUGAAAGGGACUUUGUGAGGACUUCUUCCAGUUUCAAUGAUUUCUGGAGAAAUUUCUAAAUUAUGAUGAAUUUUAAAAAAAUUCUACAAAGGGGGCAUUUUGAGUAUGAGAUUACGUCUAAGGGGUCUUCGCAUUCAGCAAAUGCGAGCUCCCAAAUGCAAAGUCUCUUGAAUUUGCAACCAACGAAAUCCAAAAAAAAAAAAAAAAAAAAAAAAAAAAACAGACCUCGCAUUUGUUAACAGUACGUAGGCCUGACCUCUUAUGCUGUUUCUGAGCAACAGAGCAUAGCCACGAAUUUGAAAGCCAUUUGCCAAGUGAAAAGAAAAUGUGCAGUGCAAAUGAGACACAAAAUUGAUUGGGGAGUCCUGUUGAGGUAGUACAAGUGGCAAAUUGGGAGGGGAGAGAGAGGCGCAGCUGGCUAGCUUUACAGAAAUGGGUUCCGAACAGGGGUCCAAGCUCUACAAUGGCGCAGAGCUUCCGACGAGAAAGAUGUGAGGGAUUUCGCUUGCCGAUCCUGGAAGCUUGGACUGGUGUCUAGCUCAGCAAAAGAGGAGAGAGUGAGCUGGAUGGAGAGAGUGAGCUCCAAUUUCUGCAGGUUAGGAGACAGAUUAGAAUGCCGUAAUUAGGAGCUCUGAUUGAGUACCUUGCAUUCGAGAAAUGCGAGGUACCUCAGCUCGCAUUUGGCGCAUACGACCUUACUUCGUUGUUUUUUACUUUUUCUCAAAACCUUUCUCUUUUUUCCUGAAACACUGACCUCGCAUUUGUGAAAUGCGAAGUCUUUGAACUCGCGUUUCACAAAUGUGAAGACCAUAAUCCUAGAAUUAGCUUCAAAAAUUACUCCCCUUGUAAAACAACUUUUUUUUUUCCAUCACAAUUUAAGAAUUUACUCUGAUUUUUGAGCGUAACAAGUUUGCGGCUAGAGUUAGAGCCAGUCUUCGGGCCGAACUUUAUUGGAAAACCCAUUCAAACUCGAUUUUUGGUAAGUUUUCAAGACCUAUUCCUACCACAUUUCGGAUGCAACUUUGAGAGACUAUAAAUAGGACAUUCUAGGAUAUUUUUAGGUUAGAAAGCAUUUAGCUUACAUUAGUUCAUCCUUUUUAUAUCUUCUUUUCAUGAGAGAUCACAAAGGAAGUGUUGAAGAAUCAAAGAGAAAGUUCAAGAUGGAGAUUGGAGUAGGGAAAAAUUGAGAAGUUUUCUUUACUUUUAACUUCUUAUUUUGUCUUUCAUUUGAAUUCUUGGAUUUAUCUAUGAAUAUGUUGAACUAAUUUAUAUCUAGACUUAAGAUUUUGUGAAGGAGAUUUGAUUAUUUGUUCUAGAUAAAUUAUUCAAUUUUUCUUUGAUUUAUCUAUCUUGCCUUUAUUACAUAUUUAUGUUUUGCCACUAUAGAUAUGCUUUUAGGGUUUGUAUUGAAUUGAGAAGCGAUAUACAACCAUAUAUUAGAUAAAUAAACUUACUUAACCUAAUUAGGAAUGUGGGUUAGGAUUUGGAUGGCAUAAUCAUAUCACCUAAAAUCUUAAAGGGUUUAAUUAAAUACCUAUGAUCUCGAGAGCAAUGUGAGAUUUCAUUAGACACAAUUUAGAUGUAUCGAGAGAUAAUUAAAAUACCUUUACGUGAUACGUCUUUGACAUGUUAAGAAAAUAAUUGGAUAAUGAUUCCAAUUAUGAAUCAAAAUUUGAAACUCUAGUCUUUUGCUAAUUGUUUUCUCACCUAUAUCUUAUUUGAUUUGAUUACUUAUUUAAUUUCUUAAUUAGUGAUUAAAAACCCUCUAAAUUUAAAUUUUAUUAUUUUUAUUAGACUAAUUAAAGUAGAAAAAAUUAACUCAUUCCUAUAUGUUUGACCCUGGAGUACUCCAAGUGAAUUAUUAUUUCGAUCAACCCUAUACAGUUAUAGAAAUUCAUCGAUCACACAGCAACCAAAAAAAAAAAUUAACGCACAAUAAUGUCAUGAACACAGUUCCCAUCUUAGUUGUUCAACAUUCACGGUGGAUUUCAAUUAGUGGUAAAUAGAUAAAGGCAUCGAAAAAAGUAAUCUAAUUACUAGAUAAUUGAAUUUAUACUACAACAUAUUUCUUUUUUCUACUGCAAAAACUUAACUAAUUUAAGACAAUGUAGUCCAAGCUAAUUGAAGAUUAAUUUCCCUAAAAAAUGUUCAUGAUAAAAACUCAACAAAGAGAUAAUACAACAGCUUGCUUUUGGAGGUGAUCUUAUACGGUCUUUAUUAACAAACUAAUUAGCCACCUAAGCUUUUUUUUUUUUUCCUUUUGGGACUACACAUGACAAAAUGAGGAGUGAAUCAGUCGCUUAGUAUCUAAAAUUUUCCCUCCAUAAUUAGUUCAACCUGAUUUAAGACUAAAUUUUUACUAUAGGAAUGUUCGUGAUUCAGCAAUGAAACACCAUAUAAACUUAUUUUGGGAGAUUUGUCCUAGAAGAGAAAAAAUGAGCAACCAAUCAGAAAGUCGUACUUACAUAUCAAAAUCGAUACUGUCUACUUAAUUCACCAGCUAUGUAUAUUUCAUCCAUUUUCACAUAAUAGAAAGAACAAUAAUGCAUGGCAUUAUCCAUCAUAAAUUGCUCAUAUAACAUCAAGAUAUCAUGGUGUGGACCUCAAAUGACUCGUCAUGUCUACUGGCUACAUUUUAAACAUAUCUUAUGGCCAGAAUGUUCAUCUUAUCAACUUAACGAGUUUAUUCAUGGUACCAUACCAUUCAAUUAAAAAAGUUUCCACCUUUUACCUUUUAUUUAUAGAUGUCGAGGAAUAUAGCUGAUAACGCACUUUUGGCAGCAAACUUCCUUCACCCAAUUAAAGAUUUUCGGAGCUUAAAGUUCAGCUCCUAAAGCUCUUCUCCAAGGCUCACCAACCAACAGAGAAAUUACUUUUAGCAAAGUUUUGAUGGCAUCUUGGCAAGAUUGGAAGAUUAUAUUGCGCUUCUAAGAUAAUGUUUAAAAAAGCUAUUUUAGUGAGGGCAUUAUGGUCAAUUUGCCCCGAUGAUAUUGACAUUAGGUCCCAUCAACAUCAGAAGGGAGCUCAUUGUAUUAUUGGAUAUAACAAGGGUGCUAGUGAAAUUAUGAAAACCCUCGAGGAAGGUUUUUGAAAUUAACCCUAAAAUACUCAUUCCACGCAAGGCGUGGCGUUCCCCUCCUAGUUCCUAUAAAUAGGGCUGCAACUCAAUGCACUUAUCACUCUUUUUUUUUUUUUUCGAAACGAUAAUUGAUUGUAUUGCUUGACAAAAGAUAUACAAGUGCGAGCAAGGGCUCGAUUGAACUUUACAAGCGGCAUAUUUACCACUAAGGAAACCAAUGUUCCUCAUCAAAAAUAAUGCCCAAGCCAUGAAUGCUAAGCUUGUAGCUUAAUUGAGUCUUAUCUUUUCUAACUAGGCAAAAAGAGCACAUAUGAAACAAUUGGCUUAAUUGAAGAAUGUCAUCCACAACAGUCGCUAAUCUAAUCUCACUUACUCUGUUUGUGCGAAUACUGUUAAGGAUUUGUGGGUUUUGCACUUGAAAUUGCACUUCCCUGGCUUGCGUUGUGGCUGUCUUACACAUUGCCAGCUUCAGUGCAAUUGCCUCAUCCACCAGAAUUGAUCCUGAACUUCUUGCUCGUAGCGGCCAUCCUCGGUGUGGUCCUUGAUCUCCUUGAUUCAGGCUGAUUCCAAUGCCAAAGGCGUGGUUGGAUAUAUCUGAUGUUACCCCAAUCCGUACUUCCAGUAUCCCAUAUUCUGAAGCUGACUGCGAACUGUGUUGCUGUAGAGCUAUUGUUUCGUCUGUGCUCAUCCUAGAUUCCUUAGUAUCUAAUUCCACCAUUUCUAACCAUUCCUGAUGCGCCUUCUGAAUAGUCUUCCAAGGCUGUUUUUUUUCCCAUUAAAUUCCUCCUCAUUCCUAGUUUUCCAUAUCUGCCAUAGAAUAUAGACAGACAACGAAAUAUGUUGCCCACCUUCUGGUCUAUUCCUGGCUUCUGAGAUUGAUGUCCACCAGUUACGGAAAUUCCCUUGUUGCUCCAUCAUUCCUUCCCAUUGGAUAGGGGCUAGCCUCCAUAUCAGUUUUACCUCCCUGCAGUUCAAAAGGGUAUGCUCUAAUGUUUCCCUAUCUUCUCCACAUCUCUUGCAAAUGGGGUCUCCAACUUUGAUUCUGCCUUGUAAAAGAUCUCUCACUGGAAGCGCAUCAUUGAGACAUUUCCAUAGGAAGAUUUUCUGCUUAUGCUUCACUUUCAAUUUCCACACUUCCUUCCAAAGCUUUUGUGUUUGAUCCUCCCAACUAGUAGAUCCCUCCACCUGGUUUCUGCUGUGCUUACUUCCUUCUUGCCGCACCUGUAGCUUAUACCCUGAAUUAACGGUAUAGUUUCCAUCUGUCCCGUAUAUCCAGAAAUGACUAUCUUCCUUCCCUGAUAAGCUUAUUGGUAUGGCCAAAAUCCUUUCAGCAUCUUGUCGAUUGAAAUUUUUGAAAACCAGAUUCGUAUUCCAUGACUUUUGGCAGAUCAGCUCAUGAACUUUUUGAAGUCCAUUGUCCAUAUGUCUUCUGGUCGUGACUUUCCCAUUUAUAUUACCCGGGAUCCAGCAAUCAUCCCAGAUAUUGGUGUUGUUUCCAUUGCCAAUCCUUCUUCUUGUUCCUUGUUCCACCAACUCUCUAGCUCCCAUAAGGCUCCUCCAUAUCCAAGAUGCAGUAUUGGGGACUUUGCACCUAAAUAUGGAAGUCCUUGGGAAAUAUUUAGCCUUCAAAACUUGGCUGACUAGGAGAUUAGGUUGCGUUAUCAGUCUCCAAACCUGCUUGCCUAGAAGUGCUGCAUUAAAUGCCAUCAAAUCUUUGAAGCCUAAUCCUCCCAUGUUCUUACUCCGAGUGAGCUUCCUCCAAGAGCACCAGUGUACCUUAUUCUUUCCAUUGGCCUCUCCCCACCAGUAGUUUGACAUUAGUGAGCUGAGUUCCUUACAUAAUCUGGAUGGGAGCCUAAAACAGGACAUGGUAUACGUCGGCAUGGCUAAGGCUACUGACUUAAGCAUAAUUUCCUUACCUGCUGUACUUAAGAACCUGUUUUUCCACUUGCUCAUUCUCUGUUGUAUAUUUGAUUUGACAAAACCAAAAAUCUGCUGCUUUGAUCUUGAAACCACCAUUGGUAAUCCGAGAUGCUUGCCUUGAGUAACACUUUGCAUAGUCCCCAUAACUUGACAAAUCUCAUGCUUCAGAUUUAGCCUCACAUUCUUACUGAAUAGUAUAGAAGACUUAUCCAGAUUUAUCAGUUGUCCAGACCCUUUGGCAUACACCUGCAGCACCCUCAUUAAUUCCGUAGCCUGAUCCUUAUUUGCUUUGCAAAAGAUCAAAGAGUCGUCUGCAAAGAAGAGGUGUGUUAUACUAGGACCCUGUCUACUUAUCUUCAUCCCAGAAAUUUUUCUGGUUUGUGCAGCCUGCCGAAUGAGGUUGGAAAAUCCUUCAGAGCAAAGGAGAAACAGAUAAGGGGAUAGGGGAUCCCCUUGUCUAAUACCUCUUGUGGGUAUCACAUACUCUUUCACCUCCCCAUUAAUAUUGAAGGAGUAAGAUACAGUUCUUGCACACUCCAAAAUCCAGUUUAUCCAUCUGUACUGAAACCCCAUCUUUUGCAUAAUGGCCUCAAGAAAACUCCAUUCCACACGGUCGUAGGCUUUGGACAUGUCCAACUUCACUGCCAUAAACCCGUCCUUACCUUGUCUCUUGUUAUUUAGAUAAUGCAAAUACUCAUGAGAGACUAAGAUGUUAUCUAUAAUUUGCCUACCGGGGAUGAAUGCAGAUUGGUUUUUGCAAAUGCAGCAAUGUAAAACACCUUUGAGCCUAUUUGCAAGAAUUUUAGCAAUGACUUUAUAUAUGGUAGUGCAAAGACUAAUUGGUCUUAACUGAUUCAAAGAUGUGGGAUUAAGCACUUUGGGGAUGAGAGUAAUCACCGUAUGGUUAACACUUUUCAAGAGGUGGCCUGUAUGAAAAAAGGUUUGGAUUGCAUUUACCACUUCUUUCUUGAUGGUAGUCCAGAAUUUUUGGAAAAAAAGUGGUGACAUACCAUCAACCCCAGGAGAUUUAUCUGGGUUCAUAGAGAAAAUUGCAGCUUUUAUUUCUUCUUCCAAAACUGGUUUCAUCAGAUUUCCAUUGAGUUCAUCAGUAAUAGUAUGGGGUAUACCAUCCAGUACCUCAGUUAAGUCCCCGACGUCAUUACUGUUGAACAGAUUCCUAUAGUAUUCUGCAAUCUCCUUGCUCACUGCAUGCUCACUCUCAGUCCAAGUACCAUCCUCUCGCUGAAGUUUGUUCAGUCUAUUUCUCCUUCUCCUACCUUGUACCGAGGCAUGGAAAAAUUUCGUGUUCUUGUCACCCUCCCUAAGCCAUUGUAUCCGCGAUUUUUGAAGCCAGUACAACUCUUCCUCUUUGUAGGCUUCCUUUAACUGUUUUUUUAGAGAAUCCUUACAAACCUUGCUGGUACUACCUAGAGAAGACUUCAGAUCACUCAACUGGUUUUUUAUCUGCUCAGUUUUCACUCUUGCAUUUGCUUGGAAGUUAUUCCUCCAUUGUAGUAGAGCCACUCGGCAGUUUUUGAGCUUCUUAACCACUUGAAACAUCCUAGAUCCAUCCAUUUCCUGCUCCCAAGCCGACUUGAUAACCUCCCCUAUAUCCUCUCUUUUAAGCCACCUCUUAUCAAAGUAGAAUCUCUUCUUCCUCUUACCAAGAUUCAUCCUAGUAUCGAACAAAAGAAUGCUGUGAUCAGACGCAUUAUUUACAUUUUGAGUGAGAUUGUGAUCAAAUGACAUCUUCAAAAAAUUUGCUCUUUCUUAUUGGUGUUCUUUUUGCACUUGUGCUCCUCAUUUCCUCUGAUGCAACAGCUGCAGGUGCCUAGUCCCUUUUUUUCUUUUCCUUUCUUCCUUUUUUUUUUUGGCUGCACCUAAAUACUUAAAUGAAUGGAGAUUUGGAGACUCAUUAUUGGGAUGUGAAUUUUUAUGGAAGGCUAUUUGUAUAUUAUCAAGCAAGUCAUAUUAAUGUGCUAAUAUCUUUUUCAUUGUUUAGCAAAAGUAAAUUUGGGUUGCUUCUAUCAAUGGUUAGUGGCACAUCUGAUUUUUCAUGCAUCCUUAUAGUAUUGCUGUAAGGAUACACGUUCCAUAGUGUCGCACCAAAGAUUAAACUAACGUCGAAAACCAAAUUAAAUGCUUCUAAUUAUAAUUUAAAGCAAAAUAAUUCCCCUUAUAAAUGGACGAAACUCCCUGCCAACAAAUCCAAAUUCAAGAAAAAAUUUUCUUAAAGGGAAACUCUGCCAAAAUUUUCUUAAAAUAAAUAAAAUAUUUAAUUAAAAAAAUGAAGCAAAAUAAUUCAUAUCCAAGUCGCACCAUCUUAUAUGCCUAGACUGUUUUGUUUAAUCCAUAGUAUUCUUUUCUUUGCAUAUAUCUUGCAAAUUUUCAGCCUAGCCGGUCACCUAACGUUCGCAGCUUAAGAUAAAGCUCCAAAUAUUUAUGUCUCCUUGUGUCUUGAAACAGAUCAGAAGAGCGUGAAAACCACUGGUGUCCACGAUGCCAGUUCAGGCGAGGUUCAUCAGGAUAGCAAAAGCGAAGAUCGUUGCAGACAUGGUUGCUGCCACUGGUACCAUGGACACUGCCAAAGAUGCUGUCGAACUGCCGAGGAGACCCCUGAAGUCACAUCUGGAGAUGAGGAUACCGUAACCGCAGAUCGUUGCAGACAUGGUUGCUGCCGCUGGUACCAUGGACAUUGCCAAAAAUGCUGUCCACCUGAAGAUCGUUGCAGACAUGGUUGCUGCCACUGGUACCAUGGACAUUGCCAAAGAUGCUGUCCACCUGCUGAGGAGACCCCUGAACAUCGUUGCAGACAUGGUUGCUGCCGCUGGUACCAUGGACAUUGCCAAAGAUGCUGUCCGCCUGCUGAGGAGACUUGCAGACAUGGUUGCUGCCACUGGUACCAUGGACAUUGCCAAAGAUGCUGUCGAACUGCUGAGCAGACCCCUGAAGCUACAUCCGGAGAUGAGGUAAAAAAUUAACGCUAAAUAAAUAAGGGCGUGACACAGGAUCCGUGACACCUAUAUUAUUACCUUAAUAUGUUAUGUUGUGUUUGCUUUUAAUGGUUGAUUUCCUAUAUGUGUAAAAGACUUGUGCGGCUUCUCUUUGAAUUGGUGUAGAAUCAACGGGGGAAGCAUGUAAUGAGUACUCAGUUCGAGUGCUCUUCUUAUGUUGUUGUCAUGUUGAAUAAAUAAAUCUACUUGAUCAUCUACUACAAUUGAUGAUGCUUUGACUUUACCUCGUAAACGUGUCAUUUCACAAAUCUCAGGUUUUCAAGCUAAGUCACUUCCUCUUCGAUAUCUUGGCUGUACUCUCUAUUCAGGGAGAAGGAAAAGCAGUUAUUUUUCAGAUAUCUGCACUUCAGUUGCUAAGAGAAUUCUGUCUUGGAAGGAGAAGCUUUUGUCAUCUGGAGGGAGGUUAGUGUUACUCAAAAAUGUUCUAUCAUCUUUGCCUAUUCAUGUCUUAGCUGCUACAACUCCUCCAAAGGGUGUUCUCCGCACCCUUGAGAAAGCAUUUGCAAAUUUUCUAUGGGGCACAACUGAUAAAGGGUCUCGGUAUCAUUGGAUUGCAUGGGAUUCAUUGUGUAAGCCGUAUGCCGAAGGGGGUGUGGGAGUGAGGGCUUUGACUGAUGUGUUUAAUGCCUUUUCAUUGAAGUUAUGGUGGUCUUUAAGGCAACGUCAGUCUCUUUGGGCAGAAUUUAUGUACAAUAAAUAUUUACAUAAAUUGCAUGCUUGCGAAGCGGAAUUUCAGCCUUUACAAUCGGUAACUUGGAAGAGAUUGGUUACAUAUCAGUCUUUGGCAAAUUCCCAUAUUCAAUGGGUGUUGCAGAAUGGCUUGAUAAACUUCUGGCAUGAGAAUUGGACUGGUACAGGUCCUUUAUGUCAGCAGAUCGACAUUUUUGGAGAUCACACAGUGGCGGAUUUUGUUUCAAAUGGUCAAUGGAACAUUCCAAUGCUUCGACAAUGGCUCCCAGAAAACAUUGUAUCUACGAUUCUACAAAUCAUUCCCCCGGAUGUUGUUUCUAAUCAACCUGAUAGGAUGGUGUGGGAUUUAGAAAUUUCUGGUUCAUUUUCCUUUUCUUCAGCCUAUAAGGUGGUCCGCACCGUUGCCAAUUCGUCAAUCUUUUCAUCUACCAUUUGGGUGAAAGACUUGCCAGCAAAAAUCUCAUUCUUUAUGAUGAGAAUGCUAUCUUGGAGACUGCCGGUUCUGGAUGUGUUGCAGCGCUUUGGUGUGUGCGGACCAUCUCGUUGCGUUUGCUGCCAAAAUCCUGGGUUUGAUUCUAUUGAUCAUGUUUUCUGUACAGGUGAAAUCCCUCGCCAAGUUUGGAAAUCGUUUCAGGUUGAUAUUGGCGAGUUUGUCACUCCUUCAACGGUAAAGCAUGCAGUCAUUCAAUGGUGGUUGCUGCCAGCUAAAAACAUUAAGCUUAAACUGGUUUAUCAGCUGCUGCCAUCGCUGAUUUGCUGGCAUCUUUGGAAAGCUAGGAAUACUGCGGUUUGGGAAGGCAAGGUGUUGUCGGUCAUGCAGAUUAAUACUUUUGUUCUUUCUGAUCUCUAUGACAUUUUCCAAUUACAUUUUACAGACAUUGGAGUUGGAAGGUACUCGUGGCCAUGUUUUUACUCUUCACUGGUGAGUUGGCAAAAACCAUUUAAAUUCAUCCUGGUUAGGUGGAUCCCUCCAGUCUUGACGACAUGUAAACUGAAUACCGAUGGUAGUUCUCUUGGUAAUCCGGGAAGGAGUGGCGGUGGGGGGGUUUUGAGAAAUAGCUCGGGGGUUUUUUUGUUGGGUUUUGCGUGUUAUUGGGGUGUCAUACCGAGUUUACAUUCAGAGUUGAAGGCUUUGUUAUUUGGAGUUAAGCUUUGUGUUAUGCGAGGUUUCUUUUGCUUGCAUUUGGAAUCAGAUUCGUCACUUCUUGUCCAAAUGGUUAAGGGGAUUAGUAGAUGUCCAUGGGAUUUGCAACGAGAGCUGGACCAAUUGCUCACUUUUAGGCAUUUCUUUCAAUCCGUCACUCAUUGUUAUCGUCAAGCGAAUUUGCCUGCAGACCGCUUAUCUAAGGUUGGAACUGAGUUAAAGUCCAACAUAGUGUAUGAUUCAUGGUUGGAAUUGCCACGAUUGGUUCGUGGAGACCUCAAGUUGGAUAGGUUAGGUUCUCCUAAUUUUCGGGUUUACUAAUCAUUUGGAUUUCUGGAAUGGGGUCUAGUUCAUCCACACAGAUUCAAGCGUUGUUGCUGUUACUGUUGUUUUGCUAUUGCUGCUGUUAUUUUUUGCUCUCUGGUUGAGCAAUUUCUUUCUUUUUGCACCUCUGUUUGGCAGAUGCUGAUGUAACGUGAUAUUUAUUUAUCAAUAAAAGGUAUAAGGUUUUUUUUAAAAAAAAAAAAAAAAGAUCUUCUUAUGUUUUUUUUCACUUUAUCUUCCUUCAAGAUUUUUGGUGGAAAUGCUUCAUUUAUACGAAUUUUCCUAGUUAGUAAAUGCUUCUAUUACACUUGUACAAUACACAUUUAAAAGUAUAACACAACAAAAGCUUGUGUAGUUCAUAUAUUUAAAAAAUAUUCAUACUUUUCAACUAAACUAUAAAAAUAUGUAAUAAAUUCUUUAUACAUUAUACUUUACGAACUAUACUUUAAAUUUUAAAAAUAUUUAAUAGUAUCACUUAUCAAUAACUCCACAUGUUAAUUUGUCUUCCAAUUCAGUAAAUUAUAGUAGCUAAUUCUCAAAGCUAACCGACACCAAAAUUCCCUCACUUGUUCAGCUCCUAGUGGAUUUAUAUUAAUUACAUUGCAUUUAUUUCCUAAGCAUGAGUUUUGUAACCCCUCAUAUUAAAUCUCAAUGAUUGAUUUUAACGGUUACCCAGGCGUCUAGUAAUUGGUUUGCUAUUAAUUUGAACUAGACAUUUAUUAGGUCUAGUAGAAUUUAUUCCUUCUUAUCACUUAGUUCAUAAACCUUACGAAUCGUUAAAACCAGCUCUAACAUCAGCUAACAAGACUUCUACAAUUUCGGGUUUUGCUUAGAAAUCAGUCUGAUAGGUUAACUUGCUUCGUCCAACUUUAUGAGUUGCUUCUUUUUUCUUUUUUUUUCCAUAUUUGACAUUUCAUCUUACUUUAAUAUGGGGACCAAGUUAGUAUUGUUGACAUUUCAUAUCUAAGACUUCUUAAUUAAUUGAUUUGUUAUAAGAACUAUAACGUAUGCGUGUUUUGUAAGCUUUCAUGUUUUUUUAUUUUUUCAAUUCUUGUGGACCAGCAACGGAUAGUUUCUUCUAGUACCAAUCUUCCUUUGAAGUUCUUUAAUUUUUUUUUUGUGUCCAAAUGUAAAUUAAAAGAACCAACAACUUUGAACAAGUCUAUAUCUAGUAAAGAUAGAUAUAAAGAGGGAUACUAUAUCACUGCAACAAAAAAGGGAUUUGGCGAGGAGCAAAAGUCCACGCCAAAAUUUUUGACUUCGUCGCCAAUUAAUUUCAGCGAGAAAAAUGCUUCCUCGUCAAGUUUCUUGCUAGAUGCUCAUCGCUAAAAGUUAUUAGAGAGGAUGUUGUUGCUUUUCUCGCUAAUGAAACAGAUCAAUAGCAAGGAUUGACCUCCUCGCCAAUCUGAUUCAAAUACUAUGGCGAGAAAAGCUUUCCUCACCACUAAAGUUAAAAACUCCCCACAAAAACCAGUAGUUCCUAGCAAAUAGUCAAGGUGUUCUGCUAGGAAAAAUAGCGCAUCCUUACCAAUAGUAUAGAAUUAGCAAGGAUUCUUUUGACAAAUCUGCAAUGCCUCGUGUACCAGUAAAACAUUUUUGGCCAGGAAAGUUUCCUCUCUAAUAAGCAAUAAUUGAUUAUUGUCUAACUGUUUGGUGGGAAAAUGUUCCUCUCCAAUGCUGUUAUGAACAUUUCUUAAUCCCAUUUAGCAUGCUAAUCUUAAUUCUCUGAGCAAAUUACUGGGUGGUUUUAUUAGAAAAUUUAGCUGCAAAUAGCUUCAAUUUGGCUUCUCAUGUGUCUGUUGUACAUUUUCCAGGUUCUUAUAAGUAUCAAAUUGUUUGGCAAAAUUUUUUUUUAAUGAAUCAUGACCAACGUAGCUGCUCAUUAAAUUUAAACUCAUAAGCCCUAGUAUUUGAUAGCUUUUUGGAAUAUCACUUGGUGCCAACAACCCCCUUUUGCUACUUUGAUAAACAUUCAAUAGAAAACAUACAAAAGCUUUGGUUAGCUAAAAAUAAUUGUUAGCAAAGUAAUACAUCAACAUCCAGCUCUUUCAACAUCUUGAGCCAUACAAAUAGGAAGUGCUUGAAAUCAAUUGGCAAUCCAAAUUUUUUUUAGCUCAUUAACCAUCCAAGAAAUCGCAACUUCAAUAAGUCAUUACAAAAGAAGAUUUCAUCAAGAGAACACCACAAAAAGGAGAAGCAGAAAAAAAAUAUAAGAGAGAGAGAGAGAGAGUUAAACUAGUCAUAUGGACACAUAUUUGUCACCUCAGUAUUUCCAAUUCCUUAAUUCAGUCCAGUUAUCUUGGAACUCUAUCGGCAAUCCAUGGAACAUUUUUUGAAUGACAAUAUGCUGUUGCAACCUUCUGGUGAAGACUUCAAAGGUUCUAUGAUAGGUUGCAUUUUUGUCAUUAAUUCUAUGAUUAUUUUCCUCAUUUAUAUUACCAAAUAUUGUAUUAAUUGAUUGAUUCUACUUAUAUUUGGUAUUUUGUGUCAAUUGUAGGAAGGUGGAGCAAAAAAUAAUAAAAGAGGUGAUUUUUCAAGAGUUUUCCAUUUCAAGAUGGAGUUUACGUGGAGUAUUGGAUGAAAAUUAGGAAACUACCACUUUUUAUUAGAUGUCUUAUUAGGGAACAAUUAGCAAUAGUUGGAGAAGUUUCCUUUUGCAAUUAGAAUUCUAUUUUUAGUUGGCCAAUGGACUGCCGAAAUAAUGGACUUCAAUUAGGAAACAAAGAGAGAAAAAAGGCCGGAAUCCCGCGUGAUUACUACCUUGGAGGGAACAAGAAAAAGGAGACGUCCGCUGGUCUCUUCUUUAGUGAGUCUUUUGGAAAAAACCAAUGGUUAUCGAUGGUGUCCUGCGGAUCUCUCCUGAUGAUGUGUAGCUAAAUCUCCGUUUUCUAGUCGAAUGUCAAUUUGAGGACUCGAUUCCAAACAUAUUUGAUAAGAGAAUAUUUAAUGUACAUUUUGUACAAGUUUGGCAUGAACUUUUGAUGUGUUUUGAGAAGAUUAAAGCCAUAUUUGAACUCUUUUGGUGAUAAAUGCUUAAAUAUUAUGUAAGUGUUCAAAACUUGAUAAAUGAGUGGAUUAAUGCGUUAAUUUUGUGAAAUUGUGAAGGAUAUUGAUAUAUGAAAUUCAUGCACGAGAUGAAGGAAAUGUAAGGAUCGUCUAGAGGAUAAAGUACAAAAGAAACUAGGAGCAAAAAUGAAGAAAAAGGAAAGAAGUGAAAAACUGGAAAUUGAUCAGCACAGAUUUGAGCUCGGAUCCGUGUGAACAAAGGGCGAUCCGAGCCCUCGUCUGCACUUCUGGAGCAGUGCAUCCGAGGCCAGACAAUCUGAGCUCGGAUUAUUAAGAGAAAGACCUCGGAUCAGCCUUGAUCCGAGCUCAGAUCGUAGUGCACACCUCGGAUCCAGGUCUCGGAUCUGCCUCUCUUCUGCAAGUGGCACGGCCGUUUUUUCUCAUUUUCACACAACUUUCCAGCUAUCUUGGGUGAGAGAAUUCGAUGGCACAUGCUUCUGCAACAAAAGGGAAGACAAAAUGAGUUAUUGAUAAGUCAAAACAACAUUUCUUUUGACUUUCUUUACAAAAUCUGAGUUGUUGGAAUCAUGAAGGAGAAGAAAGUGCCUUUCUACCACCUUUUAUGCAGAGAACUAAGGAGAAGUCAGGCAUCACCAUAUGGAGGAGUUUUUCAUCUUGUAACAUUUUUCUCUCUAGCUAGAAGUUCUAAAAACAAGCACUUGGAGAUUUCACUUGUAAUCAUCUUGUACAAGACAUAGCAAAAAUUUGAGGGUUUCACCAUUAAUUGGCUAAGCUUUUCUUUAUCUUUCUUGUACUUGUACUUUAUGAUGUUUUGCAUUAAUAAACUUGUGAGUUUGAUUGUUAUAUUAUUCAUGAGUAGCUAAAUUUCUUUAUCUAGAGAGUAGAUAAAUGAUAUGAAUUGAAUGUGAUUUACACUUGUUAUAUCUUGUAUUAACUUGUCUAUUUGUGCAGUUGUAAUUACUUGUUGUUGUUUGAUCACCAAUAGCAUGUUUAUAGUUGUUAUUAGUCAAUAAGAAUUGGUAGUAACAAUAGAAAAAAUAUGAGUAGAGCUUGAGUUGUAUGUUCAUGAAAAUAGAUGUACACUUAAGUGGAUUAGCUAGCAUUUCAUGAAGGAAAACAGAGUAGAACUGGUAGUUCACCAUGAAAAUAGGGAAAACUGGAUUACUCUAGGCCAUUUUAUCAUGAGAAUGAGAUUUGGCAAUAUUGAAAAUGAAUCCCUGGUUAAACAACAAUAAUAACAAGAGGUAAAUCUAUUCAUUUGUGUUGUUUAUACCAUAAGUGGAAUCUACAUCCCUAGAUUUAUUCUUGAGUGAAAUUUAUCCAUUUGCAUUUAGCAUUUGUUAAACUAGAUUUAUAGACAACAACAUUAUAAUUUCUCUGCUCAAAUUCAUUUAUAAGUCUAAAUAAUAGAGAAAAUAAGGGCCUAGUACUUAUUUAAAUUGCUCCUCGUGGGAUCGACUUGAUACAUACCUUACAUUACGAUUUCGACCUGUAUAGUUGCAGUCAACGGGUAUAAAAUCGAAUUCAAACUUGCAUUGAUAUAAAAAUCCCGUCACAUAUGUGAGAUCGAAUUAUUUUACUUAUUUCUUUUAUUCAUUGGUAUUUGUACAUUUUCUGAUUUAACUUCAUAUACUUGUUAUGUUAUUUGAAUGUCAAGGGCUCGAUAUUCGAAUUAACCUAAUAAUCUACUGUUAGAUUAAUUGAUUGAAUCCCUAAUUGUUCAAUUGAUUAAUACCAGUGGCAACUAGCGUGAUUAGUUUCAUGUUAAGGAAACAUAUGAUCUAACUUAAACGAACCCUCGUAGCGUGUUUGUUAAUUAAGGUUGGCUUUUCUAAUUCUUAUUGCAAUUGAGAAAUUAAAUCCUAUAGUCGUACCUAGGGUUAUUUCUUGGUUAGAAAAAUAGUUAAUGGUCGUACCUUAACUAUCGAAAAAGUAAGAAAAGAUUGGUUGUUUAUCGCGUGUAUAACAACUAUAACCAAUCUAUUAAUUAGUAAUUGAAUUAUCUUUGCAUCGAUGAUCAGUUGAAAGGACCAUGUCUGAAAAGUUGCACCUUUGGCUAGAGUUGUAUUGGUUAUUGAUUAAUUCCUGUUUAUUUCUAUUAGUUGUUUCAUUAGUUGAUUAAUUAGUUAUUUUAUAUUUUUCAAAAACCCCCCAUACUUCGGACUCUGGAAGAAAUGAAUUAUCCCCAAUCCCUGUAGAUUCGACCCUGCUCACCGCUAUAUACAAAUUUGUAUUUUUCUUGAGUAGGUAAUUAUUAUUGCACAUGUUCAACACCUGUCAUUCUAUAACUGUAUACAGAGUCAUCUUUUUCAAAGAUUUCCCAUGCUGCAAAAUGUACUCUACGAGCUUUAUUUCACCCUGUUCCUGAAGAGUUUGCUUGAUCCGAUAUACCCGAAUGGGAUGGUUAUUUCUUUCACAAAUAAUUAUGAAUUUGUAGACAGGGCAAGUAGGGUCGUAUCCACAGGGACUGGGUAUAUUUGUUUCUUAAGAAAUCCAAAAUAACAUAGGGGGGUGAUUUUGUAGGAACGACGACAAUAAAAUAAAUUCAAUUAAGAAAAUAAAAAUAAAUAACUAAUUAGAGAUUAAACAACAAUUCACUGAACUUAGAGUAAUAAUAAUUAAAGGCCUAAAUCAAUUAAAACAAGGAAGCAAUUAAAAAUAAAAUAAAGUAGGCAACUAAAAGUCAAAUGGCAAUUCACUGAAAUCAAGAUAAUAUUAAUUAAAGAUCUAUCCAAGAAAUAAUUUCAGCAAUGGUGCACCUAAUUGAUCAUUGAAGCAAAGGCAAUUCCAAUUAUUUAUCAAUAAAUAGGUUAUAACUACCAAACAAGCGAUGGCAGUCAACCCCUCCUUAUUGUGUCGGUGAUCAAGGUACGCCCGUUAACCACUAGUCUAAUUGAGAAAUAACCUUAGGUACGCCCGUAAGAUUUAAUUCCCCAAUUGCCUUACGUAUUAGAGGAGCCCUAUUCUAACCAAAUAACACACUACCAGAGUUAUUUCAGAUUAGCCCGCGUAUCCCCCUGACAUGAAUCUAAUCGUGCCAGUUGUCACUAUUUUAGGACAAUUAAACAAUUACGGAUUUAAUGCCCUAAUUGACAAAUGAGUACCAAAUCAAUUAAUUAUCUGGAUCCAAGACAAUCAAUUAAUUAAAUAACCAUAGGCAUAGUAAUUCAGGAAUAUACGAAUACCAAUAAAUAAAAGGGAAAGACUAAAAUUAAAUCGAUCUCACAAUUUUAGGCAAACCAAAGCCUCCGUUGUCCCUCGGUUAGAUUGAGAAAAUUAGCUCAUGUUCGAUGCGAAAAACCCACAAGAAAUUGUAAAGAGAGCCGCGGCCAUUGUCCCUUGAAAUUGGGGAAAUUCAAUUCGGUUCCAAUCAAGAAGGGAGGCAAGCUACAGAAAGUUAUCAAUUCAGUUUUGCUUGUCUCCCACAUACGAAGGGAAAAACUACUCUAAGAACCAGGGAAGAAAAGUCAAAAGUAAAGCUAUCCCCCUUUUCUCCUGACAUGCGCAGGAGAAGUCCUAAUCAAAAGCUUCAAAAGGAAGAAAAAAAUCUCAUGCUAAGCUAAAGCUAUCCGCCCCCUUCUUCUGUGCAGUUUUUUUCUUAUAUAGUCAGGCUCCGUGCGGCGGCUCCAGGGAGAAGAACGCUUUUGCCAAAAUGACCAAAAAGGCUCAUGUCCCUUCUUCCAAAAAUGCCCUUGCAAGCCUUCUAUUUAAUUUCUUUCCCGAUGACUGUCAAAGUGGCAUUGAUUGUGGUAUUUUUGAUCUACUCUCUGAAAUAAAUGCAAAUUAAGAAAAAUGAAUAGAAUCCAGCAAUUAAUCCACAUCAAGUCAGGUAAUAGGGGAAAUUAAUAAUAAAAUAAAUGAUAAAAUUGCAACCUAUCAUUAAGUAACAUUAGGAUGAUUGCUAUUUAAUUAAAAUUGUCCCACGGUUUAAUUUUGGUGAAGAACUUUUGCUUCUUUUGUUUCUAAAUCAUCAACACUGUGAUCCGUAAGUGGUAACCUUGGGGCUCAUAGAGAGAUGUUCUGCUAGUUCAAAUGGUUACUCUUUAACUCUUCUGUAUUGUCCAAACACUCAUUAAAUUCUAACAGCCAUUCCUUUUCAUUGUAAUGAUUGAUAUGAUUUUGCAACCUGGCAAGCUCUUUUUGAAGCUCAUGCUUUGUUAUAUCCUCAUGCAACAUUUUAGCUUUCACCUCAAAUUCUAUAGUAUUAGGCCUGAGAAUCCACACGUUCCACAACAUGUUAAGAGGAACAUCUUUGUCUGUUAUUUCAAAGUUGUGUGUGAAUUUUAAUAAUUAUGUUUGUGUCAAUAACUUGAUUAACCUAGAAGGAUUUUUUUUCAUGUUGGGUCAACUUGAUCUUCACAAAACUCCCUAUUAAUUAACCCUCAAACUUCUCAGGGGCCUUUGCAAGAUCCUCAACUAGAGUUCUUCUUAAAUAAAUAAGAUUAAUGUUUUCUUGAAUGAAUAUAGAAGAAUGACUUCUAGGAGUUCUUAAACCUGUAGUCUUUUGGUGUUAUUCCAUGCAUAGCAUCCUCAUCAAGUAAUUGUCAGUAUAUAGGCUUUUAGUUUUGUUAGGUGUUUGAAUGUUUCGUGCAUAAACUGUGCCAUUUAACUAGCUAAUAUAAUAAUGAAUAGCAAUUUACGAUUUUUAAAUUAACUUUAACUCUAUAAUUUGUUGCAAAAAUAUAUAUUACUCUAGAGUGAAAGUGUUGGGAAAGGGGUACCAGUAUAGGUACAAAAUAUCAGAGUUAGCCCAAGAUAAAUUUCUCUUUCCCCAAAUACCAGUUAAAAUAGGAAUAAACCAAAUCACCAAAUAAUAAUACCAGUAGUGAUAAUAAAAUGAAAGGAAAAAUAAAAGGCACAGGACACCAAGAUUUUUACGUGGAAAACCCAAUUGGGAAAAAUCACGAGACCUAAUCCAGUCAAAAACUUCACUAUCACAAUAAUGGGAAUACACAGGUCUAUCCGAAAUAUUCGGAUGAUAAUAAUAUCACCAAUACCAACCAAGCCAAUCUACUAUAAAAUCACCCCCAAAAACUACAACUGUCAAAGAAGUGAAUUUGGAAAGAUGUUACCAAACGAAGAGGAAAUCUAAAAUCUGAACCGAUACAUGAGUAGAGCUUGUCGAGAGGAUCACGUGUUUAAAAUUUCGUCUCAAUCGGGUUUCGAAUCGCCCUCCAAUCAAGACCUUGAAGUCUCUCUCUCUCUAGCCUUUCUCUCUCUUCGUCUCACUCAAGGAGGUGGCGACUGACCUUUUUUCUUCACACGAAAAUCGAAGAAAAGGAAUCAUUUCUUGCGGCUGCUGCUGCCUUUUUUUUUAUAUCACUUGAGAAACCCUCAAGUGUUAGUUAUGUGGGUUGGCCCACAAAUGGGCUGGCCCACGACAUCAACAAUCUCCCCCUCCAGCUCAUUUGGGGGGCUCCAUCAAGCCUGCUUCUUGUUUGCAAAACAAGAGUUUCUCCUUAGGCAAUGCUUUGGUAAACAUGUCAGCACCAUUAUCAUCUGUAUGCACUUUCUCAAGUGUCAACAACUUGGAAUCCAGUACUUCCCGAAUCCAAUGAUAUCUCACAUCAAUAUGUUUGGAUCGAGAGUGAAAUGUGAAGUUCUUACACAAAUGAAUAGCGCUCUGACUGUCACAGUAAAGACUAUACUUGUCUUGUUUCAUACCCAACUCCUGAAGGAAUUUCUACAACCAAAGAGUCUCCUUACAUGCUUCAGUAGUUGCAAUAUACUCUGCCUCCGUAUUAGAAAGAGCGAUACACUUCUGUAGCUUACUUUGCCAAGACACUGCUCCCCCUGCAAAAAUCAUUAAGUACCCAGAUGUGGACUUCCUAUUUUCAAGAUCACCUGCCAUAUCUGCAUCAGUGUAUCCAUCUAGCAUAGUUUUACCAUUGCCGAAACAUAGACACAAUCUAGGAGUUCCCUUGAGAUACCUAAGAAUCCAUUUGACAGCAUUCCAAUGCUCCUUACCAGGAUUAGAGAGAUACCGACUGACUAUUUCAACUGCAUGAGCAAUAUCUGGUCUGGUGCAAACCAUAGCAUACAUCAAGCUACCAACGGCCGAAGCAUAAGGAACCUUUUUCAUGUCUUCUUUAUCUUUCUCACUUGUAGGACACUGCUUGAUAUUCAGUUUAAAGUGACCUGCAAGUGGAGUUGAGACUUCCUUAGCAUUGCUCAUGUUAAACCUGUUGAGCACUUUCUCAAUGUAUUUUUCUUGAGACAACCAAAGCUUCCCAUUUUGCCUGUCUCGUGAGAUUUUCAUCCCCAAUAUCUGUCUAGCCGGACCCAAAUCUUUCAUUGCAAAGGAUUUACUUAACUCCUUUUUCAACCUGUCAAUCUUCACAGUAUCAAGACCAACAAUCAACAUGUCAUCAACAUAUAAUAAGAGAAUAACAAAAUCACCAUCUGAAAGGUUUUUCACAUAAACACAGUGAUCAGAUGUAGUCCUGUGGUACCCAUGGUCUGUCAUGAAGGAAUCAAACUUCUUAUACCAUUGUUUCGGUGCCUGUUUCAACCCAUACAAGCUCUUCUUGAGACGGCAUACAAGAUUUUUCUUGCCACUUUCUCUGAACCCCUCCAGUUACUCCAUGUAGAUCUCCUCUUCCAAGUCGCCAUGCAGGAAGGCUGUCUUCACAUCAAGUUGCUCGAUCUCCAAAUUCAAACUGGCUGCAAUACCAAGAACAACUCGAAUUGAGGACAUUUUUACCACAGGAGAGAAGAUUUCUUCAAAAUCUAUACCUUUCUUUUGACUGAAUCCCUUCACAACCAAUCUUGCUUUAUACUUUGGUUGUGAGGUGUGCUCCUGAGUUUUCAACCUGUAAACCCAUUUGUUCUUUAGAGCUCUCUUACCCUUAGAUAGUUUCACUAAAUCAUAAGUAUGAUUCUUAUGCAGGGACACCAUUUCCUCUUGCAUGACUCGCAACCAAUCUUCUUUGUUCUCAUGCUCUAAAGCCUCACAAUAUGACUCAGGCUCUCCUCCAUCUGUUAACAACAAAUAUUCAUGAGGAUUAUACCUGCUAGAAGGUCUCCUCUCUCUGGUAGAUCUCCUAAGCUCAUCUUGUGGUGGCGGUGGUGGUGUAGGUGGCUCCUCAUGUUCAGAUUCAUCAGCAGUAGGAUUAUUACCAUCAUUAAUAUCCUCUCUCUGCUCCGCCUCAGCUCCCCCUUGAUUAAAAUCAACAGGUACUGAAAUUGGAUCUGGAUCUGAAUUUGAGCUAGCAGGAAUGUCAUCUGAGAAUUUUGAGUUGUCACUUUUAUCAAUGUUUUCAAUGGUUUGAUCUUCAAAGAAGACAACAUCUCUACUCCUGAUCACUUUCUUCUCAAUAGGAUCAUACAACCUAUAACUAAAAUCUUCAAUUCCAUAAUCCAAGAAAAUGCAUUGCUUUGAUUUUACAUCAAGUUUUGACCUCUCAUCCUUGGGAAUAUGAACAAAUGCCCGGCAACUGAAAACUCUCAAAUGCUUAAAUGACACAUCUUUUCCUGUCCAUACCCUCUCUGGGAUAUCACCAUCCAGAGGGACUGAUGGAGAAAGAUUUAUCAAAUCAAUUGCAGUCCUCAUUGUCUCACCCCAAAAGGGUUUUGGCAAUUUAGCAUUAGAGAGCAUACAUCUAACCCGCUCAGUGAUGGAUCUGUUCAUCCUCUCUGCUACUCCAUUCUCUUGAGGAGUUUUCGGUACAGUUUUCUCCAAUCUGAUUCCAUGGGACUUGCAAUAGAUUUCAAAUGGUUCUCUGUACUCACCACCAUUAUCAGCACGUACACACUUUAACUGCUUACCAGUUUCUCUUUCAACUUUGCUAUGAAAGUCUUUAAACACAUCCAAAACCUGAUCUUUGGAUUUCAAAGUAAAACACCAAACCUUUCUAACAAAGUCAUCAAUAAAAGUAACAAAAUAAAUAGCACCACCAAGAGACUUAUCUUUCGUAUAGCAAACAUCAGUGUGCACCAAUUCUAAAACAUUUAAUUUCCUAGAUGGAGGAAAAUUUUUGAAUGCAACUCUGUGUUGUUUUCUAUAAAUGCAGUCAACACAAGGUUUAAGUGCAUUACCUCUAAUUUCAGGUAGGAGCUGUUUGCGAACAAGUGUCUGAAUCCCCUUUUCACCCAUGUGUCCAAGUCGCCUAUGCCAAAGGUCAAUUGAGGAAUCACGAACUGCGUUCACUUCUCCCUUCCUCAACUUGGCAUGCAUCACGUAGAGGGUACUGUACUUCUUUUCUCUGGCAACAACGAGAUUUCCUUUGCUGAGUUUCCGUUUGCCUCCACCUUGCGAGCUAUAGUAGCCCUUAUCGUCCAGUUUUCCUAUAGAAAUAAAGUUAAGUCGAAUAUCAGGAACAUGUCGAAUAUUUCUCAAUAUCAGCUGACACCCGGUAUCUGUGUCCAAGUAUAUGUCUCCCAUGCCAACAACUUUGCAUGAGAUCUCAUUUCCCAUCCCAACACAUCCGAAAUCUCCUUCGUUUUAGGUUGAGAAGAAAUGCCUGUGAGAAGUAACAAGGUAGGAUGCACCUGAAUCAACUACCCAAUCACUGUCAUAGUGAAUAAUAUUCACCUAACCAUCAUCACAGAACACAAACAUGUCAUCAUGAGCUGCCACAACUGCUGUAGUAUCCUCAUUAUCUUUUUCCUUCGCCUUACCCUUUUUCUCAGCCUGAUCCCGUUUUAGGAUUCUACACUCCUUCAUAUAAUGUCCAUUCUUUUUACAAUAAUAGCAUGCAACAUUUUUUCGCGACUCAGAUCUGUCUCUGGAUUUGUCAUUCCUGUUGUGGGGUUCUCUACUUUUGUUUCUUCCUCUUCUUUCUUUCUUUUCUGUCACCAGGGCCUGGGACUCAUAGACAAUUCCUUGUUCCUUCCUCCUGAAGUCUUCAUUCAUCACGGCCUCUUUUGCAAUAGUCAUGGUCAACACACCAUUCGGAGCUGAAUUACUGAUGGAGACCACCAUGGUUUCCCAACUAUCCGGUAUUGAACUGAAUAAUAAUAAAGCCUGCAUUUCAUCAUCCAGAUUCAAAUUUAAUGUAGUUGCCUGGUUUAUCAAUCCCUGAAAGUUACUCAAGUGUUCAGUCAUAUCUUCCCCAUUCUUAUAUCUCAUUCGAGUAAUCUGCUUCAGACAACUAGUCUUUCUUUCAUACAUACUCUCAAGCCUUUUCCAUAAUAUAUCAGCUCUGGUGUCAUUAGCAAAAUGUUGAAAAAUACUUUGACCAAUCCAUUUUCUAAUAUUACCAACAGUUUUCCUGUACAUAUUAGCCCAUUUUUCAUCACUCAUAUCACUUGGUUUACAUUUAUCCCCUAGAACAAGUUCAAACAAAUCUCUACAAUACAGGUAGUCUUCCAUUCUAGGCUUCCAAAUCAAAUAGUUAGUAGCGUUCAAUUUUAUUAUGCAACCACUAUCCGAAUCAUCCAUUUUUUAACAGGUACAAUUGAGCAGUCCAACCUGACUGCUCUGAUACCACUUGUUGGGAAAGGGGUACCAGUAUAGGUACAAAAUAUCAGAGUUAGCCCAAGAUAAAUUUCUCUUUCCCCAAGUACCAGUUAAAAUAGGAAUAAACUAAAUCACCAAAUAAUAAUACCAGCAGUGAUAAUAAAAUGCAAGGAAAAAUAAAAGGCACAGGACACCAAGAUUUUUACGUGAAAAAUCCAAUUGGAAAAAAUCACGGGACCUAGUCCAGUCAAAAACUCCACUAUCACAAUAAUGGGAAUACACAGGUCUACCCGAAAUAUUCGGAUAAUAAUAAUAUCACCAAUACCAACCAAGCCAAUCUGCUAUAAAAUCACCCCCAAAAACUACAACUGUCAAAGAAGUGAGUUUGGAAAGGUGUUACCAAACGAAGAGAAAAUCUGAAAUCUGAACCGAUAGAUGAGUAGACCUUGUCGAGAAGAUCACGUGUGUAAAAUUUCGUCUCAAUCGGGUUUUGAAUCGCCCUCCAAUCAAGACCUUGAAGUCUCUCUCUCUCUAGCCUUUCUCUCUCUUCGUCUCACUCAAGGAGGUGGCGGCUGACCUUUUUUCUUCACACGAAGACUGAAGAAAAGGAAUCACUUCUUGCGGCUGCUGCUGCCUUUUUUUUCAUAUCACUUGAGAAACCCUCAAGUGUUAUUUAUUUGGGUUGGCCCACAAAUGGGCUGGCCCACGGCAUCAACAGAAAGUAUGUUAAAAUUGGAAAAAAAAUUGAUAAACAUAUUCAUAUUAAUGGUUUUUGGAAAUUUACCUCCUCAAUUAUCUAUAAAUAUGAAAAUUGUUGUUUAAUGUCUGUAAUCUAUCAUAUCUUUAUCUAAUAUUCGUAUAUUUGAUUGAAAUUUAUUCAAUCACGUAUACCAUCAAUCUAGUGGCAUUUAAAACAAGAAAGUGUAUAACUACUCAAACAGUACGGUGUUAUUUGAUAUAGUAUCCAAAAAAUGCAUCUAUUUCAUAAAUUUAAUUUUUCAACAAUAUUAAAUAGUUCUCCUAUUUGAGUUUCGCUAUAUGAGUUGUAUUAGCACUUCUCAUAUCAAGUGCUAUGCUUGUUCAUGUUUUGAAUUUGUAGGUCAUAACGCAUAAGCAUCAGCUCGUCUGGCCUCUCUUGCUGUACAGGAUUCCAUUCUUUAGUAAGGAUAUUUCCAUCAGUGCUCCUCUUCAAGUCAUAUUUUGUAGCACCAUUAUAUGUCUGACUAAGAAUUUGAAUGGAAAAUUGUUGGACGCCAGAGUGCAAUUGGUCAGUCACAGGCAAGGCCUACCUUUUCUCCGAGUUGCAAAGGUGAUUAGAGCACCAUCCAUUUUUAAAUAUCAGUUUCUGCUUUGUCCACCGAGUCAACUGAUACGAAUUCUAGGUAUUCUUGUAAACUUUUGUCUUUUUGCUGGUGAACGGAUUUGCUUUAUUAUAUUUCUACAAUCUGCUUGUCCUUGAAAUUUUACCUGUUGAUCUUUUCCCUUGCACUUUUAUCCACUAUUAUGCUACAUGUAAUUCAAUGGUUGAAAAUUAUAGAGUAUGCUUCAACCUUACUAGUGUUUUGAUAUUUGCAACAAACUAAUGAAUGAUUGAUGCAUGGUAGUUGGAGUUAAAAAAGGAACGCUUGCCAUCUCUUCGGUGUCUAAUUUUGGUGCUUUGUUAUUUGGCCAACCAUUUGCUAACAGACAAAACUUGGUAUAGAGACAAUUCAAAUUCUUGGAAUUUUGACACCUCUUUAUUCGACAGACAGUUAAGGUGAUUAUAAUUCUUAUAUGUUUGCUAUUAUUGAAAGAAUGAGCUACAUUUUCCAGUAUCCAGUGGUUUCAUUGAUGGUACGAGAUGUUUUGAGUAUUCCUGUUACUACUGGCUUUAGAGUCUACUUUCAGCAUUGAUGGUCAGAUUAUCAACAAAUACUGAAGUACCAUCUUGAGAUCUUCAUGUGGUCUUCAAAACAGUUGAAAGAAACAUUUUCUACAAGUUCUCUUGUUUAAAGACCAAAUUCUGUAGAAUUAAGAAAAGGAUUUGUGAACUUGAACUUGAACUUGGGCAGUCUAACCAGGUAAUUGAUGGACAAAACUGUGUAAUCUCUAAGAAGUUUCAGAAUAAUCAGAUGGCAUGCAUAAUUCUUGUGGCAGUUUUUGCUUGAUACGGUGUCUCUUUAAUUACUUCCAUUGUUUCCUAUUUCUCUAACAUAUGUACAUUGAUAAGUUUGUUAAAUGCAACCAUUGGGAUUGACCCAAUAGUCAGGGGAAAACUCUUGAAGUUUUCUUUGUUACAAGAUUCAGAAUUCGAACUUUUUGCCUGGUAGUUGAGGUUAGGAAGGGUAUGGGGAAAGAUGGGAAGGGAAAAAAAAGAUAAGUAUGUUAAAUGCACUUAUAUAAUAAAUAUAAGUAUGUUGAUGGUGCAUUUAUAAUCUACUAAAAAGGCACAUAUUCUACUAGAAAAAGCACGUGCGCUACACUUGAUUUUGCUAAACAAAAUAAAAGUAUGUGCUAAGCAUAUAUGAUAUAAGGAUUGAUCUUAUUUAUGGAGAUUUCGUAAAUAUUCUAUUUCAGAAGUAAAAAAUUAAACACAAUCGGAAUUUUCUUUUUUCUUUUUCAAAAUUAGAUGUAGUUAUUAAUUCAGAUCUGGCAUGUACACAAUGAAAACUAAAGGAUGGUAAAACCUGAUAUUGAUGACUUACACACGUUUAUAUCUCUGCUCCUAUUUCUUGAAAUGCUUAGCUGUACAAAUUGUGGGAGUUUCAACAUGUCAAGCUGAUGUUUAAGAGACUAGUAUGUAGAAAUUGUUAGUUGCUCAAAUUUGUAUUUGAUACUACAGUUAUUCAAAGUUAUUAAUUGUAAUGUGCCUUUUCGUGAUCCCCCUAAGUUCCCACAUCAAUUUGUGGCCAACCGUUAGAUUUGGGGCAUUAUGCUUCCACAUUGGGUGAGUUUGGACCGGUGGUGCUAUGGUUCAAAAUAUGCAAGGGAAUACAAGAGCUAAGUGUUUUAAUCCCACGUCAAAUGGGAAGAAAUGAAAAGGAUUGGAAAAUAAGCUCAAGGUAUAUGGGGUAAUAAUAAAUUGGUUAAUGACCUUUUUGCUGAGGUUUCUGUCCAGAAAGUCAUUGGGUUGGUGCUUAGACAUAGAGCAUUACACUUUUCUUCCUACCAAUGCCUCAAAUCUAAAUUAAAUUUGUGUCUAAGAAGAUUUUGGAAAAAGUUCUGACUCAGAACAUUUAUUUUCAUGAUGAACUAUAUUGCACAUUAGUAGAAGAAGAUUUUGGAAAAGUUUCUGACUGAGAGCAUCUAUUCCCAUGACAGACUCUGUUAAUUUAGUGUCAGAAAUGAUGUGGUAAUCCAAAUCCGGCAUAUAUAUAGGCUAAUUUUUGCUAGGCAUCUACUAAAGUGAUUUGAUGAUUUUGAUAGAUCCCUGCCGACUAUUCAUUUUAAAAAAGGCUAGGUUAGUGAACUCAUCUAUUUUCCAUUUUAAGGGCCUCCUUAAGUAGUCUUCUUUAGUGCAAUACUUAUCCAGAAGUGCAUGAAAUUCAAUACUUAUUAUGCAAUCUGUGUUAUUAUUUUAAGUCUGUUGUAAAUUUUUGUUUUAAAGAUCAUAAAUGUUUGGUGCAUGAAUAAUAUAUUGAUUUGGCAAUAUUUAGAUUUUCGAAGUUGGCAUUUCACUUUAAAAUGUUUUGGAGAAUUCUUGUUGCAUUGCUUGAAAAACUUUGCUAUAAAAAAGAUUGUUUUGUGUCUAUUGAUCACUCCAAGGAUUGUAAAGUAUGCCUCCUUGAACUUAUGUUAUGAAUCUCAAGGACUGAAGUGGAAAGAAACUUUUAGUUCAGGGGGGAAAUUGUAAUUCAAUUGCUUUUUGACUAAUAAGAGUAGAAUUGGUUGGGCAGGAAAAGUAGCUAGCAAGGAAUAACCAACAUUGCUGACGUGGCCAGUUUGUUAGAAAGUAUUUACGGGAAUCAACUUGCUGUAUGUACUAGAUGGCCAACAGAAGAAUGUAGGCAAUGAGUUGUACCAUUUUCUUUUUCUUGGAUCUGAAUAAACUCUCUUUCUCUCUCUUCUUCUUACUGUCUCAUUUCCUUCCUUCUCUUUUCUUCCGGCUCAAGACAUAAAACUAUUCUUGGGAGACGAGAAUUUUUUAGGAGCACUGGUGACUAGUCUUGUGGGGAGAAAAACAACGAGCCUGUCCUCUUUGUCUUUUUUUUUUCUUUCGUUUUCUAUUUUACUGGAUGCUUAUGCAAUUUACUUCAAUUAAAUUGUGUUGCUUGAUCCCGAUGAUGUGCAACUAAAUUUUCCAUUUCUAGCCAAGGAAUAACGUGGAUUUGGGUCAUCAACAAUUGUGAGAUCUAACUAUUUUUAUUUUUUUCUUUUAUUCGUUAGCAUUCGUAUAUUUUCUGGUUUAAUUACUCAUGGGUGUUAGUUGUUUGAAUAUCAAAAGCAUAUAUUUAAAUCAAGCUAACGAACUAUUGCCAGUUAAGACAGUUUGGCAGUUAGGAAUUAAUCAAAGAGAUGGCUGAGAACUCCCAACAGUUUGGCACAAGAGAGGACGUUUCAAGUUAUCGUGUGAAUGAGGUGAGCAUUUCAUCGAUGCAAGAGCAAUUGGUUGAGUUAAUUUCUAUGUUUCGCCAAAUAGCAAUGGGGAAGGUGCAACAAGUCAAGAAAUGUGAAAUUUGCAAGGAUGUAAACCAUCCCACCGAUGAAUGCCUAAUGCUACAAGAUGAUAACACAAAACAAGUAAACAUGGGUAGGUACGUACCCGUGCCCUGUAGGCAGUAUAACCCUUACUCCAACACAUAUAAUCCGGGUUGGAGGGACCACCCAAACUUUAAUUAUGGGGGAAAUAAGCAAAAUUUGGUCCCCAAUAGACAGCAAGGGUUUCAGCCACGACAAUCAUCAAGACCCCAACCCUCUUCAUCUCAUUUGAACACGUCUCUUGAAGAUAUAGUCAAGACGUUGGUCGCUAAUACCUUGCAAUUUCAAUAGAAGACAGAGGCAAGCAUACAAGAUCUCAAAACUUAGAUAAGUCAGAUGGCCUUUUCGAUGAACCGUCUGGAGUUUCAAGGGCAAAGAAGACUACCUUCUCAACUUGAGGUGAAUCUAAAGAACAUAAAUGUCAUGACCCUCAAAAGUGGAAAUGAAGUUGAAGGGCCAAAACCUAUAGUUCCUAAGGACAAGAGCAAAGAUCAAAUUGAAAAGGAGUUGAAAGAAGAAGGAAUAAGCAAGCUAACUCCUGAGGUAAUUUCAACCUCUUUAUUUAAAACUAAUACUAACCUACCACCUUUCUCUAGUAGGUUGGAGAAGCCAAAAAUGCAGGAUAAGAAGAAGGAGAUCUUAUAGGUGUUCAAGAAGGAGAAGAUAAACAUCCCUCUAUUGGAUGCAAUUAAGCAAGUGCCCAAAUAUGCCAAAUUUCUAAAGGAUUUAUACGUCGAUUGAAAGAAAUUGAGAGGCGAUGAAAGAAUUGUGAUGAGGGAGAAUGUUUUAGCUGUGUUACAAAAGAAACUUCCACCCAAAUGUGAAGACUCAAGUAUGUUUUAUAUCCCUCAUCGUAUUGAAAAUACUAAGACCAGAAAGACUAUACUAGAUCUAGGAGUUUCCAUUAAUGUGAUGCCGAAAAAUAUCUAUACCUCCUUAAACCUAGGACCUUUAAAGGAAACAGGCAUUAUAAUUCAGCUAGCCGAUCGGACUAAUGCAUAUCCUGAUGGAUUAGUUGAAGAUUUUUCAGUUCAGAUUAAUGAAUUAGUAUUUUCAACUAACUUUCAUUUGCUUUACAUGAAUGAUAAGCGUUCACUAAAUUCAUCACCUGUUAUACUAGGGAGACCCUUUUUGAGUAUAGUCGAAACAGAAAUAAAUGUCAAACAGGGCACACUUACAAUGAAAUUUGAUGGGGAGGUGAUCCAUUUCAGUAUAUUUAAAACCACGAAAUACCUAUCUGACUCCCAUACUAUUUUUGCCAUGAGUGUAAUUGACCCUGUGGUAUAGAAAAUUUUUGAGAUUGAUGACAGGGAUGAACUAGAAGUUGUUCUCACCAAAUAUCUUGAGUUGGGGACAACCUAUGAUGUGGCGUUGAGUGAGGAGUUGAAAUGCAUAGUUAGAGCACUACAGUCAAUGGCACCUACUAUAAUAAGGUAUGAACUUGCACUACUCUUUAUACCCGAUUCUAAUCAAAGGUUGCUACCUUCAGUGAUGCAAGCACCUGAAGUGGAAUUGAAAACCCUGCUGGGUCAUUUGAAGUAUACAUUCUUGGGUGAUAAAAAUAUUUUUCCAAUUAUCAUUUCUGCCACCUAAUCAAGAGGACAGGUUGAUCCGAAUCCUUAGGAACCACAAAGAGGUGAUAGGAUGGAUAAUAACUGACAUUAAAGGCAUAAGUCCCUCUGUGUGCAUGCAUAGAAUAUGGCAUAAAGAAGGUGCAAAGCCUGUAAGACAAGCACAUAGACGGCUAAAUUCCCUAAUGAUGGAAGUGGUAAAAAAGAAAAUACUCAAGUUUCUAGAUGUGGGGAUGAUUUAUGCCAUCUUUGAUAGCCUAUGGGUGAACCCAGUGUAAAUGGUUUCAAAGGAGGCAGGAGUCACAAUUGAAGUCAAUCAUGAUGGGGAGCUUGUUCUUGCUCACAAAUCAACGAGAUGGCGCCAGUGCGUCGAUUAUCGGAAACUAAAUGCAAUCACAAAAAAGGAUCAUUAUUCUCUUUCUUUCAUUGAUCAAAUCAUUGAAAAAUUAACUUAUCGUGGUUAAUACUGUUCUCUUGAUGAUUUUUUAGGGUAUUUUCAAAUUGGAAUAGUACUGGAGGACUAGGAGAAAACUCCUUUCACAUGCCCAUUCAAUACCUUCGUAUAUAGAAGAAUGCCCUUUGAAUUGUGUAAAACUCCCGCAACCUUUUAGAAGUGUAUGGUAAGUAUUUUCUCCGAAUAUGUUGAGAAAAUAAUAGAGGUCUUUAUGGAUGAUUCCGUGUCUAUGGUGAUUGAUAAGUGCAUAUUUUACGUGUUUUAAGUGUGUUUUAUUAGUUAGUUUUGGUGUGUUUUAUUAGUUAGUUUUGGUGUGUUUUAUUUAGUUUUAUAACUAAUUAACUAAGUUACUAGUGAAAAUAUGCAUUUUGUGGUUUAAAGUGUGAAAGUUGCAUUUCUGUGGAUUUUAAUGGUAAAAACUUCAUGUUUUUAUAGAUUUAAUGAUUCAAUCAUCAAAUACCAUGAAUUGAGAAGAUAAUUGGAUGAUUGAUGAUGGUUUGAAAUGAUAAAAAAGAGAAUAUAAAACGCAAGAGAUGAAAUGCAAUUAAAGGAAGUUUUCUAGCUUUGACACCUUGUGGUAUUUCGGGUAUAUCUUAAGUCACAAACAUUGGAUUGAGGUGAUUCUUGAACCAUUUUGAAGAUAACCAAUAGAUCUAUAUUUAAUAUGAGACAUCGAAGUCCAGUUCAAUUGUUUUCAUUGUCAAAAAAUUGAAAUAUAGAACUGCAUUUUCAUGAUCGAAAGGUGAAACAGAACUCUGACCAGUUAAGGGUAUUUUAGUUAUUUUUCGGUCCACAGAGCUCCAAAUUGGAUGAUUAUUGAGGCAUUGGAAAGCUAACUCAAAAGAUACAACUUUCAUGUUUUCCAUAAGAGCUAAUUUAGCCUCCAUCAUUGAGAAAAUAUCAGUUGAAAUUGGACAAAAAAUAGAGUCAAGAUGAAUUCUACCCAGAAAGUGCAAACCUGCAAAAGUAAUAACGCGUAGACAAUUCACAACCUAAGGUCGCUCCAAUUUCGGCUGCAACUUGCUCUUCAACUUGUGUUAUGUUCAAGCAAGCUUUUUGACCUAUUUUCUUGCAAGAAUUUUGGUGGAAAGUGACCAAGAUAGCUGCCAAAGAAGCUUUACAACUCAAAUCUAGCUUGUUUAUGGUCUUAAGAGGAAUCUUAACAUGAUUUAACACUUUGUCUUUUGCAUGGAAUUCCUCUAUAAAUAGCAAUCUUUGGAGACUAUUUUCACAACUUUGGAAGGCUAGAAAAAUUUCACAAAAAUGUAGUUUUCACUAGAGUUUUCUUAGUUCAUUAGUUAGGGUAGUAUAGUAUAGUUAGAAUAGUUUAUCUUUCUUGUAUUUAUAGUUUGAUUUGGAUGAAAAUUUGAAAAGCAAAGAUGGAGAGAUAGAACUCAUGUGACAGGAGUGAUUUCUCUCCUUUCCCUUUCUCUUUUGUAUUUAAGUUCAUGUUUAACUAUAAUACAAGUUUGGAUCUUGUUUUCAUGUUUUGCUAAAGUUUAUGCCUAGAGUUAUGGAUGAACUUUCUAUAUCUUGUUAGUGAUAUUUACUUGGUUAUUUGAUGAUAUUAUUUUGAACAAGUUAUUUAUCACUUUUGCUUAUUUAAUCAUGAUUAACCAGCCAUUAAUUGUGAUAAUCUUAAGGUGUUAAGUUUGCAAUGAGAAUUGAAUUUAACACUAGUUCAAGGAAGUGAUAAACCUAGGGAGUACACUCACGAGAGUAGAGGUGCACUUUUGUGGCUUUAGUGACUUGUUUCAUGUCAUUUCAUAGAAGAAAUAAACUUGUAGUUAAUUUCAUAAAUACGAGAGUAGGUACGGUUUAGCUAUAAGUAUAGUUGAUUCACCACGAGAGUAGGUUUCACAUACAUUAAGAAAUUACGCCAUAACUAGCCAAGAUAAUAGCAUUCACUUAACCGGUAACUUCAUUUGCAAGAAUAGUAAGGAAUUCCAUACCUCUAGGAGUUUCCUAUUGUAUUUUUGUUACUUUUAUAGUGUAGAUUUAAUUUAUUGCACUAGUGAUAGUCUAAAUAAUAAAGGAGUUCGAAAAACAUCGGUAAUUGAUAAUUUUCUCUGUGGGAUCGACACCUAAUACCCCUAUACUCAAUAAACAACUCGUAUACUUGCAAAAAAUCAUGUGUGGGGUAUUUAGGAUUUAUAAAUGUAAAAUUUGAUUGUGGAAUGAACUAAUUGUUAUGUGUAUACCCCGCGCUCGUCAGUGAUAGAUUUGAUGAGUGACUUAAGAAUUUGACUCUAAUUGUUCAAAGAUGCAUCAAAACUAAUCUUGUAUUCAAUUAAAAAAAAUGUCAUUCUAUGGUUGAGUACGGAAUAGUUCUAGGUCAUGUCGUAUCAUCUAAGGGUAUUGAAGUUGAUAAUGCAAAAAUAGACCUUAUAUCUUCCUUACCGUACCCCACUAAUCUGCGAAAAGUAUGUUCCUUUUUGGGACAUGUAGGUUUUUAUUGGAGAUUCAUCAAGGACUUCUAAAAACUUGGAACACCAUUGUUUAGACUCUUGCAAAAGGACGUAACAUUUAAUUUUGAUGAGAAAUGCAAGAAGGCGUUUGAUUGUUUAAAGGAGUUGUUGAUUUCCCCACAUAUCAUCAUAUAACAUCCAGACUGAAAUCUCCCAUUCGAGAUCAUGUAUAAUGCAAGUGACAGUGCAAUAGGGGCGUUACUGGGCCAAAGGACCGGAAAGGCUGCACAUGCAAUCUAUUAUGCAUCUAAGGCUUUGAAUGGAACUCAACUCAAUUAUACAAUCACAGAAAAUGAGCUUUUAGCAGUUAUUUUUGCUUUAGAAAAAUUUCGUUCUUAUUUAUUAGAAGAUAAAGUUAUUGUGUAUUCUGACUAUACAGCGCUAUGGUACUUGAUGACCAAGAAGGAUGCUAAACCAAAGUUGAUAAGAUGGAUUUUGCUUUUAUAUGAGUUCAAUUUGAAAAUUCAUGAUAAAAAGGGAGGAGAGAAUUUAGUUGCCGAUCAUUUUAGUCGAUUGCCUAUUGUUAAGGAUGAUUUUAUAUUGAGGAAAACUUUUCCUAAUGAGCAACUAUUUUUUACUAAUCCCUCUCGUCCUUGGUAUGCGGAUAUUAUUAAUUUCUUGACCACUAAUCAAUUGCUUGCACAUUGGUCGAAAACAAAAUGAGAUAAGCUCAAAUGUGAUGCUAAGUAUUACUUAUGGAAUGACCCCUAUUUAUAGAGGCAAUGUGCAGAUCAAGUACUGCGUAGAUGUGUAAUUGAGAGUGAAUUUAAUUUAAUUUUAACAUUUUAUCACUCUUAUGCAUGUGGAGACCAAUUUAGACCACAAAGAAUAGCUCGUAAAGUAUUAGAAAGCGAUUUUUAUUGGCCUACAAUUUUCAAAGAUACAUACUUGUUUUGUAUGUCAUGUUAUAGAUGUCAAAGGAUAGGAAAUAUUUCUCAUAGAAACUAGAUGCUACAAAUCCCUAUGAUUUUUUGUGAAAUUUUUGAUGCAUGGGGUAUUGAUUUUAUGGGUCCAUUUCCUUUGUCUUUUGGUUUCCUUUACAUUUUGUUGGCCAUAGAUUAUGUGUCGAAGUAAAUGAAAACAAAAACCACACGAACUAAUGAUUCUAAAGUGGUUGCAUAUUUCAUUCAAUCAUAUAUUUUUGUUCGUUUUGGGGUACCACGAAUUAUAGUAAGUGAUUGAGAAAAACAGUUUUGCAAUAAAAUGUUGACGGCUCUAUUUCGUAAAUAUGGAGUGACUCAUAAGGUAUUUACAUCCUAUCACCCCAAACGAAUGGUCAAGUGAAAAUUUCGAAUAGGGAAAUUAAAUAUAUAUUGGAGAAGAUGGUUCGUCCCGAUAGGAAUGAUUGGAGUUCAUAAUUGAACGAUGUACUCUGGAUUUAUAGGAUAGCCUAUAAGACUCCUAUAAGUAUAUCUCCCUAUAGGUUGGUAUUUGAGAAGCCGUGUCAUUCAUCGGUUGAGCUCGAGCACAAAGCAUAUUGGGGGAUCAAGAAAUGUAACAUGGAUCUUGAUGAGGUUGAAAUACACAGAAAACUCCAAUUACAAGAAUUGAAAGAGUUGAAGAAUGAUACUUACGAGAAUGCAACACUAUAUAAAGAGAAGAUUAAGGUUUUUCAUGACCAAUAAGUUGCAAGGUAAUCAUUUAUAGUUGGGCAAAGAGUUCUUCUCUAUCAAUCUUGUCUAAAGCUCUUGCUAGGUAAGUUGUGCUCUCGUUGGGUUAGUCCAUUUGUUGUGAUUAAUAUUUUUCACUAUGGUGCUAUGGAAAUUCAGAGUAUGCAGACAGAUAAGAAAUUUGUCGUUAAUGGCCAUCAUUUUAAACCCUAUUAUGAAAGUGUUUCAAUGGAGAAUGUGGAGAUAAUAAAUCUUGAAGAUCCCACUUAUGCUGCUUGAGCAAUAUUCGACCAUGUCUAACCAAAGAGGUUAAAAAAAGACGCUUAUUGGGAGGCAAUCAAAUUCUUUUUUUAUUGUUUGUUCACUAAUAUUAUGUGUUUCACUAUGUUUAUCUUAGGUUUUGGUAUUUUAAUUUUAAUUUUUAAUGUUUUAUUGGUUAGAAGACUUUCUCCCAACAAGACGUGCCCACGCCUUAAGGGUACGUGGUAAUGCACAAAUAUCCAAUUCCAUCAUCAGAAAACUAUGGACCAACAUAAUGUGCCCACGUCUUGAGGGUAUGUUGUAAUUCAUAAUUAGCCAACUUUAUCAUCAAAAGAGUUUCAACCAAUAAGACGUGCCCAUGUCUUGUCCUAGCAAGGGAAAAAAAACAAAUUGAACCCAAAAGAAUUUUUUUCUUUCCUUUGUCUUUUCCCUUUUCUAUUUCUUUUCCUUUCCUUCUUUCUUUCUUUGUUCUUUCUUUUUUUCUUUCUUUAUUUCGCUCUUUCUUUUCCCCAGCCGCACGGCCAAAACUCUAUUUGCUGCUUGCCUACCAUCCACUGUUGUUGCCAUUCGCUAGUUUGUCUCUGCUACCAUUGCUAUCAUCGCCGUUCGUCUAAGCCUAUCGCUGGUUUCGCCGUCGCCCGUCUCUAGUUUUGCCGUCGCUUGCUACUGUGCCAUUCACCGCUGCUCGCGCUGCCAUGAACGUCCAUCCUCUGCCAGCGACAGCCAUCGCUCCGCACUUUCUCUGUUGUCUUGUUUCUACUGACCCAAUUUUUGGUAUUCUUGUCCUUCUCUUUUAAAUAUUGUUGGGUUGCUACUUCGGAGUUUAUUAGAAUUUCUUUUUGCAGGGUUGAUUUAAUUUGUUGAUUGGGUAUUCCUCGAAUUGUUGGAUUGGCACUACCUGACAUCUGCUUGUUUUCUGAUGAUGACCACUAACUUGCACUACUAUUUUGCAUCCAUGGGGAUUCAAUGCUGAUUGGAGGUUAUAAACUGUGGUGAAAUUGCCGCUACUUACUUGCCAAUUGCUGAUUGUUGAUCUUGAUAGGGGGUAUUGUUCUUACAUUUCUUGUUUUGUUAUUAAAUAGUGUCACAUCUUUGGGCUCUUUACUGUACACUUUGAUUUGAGAUUGCUUGGCUAUCUUUAGUCGUUUGGCAUACAUUAGAGGCUUGUAUUUCGCCAUUGUCUGACGUUGUUUACUGCUAUUUUUGGAUUCAGUUAUCUAAAUGGCGAAGAAAAAAAAGACCACUAACGCCAAGACCCCUACGACUAAAACCACUCCCCCAUCCCAACCAACUAUACCCACGAUUGACCCUUCUCCGUCCUUCUUUUUCGAGUAAAUGGGCAUGCUUAGGUAGGGACAAAGAGGUCUAUAUCUCCUCACUCUCCCACUUUGGGGGUAAUUUGACUCUCACCAAAGCCGUCAAUAAGCAAAGAUACUCUAAUUUUUAUGAGUGGCGAAUUAUUCCUUGUAAACAUCUUGACCCUCCCAUCAUGGUUUCUUUGAAUUUCUUUGAGAAUAUUGCAUAGAUGUUUACUGCCAUAGGCUGGCGUUGUUAUGCCGAAAUACGAUGUCCUGCUUUUGUUGAAUUGGUUAGGGAGUUUUACGCCACCUUUCAGUUUGAUCUAUCCAUGGGGUAUUCUAUCACAACCCCGAAUGUGAUUCGAUUUCGAUUGAUGGGUUAGGAGUUUAAGUUCUCCAUUACUUAGUUUAAUUUGGCUGUGGGUUCAUCGAUAGUGAGUAUGCCAAUUUUAAGGAAUAUGCCGAGAGUGCUUGUGAUUAUAUCGAACCAUUUUUCUCUUUUCACACCGAGAUUUGAAAGGACAUUUCUAUUGAUGGUGAUUGUUAUAAUCCUAGCCGGUCCAAGAGCUGUUAUCUCAAGGACCUGAGUUCCUGUUAUAUUCAGCACUUUUUAGCCUAUAAUUACUCAGGUAGGAAAGAUAGUUCCGAGACCUUUUCUAAGCCUAAAUUUUUCUUUAUUUGGUGUAUGACUAAAAUAUCAAAGUUAAUUUGGGCUAUUGGCUAGUUUCCCAAUUCAAGACGGUUAUGGUUAAGAAAAACAAACCUUUGAUUCUUGGGUUUUACAUCACACAUUUAGCUAUUCAUUUAGACAUUGUUGAUCCCUAUGACCAUGAUUUACAUUUGGCUUGUAACAUGGACCCUUUAGAUAUGGUUUGUCUAGAGAAAAUGGGUGUAGUGGGACAGGUUGAUGACGCGUGGCAGUUUACUCUUUCGGGGACCACUUGUGUACUUGUUCAUCGUCCUUCCACGUGUGCUAGUACCUCUUCUACUUCCUGAGUAGCCGAUGGCAAGCCUGGACCAUCUACCUCUGCACCUUCUCCAUUGUCGUCUUGGGAUGCUGAGUGGCAAUACCUUUGUGCACAAGUUCACCAUAUGGAUGAACAGUUGACUAAUCUUGCACUUCACAUGCCCCAGAUGUCCUAGACUUUUUGCGGCUUACUUCCACUAUGUGGGUUUUACGCCGCCAUUCCCGCCUCAUCCAUAGCUGUUUGGAGUCCUUCUCCACAUUCUUCAGGAAAGUUUCGUUGUCCCCUUCCUUUUCUUUUCUUUAUUUCUUCCAUUCGGGACAAUAUCAGAUUUAGGUGUAGGGGGAGUUGUACAGUUGGUACUAUUCAUUUUAGGUGUUUUCAUUUUCUUUUUGUCAUUUGUGAGUAUUUUUAUGGAUAUUUGGGAUCGACAAUGGUUAGUUGAUUCCAAUUUUUCUAUUACCAAGUUUUAUUUAUAAGAAUGUAUCGAGUGCAAUAUGAGUAAGUCUAAGAAUGGCUCCUUGGUGAAUAUUUGAGAUUUUGUGACUUUUGCAAUUUUUGGUUAGCUUUUCUAGGCAUUGUGCAUAUUUUUCUAGUAUUUUUCAUGUAAAUUGGUUCAAUUAUUAAUCUUAGUUCUCCAUGUUUGAGGAAAUGAUGCAACCUUGUGUGAUUUUUAACAUUGUUUUGUUGCUAAUUUGUGAAUAGUGUUUGGCUAUAUUCCGGUGGUUAUCGCUACCUAGUAACCGGGAGUGUUCACCUAAAGUAUCGACUUUCGUGUCAAACAGUAGCGGUAGCUAUGAGUAUGUGGCCCUUAAAUGAUGAAAAGUUGAGUAACCGGAUUCCUUCUUUUGGUAGAUGUCAGAAUUUACAUCAAAAGACUUGAAUGGCUAAGGACUAAAUCUUGUCCCUAAAAAAUGAACAAAAAAAAAAUAAAAAAAUAGAGAAAAAAAAGAAAACAAAAAAAAGAAACUGUGCGAGUAUAGAGUUGAUUAUGUUAGCCUGUCGAUCCAUGGGUUUGAUGUUGAGAUUUUGAUUAAUAGUUGAGUCGUUUGCUGAUCAAUGCUAGUCAAAUGUUUAAUCUUCUUAGAUUAGUUAGUCAGGAAUUGGAGAAGUCCUUGGUUUUAAAAGCUAACCGAAGAGUUAUUUCUUGGAACUUGGCUAUCAAUGCUUGAUGUCUACUUUGAUGAUAUUUUAACAAUAGAUGAGUUGAGUGAUAACCAUUGUUGGGUUUCAGUUACUGAUUUGUUGUUUCUCAUACUUGAGAACAAGUAUGUUCUAGGUGUGGGGGGAAAUUGAUAGGGUGCAAAAUUGUUAUUCAAUUUAUGAUUAGUUUUCCCUUUUAUUUUAGCCAAAUAUUGUUUUAAUUGUCGAAUUCUAUUUAUAUUUGGUAUUUGAUGCUAUUGUAGGGCGGUGGAGCGAAAGUUGCUAAAAAGGGACAAUUUUCUUCAAAGUUGAUUGUCAAGUGCGGAGAUGCGGGAUUUGCACGUAAGAGUUUCCUAAUCCAAGAUGGAGUCUGAGCAGAGUAGCGACUUGAGAUUAAGAAAGUUUUUCUUCUAGAGAUUUGAUUUAAUUAGGAAACAAUUAGCCUUAUCUUUUGGGAGUGGUUCCUUUUUCAAUUAGAAGUAUUUUUAUUCUUGAAAGCAAGAAAAUAGGGGAAGGGCCGUUUGACUUUUAGUACUCGACAAAAAACAAAACUUGGGAGACGAGAAUUUUUUGGGAGCGCUGGUGACUAGUCUCGCGGGCAGGAACAGAACAAAGUUGCUGUCCUCUUUGUCAUUGCUUUUACUCUCAUUUUCUAUUUUAUUUGAUGCUUAUGCAAUUUACGUCAAUUAAAUUGUGUUGCUUGAUGCCGAUGACGUGCAACUAAAUUUUGCUUUUCUAGCCAAGAAAUAACGUGAAUUUGGGUCAUCAACAACUAUGAGAUCAAACUGUUUUUAUUAAUUUCUUUUAUUCAUUAGUAUUCGUAUGUUUUCAAGUUUAAUUGCUUAUAGGAGUUAGUUGUUUGAAUAUCAAAGGCGUUUGAUAUUUAAUUCAACCUAACAAACUAUUGCCAGUUAAAACAGUUAAAUUCGUAAUUGUUUAAUUAUUUUAAAUUAGUAGCGACUAGCGUGAUUGGCUUUACGUUAGGAAGACAUAUGAUUUAAUUUAAAUAAACCCUGAUAAUGUGUUUAUUAAUUAGAACAGGACUUUUCUAGUUUCUAAUGCAAUUAAAGAAUUAAAUUUUAUGGAUGUACCUAGGGUUAUUUUUUGGUUAGAAAAGUAGUUAACUAGUGUACCUUAACUAUUGAGAUACUAAGGAAGAGCUGGUUGUGAUCACAUGUUUGGCAACUAUAACCUGUUUAUUAACCAUAAAUGAAAUAAUUCUUGCAUCGAUGAGCAGUUGUUUGACCCGUUUCCAGAGUUAUUUCCUUGGUUAGAGCUCGUUUAUCCUUGAUUUAAAUUUAAUCUGUUUUAGUUUAAUUAUUUUCAAUUUGCAUUGAUUAUUUAUUUUUAAUUGCAAUUUUCCAAACUCCCCCCAAUUAAUUGUCACUUGAAAGAAGCAAAUUUUCACUCGAAACCUUGAGUUUAUAUCUUUUUGAGUAGGAAUUUAUUUUUACACAAGCCUGGCACUUGUCAAUUAACACAAGGUUUCGAGCAAUGCACAGUUUCUUUUGUAUCUAGAAUGGCUAAUGUAGCAAGUCAUAUGCUAGCACAUUUUGCAACAUACCUAGUUUAUGAUAUAAAAUGGGUAAAUGAUUUCCCAAUUCGACUAAUAGAAGCAGCUAGGAAGGAUGAGUGGGUGAAUGUCCCCUUUUGUAAUUAACUCUUGUACUUCAAGUGUUGAUAGAUAUACUGAUAGUAUCAUUUGUUGAAAAAAAGAGAAAGUGUUUAUUUGUUUAAUAAAAUGGUCACGGUAGUGUUUAUAUAAUUUUGUAAACUUCGGAAAGUAAAUUACCUCGUUGAAUUUGUAUAAUUUGAUUAUGUUGAAGAAACAUAAUCUUGAAAAAGCAGAGAAAUUUUCUAGUAAAUAUUUAUGUUAUUUUGAUAGCUAAUCAUUGUUCAUAUCAAUAUACUAGCUAUAAACUUAUACUCGCAAUACUACUGUUACGGUAUAAAAUUUCUCGUCAGAGCAAUUUAUAAUUUCAUCCCAUAUUUACCCUUGACUGUUAACCUCAAGUUCUUCAGAUAUCCAUGGGACAGUGUAACCCCUUUGAAGGUCAAUUCUUACACCCUCAUCAAAGUUUCUGGAGUUGCGUAUUAUAGGGGUGCAAACACAAAAACGAGACAUCCUUAAUCAAAUGGAGUUCCUUCUUUUUGCGAUUCAUUCCUCUGCAAAGCUCCUCCUCCUCCGAUUUUAAUAUAUGCCGCUGUUAAAAUAGGAUACUAAUUAGGUGAAUACGAGGACUCUCGUUCGACUCUCGAUCUUUCCUCUCAAAUUACACUAAUAUUUUUAAUCAUACACUCAUCCCCUUACUAACUUCCUAUGGGCCCAAUAUGUUGAGUAGAAUUCGAUUGGAACAACCGAAAAGAAAAGAAAAGAAAACAAAUACAAAACAAUGAAAUGGACACUUAGUCAAGUUGGAACCUAGGAGGAAGUGAGGAGCACAAGUGCGAACAGAUCACCAAGGAAAAAGAAACAAAUUUUUCGAGAAUGCAAUUUGAUUUCAAGCUCAAUCAUAUUCUAAGAGUCAAUGAUAAGAUCGAAAAAUGUAGGUCCAUUGUUAAGAUAUAGACGGAGAUGGUUGCUUAUUGAGCGUUGGAAAUAUUUCAUAAGCAAGUUGUACUUAUAUCUCAACUUGUAUAAUUUUAAUUUAAUAAGAUUAAGUUAAUGACCAUGUCAAUGAUCUCUGCGUCGUGCAUGACAUUCUUUUUUCUUGUACUCUCCAAAAGCCUCCUCCAGCAGUGGCUGCAUGUCUGUACAUGUUCCCCCACAACAAGAAUAAUGAAUCAAUUGCCAUAAUUGCACGCAUUUAAAUUUUCUGAGCUGGUGAUAAAUUGCAUAGUUUUGAUUUUUUCUGUUUCCGGUUCCCACUCUAGCUACUUCUAGAUUUAUUAAUUGGAAAAAAAAGAAGAAGGAAUAAAUUAAACCUUAUUUAAUUACUUUUUUAGUCAGGAUAUCUAUAGUAGAUGUAAUUAUCUCUAUAGAAAUGAAUGAAGCAUCCUAGCUUGUGAUCAUUAUCCUCUGUUGCAAUUCUCUUGUUCAAACUUCAAAUUUAGGUCUUGUUUGCUAAUCCAAUUCAGCAUUUAAAUUUAAUGGAUUCAGAUUUUAAUAUAUUCAGAUGCGUUUGAUAACCAAAAAUUGAACAUCUGAAUUAAUUAAGUGAUACUAAAAUUUUCAGGCAAAACUUACCCCUAAAAAAGAGCGAUAAGUUAUUCACUUAUCACUUAAUGUGAUAUACACUCAAAUAUAUCAGAUUUACUACUUAUAAUAACUUAAUGAAUUCAGAAUUCAAAUUUCAUAUUUCAAUUUUAUCAAACGCACCCUAUCUCACGGCAAACUGAAUAUGAAAUCCAAAGUUGAAAAUCCAAGAUGUUAGAACUUUGAAACCAUAGAGCCUCUAGGCAAAUUCAGCAUUUUUACAUUCUAUUGAUUUAGGGCAUCUUCAAUUAUCAGUUUCAACUCCAUGGUAUAAUAUAGAUAUUACCUCUAAUAGUUGUACGCACUUACACAACAAAUACAGAUUGUGAAAUUAAUUGUUUAAGUUUGAUAUUUUGUAGGCUUUGGGAUAUAAUUUUCACGUUUAGGAAAAAGAAAAUAUGUUAGUAAGUAAUAAUGUGAUACCCCUUGUCCCACGUUGGAAGUGGGAGAGGAAAAGGAUUGAUAUAUAUGCAAGAUUUGGUCGCAUAAGUUACUAGUUACUUGGGCUAACCAUGUCGGAAAGUGUAUUUCGACACAAAAAUUACUUACGCCAACCAUGGGCUUGGAUGGUGAUAAAUAACUUACUAGAAGCCAGGCAUGUUUAUGUUUAGAUGUCCUGAAAGCAGAGUAGUUCAGAAUCUAGAUAAUGGUAACGAUAUGAUGAGAAUGUGAAGUUAUUUGGUAAACUUUAUAGAUUAAUAAUUUCAUCAAGGCAUCGUAUAUAACCAUGAUGACACAAUCUCAACUUUCAUUCUUUUGUUAAAUCUUAGUUUUUUUCUCUUAAAUUUUUUCGAAUAAAGGAAUGAUGGAAUUUAAGCAGUAGAGGGGUGGAAGGGGAAUUUGAAUUCAAAACCUCUAAUUUCUAAGUUUUUCACUAAGCAAUCGUCAAAACCAAAAAAAAAAAAAAAUUAAAAGAAAAAAAAAAUUAGCACCUUAUGGUCAAUGCUCCUGUUCGAAGAUUUAUUCCUUUGGUUUGUCAUCAUCUCCCUCUAUGAAAUCUAAGUACCCUUGGUUGACAAUUUGUUUCCCUGAGCAUCCAUCAACACUUUUAUAUAGUAUUUCUUUUAAUAUAGUAUUAGAUUAGAUUAGAUUAGAUUAGAUUAUCAAUGCACCAUCAAUAUAGUAUUAGAUUAUCAAUGCACCAUCAAAACACUUUUAUAUAGUAUUAGAUUAGAUUAGAUUAUCAAUGCACCAUCAAUAUCCUUAAAUAUAAAAGCUUAAGUAUAGUAAUCAAAAUACUGUUAGUAAUCUGUAUGAUUAUUUUUUAUCCUUUAAUGUUUUAGUUUUAGGAAGAUCACAAAUGCUGCGUAUAAAGCAUGCCAUAGGCUAAAUUAAGCUAAAUUAAGUACAUUGCUAAAAUGGAGAGCAUUGCUAAAUUAAGUACUUUAAGAUAAAGACUUAAGCAGCCAGAUCCAUUUGAUGUCAGCUGCUUCAAUAUCCACCUCAAAAUAAAUUAGCCCUUGUUCUAGAUUAGCUUAAUGCUAAGUCCCUUCACCAUUCUUAGUAAUAAUUCAAUUCUGCCUCAAUUUUCUUCUGAUCUUCAAGGUAAAUGUACGAUAAAUUUCAAAAUAUAUCCCAAAUAUAUGAAUUUCUUGAAACCAUCCUUCAAUCUCAUUACCUACUCAACAAAAUGUUCCAUAAACACAAAUAUAUUAAUGAACUUGGAGUUGAUUUGAAGAAUUGACGAGAACCGCAAGCUAGAAUUUUUCAUAUAUUCAAACAAGAAAUUGGAAAAAUCUGACUAGCUUGCAACGAGUACUACAUCUCAAGACAAGGGAUCUUUUCAGUCACUCUUUAAUUGUAUCGAAGACCUACUUGCAUCUAUGAAUAAGCAAUACUGAGUGAUUUUAGAUGUGGAGUUGAUUCCAUGUGGUAGGACAACUUUGGUUUUCAAAAAUAAGGGCAGUCCAAUUCACUCAAUACAAAAAAAAAAUUUUAAAUGAUAAUAUUCAAAGGAACGUCUAUCUUACCUAAAAAAACAAACAAACAAAAAAAAAAACAAUAAAAAGGAGAUUGAUAUCCUAUCCAGUAUCCACAGAUUGAACAAUAGCCACAUUAUCUUAUAAUUCUUAAUGAUCAUUAGCUGAACUAUCAACUUUAGCAGUCAAGAAAGGCUGUAACUUGUAUAAGGACAAUAAAUUCUUUAUUCCGGCGUCCGGAGACUUGAGACGUGGACGCUUCAUUAGUCAAUAAUAAAGUGUGGAAUUCGACGAAUAUUCUUAGCUCGUUCAAGAUAACAGAGAAGAUUCACUCUUGUACAAGCAACAGGCACAGCUACUUAAACUAUUGGAUAAUUUCAUAAACCUUGGCUGAAGUUUUGGACAAUUUCAGUACCCCUCUUAUUUUCAAUAUUACGCUGACCAUUCUUACUUUAACUAAUGUAGUAACCAAUUCAGCCCAUAUCAGUAAAAGAAAUGGAAUAAAUUGACAAGAAAUGGUGUCAUCACAUUUUGUUCCACAUUUACCCUUAUAGACCCUAAAAGAAAUAUUGUAACAUAGGACAAAUUUUACUUCGUACCUUCGAACUUGAAUCACUUUUCUAUUUUCUUACUCUAAACUUUAAUUUUGGAUGCUUUCCAUGUGAUUGGAGGCAACAGCACAACAGAGCUCUUCUUAAGUCUCUGAUCGUUAGUGUCACAUGACCAUUGCUAAUUAUGCUAUUGCUUUUGAAUGGAAAUAGCAUAAAAGUCUUGGUGAAUGAACAAAUUGAAUAGACCAUUUUGCAGAGCAGUGAAAUAUUCCGAAGCCGUGAAGCACAGUGAUAAGCUACAAAUUAUAGUAAUUUAUAUUUAUUAAUUGUCAAUGAAUGGUUUUAUUUGAGCUAUAAUUAGAAUGGAAGUUGCCUAAUUUAAGUAUAUUUUGGUUUUUGCGGGAAAAGCACGCAAUUGAGGAGGAGAUGAAUAAAAAACGCAACAAAAGAAGAAGAAACGUUGAAAGGGACUUUGUGAGGACUUCUUCCAGUUCCAAUGAUUUCCGGAGAAAUUUCUAAAAUUAUGAUGAAUUUUAAAAAAAUUCUACAAAGGCGGCAUUUUGAGUAUGGGAUUCCGUCCAAGGGGUCUUCACAUUCAGUAAAUGCGAGCUCCCUCUCAGCUCGCAUUUACUGAAUGCGAAGUCUCUUGAAUUUGCAACCAACGAAAUCCAAAAAAAAAAAAAAAAAAAAACAGACCUCGCAUUUGUUAACAGUACGUAGGCCUGACCUCUUAUCCCGUUUCUGAGCAACAGAGCAUGCCACGAAUUUGAAAGCCAUUUGCCAAGUGAAAAGAAAAUGUGCAGCGCAAAUGGGACACAAAAUUGAUUGGGGAGUCCUGUUGAGGUAGUACAAGUGGCAAAUUGGGAGGGGACAGAGAGGCGCAGCUGGCUAUCUUCACAGAAAUGGGUUCCGAACAGGGGUCCAAGCUCUACAAUGGCGCAGAGCUUCCGACGAGAAAGAUGUGAGGGAUUUCGUCUGCCGAUCCUCGAAGCUUGGACUGGUGUCUAGCUCAGCAAAAGAGAAGAGAGAGUGAGCUGGAUGGAGAGAGUGAGCUCCAAUUUCUGUAGGUUAGGAGACAGAUUAGAAUGCCGUAAUUAGAGCUCUGCCUUUUUUUCAGAUUGAGUACAUCGCAUUCGAGAAAUGCGAGGUACCUCAGCUCGCAUUUGGCAUAUACGACCUUUGUUGUUUUUUACUUUUUCUCAAAACCUUUCUCUUUUUUCUUGAAACACUGACCUCGCAUUUGUGAAAUGUGAAGUCUUUGAACUAGCGUUUCACAAAUGUGAAGACCAUAAUCCUAGAAUUAGCUUCAAAAAUUACCCCCCUUGUAAAACAACUUUUUUUUCUAUCACAAUUUAAGAAUUUACUCUGAUUUUUGAGCAUAACAAGUUUGCGGCCAGAGUUAGAGCCGGUCUUCGGGCCGAACUUUAUUGGAAAACCCAUUCAAACUCGAUUUUUGGUAAGUUUUCAAGACCUAUUCCUACCACAUUUCGGAUGCAACUUUGAGAGACUAUAAAUAGGACAUUCUAGGAUAUUUUUAGGUUAGAAAGCAUUUAGCUUACAUUAGUUCAUCCUUUUUAUAUCUUCUUUUCUUGAGAGAUCACAAAGGAAGUGUUGAAGAAUCAAAGAGAAAGUUCAAGAUGGAGAUUGGAGUAGGGAAAAAUUGAGAACUUUUCUUUACUUUUAACUUCUUAUUUUGUCUUUCAUUUGAAUUCUUGGAUUUAUCUAUGAAUAUGUUGAACUAAUUUAUAUCUAGACUUAAGAUUUUGUGAAGGAGAUUUGAUUAUUUGUUCUAGAUAAAUUAUUCAAUUUUUCUUUGAUUUAUCUAUCUUGCCUUUAUUACAUAUUUUUGUUUGGCCACUAUAGAUAUGCUUUUAGGGUUUGUAUUGAAUUGAGAAGCGAUAUACAACCAUAUAUUAGAUAAAUAAACUUACUUAACCUAAUUAUGAAUGUGGGUUAGGAUUUGUAUGGCAUAAUCAUAUCACCUAAAAUCUUAAAGGGUUUAAUUAAAUACCUAUGAUCUUGAGAGCAAUGUGAGAUUUCAUUAAACACAAUUUAGAUGUAUCGAGAGAUAAUUAAAAUACCUUUACGUGAUACAUCUUUGACAUGUUAAGAAAAUAAUUGGAUAAUGAUUCCAAUUAUAAAUCAAAAUUUGAAACUCUAGUUUUUGCUAAUUGUUUUCUCACCUAUAUCUUAUUUGAUUUCAUUACUUAUUUAAUUUCUUAAUUAGUGAUUAAAAACCCUCUAAAUUUAAAUUUUAUUAUUUUUAUUAGAGUAAUUAAAGUAGAAAAAAUUAACUCAUUCCUAUAUGUUUGACCCUGGAGUACUCCAAGUGAAUUAUUAUUUCGAUCAACCCUAUACAGUUAUAGAAAUUCAUCGAUCACACAGCAACUAAAAAAAAAAAUUAAUGCACAAUAAUGUCAUGAACACAGUUCUCAUAUUAGUUGUUCAACAUUCAUGGUGGAUUUCAAUUAGUGGUAAAUAGAUAAAGUCGUCGAAAAAAGUAAUCUAAUUACUAGAUAAUUGAAUUUAUACUACAGCAUAUUUCUUUUUUCUACUGCAAAAACUUAACUAAUUUAAGACAAUGUAGUCCAAGCUAAUUGAAGAUUAAUUUCCCUAAAAAAUGUUCAUGAUAAAAACUCAACAAAGAGAUAAUACAACAGCUUACUUUUGGAGGUGAUCUUAUACGGUCUUUAUUAACAAACUAAUUAGCCACCUAAGCCUUUUUUUUUUCCUUUUGGGACUACACAUGACAAAAUGAGGAGUGAAUCAGUCGCUUAGUAUCUAAAAUUUUCGCUCCAUAAUUAGUUCAACCUGAUUUAAGACUAAAUUUUUACUAUAGGAAUGUUCGUGAUUCAGCAAUGAAACACCAUAUAAACUUAUUUUGGGAGAUUUGUCCUAGAAGAGAAAAAAUGAGCAACCAAUCAGAAAGUCGUACUUACAUAUCAAAAUCGAUACUGUCUACUUAAUUCACCAGGCACCAGCUAUGUAUAUUUCAUCCAUUUUCACAUAAUAGAAAGAACAAUAAUGCAUGGCAUUAUCCAUCAUAAAUUUCUCAUAUAACAUCAAGAUAUCAUGGUGUGGACCUCAAAUGACUCGUCAUGUCUACUGGCUACAUUUUAAACAUAUCUUAUGGCCAGAAUGUUCAUCUUAUCAACUUAACGAGUUUAUUCAUGGUACCAUACCAUUCAAUUAAAAAAGUUUCCACCUUUUACCUUUUAUUUAUAGAUGUCGAGGAAUAUAGCUGAUAACGCACUUUUGGCAGCAAUCUUCCUUCACCCAAUUAAAGAUUUUCGGAGCUUAAAGUUCAGCUCCUAAAGCUCUUCUCCAAGGCUCACCAACCAACAGAGAAAUUACUUUUAGCAAAGUUUUGAUGGCAUCUUGGCAAGAUUGGAAGAUUAUAUUGCGCUUCUAAGAUAAUGUUUAAAAAAGCUAUUUUAACGAGGGCAUUAUGGUCAAUUUGCCCCUGAUGAUAUUGACAUUAGGUCCCAUCAACAUCAGAAGGGAGCUCAUUGUAUUAUUGGAUAUAACAAGAGUGCUAGUGAAAUUAUGAAAACCCUCAAGGAAGGUUUUUGAAAUUAACCCUAAAAUACUCAUUCCACGCAAGGCGUGGCGUUCCCCUCCUAGUUCCUAUAAAUAGGGCUGCAACUCAAUGCACUUAUCACUCGAUAUCAAUAAUUUAGCACAUUAUUUACAUUUUGAGUGAGAUUGUGAUCAAAUGACAUCUUCAAAAAAUUUGCUCUUUCUUAUUGGUGUUCUUUUUGCACUUGUGCUCCUCAUUUCCUCUGAUGCAACAGCUGCAGGUGCCUAGUCCCUUUUUUUCUUUUCCUUUCUUCCUUUUUUUUUUUGGCUGCACCUAAAUACUUAAAUGAAUGGAGAUUUGGAGACUCAUUAUUGGGAUGUGAAUUUUUAUGGAAGGCUAUUUGUAUAUUAUCAAGCAAGUCAUAUUAAUGUGCUAAUAUCUUUUUCAUUGUUUAGCAAAAGUAAAUUUGGGUUGCUUCUAUCAAUGGUUAGUGGCACAUCUGAUUUUUCAUGCAUCCUUAUAGUAUUGCUGUAAGGAUACACGUUCCAUAGUGUCGCACCAAAGAUUAAACUAACGUCGAAAACCAAAUUAAAUGCUUCUAAUUAUAAUUUAAAGCAAAAUAAUUCCCCUUAUAAAUGGACGAAACUUCCUGCCAACAAAUCCAAAUUCAAGAAAAAAUUUUCUUAAGGGGAAACUCUGCCAAAAUUUUCUUAAAAUAAAUAAAAUAUUUAAUUAAAAAAAUGAAGCAAAAUAAUUCAUAUCCAAGUCGCACCAUCUUAUAUGCCUAGACUGUUUUGUUUAAUCCAUAGUAUUCUUUUCUUUGCAUAUAUCUUGCAAAUUUUCAGCCAAGCCGGUCACCUAACGUUCGCAGCUUAAGAUAAAGCUCCAAAUAUUUAUGUCUCCUUGUGUCUUGAAACAGAUCAGAAGAGCGUGAAAACCACUGGUGUCCACGAUGCCAGUUCAGGCGAGGUUCAUCAGGAUAGCAAAAGCGAAGAUCGUUGCAGACAUGGUUGCUGCCACUGGUACCAUGGACACUGCCAAAGAUGCUGUCGAACUGCCGAGGAGACCCCUGAAGUCACAUCUGGAGAUGAGGAUACCGUAACCGCAGAUCGUUGCAGACAUGGUUGCUGCCGCUGGUACCAUGGACAUUGCCAAAAAUGCUGUCCACCUGAAGAUCGUUGCAGACAUGGUUGCUGCCACUGGUACCAUGGACAUUGCCAAAGAUGCUGUCCACCUGCUGAGGAGACCCCUGAACAUCGUUGCAGACAUGGUUGCUGCCGCUGGUACCAUGGACAUUGCCAAAGAUGCUGUCCGCCUGCUGAGGAGACUUGCAGACAUGGUUGCUGCCACUGGUACCAUGGACAUUGCCAAAGAUGCUGUCGAACUGCUGAGCAGACCCCUGAAGCUACAUCCGGAGAUGAGGUCAAAAAUUAACGCUAAAUAAAUAAGGGCGUGACACAGGAUCCGUGACACCUAUAUUAUUACCUUAAUAUGUUAUGUUGUGUUUGCUUUUAAUGGUUGAUUUCCUAUAUGUGUAAAAGACUUGUGCGGCUUCUCUUUGAAUUGGUGUAGAAUCAACGGGGGAAGCAUGUAAUGAGUAUUCAGUUCGAGUGCUCUUCUUAUGUUGUUGUCAUGUUGAAUAAAUAAAUCUACUUGAUCAUCUACUACAAUUGAUGAUCUUCUUAUGUUUUUUUUUCACUUUAUCUUCCUUCAAGAUUUUUGGUGGAAAUGCUUCAUUUAUACGAAUUUUCCUAGUUAGUAAAUGCUUCUAUUACACUUGUACAAUACACAUUUAAAAGUAUAACACAACAAAAGCUUGUGUAGUUCAUAUAUUUAAAAAAUAUUCAUACUUUUCAACUAAACUAUAAAAAUAUGUAAUAAAUUCUUUAUACAUUAUACUUUACGAACUAUACUUUAAAUUUUAAAAAUAUUUAAUAGUAUCACUUAUCAAUAACUCCACAUGUUAAUUUGUCUUCCAAUUCAGUAAAUUAUAGUAGCUAAUUCUCAAAGCUAACCGACACCAAAAUUCCCUCACUUGUUCAGCUCCUAGUGGAUUUAUAUUAAUUACAUUGCAUUUAUUUCCUAAGCAUGAGUUUUGUAACCCCUCAUAUUAAAUCUCAAUGAUUGAUUUUAACGGUUACCCAGGCGUCUAGUAAUUGGUUUGCUAUUAAUUUGAACUAGACAUUUAUUAGGUCUAGUAGAAUUUAUUCCUUCUUAUCACUUAGUUCAUAAACCUUACGAAUCGUUAAAACCAGCUCUAACAUCAGCUAACAAGACUUCUACAAUUUCGGGUUUUGCUUAGAAAUCAGUCUGAUAGGUUAACUUGCUUCGUCCAACUUUAUGAGUUGCUUCUUUUUUCUUUUUUUUUCCAUAUUUGACAUUUCAUCUUACUUUAAUAUGGGGACCAAGUUAGUAUUGUUGACAUUUCAUAUCUAAGACUUCUUAAUUAAUUGAUUUGUUAUAAGAACUAUAACGUAUGCGUGUUUUGUAAGCUUUCAUGUUUUUUUAUUUUUUCAAUUCUUGUGGACCAGCAACGGAUAGUUUCUUCUAGUACCAAUCUUCCUUUGAAGUUCUUUAAUUUUUUUUUUGUGUCCAAAUGUAAAUUAAAAGAACCAACAACUUUGAACAAGUCUAUAUCUAGUAAAGAUAGAUAUAAAGAGGGAUACUAUAUCACUGCAACAAAAAAGGGAUUUGGCGAGGAGCAAAAGUCCACGCCAAAAUUUUUGACUUCGUCGCCAAUUAAUUUCAGCGAGAAAAAUGCUUCCUCGUCAAGUUUCUUGCUAGAUGCUCAUCGCUAAAAGUUAUUAGAGAGGAUGUUGUUGCUUUUCUCGCUAAUGAAACAGAUCAAUAGCAAGGAUUGACCUCCUCGCCAAUCUGAUUCAAAUACUAUGGCGAGAAAAGCUUUCCUCACCACUAAAGUUAAAAACUCCCCACAAAAACCAGUAGUUCCUAGCAAAUAGUCAAGGUGUUCUGCUAGGAAAAAUAGCGCAUCCUUACCAAUAGUAUAGAAUUAGCAAGGAUUCUUUUGACAAAUCUGCAAUGCCUCGUGUACCAGUAAAACAUUUUUGGCCAGGAAAGUUUCCUCUCUAAUAAGCAAUAAUUGAUUAUUGUCUAACUGUUUGGUGGGAAAAUGUUCCUCUCCAAUGCUGUUAUGAACAUUUCUUAAUCCCAUUUAGCAUGCUAAUCUUAAUUCUCUGAGCAAAUUACUGGGUGGUUUUAUUAGAAAAUUUAGCUGCAAAUAGCUUCAAUUUGGCUUCUCAUGUGUCUGUUGUACAUUUUCCAGGUUCUUAUAAGUAUCAAAUUGUUUGGCAAAAUUUUUUUUUAAUGAAUCAUGACCAACGUAGCUGCUCAUUAAAUUUAAACUCAUAAGCCCUAGUAUUUGAUAGCUUUUUGGAAUAUCACUUGGUGCCAACAACCCCCUUUUGCUACUUUGAUAAACAUUCAAUAGAAAACAUACAAAAGCUUUGGUUAGCUAAAAAUAAUUGUUAGCAAAGUAAUACAUCAACAUCCAGCUCUUUCAACAUCUUGAGCCAUACAAAUAGGAAGUGCUUGAAAUCAAUUGGCAAUCCAAAUUUUUUUUAGCUCAUUAACCAUCCAAGAAAUCGCAACUUCAAUAAGUCAUUACAAAAGAAGAUUUCAUCAAGAGAACACCACAAAAAGGAGAAGCAGAAAAAAAAUAUAAGAGAGAGAGAGAGAGAGUUAAACUAGUCAUAUGGACACAUAUUUGUCACCUCAGUAUUUCCAAUUCCUUAAUUCAGUCCAGUUAUCUUGGAACUCUAUCGGCAAUCCAUGGAACAUUUUUUGAAUGACAAUAUGCUGUUGCAACCUUCUGGUGAAGACUUCAAAGGUUCUAUGAUAGGUUGCAUUUUUGUCAUUAAUUCUAUGAUUAUUUUCCUCAUUUAUAUUACCAAAUAUUGUAUUAAUUGAUUGAUUCUACUUAUAUUUGGUAUUUUGUGUCAAUUGUAGGAAGGUGGAGCAAAAAAUAAUAAAAGAGGUGAUUUUUCAAGAGUUUUCCAUUUCAAGAUGGAGUUUACGUGGAGUAUUGGAUGAAAAUUAGGAAACUACCACUUUUUAUUAGAUGUCUUAUUAGGGAACAAUUAGCAAUAGUUGGAGAAGUUUCCUUUUGCAAUUAGAAUUCUAUUUUUAGUUGGCCAAUGGACUGCCGAAAUAAUGGACUUCAAUUAGGAAACAAAGAGAGAAAAAAGGCCGGAAUCCCGCGUGAUUACUACCUUGGAGGGAACAAGAAAAAGGAGACGUCCGCUGGUCUCUUCUUUAGUGAGUCUUUUGGAAAAAACCAAUGGUUAUCGAUGGUGUCCUGCGGAUCUCUCCUGAUGAUGUGUAGCUAAAUCUCCGUUUUCUAGUCGAAUGUCAAUUUGAGGACUCGAUUCCAAACAUAUUUGAUAAGAGAAUAUUUAAUGUACAUUUUGUACAAGUUUGGCAUGAACUUUUGAUGUGUUUUGAGAAGAUUAAAGCCAUAUUUGAACUCUUUUGGUGAUAAAUGCUUAAAUAUUAUGUAAGUGUUCAAAACUUGAUAAAUGAGUGGAUUAAUGCGUUAAUUUUGUGAAAUUGUGAAGGAUAUUGAUAUAUGAAAUUCAUGCACGAGAUGAAGGAAAUGUAAGGAUCGUCUAGAGGAUAAAGUACAAAAGAAACUAGGAGCAAAAAUGAAGAAAAAGGAAAGAAGUGAAAAACUGGAAAUUGAUCAGCACAGAUUUGAGCUCGGAUCCGUGUGAACAAAGGGCGAUCCGAGCCCUCGUCUGCACUUCUGGAGCAGUGCAUCCGAGGCCAGACAAUCUGAGCUCGGAUUAUUAAGAGAAAGACCUCGGAUCAGCCUUGAUCCGAGCUCAGAUCGUAGUGCACACCUCGGAUCCAGGUCUCGGAUCUGCCUCUCUUCUGCAAGUGGCACGGCCGUUUUUUCUCAUUUUCACACAACUUUCCAGCUAUCUUGGGUGAGAGAAUUCGAUGGCACAUGCUUCUGCAACAAAAGGGAAGACAAAAUGAGUUAUUGAUAAGUCAAAACAACAUUUCUUUUGACUUUCUUUACAAAAUCUGAGUUGUUGGAAUCAUGAAGGAGAAGAAAGUGCCUUUCUACCACCUUUUAUGCAGAGAACUAAGGAGAAGUCAGGCAUCACCAUAUGGAGGAGUUUUUCAUCUUGUAACAUUUUUCUCUCUAGCUAGAAGUUCUAAAAACAAGCACUUGGAGAUUUCACUUGUAAUCAUCUUGUACAAGACAUAGCAAAAAUUUGAGGGUUUCACCAUUAAUUGGCUAAGCUUUUCUUUAUCUUUCUUGUACUUGUACUUUAUGAUGUUUUGCAUUAAUAAACUUGUGAGUUUGAUUGUUAUAUUAUUCAUGAGUAGCUAAAUUUCUUUAUCUAGAGAGUAGAUAAAUGAUAUGAAUUGAAUGUGAUUUACACUUGUUAUAUCUUGUAUUAACUUGUCUAUUUGUGCAGUUGUAAUUACUUGUUGUUGUUUGAUCACCAAUAGCAUGUUUAUAGUUGUUAUUAGUCAAUAAGAAUUGGUAGUAACAAUAGAAAAAAUAUGAGUAGAGCUUGAGUUGUAUGUUCAUGAAAAUAGAUGUACACUUAAGUGGAUUAGCUAGCAUUUCAUGAAGGAAAACAGAGUAGAACUGGUAGUUCACCAUGAAAAUAGGGAAAACUGGAUUACUCUAGGCCAUUUUAUCAUGAGAAUGAGAUUUGGCAAUAUUGAAAAUGAAUCCCUGGUUAAACAACAAUAAUAACAAGAGGUAAAUCUAUUCAUUUGUGUUGUUUAUACCAUAAGUGGAAUCUACAUCCCUAGAUUUAUUCUUGAGUGAAAUUUAUCCAUUUGCAUUUAGCAUUUGUUAAACUAGAUUUAUAGACAACAACAUUAUAAUUUCUCUGCUCAAAUUCAUUUAUAAGUCUAAAUAAUAGAGAAAAUAAGGGCCUAGUACUUAUUUAAAUUGCUCCUCGUGGGAUCGACUUGAUACAUACCUUACAUUACGAUUUCGACCUGUAUAGUUGCAGUCAACGGGUAUAAAAUCGAAUUCAAACUUGCAUUGAUAUAAAAAUCCCGUCACAUAUGUGAGAUCGAAUUAUUUUACUUAUUUCUUUUAUUCAUUGGUAUUUGUACAUUUUCUGAUUUAACUUCAUAUACUUGUUAUGUUAUUUGAAUGUCAAGGGCUCGAUAUUCGAAUUAACCUAAUAAUCUACUGUUAGAUUAAUUGAUUGAAUCCCUAAUUGUUCAAUUGAUUAAUACCAGUGGCAACUAGCGUGAUUAGUUUCAUGUUAAGGAAACAUAUGAUCUAACUUAAACGAACCCUCGUAGCGUGUUUGUUAAUUAAGGUUGGCUUUUCUAAUUCUUAUUGCAAUUGAGAAAUUAAAUCCUAUAGUCGUACCUAGGGUUAUUUCUUGGUUAGAAAAAUAGUUAAUGGUCGUACCUUAACUAUCGAAAAAGUAAGAAAAGAUUGGUUGUUUAUCGCGUGUAUAACAACUAUAACCAAUCUAUUAAUUAGUAAUUGAAUUAUCUUUGCAUCGAUGAUCAGUUGAAAGGACCAUGUCUGAAAAGUUGCACCUUUGGCUAGAGUUGUAUUGGUUAUUGAUUAAUUCCUGUUUAUUUCUAUUAGUUGUUUCAUUAGUUGAUUAAUUAGUUAUUUUAUAUUUUUCAAAAACCCCCCAUACUUCGGACUCUGGAAGAAAUGAAUUAUCCCCAAUCCCUGUAGAUUCGACCCUGCUCACCGCUAUAUACAAAUUUGUAUUUUUCUUGAGUAGGUAAUUAUUAUUGCACAUGUUCAACACCUGUCAUUCUAUAACUGUAUACAGAGUCAUCUUUUUCAAAGAUUUCCCAUGCUGCAAAAUGUACUCUACGAGCUUUAUUUCACCCUGUUCCUGAAGAGUUUGCUUGAUCCGAUAUACCCGAAUGGGAUGGUUAUUUCUUUCACAAAUAAUUAUGAAUUUGUAGACAGGGCAAGUAGGGUCGUAUCCACAGGGACUGGGUAUAUUUGUUUCUUAAGAAAUCCAAAAUAACAUAGGGGGGUGAUUUUGUAGGAACGACGACAAUAAAAUAAAUUCAAUUAAGAAAAUAAAAAUAAAUAACUAAUUAGAGAUUAAACAACAAUUCACUGAACUUAGAGUAAUAAUAAUUAAAGGCCUAAAUCAAUUAAAACAAGGAAGCAUGAAAAUAGAUGUACACUUAAGUGGAUUAGCUAGCAUUUCAUGAAGGAAAACAGAGUAGAACUAGUAGUUCACCAUGAAAAUAGGGAAAACUGGAUUACUCUAGGUCAUUUUAUCAUGAGAAUGAGAUUUGGCAAUAUUGAAAAUGAAUCCCUGGUUAAACAACAAUAAUAACAAGAGGUAAAUCUAUUCAUUUGUGUUGUUUAUACCAUAAGUGGAAUCUACAUCCCUAGAUUUAUUCUUGAGUGAAAUUUAUCCAUUUGCAUUUAGCAUUUGUUAAACUAGAUUUAUAGACAACAACAUUAUAAUUUCUCUGCUCAAAUUCAUUUAUAAGUCUAAAUAAUAGAGAAAAUAAGGGCCUAGUACUUGUUUAAAUUGCUCCUCGUGGGAUCGACUCGAUACAUACCAUACAUUACGAUUUCGACCUGUAUAGUUGCAGUCAACGGGUAUAAAAUCGGAUUCAAACUUGCAUUGAUAUAAAAAUCCCUUCAAGUUUUUGGCGUCGUUGCCAGAGAGUGGCAAUAUUAGGGUCUAAUCAUCUCUAUUAAUUUAGAUAUUUCUAUUGUUUUUAAGUUGUUUAUAGUUGAUUUUGCAUUAAUUUAGUUUUUGACAAUUAAAGCUGCAUAAUUUCUCUUAUUUCUAUUUGUAGUAAAUGCAUCGAACAUAUCGAGAAGUUACACCUUUCGAUCCAAAAAUUGAGAGGACACUUUGUAGACAAAGGAGCGAUAUACCGCAUCAAGAGGAACAAGAGAUUUGACAGCCGAUAGAGGAAAUUUUGAAAGAGCUACCGUUUGAGGAAGAAAUGGCGGAAAACAAACCAAAUAGGCGAGUUUUACGAGAUUUUGCUUUACCGGGGACACAAAGAUCUCAAACUAGCAUUGCAAAACCAACGGUAAAUGCUAAUAAUUUUGAGAUUAAACCAUCACUGAUUCAAAUGGUUCAACAAUCUCAAUAUGGGGGUAAUGCAACCGAAGAUCCAAAUUCUCACUUGUUAACAUUUCUUGAAAUCUGUGAUACAAUUAAGUUUAAUGGUAUUAGUGAUGAUGCAAUUAAACUUCGAUUGUUUUCAUUUUCGCUAAGGGACAAGGCCAAGGUUUGGUUAUAAUCUCAUCCUUCAAAUACUUUUACUACUUGGGCUGAAUUAGCUAAGGCUUUUCUUAAUAAAUUCUUUCCACCUGGAAAAACUGCUAAACUUAGAAUGGAUAUAACUAGUUUCUCUCAACAGAAAGGAGAGACAUUGUAUGAAGGUUGGGAGCGCUAUCAGGAAUUACAACGAAGAUGUCCUCAUCAUGGUUUACCAGAUUGGCUUAUAGUGCAAACAUUUUGCAAUGGUCUCACUUAUCCAACAAAGACGCAUGUAGAUGCAGCAGCGGGAGAAGCAUUGAUGGAAAAAUCAGCCAAGGAAGCUCAACAAUUGAUUGAAGAAAUGGCCGCUAAUAACUACCAAUGGGCCAACGAACGAGGUAAUACAAGGAGAACCGUAGGUAUGCUUGAAGUAGAUACCUUAAAUAUGUUAAGUGCAAAGAUGGAUAAUGUGGUUAAGAUACUUAAUAGGCAUGUUGGUUCUAGCUCUAAUCAAGGAGUAGUUGUUACAUGUUCUACUACUUGCAGCGGAGAUCAUGAUGAUUCUAUGUGUUCUAGCAGCGAACAAGUUCAAUAUCUCAACAAUUACAACCGUCCACCCCAAAAUAAUCUAUACUCCAAUACCUACAAUCCAGGAUGACUUAAUCAUCCGAAUUUUGGAUGGAAGGAUCAAGGGAACCAACAAAAACCAGUUAAUCCACUGGAUUUUCAACCGAAGCAACCACUUCCAGAGUCCAAACCAGCUUGGGAAUUGACAAUUAAGAAGCUGGCAAAUGUAUCAAAUGAUAAAAUUGAAAAGUUAGCUAGUGUCACUACUCAACGAUUUGAAAGAAUUGAGGGAAUGAUGGACCAACUCACCAAUAUGUAUAGGAAUGUUGAGAUCCAAUUAGGGCAAAUAGCAAAUGCAGUUAACAAUCGCAACCAAGGGGAUUUACCUAGCAAGACUGAGGUGAACCCAAGGGAGCAUGUGAAGGCCAUAACCUCCGUAGUGGUAAGGAAGUAGGUGAGCCACCUGUAGUUGAAAGUGAGAGAAAAUAUGAAAGAAGAGAAAACAAGCAGUUGAGUGAGUUAGGAGAUGAUAACAAAACAAUUGAUGGGAAAGAAAAUGUGGAAGAGUGUGAGCCACAAAUUGAAGAGGCAACACUAAUUCCUCUACCGGUGCCAUUUCCUCAAAGAUUGAAACCUUCAAGAAAUGACAAAGAAUUUGAGAAGUUUGUUAACAUUUUCAAACAAUUACAUAUUAACAUUCCUUUUGUUGAUGUUAUUUUACAGAUUCCUUCAUAUGCAAAGUUUCUCAAAGAAAUAAUGACUAAGAAAAGGAGGUUAGUAGAUAGUGAAACAAUUUCAUUAACGGAAGAAUGUAGUGCCAUCAUACAAAAUAAAUUGCCACCAAAGUUGAAAGAUCCGGGGAGUUUCACAGUUCCUUGCACUAUCGAUAAUGUAGAAUUUUCUAAAGCACUACGUGACCUUGGUGUGAGUGUUUCAUUGAUCCCUUUAACUGUGACUAGGCAAUUGGGGUUGAAAGAGUUAAAACGUACUAACAUUUCCUUGCAAUUGGCUGACAAGUCUAUUAGACAUCCAAUGGGCAUUUUGGAGAAUAUGCUUAUUAAAGUGCAGAAAUUCAUUAUUCCUGUUGAUUUUAUUGUUUUAGAUAUGGAGGAAGAUGUCAAUGUACCUAUUAUACUUGGUAGACCAUUUCUGGCCACUGCAGAUACAAUAAUAGAUGUUAAAUGUGGUAAAUUUAAGUUCCAAAUUGGUGAAGAGGAAGUGGAGUUUGAUUUGAGUAAAGUGGAGAAGUAUCCCUCUUUUACUGACCAUAUUUAUUCUAUUGACAUAUGUGAUGAAUUAGCGUUAGAGAUAAGUCAAGUUAAUCUUGAUAAUGAUUCUCUUGAACUUUGUCUUAAUGAUGUAGGCUUACAAGAGGAACAAGUUGAAGAAAUGACUGAAUUUUUGCAGGUACAAAUUCCUUACAAAAGGAGAAAUGCGUAUGAGGAGUUAGGGCUGAGCAAAGGGCUACCUCCACCAUCGUGUGAGCAAGCUUCACGGCUUGAGCUUAAGCCACUCUCUAAACACUUCAAAUAUGCAUUUCUUGGAGAAAAUGAGACAUUGCCGGUGAUUGUCAAUACUGCACUAGAUGAGGAACAACUAGGAAAGCUUUUACGUGUUUUGAGGAAACAUUUAAAAGCUAUAGGAUGGACAACUUUUGAUAUCAAAGGAAUUAGUCCAACUAUUUGUAUACACAGGAUUUUGUUAGAAGAAAAUUCUAAGCCGGUGGUUGAAAUUCAAAGAAGGUUAAAUUCAAACAUGAAAGAAGUGAUAAGAGUACAAAUCCUUAAAUGGCUAGAUGCAGGUAUAAUUUUUCCAAUCUCUGAUAGUGUUUGAAUUUCUCCUAUUUAUGUAGUGCCAAAGAAAGGGGGGAUAAACAUAGUACGUGGUAAAAAUAAUGAAAUGAUUUCCUCUAGAGUUGUGGUUGGGUGACGAGUCUGUACUGAUUAUAGAAAACUGAAUGCAGCUACUAGAAAGGAUCAUUUCCCUCUUCCUUUUCUUGAUCAAAUGGUAGAAAGAUUGGCUGGAUAUGAAUUUUAUUGUUUCUUGGAUGGUUUUUCAGGAUACAAUCAAAUAGUCAUUGUACUGAAAGAUCAAGAUAAAACCACAUUCACUUGUCCUUACGGCACUUUUGCAUUUCGAAAAAUGCCUUUUUGAUUGUAUAAUGCACCGGCCACUUUCCAACAUUGCAUGAUGGCAAUUUUCUCUGAUUUUAAUGAGAAAAUCAUGGAAAUCUUCAUGGAUGAUUUUUCUGUAUUUGGAUCUACUUAUGAUCAUUGCCUUAACAAUUUAGAUCUAAUUUUGCAGAGAUAUGAAGAAACAAACCUUGUACUCAAUUGAAAAAAAUGUCACUUCAUGGUUUGUGAGGGUAUUGUUCUAGGGCACAAAAUUUCUUCACAAGGUAUUGAGAUAGAUCAAACCAAGAUAGAGGUUAUUGAGAGAAUGCCUCCACCUACCAAUGUGAAAGGCAUUCAAAACUUUCUUGGACACAUGGAAUUUUAUCGGCAGUUUAUUAAGGAUUUCUCCAAGAUUGCUAAACCUUUAUGUGAAUUACUUGCAAAAAAUAUUACUUUUCACUUUAAUGAUGAGUGUUUAUUUGCUUUUAAUAGGUUGAAAAAGGAACUUGUCUCCACAUCCAUAAUAGCAUCACCACCAGAUUGGAGCUUGCCAUUCGAAUUGAUGUGCGAUGCGAGUGAUUUUGCAGUUGGAGCUGUUCUUGGGUAAAAACAUGAUAAGCGACUUUAUGUCAUUUAUUAUGCAAGUAAAAUGCUAAAUGAAACCCAAGUCAACUAUGCAACAACAGAGAAGGAGUUGCUAGUAGUGAUAUUUGCAUUGGAUAAGUUUAGAUCGUAUUUAGUAGGAUCUAAAGUCAUCAUUUAUACCGACCAUGCAGCACUCAAGUAUCUCUUAAAUAAGAAAGAUGCAAAACCUGGACUAAUUCGAUGGAUUUUAUUAUUGCAGAAAUUUGAUUUGGAGAUCAAAGAUAAAAAAGGAUCCGAGAACUUAGUCGCUGAUCAUCUUUCUAGACUGAAAAACAUGCUUCAAGAAGACCAUUCAUCCAUUAAAGAAGAAUUUUCAGAUGAGUUUUUAAUGGCAAUUUAAAAGUCACCAUGGUAUGCUAAUUUAGUUAAUUUUGUAGUUAGUGGAGUGAUAUCAAGUGAUUUGAAUUCCCACCAAAGGAAAAAAUUCUUAAAUGAUGCUAAACAUUAUUUUUGGGAGGAACCAUUCUUUUAUAAACAUUGUGCAGAUGGAAUAAUUAGAAGAUGUGUUCCGGAAGAAGAGGUACACAGUAUUUUAAUACAUUGUCAUACCCUUGAAACGGGAGGUCAUUUUAGUACAACUAAAACCGUAGCAAAGGUAUGACAAUUUGAAUUUUACUGGCCUACUAUAUACCGAGAUGCUAGAAAUUGGGUUAAAAGUUGUAAUUAAUGCCAAAGAACUGGUAACAUCUCUAGAAAGGAUGAAAUGUCUCUAACUAAAUAUUUGGAAGUUGAACUAUUUGAUGUUUGGGGUAUUGAUUUUAUGGAACCAUUUCCUAGUUCUUUUAAUAAUAACUACAUCUUAGUAGCAGUGGAUUAUGUUUCUAAAUGGGUAGAGGCAAUUGUUUUCACCUACUAAUGACUCUAAGGUUGUACUCCGGUUUCUUAAAAAGAAUAUUAUUUGCAGAUUUGGUAUCCAAAAGACCAUAGUUAGUGAUGAAGAAAAAUAUUUUUGUAAUAAACACCUUCACUCAUUGUUUAAAUAUGGCUGCAGGUACAAGACAUCACUUCUGUACCAUCCUCAAGCCAACGGACAAGCGAAACUAGCUAAUAGAGAGAUAAAACUCAUUUUGGAGAAAACUGUAAUUGAAUCACGCAAAGAUUGGGCUACAAAGCUAGAUGAUGCACUAUGGACUUACCGACCGGCAUUUAAGACACCUUUAAGGAUGUCGCCGUAUCGUUUAGUCUAUGAAAAAACUUGUCACUUACCUGUAGAGAUUGAACAUAAAGCUUAUUGGGCUAUUAAAGCAAUUAACGUGAACUUUAAUCUUUCAGGUGGAAGGAGGCUACUUGAGUUAAGUGAAUUGGAGGAACACCGAUUACAUGCGUAUGAAAAUGCCAAAAUUUAUAAAGAGAAGAUCAAAUAUUGGCAUGAUAAAUAUAUUCUUCCUAAGCAUUUUGAAGAAGGGCAAAAGGUGUUAUUGUUUAACUUAAGACUUAAAUUGUUCCCUGGAAAGCUUAAGUCUCGAUGGUCCGGACCAUUUGAAAUAGCUCACACAUUUCCUUAUGGAGCGGUGGAAAUAAAAGGAGAAAAUGGUGCCCCAUUCAAAGUGAAUGAUCAAAGAUUGAAGCUCUAUUUGGCCGGAGAAAGGGUUCCUAAAGGAGUAAUUUACUCCUUAGGAAACACAAUGGAGAGUUAAGAAAACUGUAGGAGAGUCGAGUUUAACGAUUUUAAAUAAAGCGCUUGUUGGGAGGCAACCCAAUAAUAAUAUUGUAGUUGUGUGUUUUUAUGUGUUUCUUAAAUUUUGGUGUUAUUUGAUUGACUAAUUAUAUGUAUUUCACUUGUUGUAGGGGGUGCCGGCAUUUCAACUUCCAUAGGUGCACUUGAAGAACAAUAGUUAAAAGGGAAGUUUUCUUACCAAAUUCUGUUUUAAGUGUUUAAAAUUCCCUUUCAUGUAUAAUAUGUUGCAUUUCCAUUGUAUUCAAGUAAGUUUUAGUGAUAACAUGUUUAUACAUGUUCAUUGAUUCAUUUGAUGUGUAUCUCAUACCUAAGGGAGCCCUCUUAGUGUAAAAGUGCCAAAAUGAUCAAAGAAACUCACCCCUCGAUUUGCAAUGUAUAUGUGUUUGAUGUAUUUUGAGAGGUUGGAUAUUGUGUUUAUGGUAUAUUACACUUGCGUGAAAGGGUAGAAUUGAUAGAAAUUUCGUCCAAGGUGUAAUUUGGAAAUUGCCGAAAAAGGAGGAAAAAGUUUGAAAAAUUGCAAUUUCUGAAAUUGUUGCAGAAAAAGCCAGAUCCGAGCUCGAAUCCGUUAAAGAUUCAAAGACGAAAUUGGAGAUCCAACCUCGGAUCCGAAGUUGUUCACUAUGAUCCGAGGGCUCAUCUGUGUUUCUGGAAGGCCGGAUCCGAGCCUAUAGGAUCCGAGCCUUGGUAUACACGAUCCGACCUCGGAUUGUGUAUUCUUGAAAAAUUCAGCAUAGGGGAUCCGAACUAGGAUCCAACAAAAUCUAGUAGGAUCCGAGGGCUCGACUGAACUUCUGAAGUAGCGGAUCCGAGCCCUAUCGGAUCCGAGGGAUGCCAGAACCGAUCCGACCUCGGAUCUGUGCGCGAUAAAAACAAAUCCGAGGCUUCGGUUCUGCAUUUGUCCAAUUCUCCUUUUCCUAUUUCACCGAAAACCCUAGCCCUUUUUCACCAAUCUUCCAUUUCAUCCAAUAAUUAUUCAAUCUUUCACCACAAAAACAUCUCCCAACCUCUUGUGAUCAUAAACCCUCAACAAAUUCAUUUUAAAAACAUCAAUUUGGGGGGUUUUGAUCUUCAAAACGGGAAUUCAGGCCGCACUGAAAUCUCGCAAUUUGUGGUCGAAUUUGGGCUUGUUUCUUCAUCACUUUGCAUCAUUAUCAUCCUCCACCAUCAAUCUACACAUUUGAGGUAACAAUUUGCAAUUUUCUUUGAGAUUUUAUAAUUCCCAAUUUUACAUUUUUCUAGUUUUGGACAUAUUUUGGUAAUUGCUCAUAAGUUGAAAUUUUUUGAUACAAUUGUGCUACAUUGUGCUUAAAUAGAUUGUCACAACUAUUUUCAUGCUUAGUUUUGAGAGAAUUGUGAAUUUGGUAUUAUUUUGUAGAUUUUUCUUCUAAAAUUUUAGGUUAAUGCACAUGAACUCUUUAAUGAAUGAAAUUACUCCUCUAUGUGAACUACUUGCAUGCUUAAAAUUGAGAAAAUUGUUAUUAUAGUGAUAUUUUUGUAUAUUUUUCUCAAUUUUUAAGUUUAAGCAUGUUAAAUCUUUUGCUUGAAUAUUCCUUGUUCUUAGAGAUAAUUGGCAUUCAUUAAGAAGAAUUGGAGCUCAUUAGUUGGUACUUUGGUGAUAAUGUGUAUAGCCAAUUGGUGUGUAAUUGUUGGAUAAAAUCAUGAGAUAAUUGGCCCGUACAUUCUUGAAGUAAUGAAAUUGAUCUUUUAAGAGUCCUUUUUACUUUGAGAUUAUAUUCUAUUGAAAUAUGCAUCAAUUCUUAAGAGAUUGGACUUUUUAAUGAGAUUCUAAUUAAAAUAUGCUGUUCAAUUGUUGAAAGUGGAAUAUUCAAACAAUGUGUUGAGAUUGUAGAUUGAAAUUGAUAUCAUGCAUGUGCAAUGAGCUUGUGAAUUGGUUAAAUACGAUAUGGCCGUGAAUUUGUUGAUUGUUGGCAGGGAGUUUUUUCCUUUUAUUAGGGGAAACUCUGCCGAAAUUUUCCCAAAUCAUUUUUAAACAUUGUUGGUCGUGUAUUUUCAAGGGAUUUAGAAUUCUUCUAAUGUGUGUUUGAUCUUGUUUUUGAUAUAGGUACCAUGACUCGCACAAGACGAUCUCGUGUUCGCACUCCUUCACCUUCUUCAAGUGAAGAGCAUACUCCUUCAAUGCCUAAGGAGUCACCAGGGGAAGAAUCUCCUUCACCACAGUCGCCGCCACGCUUACGGCGUAAGAGAGCAUCUACGAGCCAUGAGAAGCUAGCUCUAGAUUAUGACACCACUCGUUUUAGACAAAGAGAUCAUAAUUGAAAAACACUUGGCCCCGGAGAUGGAUGACCACUCACUACAAGAAAAUUGUUCAUCAGUGACAACACAAAGUCAUCACAGAACAUACAAAUAUCGUCACAAAUACCUUUUAUUGACGACUUUUCGAUCGUCACAAAGUCGUCACUAAAUCCCCGUCGGUAAAAGUAAACAGUGACGACAUUUUAGGUAGAGCAUUUUUGACAAAAGAUCAAUUCGUCAAUAAAACACUUCCAGAUUGUCGUCACUAAUGACAACUAUUUAGUGACAACUAUUUGGUCGUCACUAAAUAGUUGUCAUUAGUGACGACAAUCUGGAAGUGUUUUAUUGACGAAUUGACCUUUUGUCAAAAAUGCUCUACUUAAAGUCGUCACUAAAAAGCACCGAAAGCCAUUGUAUAUAACUAUUUUACUGACAACAAUUGUCGUCACAAAUGUAACUUAGAUUUAGUGACAGUCUCUGUUGUGACAAGGAGUUUUUAUUUUCUAUUUUGUGACAACUUUUUUUUGUCAUUAGAUAAUUUCAUAAUAGCUUAAUAGUCAUAAUUUGGCCUGUAAUCAUUGCUAAAUCAUUGAUUUUGAACAAACCAUACAAAUAAACAUAAACGAUUGAUAACCAAAAGUAUUUGCAUUAGAUUACAUGGUAAUAAUAUAGCAUUCUCAAAUGCCAAAUUCAAGUGUACAUUGCCCAACUAAUGCCUACAAAAAUAACAUUUGUCCAAAAUAUCACUUGUACAUAAGGUACAUUUACAAAAGCAAUCACAGUUUAAGAAAUUGAAGAACAUCUAAAUGAACCACUCCAUGAGCAAAAGGCAAUUUUGUCUUCAACAUUCUUCAACCAUAACCAUAGAUAUCUUCCAAAAGCUAGUAUGAAUAGCAUUUAUCUGUCAUAAAAGAGUAAAAGAAGUAGGUAAGGGGAGGAGUACAAUAAUAAAGAACAAGUAAUGAGACUUAGAUUAUUAAGACAAAAAUUACAAUUCAUUAAGAAUCUCAUAUAAUUUGGGCCCACAUAUUACAACACCAGCAAGAAGUUAGAAAUCACAGUCCAAUCUAUACAAAUACAACACUGCAUAAGCUCAACUAAAGAGCUCUCUAAAACAGUUUUUUUUUAAUUUUCUUUCUUCUUCUUUAAAUAGCUCAACUUAUUGAACAAUUAAAUUGGACUCCCACAGUAAUUAUUGUUUAAUGUUUAUGCUUUUGGUUGUUUAUAUAUUAAAACUAGGUGAUUGCUUCCCACGCAAGGCAUGGGAACUUUAGACCUGUUAGUAAGGUUGUAUUUGUUAUUGUAAUAUUUUUAAUAUUUUAGAUGAUGAAAAGAGUGAUGUGAUGUGUAUCGUGAACUUGGGCUAGGAGUGAAAAGGAGUAUUAGUCAAAAAUAUAUUAGUUCCAAGAGUAGUCAUGUACUAAUACAAAGGAUACAGCCAAUGCAGUAAUGAUGAUUCACAAGAAAAAGGAAAGCAUGAUAUUUACAUAUACAACAGUAAUUUAGUAUAGAUGAUUCAAAAGAAAGAGGCUCCUUUGACGUUCAAAUACAUUCCAUUAUCAUGUAACAACAACUCAGAUGACAAUGAAAUAAAUUCACAAGUACCAAUCACUUGGUCAUUACUGCAGUAACAGUUAAUGGAAGUAGCAAGAUAUUGCUACAACUUGGUCACAUGCAAAUUUUUUUUUUGUUCUGGGUUCACAAGGAAUGAAUUCAUAAAUUAUGAAGCAGCAAAAUAAAUUCACAAGUACCAAUCACUUGGUCAUUACCACAGCAACAGUUUCAAUACCAACAGUUUCAACUUUCUUGAGACAAUCAAGUUGCAUCUUAAGUUUGCAAAAUAUCAAGUUUUACAUGUCCAUUAAAAAUUUUAAAAAGUACCUUUGCUUUCAUCACCACCUUUCCGGCUUAGGAUACCUCCUUGAACACCACCCCCAUAAAGCCACUGCUUCAUCUGGUUUUACACUCUUGUUGGGUUCCUUUCCAUCAAAGUAGUCCUUGAGAAGUUAUUGGACUUUUGGGAUCCUGGUAGCCCCACUAACAGGAACAAUUUCAUGCAUCUGGUGGUUCUCCAAACCAGCAUCCCCCAUAGCCUUCUUGACAAGUCCCAUGUUUUUGCUAAAGAGGUCAUUGUUCAACUCGUCAAAUCAAGCAUGAGUCUUAACUUGCUGCUGGCUGCUUAAAGCUCUUUUGGCACGGUCAGCUUCCCUCAGUUUUCCAAGUGGUCUGUUGUGGUUGCUGAUGUUCUUUCCAUGUUUCUUGUUAAUCAACUUGAUGAAAUAUUCUAUAAUCCUUUGAUGAAAGCCUUUGCCUACAAUAAAACAGAGCAAUUAGAACCAUAUGAAAGCUUUUUAUAAGAAAUGUAACUAAUAAAACUUAUACAAGAAAUUGGUUGCUUUAAUUAGUGUAGUUAGAUAAACUUUUUUAAUUCGUAGUUAGACAGGCAACUGCUGCUGCUCUGGGUUCAUUGAUAGUCCUAGCAACAUUCAGCCCAGCAAUAAUACCUGCAUUCUUUGUUGCCUGCCUCUGGGCAUCACUGAAGUAAAAUAUGAUUCAACGAGUAACUCUAGAAAUUGAACUAUACCGGGAACAGUUACCACAGCAUCCUUAAUUUUCUUUGCAAGGAAAGCUUCAGCUGCUUCUUUCAUCUUAGUUAAAACCAUUACACUAAUUUCCUCAAGACUGAAGACUUUAACCUUACUAUCCUUAAUUUUCACCUAGAUAUAAGGUUUUCCAUCCUUGUUCACAAUCUUACAAGGAACGAGCUUCAUAUCCCUCUAAACUUCAUUAGUCUCAAUCCUGUUAUAUAACAGUUAAGACUUCAGUGAGCAUAUGUAUACACACCAAAAUGUUCCAGCAAAAAUGAUAAAUACACGAGUGUGCCUUACUUUCAUCCAAUAAAUCUCUUGACAUCAAAGAUAGUUCUUUCAACAUUAACAUCGAAUCAGUCUUUCGCUACCAGCAAAUGCAAUCCAUGAUGGCUUAAUACGAUUCCUUGGUCAUUUGCUGUGAUUUCAACAUGACCAUUUUUGUAAAUAUGAGCACAUGAAUAGGUAGUUCCAAGAUCUAUUCCAAUGACUAUUCCCAAUUUUGCAGCUUAUUCUUUGGUGAUGGAAAUUGUAGAUAGACAGCCUUUUGCACCGAAAAAUAUUAUUGGAAAAAGUAAAACUCUUAUGUAUAGUUUUUGAGAGAAAAAAACUAAAACACUGCAGGAUGAAGCAAUUCCACACUCAUGAUGAAAUCCACAAUUACUCGAGCAACCGUGGGAUUGAAGAGUUCGAAGAGCUUGCUCAAACAUUGUGGUGACCAUCCCAAGAACAAGUGGAAAAAAUAAGAACUCAUUUAAUUUCAAGAAAAUGAAAUGAACAUCAAGUAUCAAACUAACAAACAGUGCAGGAACAGAAGAAGGAUAUGAACUGCGAAGAACAAUCUGAUAGAUAGCCUAGUGGUUAAUGGUUUUUUUUCCCAUCUCCCUUUUUUCUUCCUUCCCAAUCCUUCCUUGCUAAAAAAUGGCUUUGAAAGUAUCAAAUAGUACCUAUCAAAUUAGCGAACUGAGUUAGUUUAAAGAAGAUCCUAUAAUAGUUAUUCUAAAAAUCUUUAGUCACUUGCUACGUGAGGAGGGCGUGGCAGAUAAUAACUCUUUGUUUUUUGGCUCAUUUCGAAUUGAUAUACUUUUUGGCUUAAUUGGAGAGAACUAAUUUGAAUCAUUUCCAACCAGUUUACAGAUAAAAAAAAUUUCAUUUAUGAAAAUGAAAUAGAAAAAAUAAUAGCACAAAAACAAUGAAAAUAGACAUCAAUGGCUAGUAAAAAAAAGGUGUUCUUUUAUCAUUGAAAAUUAGGCCAAUGCUGAUCAAUGAGCUAUAGUUGUUUGACUAUCAACAGACAUAAUAUCAAGAAAUUACGAGAGCUUUUUUUGCUGUAACAUCAACAGGCAUAAUAUCAGAUGUGUAAUCUUGUUUUACCAGAGUUUCUGCCUAUACAGUGAUAAUCUAGCACAUUAACAGGCAAAAACAAUAAUCAGGCAGACAGUCACUGAAUCGAAUAAUCAGGUAGCUUAUUUUCAUUGAGCACCACCUUGCCAUCAGAUGAUUUUCAUGAAUCACUUAUCAGCAUCUUUGACUACAAGAAUUAGUACCUUUUAAUAGAUCAGCAGAAAGCCGCAAGAUUUUUCCAAACUUUAUCAACCACGCUGCAUAUCACAUGAUAUUAUUCCCAUUCAAUUGUUGAUGGAGGCUUGGAAGUAAUAUCUUGAACAACUCGAUUUACACCACAUACACUAUUGCAUAUCUUUCUUGCAACAACAUCAAGGAAAUUGUGUUCAAAAUUGUACCAGUCAGCAGUCAUCCCAUCUUGAUUUGUGACAGCUCUCAAUGCAACAACAUGAGAAUGUGUUCUUUGAUCACCUUGAACUCCAACAGACCUUAUGGGCAAGAAAACAGCAAAAGCUUGCUAUAUUUUAAAAAAAACAACCAAACCAAAUCAAACCAACCUUUACUAAUGAUUCUAAGAAAAACCCACUUCAAUUUUGCCAAGAAACAAAUUGCAAAACAAAUGAUACAGGAAAAGAAACAUCCAACUUCAUAAAACUAAACAAAAAAGCCAUAGAAAACAACAGAAAACGUAAAUGGAGUUUGAAAGUGAUAUUCUUAGAGGGGUUCAAAUGCAACUAAAUAGGGACUUAACUGAAUGAAUUAUGGAUGUUUUAGGGUCGAAUUAAGUUCAGGAACUCUGGGGCUAAAUUACAAAAAAGAAAAUGGAAUGACCGGAAUUGCAAAUUUAAGCAAACGAUCGUCUUCCCCAAGCAGAUUAGGCAUCAAUCUUCUAUUUAGACCUUCACUCGGGCAUUUUAACAAACAGUACAUGGGCAUAGAAGGAUCCAGCAAUUUUUGCUCAAUUGGGACUGUAAUUAGCCCCCCAAAAUUUGUCAAAACACAAGAGAUUUCAGUCCAAACAACAUACAAUAGCAUACAAUCUAAAAUCGUUAGCAAUCAACAUGAAGUUGGCACUGAACAAACGCACGGCAAACAUGCUUUGAGACUUUUCAAUGUUCAUACUAAAAAUGGAAAACUAAAAUUCAAAGAAGGCAGACCGCUUAUAGCGUUUGCUUGGCGAAGUCUGCAGGCGAUGGUGAUGGUCGAAGGAAGGUGCGAAUGAUCAGGCGGCUAUAGCUGCCAUGGUAGCCACGCUGGAGCUGGGCGCCAGUGGUGGGUGGCAACAUGAAAUCGAGGAGCGACAGUGAGAGAGAAAGGUCGUGCGGGAAGGGGAGAUGCGUCAGGCAGCUAGGCGGCGCACGAAAUGGAGGUGCCGUGGCGGAACUUGGAGGCGUCGGAAAUUGGAUGAGAGCAGAGUGACGGCAGCUAUGGAGAUUGCGCUCUGUGAUGGCCGAUGAGCGGCUGUUGCUCUGUAUUUUCUUUGUGUCCCCUCUAGGCCAAGACCUUUCUCUGUUUCUGGUUUCACUUCCUCAAUCACCAGCCCCCAAAUGAAACUUUAGUCUUUUCCUUCGUUCCCCUGCCGACGACCCCUUUUCUUCCUUGACAGCUAAAAGAUUUUGGGCAGAAAUUUGCAAAAAAUAUUGUAGAAUAUUAGGGAUUUGGAAAAAUUGGGGAAAAUGUAUAGGAGAGAGAAAAAUGAACCUUUCCAAUGAAAACCUUGCCCUUUAAUGCUGGACAGCCAUGGUGAUGCUAGUGAGAAGCCAGAGAACGGAUUUGUUGUGUGGGUGAAGGUAUCAGGUGCCGUGUGGAAGCUCUGUUUUGUGCUCAGUGCAGAAGCUUGUUUGUUUCAGCUCGGUGAAAGUUUGUGUUGCUCAAGUGUUCCGUUGCUUUAACUCAGACCAAGUGUUCCGUUGCUUUUCUUUUCAGAAUGUGUUCCGCUGCUUUGGUCUUUGCUUUGCUUUGGAUAUUGUUUUUGUUGCGCGGCACUUUCACUAUGAUUUGAUCAAAAUUUUGACUUCACUCAUUUUCCCUCCAUUUGAUACCAAAAUUCAUGUUUUUUUCUGGAUUUGUAAUAUGGUUUGAACCAUAGAUUUUAAUGCUAUAGUAUUAUUCUUUAUUUUUUAGCAAAAAAUAAAAAUUUUCAUCAACAUAGGUGGCAAAAUUUGUUAAUUUCAUAUAAUUGAAAAUGUACUUUUAUAAUUUGCUAAUAUUUUAUACUAAUUUCUUAUAAUUGCAGCACUAAAGAACAUCAUGUAAUUCAAAAUAAUUAAACUCAAAUUAUAUCGUUAUAACAUAGUUUCAAUAAAAAUAAUCAUUUUCCCAACAUUUGAGACCAAUCAUCAUGCUUUUUUUAUUUUUAAUUUGGUUUGAAGCAUAGAUUUUAUUGCUAUAGUAUUAUUCUUUAUUUUUUAGUACAAAAACACAAAUUUUCAUCAAUAUAGGUGGCAAAAUUUGUUAAUUACAUAUAAGUGAAAAUAUACUUUUAUAAUUUGCAAAUAUUUUAGCCCUGCAAUUUUUUAUAAUUGCAGCACUAAAGUACAUCAUUAAUUGAAAAUAACGAAAGUCAAAUUCUAUGGUUAUAACAGACUUUCAUUAAAAAUAAUCAAAUGCUAUUAAUAAGACAUUAUUGUUAAGUCAAAAUCAAAGAAAAUUUAGUGAUGACAUAAUGUUAUCACUAAUUUAUUCAAGAUUAUAAUGACAAGAAAAGUCGUCACUAAUUAAAUUGCUAGUUUUUAAUAUUGUCAAUUGCUAGUUUUUAAUACUUUUGUGAAAAUACUGAUAAUGGUUGAGAAAAUUUUGUUACAUUACUGCAAGUGAUAAAUGUACUUUUGUUCUUUUUCAAACAUUUAUUUUAAUGUUUAAUUUUGUUUAAAACUAUUGUACUAGUAUAGAUUUGCAAAACAAAACUUAAGUUCUCAAUAGUUAAAAAAUUCAUUACAGAGAAAACACAAAGUAGUAGUUGCAAAAUGUGUAUAAAUUACAGAUAUUUUAAUGUGUAUAAAUUACAGUUUAUUUUAAUAUUUAAUUUUGUUUGAAACUAUUUUACUAGUAUAGAUUUGCAAGACAUAGAUUUAUGGGUAAUUUUUUUUUUUUGCUUUCACAUAUUUAAUUUAUGUUAAAUACAAAACCUACCAGUUUCCCUUUCAUAAAAAUAUUAGUGCAACACUUUUUGAAUUUUACUUACAAACAUUUAUGUAUUUAACGUAAAUUAAAUGAUUCAGAGUGAAAUGCCCAUAAAGAGCAGAAUAUUUAUUCAUGUAAUGGAGGAAACCCACAAGGAGUUGGUACUUUAUGGGCCAUUUCUUUUUUUAAAAAAAUUUAAUUUAUGUUGAAAAGAUAACCUGCCAGUUUUCGUUUUGUAAGAAAUCAGUGUAAUACUUUUUGAAUUUUACUUACAAACAUUUAUAAAUUUAUCAUAAAUUAUAUGUUUGAGAGUAAAAUGCCCGUAAAAAGUUGGUACUUUAAAUAGAUAAUGCUCAUUUGCCCAUAAACUACACUCCCUAAAGGCUAUUUUGUUAAUUAUUUUGUAGUACUUUGUUAUUCCUUUGCUAAUACUACUUGGCAUGUAGUACAAAGGAUAAAUCUGGCAUAAAUUUCUUAUUCCAUUGAUAAAAAGACCUGCCUGCCUUAUAACUAUUGUAAUGAAAGAUAUAUCUUUAGAGUUUAUAACAAAUUAUUACUUAAGUUUGAGAAAAUUAUAAAAUAUUUAUGCAUAGUUUAUCAAGAUACCAUUCGCAAUUUCCUAAUAAAAAAAUAGGGGCUAAAUUGUAAAAGCUAGGGUGCCAUAAUAGAAAUAAUAAAAUUGGUGUAUUACAUAUGGGGGUUAAAUUGCAAAAGUUAGAGUGCCAUAGUAGAAUUAAUAAAAUUGAAUUAAUAAAAUUGGUGAAUUACAUAUGGGGCUAAAUUACAAAAAUUAGGGAGUAAUAAUAGAAUUAAAGAAAUCGGUGCACUACAUAUGGGGCUAAAUUGUAAAAGUUAAGGUAUCAUAAUCGAAUUAAUGGAAUUUUUUACAACAUUUGGGGCUAAAUCGCAAAAGUUAGGGUGGCACAGUAGAAUUACAGAAAGUGACUUAGAAAUAAGUACUUUAAACAGUGACGAUUAAUUCUUGUCACUAAAUCCAAAUCGGUAGAGUGACAGUGACGAUAUUAGAAGUUGUCACUAUAUAGAUCAUUUUAGUGACAACUUUUUCAAGGUCGUCACUGAACACUUAGUUGCUUUGAGCAAUUAUGACAACUUUCCUUGUCGUCACUAAACAAUCACGUUUUGUGACGAAUUUUGUCGUCACUAAAAAAUGUUGUCACUAAUGACCAUAUUUCUUGCAGUGUAGUUUGUGACGAAAAUAACGGGUCGUCACUAAACAUUUAGUUGCUUUGAUGCAAUUAUGACAACUUUAGGUGUCGCGACUAAAGAAGCUCCUUUUGUGACGACUUAUUGUCAUCACUAAAAAAUGUUGUCACUAAUAAAUUUUUUUUUUAGUGAUCAGUGACGACAACAAAAAGUCGUCCGUAAAUAGGCCAAGCAAUAGUGAUGAUGUUCUUAAUGUCGUCACUAUUGUGUGUUCUAAACACUCCCGCGCUCUUGCUAAAACUUGGCGGGAAUUUACUAAGUCGUCACAAAUGGGUUGGCUCCCAUUAGAGGUUUGUGACGAGUUAGAAAUUCGUUAAUAAAUGAUCCACUUUUGUGACAACUUUUUUUCGUCACAGAGAAAAGUUGUCACUGAUGACCAAUUUUCUUGUAGUGACUACAAGAUCUCCACGGCAUUCAAGUGACUUAGAUGGGAGACUAUACUAAAUUUGCCGAAGCAUUACUAUCCCAAUCUGGUCCGGGAGUUCUACGCCAAUGUGGAAGACAAAUAGAGCCACAGUGGCAACCUUAUCAUCUCCUGGGUUCGAGGCAAGAGAGUGGCUCUCACUCGACAUACAAUCACCCAAAUCGUCAAACUAAAGGACAAUGGAGAAGAUGUUAAAUUGACUAAGGAAUUUAAGGCACGUGAUCCAUGGCAAGUCGGAGAAACUGUGGCACGUCUUAAGGGUCAAUAUCGGGAGUGAGGAAGUUCGAAGAAGCUCAUUGUAUACGCCGAUUCCUUUGAGCAUAGGUACCACCUGAUCUUCUAUCUCUUCGCCUUCAAUGUGGUACCAAAAAGGAGUGGAAAAAGGGAGCUCCGAAACGGUGACUUGUAUUUCCUCGAUAAUAUGAUGCAUGGUGUAGGUAGGCUGCUGACUGGUAUUCCUCUGGCCAGCAUCAUCAUCAGUUACAUGCGUACUACAGCUUGCAUGAGAGCCGACGAAACUUGCUUUGGGUUCCCUCGUUUGCUCUCCCUUAUUUUUAAGCAACUCAAGGUUCCUCUGGGAACCGAGUGAGCCAUUGUUACUAGGGCAGCCGAGGAAGUCAACGGCUCAGUACUUAGGUCCUUAGGUAUUCCUACGGAUUUUGGAGCUUCUCUGGUACAGGAUGUUGGAGAAGCAUCGACUUCAGCUUAGCCUCCAGCUCACACUGAACCACACCAGGAAGCUCAAGAGAUGGAGGCAUAGCAGACUCUCCCUCCUCCCAUUCCACGACCACCCCCUCCGCAAUGAUCCAAGUGGCAAGAGGCCCUCAAUGCCAUAUGCUGUAUGGAGACACGAGUCAUCAAGCGCAUUGAUCAGACGGAGCGGCUGAUGACGGAGCGACUAGACAGGCAUGAUCGCCAUCUUCGAGCGAUCGAGGAUCAUUUCCACAUUCGCCGCUCCCCUACACCGAUUCCUAAGCCAAGGCCCGAUGAGGGCAUGCAGAUCGUGAGGAGGGUGGCAGCAAUGCAGAUCAUGAGUUGGGCGGCAGCACUGAAGCGACUGAGCUUGGCGUCUCCUCUGCAUAAUUUACUUUCUUUUCAGCUUUUAUUUAGUUUUUCAUCUUUUAUUUUCGAUUUGGUGUUAACUUUUUGUUAUUUUUCUAUUUUUCUUAAAACUUGUGGAAUGGUCUCACUCUCUAUGGAUAUAUAUUUUUCCCUUCAUACAGAAUUUGGCUAGUAGAAUUUGGAUGAUCGUGAUGAUCGUGGUUUCAAAUUGCAUCACUACUUCUUUUGAGAGGAGUAUUAGUUUCUUUUACCUUCCUCUACAAUGAGGACAUUGUGAAUUUUAAGUGUGGGGGAGGGAUUACUUUAUCUUAUGGGGUGAUUGUGUUUUGAAGUGCAUGAUUUUAGUUAUUUAUGGCCUAGAAAUGUUGGAAUCAUAUUUGGAAAUAUUGUCAUGAAGAUAAUUUUCUUGAAAUUGAGGCUGUUGGCAGGGAGUUUUAUCCAUAUAUAUGGGGAAACUCUGUCAAAAUUUUUCUAAAAUAUUUUCCAAUAUUUCAUUGCAAUUCUUUCCAAUAAUGGCCGAAAUGUUCAAUUUUAAAUGUCUAAUUCUUCCAUUGGAUAAAAUGUUAUAUAUAUUUUGGAAAGUUUAGUCCUUAUUUGACUUGGCAUUAGUCAUUAUGCAAUUAGGAUUUUACAUUUUAGAAAGUAUAUUCGGUUAAAUAAGGAAAAUUAUGCUUAGAAUUUUGCAGGUUUAAUGAUAUUUCUCAUUUUUACUUAAUUUUAUAAGUAAGUGAUUGAUAUAGUCAAAACAAGGCCAGAUUCAUCCUUUAAUUAUGCUCAGAGGGAAAUUGAUUAUUAAAAAAAAAAAUUCUACUCCAAUGAUUCGCAUACUGAGUAACCGGGGGUUAGCAUUUACAAAUGUCGACAUUCGCGUAAAAAGGUAUUGGAAUUAAAAGUAUGCCUAGCAAUUUAAAUGAGUGAAAUGUUGAGUAACCGGGAAUCUUCACCUAAAAGUGUAGAUUUUCACGUAAAAAGGCAUUGUCACUAUUUAAGUAAAAUGAAGUAUAAAAAAUCCCUCUCAGUUAUGAAAAUUUUGAUGGAUAUAUGAUGAGAAAUGCCAUAGAAUUGACUAUGUGAUUUACUUAUUUGUGAAAUUAGGAUAGGAUGAGAGAUUGAGUUGAAAUUGUUAAAAUUAAGGUAUAAUUAUCUUUAUUUAACUUGAUAUUAUGAGUAUUUAGUGUAAUCUGAGAAUUGGUAUAAUGAUUGGUUUCUAGGUUUUGAGGAACUAAAAUUGACAAAAGUACGUAUAUUAUUUUAUCUCUUGAAUCAUUGUAGUAAGUUAUGUGUAAAAUUGCUUGAGGACAAGCAACGAUUCAAGUGUGGGGGAAUUUGAAAGAGAAUAUUUAACGUACAUUUUGUACAAGUUUGGCAUGAACUUUUGGUAUGUUUUGAGAAGAUUAAAACCAUAUUUGCACUCUUUUGGUGAUAAAUAUUUAAAUAUUGUUUAAGUGUUCAAAACUUGAUAAAUGAGUGGAUUAAUACGUUAAUUUUGUGAAAUUGUGAAGGAUAUUGAUAUAUGAAAUUCAUGCACGAGAUGAAGGAAAUGUAAGGAUCGUCCAGAGGAUAAAGUACAAAAGAAACUAGGAGCAAAAGUGAAGAAAAAGGAAAGAAGUGAAAAACUGGAAAUUGAUUAGCACGGAUCCGAGUUUGGAUCCGUGUGAACAAAGGGCGAUUCGAGCCCUCGUCUGUACUUCUGGAGCAGUGCAUCCAAGGCCAGACGAUCCAAGCUCGGAUCAUUAAGAGAAAGGCCUCGGAUCAGUCUUGAUCCGAGCUCGGAUCGUAGUGCACACCUCGGAUCCAAGGCUCGGAUCUACCUCUCUCUUCUGCAAGUGGCACAGCCAUUUUUUCUCAUUUUUCACACAACUUUUCAGCUAUCUUGGGUGAGAGAAUUCGGUGGCACAUGUUUCUGCAACAAAAAGGAAGACAAAAUGAGUUAUUGACAAGUCAAAACAACAUUUCUUUUGACUUUCUUUACAAAAUCUGAGUUGUUGGAAUCAUGAAGGAGAAGAAAGUGCCUUUCUACCACCUUUUAUGCAGAGAACCAAGAAGUCAGGCAUCACCAUAUGGAAGGAGUUUUUCAUCUUGUAACAUUUUUCUCUCUAGCUAGAAGUUCUAAAAACAAGCACUUGGAGAUUUCACUUGUAAUUAUCUUGUACAAGACAUAGCAGAAAUUUGAGGGUUUCAUCAUUAAUUGGCUACGCUUUUCUUUAUCUUUCUUGUACUUGUACUUUAUGAUGUUUUGCAUUAAUAAACUUGUGAGUUUGAUUGUUAUAUCAUUCAUGAGUAGCUAAAUUUCUUUAUCUAGAGAGUAGAUGAAACUUAUGGCUAAAUGAUAUGAAUUGAAUGUGAUUUAAACUUGUUAUAUCUUGUAUUAACUUGUCUAUUUGUGCAGUUGUAAUUACUUGUUGUUGUUUGAUCACCAAUAGCAUGUUUAUAGUUGUUAUUAAUCAAUGAGAAUUGGUAGUAACAAUGGAAAAAACAUGAGUAGAGCUUGAGUUGUAUGUUCAUGAAAAUAGAUGUACACUUAAGUGGAUUAGCUAGCAUUUCAUGAAGGAAAACAGAGUAGAACUAGUAUUUCACCAUGAAAAUAGGGAAAACUGGAUUGCUCUAGGCCAUUUUAUCAUGAGAAUGAGAUUUGGUAAUAUUGGAAAUGAAUCCCUGGUUAAACAACAAUAAUAACAAGAGAAAUUUAUUCAUUUGUGUUGUUUAUGCCAUAAGUGGAAUCUACAUCCCUAAAUUUAUUCUUGAGUGAAAUUUAUCCAUUUGCAUUUAGCAUUUGUUAAACUAGAUUUAUAGACAAUAGCAUUAUAAUUUCUCUACUCAAAUUCAUUUAUAAGUCUAAAUAAUAGAGAAAAUAAGGGUUUAGUACUUGUUUAAAUUGCUCCUCGUGGGAUCGACUCGAUAUAUACCUUACAUUAUGAUUUCGGCCUGUAUACUUGCAGGCAACGGGUAUAAAAUCGGAUUUAAACUUACAUUGAUAUAAAAAUCCCGUCACAUAUGUGAGAUCAAAUUAUUUUACUUAUUUCUUUUAUUCAUUGGUAUUUGUACAUUUUCUGAUUUAACUUCAUAUACUUGUUAUGUUAUUUGAAUGUCAAGGGCCCGAUAUUCGAAUUAACCUAAUAAUCUACUGUUAGAUUAAUUGAUUGAAUCCCUAAUUGUUCAAUUGAUUAAUACCAGUGGCAACUAGCGUGAUUGGUUUCAUGUUAGGGAAACGUAUGAUCUAACUUAAACGAACCCUCGUAGCGUGUUUGUUAAUUAAGGUUGGCUUUUCUAAUUCUUAUUGCAAUUGAGAAAUUAAAUCCUAUAGUCGUACCUAGGGUUAUUUUUUGGUUAGGAAAAUAGUUAAUGGUCGUACCUUGACUAUCGAAAAAGUAAGAAAAAGUUGGUUGUUUAUCGCGUGUAUAACAACUAUAACCAAUCUAUUAAUUAGUAAUUGAAUUAUCUUUGCAUCGAUGAUCAGUUGAAAGGACCAUGUCUGAAAAGUUGCACCUUUGGCUAGAGUUGUAUUGGUUAUUGAUUAAUUCCUGUUGAUUUCUAUUAGUUGUUUCAUUAGUUGAUUAAUUAGUUAUUUUAUAUUUUUCAAAAACCCCCCAUACUUCGGACUCUGGAAGAAAUGAAUUAUCCCCAGUCCCUGUGGAUUCGACCCUACUCACCGCUAUAUACAAAUUUGUAUUUUUCUUGAGUAGGUAAUUAUUAUUGCACAUGUUCAACACCUGUCAUUCUAUAACUGUAUACAGAGUCAUCUUUUUCAAAGAUUUCCCAUGCUGCAAAAUGUACUCUACGAGCUUUAUUUCAUCUUCCUCCCCUAUAAAUUGUCUGAUUCCAAUAUGCCUAAGAUGUUCAACAAAGCGUAAUGGGAAAACUAUUUGGAAAUGUAGAUUCCAGGUCCUUGUAUAUGCAAAGUCCUUCUUACACAACUUUACAUAUUGAGAAGAUCAAAAAUUGCAAAACAUAAUAAUACUUGAAAUUAGUGAGAAUAUAUCCAAAAGAAACAAAAUAUUAAUACCUGAAAUCAGGUUUUACAAUCUGUGCACAAAAAGCACCUAAACCCAAAUGGCCCAUGUUGGAAUAGACCAAGUUUAGUUCAACUGCAGAAAUUCCUAGUACAAUGGAACUGCAACUUCAACUUCAGUAAAUUGCAAGCUGAUAUUAUGAUUCUAUAAAUCCUAAAAUCUCCCCCAAGUCCUCUUGCCUCCAGCACAAAGUAUGUACAUAGAUGCUGACCUGUUCUAUACACUUGUAGGUAAAUUCAAAUCAGACGGCAUUCAAUAGAACUGCCUUGAUUUGGCUGCAUAUUAGCACUACUGCUCUUUAAAUCUAACUUGAUUAAGCUGCACAAAAAGGGAAGAUUACAUUCGAUGGAGAAAUUUUACUGAUUGCAGAUGAAAUAGGGGCUAAAAUCAACUAGGAAAAGCAGAGAAGUUAACCUCAACCGACGAGGAAACAAGAUGCAAAAGUCAGAAGUUGUUAGCUUAAACCUCAACCGAAAGAAAAAUGCAAUCUUUGAUAUUAAACACAUAACCCACAUAAGUUAGCUUCACAGAGUCCAGAAGGAUGGUUGGAACUCAAUUUUCCUAAAAUUGUGAGGAAAAUAAUGCAAUCUUAGAAAUCUAACACAAAUAAUGGUAAUAAAAACACACAAGAAGGGUAUGAAAACUUACAAAAUGGCGCCAAAAUAUAGAUCUAACAAUAUUUGAAGCAAAUGGAUGAAGCAUUGAAGUUGUUCUAAGAUUUUUGGGCAGCAAUAAAACCUAAGCUCCUUCACGUUUAGCAAUUCUUAGGAGAUAGACAGGAGGCGGGUCUUCUUUUUUAGCAAUUCCUCAGAGGUCUCCUUCCCGUUUAGCAAUUCCCGCAUAUGUUCUUCUAUUUUUGGACUAAAAACCACCGAUGUUGGCCUUUGAGAGAAGAACAGAUGCGUGCUUCUCAAUUGACAGAGACAAGAGAGGACCAACCUUUCUAUGUAUAUAUCCCUCAGCCUCUAACAAGCCUUUGAAUUUUGAUGGAAGGACGUUGCGGGAAAAAUAAAAUUCUUGGAGGGAAUAAAACGCGCGUCCUAAAUUCUGAUUUAAGUUUUGUUGUUAAAAGUUUCUAAGAAUUGAAGUAUAUUAUAAUAUAUAUAGAAUAAAUAUUGAGUAUUAGAAGUAUAUAAUUUGAAAGAAAUCAUGUGAGGACUCGAAAAUUUUUAUUAUUUUAAAAUCCCUAAUUUUGGCUCAAUUAAUUAAUUAUUUGGAUUUUUAUCACGAAUAAUAUUUUCUAGCCUUAUUAGACCGAAGUACAUGGUUUUAUAGAUUCGUUAUAUUUUUAAAGCACCUCAUUUCAAAAAAUUAUUAUUUUUUUUAAAAAGCUUGUUUAGCGGAAAAGUGAAAACGUGUCUAAACACUUUAGCCAAUUGGGAGUACAAUAAGCUCAAAAUUUGAGACCUAUACAAUGGUCCUAAAAUAGACAAUUUUAGGUUUAAUUAUACAAGUGAUAGCUAGUGGUACAAUCGUUAUAAGAAUUUUUCAAAGGUUUCAAUUUUUAUUGCGCCUAAAUUAGAAAUACGUGUUUGCACGUGCGCGCUUAAUUGAGGGACUUUGGACCAUUAUUUUGGGACAAUUAAGAAUGGAUAAUAUUUAUAUAAAUGUAAGUACCCUAGAGGUUUAGUGCACUAGUGCAACAAACGUAAGAGAAAUCGAACACAAAACGCGCGCGUAGGGUACUAGUUAUAAUUGAUUUGACGUAUUAAAAGAUUUGACGUCAAGCGUCUUUCGUACGCAAAGGCUUCAGAACCGCAGCUUCAUUUCAAUCUCAUUUCAUUUCUGCAAAGCUUCAUGGACGGCUAGACAGCAAGAGACAACCGAGGCUUCACCAUUUCUUUCUUCCAAAACUCAUCCAAAUCCUUACCAAAACUUCCAUAGAUUCUUACCAAUCUCCACAUUCAUUUAGCUUUUCACUUGGACGGCAACUUAGCUGCAAAAGGAAGGAGCUAUCCACGGUUUCUUCAAGCUUCAAAGGGGCCGAAAAAUCUGUCCAAACCAGUCAUCAAAGUAGGUACUAAUCAAGCACCUUGAACUUGUCUUAUGGAAGUUGAUCUAUGCAUUUGAGUUGGAAUCUUCACUAUAGUAGCUUGUAUUGUUGGAAACGUGGGCUCUAUGAACUCCCACUUUGGGUUGAUGGCUGUGAUGAUGUUUGAUGAUGGUUUUAUUGCUGAAUUAGAGCUUAAGGAAGUAGAUUAAAGGUGUAUUGUGGACAGAAACGUUGUUGAACUCUUGAAGUAAAAAGUUCCCAUUUUACCCCUGUUCUGUUCGGUCAUUUUAAUGCAGAAACUGAGGAUUUAAUGGCCUGAUUAUGUUGAUUACAUGUUGCAAAAGUUGUGUACAAAAUUUCGUUGGAAAAUAUUGAGUUGUGGUUGAUCAAACGAAUUUAUUUCAAAAACUAGUAAUCUGGAAAACGGUUUCGCCGUAAUCCAGACCAGUGUUUGUAUUUCGUCCAUAACUCCGUACUCCGACUUCGAAAUCAAGUGCCGUUAGCGGCAUUUGAAACUAGACGUUCCCAUGUUUCCAACGGUGUAUAAUGGACCUUCUGGUUUCGUGUGUGUGAGCCACACCAUUCAUCUGAAGUCGACUGUCCUGUUUCUCCGUUCUGCCGAAAUGAUUUGAUGAUGCUGCAACUUUAGGCUUGAUUUUGAACCAGUUGCAUGCUGAAACUUAAAACGAUUUCUUCUGUGAAGUUGUAGCCCUAUGAAUCUAUUUUCUAACACUAUCAACCAUUUCCAAUUCCGAGUUAAAUUGAGGGAGUUAUGAUCAAUACACGGCAACUGCCUCGUUUUUGAAAACCUUAGUUUUGGACCGGCUCAAUCCUGGUAAUCUAGAACAGCAACUUUAGGCUCAUUUUUGAAUACCAUCCACUUAGAUUCAUGGAAUGAUGUCUUCUAAGGACUUUUAGUACUUUUGAAGACGAUUCCAACGGUACCAAAUUCAUCAAGUUUCGAUUAGUAGAAAGAAAGUUAUGAUUUUUCAAAGAUUUGACCAAAAAUCAAAAAUUCUGGAAUUCCAGAGGAAAUCCGCGAAGGAACAAUUUUACCAGAAUCCGGCCUUGAAUCCGGCCAGUUUCUGGACGGAUUGUCGGCCGGAUUGGUGGUCAAAUUUGAAAAAAAGGGAGGUUACCCACGGCCAGAAAUCCGGCCGGAUAUCCGGCCGGAUUGUGACGUGGCCAACCCUCCUUCGAUUUCGAUCGUUCGUUUUGCAAUCCUUUCGCUCGUACUCAAUUCCAACCAAUGAUUUUAAGGAUAAUAAUCCGAUUUUCACUUAAGUCCUACACCCUUUUGAGAAUCCAACUUAAUAAACAAGUCAAACGAAGUUUUCAAAUAUUUCCGAACCUUACCCGUGCCCAAUCUUUCUCACCACUUGGGGACCUAUAAUAAUUGUCUACUAUUCGAUGUUCAGGCACGCACGAGGACCUCCAAGAGGAUCCUACCGUGGAAGUUUGAACUCUCCCUCCAACCUACUUACUUGCAUAACUGGUGAGUGUCAAGUGUAUGCCUACUUGAACUCUAAAGUCUUGAUUCAUGAUUGACUUACCUGAUUAUAUGCUCGGUCUAUUGGAUUUUGAAAAAUGGAGUCGAGUGUGUACUUAAUCGCACUCGUUCUCAUUUGGAACAAAUGACUCAUGUUUGACAUGCUUUGCAUGGUUUAUAUGACCUGAAAUACAUGUUUGAACCUGUCAAAUGCUUGAAUUUAUGAAAUGGUAUGCUAUGAUUGCAUACGUCGAUGGAGUGAAUCUCCUCGACAUUUACAUGAUACACGGGGGACGCCCAAACUCAUAGGCCGACCUUGGAACUCGAGCCGGCAUGGGCCUGGUCGGGAACCUUGGUGAGCCAUGAGAAUUACAUGAUAAGCUUGAUCUAUUUGAGAGAUCUCGCUUGGCAUACUCGUGAAGUAUCGCCUUAUAAGUGUCGUGCGGGCCCGAAGUGGUGUAUGGUGGACGGAUGAGAAGUAAGUGGUGAACUACGGAUAUGAAAAUAUCAACCUGGUUGACGGAGAGUCAUCACGGGGAGAUAUACAAAUGACAUCGGCAAAUGUGGAACUUAACUCCUGAGAGCUUCCAUAUCCUUGAAUUGUUUCUGGUUACAUUUUGUCGGCGUUAUUACUUACUUGCAAGUGAUUACCUGAAUUGUUAUUUGGGGCUUGUUAUUUGAAUUAUGUGUCUGCAUGUGUGUUCUUGGCCUCACGAGCGUUUUUGCUCACCCUGUAGAUUUGUUUUCCUUAACAGGUUUGAACUCGGAGGUAAAAUGGAGAAGCCCUCUGAUGUACUUUUGUUUAGGGCUUGUUAUUACUUUUGGUUAUGCCUUUGGUUUUGAAAUUUUACUUUUGGUAUGGAAAUGUAACCCUUGGACGAAAUGAAAUCUGUAUUCUGACGUGUGGUUUGGUGAAUGGAUGACUAUUAUUAGGUUUGAAUACUUCCGCAUUUAUUGUAUUUAAGUUAUUGGCUUUUGUUGUGUGGUCCGGCUAUAACUUGAAUGGAAUUGCUUGAGUCCUGGCGAGAGUUAGGCAGGCGUUCCGCGGAUACCCUUUGGUUCGCCUUAGGGAGAAGUGGGGGCGUCACAAAUCAUGUAUGAGAAAAUGAAACUAAUGAAAAUAUUCAUGUGCAAUCAAUAUAAUAAAUUGUCAUCUUUAUAAUUUUUAAGUUUGCAAUUCAUAAAUAUGGUAACAAAUAAUGUAAUUCAUGUGCAAUCAAUAUAAUUAUAUUGUUAAUUAAGGUUAUAAUUGUGCUAUAUAAAGUAUUUGGGACAAUUUGAAAAAUAUCGAGAAAUUUGGGACUACUUAUAAUAUAUUCAAAAUGUAUUUUGAUUAAACUAUACAACUUGUCCUUUCUUGUUGUAAAUCCAAGUUCAAUUAUGGAACAAUAUACAUGGAAAAGUUGACCUUAUAUGUGUAUAAAUCAUCUUAUUAAUAAAAUAAUUAAACACAAUACAUUUAGUUAACUAUGAUUUAGUGAUUGAUUAUUACAUCAUUUUUUAUAUAAUACGAUAAUUAAAUAUUACAUAUAUAAUAAAAUGUUUCAAAUAUAUUUUAAUUGAUCAAAAAAAUGGUAUACUUACAAUAAACAAAUAAUUAAAGAAAAUUUUGAGAGUAGAAUUUUGUGCUAAAAACGUGUAUUUUGGGUUCAAAUUUAUAACCCACCACUUAUCCACUUAGAAUUAGCAAAAGUAUUAAUUCAUUUCUAAAUACUCUAAACCAUACUAAUUUAUUAUAAUAAAGACACAAAACACUAGCUCCAUGUGAUAACCUAUAGCAAAAAUCAUCUAUUCACUUUAGUAAAAUAUAUGAGUCAAAUUUAAAGAUUCAUCAAAUUUUCUAGGUUUUAAAAUUGGGGUGCGUUAUUUACAUGGAUUUAAAGCUGUCUGAAUAUAGUUUACUACGCAAUAAACGGCACUCAAUUUCGAGUUUUCUACACAAAGAUAUGGCCAAAAUACUAAAAUUAUUACUUAAUUUUUUGAAAAAUAGUAGGAUCGUAGGAUCAUAUGAUCCGGAUCACGAUCAUAUUGAUCUUGUUAAUUUAAUGCUAAUUUUUUAUCCUACUUACAAUUUGGAUCGUUAACCAUGAUCCGUAUCGUAGGAUCGUAGAUCGCGAUUCUAGCAACUAUGGUUGUAGCUAAAAGUUUCUAAGAAUUGGAGUAUAUUAUAUAAUAUAUAGAAUGAAUAUUGAGUAUUAGAAGUAUAUAAUUUGAAAGAAAUCAUGUAUGUGAAAAAUGCAACUAAUGAAAAUAUUCUCAAUAUACAGCUGAAAAAAUAACUAAGUUUGAUAAAUUUGCAUUUAAUUUUUAGAUAGAAGUUUGUUGUAUGAUAUGUAAUUGCCAUUUCUUGAAAUUAUUCUUCACUCUUAUACCUUCACUAAACUUCAAAGAACUUAGCUACACAUAAAAUAGAAUGAAAGGAAUGCUUUCAAGUGUGCUAGUAAGUAAAUAUUUAUACUAUAUCUGUGCUAAUACGUGUCCAUAUGUAUAAUUCAAAAGUUUUAUGUAUUUCAUAUACGAAUAUCUUUUUUCAAGUAACUGCAUAGAACACUUGAUAGGUUGUAUUUUUGCCAUUAAUUUUAUGAUUAUUUCCCUCUUUAUUUUACCAAAUAUUGUAUUAAUUGAUAGAUUCUACUUAUAUUUGGUGCUUUAUGUUAAUUAUAGGACGUUGGGGUAAAAAGUGCUAAAAAAGGGUGAUUUUCUUGGAAUUGAUUGUCACUCGCAAGUUUCCCAAUUCAAGAUGAAGUCUACGUGGAUUAUUUGUGGAAGAUUAGGAAAUUACCAUUUUUCUUAGAUAUUUUAUUUAGAAAACAAUUGGCAUUAUUCUUGGAGUUACCUUUUUCAAUUGACCCGCUUCCGAAGUUACUUCCUUCGUUAGAGCUCGUUUAUCGUUGAUUUAAAUUUAAUCUGUUUUAGUUUAAUUAUUUUCAAUUUGCAUUGAUUAUUUAUUUUUAAUUGCAAUUUUCCAAACUCCCCCCCCAAUUAAUUGUCACUUGGAAAGAAGCAAAUUUUCACUCAAAACCUUGAGUUUAUAUCUUUUUGAGUAGGAAUUUAUUAUUACACAAGUCUGACACCUGUCAAUUAACACAAGGUUUCAAGCAAUGCACAGUUUCUUUUGUACCUAGAAUAGCUAAUGUAGCAAGUCAUAUGCUAGCACAUUUUGCAACAUAACUAGUUUAUGAUAUAGAAUGGGUACAUGAUUUCCCGAUUUGACUAAUAGAAGGGUGAAUGCCCCUUUUUGUAAUUAACUCUUGCACUUCAAGUGUUAACAUAUAUACUGAUUGUUGAAAAAAAAAGGAAAGUGUUUAUUUGUUUAAUCAAAUAGUUAUGGUAGUGUUUAUAUAAUUUCGUAAACAUUGAAAGGUAAAUGACCUCGUUGAAUUUGUAUAAUUUGAUUAUGUUGAAGAAACAUAUAAUCUUGGAAAAGCAGAGAAAUUUUCUAGUAAAUAUUAGAUAAACAAACAAGUCAUUAUUUUAUUUUGAUAGCUAAUCAUUGUUCAUAUCAAUAUACUAGCUAUAAAGUUAUACUCGCAAUACUACUAUUACGGUAUAAAAUUUCUUGUCAGAGCAAUUUAUAAUUUCAUCCCAUUUUUACCGUUGACUGUUAACCUCAAGUUCUUCGGAUAUCCAUGGGACAGUGUAACCCCUUUGAAGGUCAAUUCUUAUUGUUGAUGUGGCGUGUCCCACAUCGGAGGCUGCAUAAGGAAGUUUUCUUCCUUUUGUCCCACAUCGGCAAUCAAGAAGGAAAGCCUCCCCUUGUUUACCUAUAAAUAAGGGGGCUUAGUGGUGAAGAAAAGUGCACCACUCAAGAGAGUUAUAUGAGCUAUUAGCUUUUUGAGUCAUUUAUCCCAUUUGUAGUCAAAUGUUUUAUGUUCUCUUGUUUUGAGUUUAGGAAUAUUUUCUAAACUUUUUAUGAGUGCCUUUUGGCCUAGGAACCACUUUUCUACGGCUUUUGUAUAUCUUCUUCAUAGUGAAAGAUUUGCUCCUCCUCUGUCCAUGGACGUAGGUUAAUUUGACCGAAUCACGUAAAUUUCUGUGUCUUUUAUUUUGUUUUGUUAUUUGUAUUUAUUGGGUUGCCACAACCCUUUUAUAUGGUCAGUCUUACAGCCUAAAGUAUUAUAUGGUCGAUUUUAACUCCUAAACAUUAUAUGGUCGGUUAUACCGCCUACUUUGUGCUAACUUCAGUUUGUUUAUUUCUGGACCAGUUCUAACACUUACACCCUCAUCAAAGUUUCUGGAGUUGCGUAUUAUAGGGGUGCAAACACAAAAACGAGACAUUCUUAAUCAGAUGGAGUUCCUUCUUUUUGCGAUUCAUUCCUCUGCAAACCUCCUCCUCCUCCGAUUUUAAUAUAUGCCACUGUUAAAAUAGGAUACUUUUGUGGGUUUAAGAUUAGAUCGAGACGAACUCUUUUGUGCAAAACAUUUGCCCCAGGCAUCGUUACUACAGAGUAUGUGAUCCAAUUACCAAUGUAAGGUCACAAUGUUAGAGAUGUGAAAUUAUAUUGCAAUGGUCCCUAAAAUCCAACUUGAUCGAUAGGAAUACUAAUUAGGUGAAUACGAGGACUGUGAUUCGACUCUCGAUCUUUCCUCUCAAAUUACAGUAAUAUUUUUAAUCAUACACUCAUCCCCUUACUAACUUCCUAUGGGCCCAAUAUGUUGAGUAGAAUUCGAUUGGAACAACCGAAAAGAAAAGAAAAGAAAACAAAUACAAAACAAUGAAAUAGAGACUUAGUUAGUCAAGUUGGAAGCUAUGAGGAAGUGAGGAGCACAAGUGCGAACAGAUCACCAAGGAAAAAGAAACAAGUUUUUCGAGAAUGCAAUUUGAUUUCAAGCUCAAUCAUAUUCUAAGAGUCAAUGAUAAGAUAGAAAAAAUGUAGGUCCAUUGUUAAGAUAUAGACGGAGAUGGUUGCUUAUUGAGCGUUGGAAGUAUUUCAUAUGCAAGUUGUAAUUAUAUCUCAACUUGUAUAAUUUUAAUUUAAUAAGGUUAAAUUAAUGACCAUGUCAAUGAUUUAUGCGUCAUGCAUGACAUUCUUUUUUCUUGUACUCUCCCAAAAGCUGAAAAUUCUCGUCUCAAUCUCCUCCUCCACCGAUGGCUGCAUGUCUGUACAUGUUUCCCCACAACAAGAAUAAUGAAUCAAUUGCCAUAAUUGCACGCAUUUAAAUUUUCUGAGCUGGUGAUAAAUUGCAUAGUUUUGAUUUUUUUCUAUUUCCGGUUCCCACUCUAGCUACUUCUAGAUUUAUUAAUUGGAAAAAAAAAGAAGAAGGAAUAAAUUAAACCUUAUUUAAUUACUUUUUUAGUCAGGAUAUCUAUAGUAGAUGUAAUUAUCUCUAUAGAAAUGAAUGAAGCAUCCUAGCUUGUGAUCAUUAUCCUCUGUUGCAAUUCUCUUGUUCAAACUUCAAGUUAAGGUUUGUUUGCUAAUUUAAUGGAUUCAGAACUUAAAUUUAAUGGAUUCAAAUCUUAAUAUAUUCAAAUGCUUUUGAUAACCAAAACUUCAAUAUCUGAAUUAAUUAAGUGACACUAAAUUUUCUAGACAAAACUUACUCCUAAAAAUAAGUGAUAAACUAUUUACUUAUCACUUAAUGUGAUAUAUACUCAAAUGUAUCAGAUUUAGUACAUAACAAUUUAAUAACUUAAAGAAUUCAGACUUCAGAUUUCAGUUUUAUCAAACGCAUCUUAACUCAGUGCAAACUGAAUAUGAAAUCCAAAGUGGAAAAUCCAAGAGGUUAGAACUUUGAAACCAUAGGGCCUCUAGGCAAAUUCAGCAUUUUUACAUUCUACUGAUUUAGGGCAUCUUCAAUUAUCAGUUUCAACUCCAUGGUAUAAUAUAGAUAUUACCUCUAAUAGUUGUACACACUUACGCAACAAAUAUAGAUUGUGAAAUUAAUUGUAUAAGUUUGAUAUUUUGUAGGUUUUGGGAUAUAAUUUUCACGUUUAGGAAAAAGAAAAUAUGUUAGUAAGUAAUAAUGUGAUACCCCUUGUCCCACGUUGGAAGUGGGAGAGGAAAAGGAUUGAUAUAUAUACAAGAUUUGGUCGCAUAAGUUACUAGUUACUUGGGCUAACCAUGUCGGAAAGUGUAUUUCGACACAAAAAUUACUUAGGCCAACCAUGGGCUUGGAUGGUGAUAAAUAACUUACUAGAAGCCAGGCAUAUUUAUGUUUAGAUGUCCUAAAAGCAGAGUAGUUCAUAAUCUAGAUAAUGGUAACGAUAUGAUGAGAAUGUGAAGUUAUUUGGUAAACUUUAUAGAUUAAUAAUUUCAUCAAAGCAUCAUAUACAAGCAUGAUGACACAAUCUCAACUUUCAUUCUUUUGUUAAAUCUUAGUUUUUUUCUCUUAAAUUUUUUCGAAUAAAGGAAGGAUGGAAUUUAAGCAGUAGAGGGUGGAAGGGGAUUUUGAAUUCAAAAUCUCUAAUUUCUAAGUUUUUCCCUAAGCAAUCGUCAAAAUAAAAAAAAAAUUUAAAAGAAAAAAAAAUGAGCACCUCAUGGUCAAUGCUCCUGUUCGAAGAUUUAUUCCUUUGGUUUGUCAUCAUCUCCCUCUAUGAAAUCUAAGUACCCUUGGUUGACAAUUUGUUUCCCUGAGCAUCCAUCAACACUUUUAUAUAGUAUUUUUUUUAAUAUAGUAUUAGAUUAGAUUAGAUUAGAUUAUCAAUGCACCAUCAAUAUAGUAUUAGAUUAUCAAUGCACCAUCAAAACACUUUUAUAUAGUAUUAGAUUAGAUUAGAUUAUCAAUGCACCAUCAAUAUCCUUAAAUAUAAAAGCUUAAGUAUAGUAAUCAAAAUACUGUUAGUAAUCUGUACGAUUAUUUUUUAUCCUUUAAUGUUUUAGUUUUAGGAAGAUCACAAAUGCUGCGUAUAAAGCAUGCCAUAGGCUAAAUUAAGCUAAAUUAAGUACACUGCUAAAAUGGAGAGCAUUGCUAAAUUAAGUACCUUAAGAUAAAGACAUAAGCAGCCAGAUCCAUUUGAUGUCAGCUGCUUCAAUAUCCACCUCAAAAUAAAUUAGCCUUUGUUCUAGAUUUAGCUUAAUGCUAAGUCCCUUCACCAUUCUUAGUAAUAAUUCAAUUCUGCCUCAAUUUUCUUCUGAUCUUCAAGGUAAAUGUACGAUAAAUUUCAAAAUAUAUCCCAAAUAUAUGAAUUUCUUGAAACCAUCCUUGAAUCUCAUUACCUACUCAACAAAAUGUUCCAUAAACAUAAAGAAUUGACGAGAACAACAGGGCUCCUUAGAUUUAACAAUUUCAAAUAAGCCCAAGCUAGAAUUUUUCAUAUAUUCAAACAAGAAAUUGGAAAAAUCUGACUAGCUUGCAACGAGUACUACAUCUCAAGACAAAGGAUCUUUUCAGUCACUCUUUUAUUGUAUCGAAAACCUACUUGCAUCUAUGAAUAAGCAAUACUGUGUGAUUUUAGAUGUGAAGCUAAUUCCAUGUGGUAGGACAACUUUGGUUUAAAAAAUAAGGGCAGUCCAAUUCACUCAAUACAAAAAAUAUUUUUAAAUGAUGAUAUUCACAGGAACGUCUAUCUUACUUAAACAAACAAACAAAAAAAAAACAAUAAAAAGGAGAUUGAUUUAGAAAUGUCCGGAGACUUGAGACAUGGACGCUUCAUUAGUCAAUAAUAAUAAAGUCCGGAGACUUGAGACAGGGACGCUUCAUUGAGACUGUUGUGACCAAUUCAGCCCAUAUAGGUAAAAGAAAUGGAAUAAAUCGACAAGAAAUGGUGUCAUCACAUUUUAUUCCACAUUUACCCUUAUAGACCCUAAAAGAAAUAUUGUAACAUAGGACAAACUUUGUCGCUCCGAAGUUGAAUCACUUUUCUAUUCUAUAUACUAAACUUCAAUUUUGGACACUUUGCAUCUGGUUGGAGGCAAAAGCACAGGAAAGCCCUUUUUGAAUGGAAAUAGCAUAAAAGUCUUAGUGAAUGAACAAAUUGAAUAGACCAUUUUGCAGAGCUGUGAGAUAUUCCAAAGCCGUGAAGCACAGUGAUAAGCUACAAAUUAUAGUGGUUUAUAUUUAUUAAUUGUCAAUGAAUGGUUGUAUUUGAGCUAUAAUUUGAAUGGAUGUUGCCUAAUUUAAGUAUAUGUUGGUUUUUGUGGGAAAAGCACGCGAUUGAGGAGGAAAUGAAUCGAAAACGCAACAAAAGGGGAAGAAACGUUGGGUUGCCAAGACACAAGGAUCCGCGGGUGGAUCCUGUGUCCGACGCCAAACAUUGAAAGGGACUUUGCGAGGACUUCUUCUAGUUCUAAUGAUUGGAAAACCCACUAAAACUCGAUUUUUGGCAAGUUUCAAGACCCAUUCUUACCAUAUUUCGGAUACAACUUUCAAGACCCAUUCUUAGUUCAUCAUUUUUAUAUCUUCUUUUCUUGAGAGAUCACAAUGGAAUUGUUGAAGAAUCAAAGGAAGUUCAAGAUGGAGAUUGGAGCGGGGAAAAAUUAAGAAGUUUUCUUUACUUUUAACUUCUUAUUUUGUCUUUCAUUUGAAUUCUUGGAUUUAUCUAUGAAUAUGUUGAACUCAUUUAUAUCUAAAGUUAGGAUUUUGUGAAGGAGAUUUAAUUAUUUGUUCUAGAUAAAUUAUUCGCUUUUGCUUAGAUUUAUUUAUCUUGCCUUUAUUACAUGUUUAUGUUUUGCCACUAUAGAUAUGCUUUUAGGAUUUGUAUUGAGUUGAGAAGCGAUAUACAACCGUACAUUAGAUAGAUAAACAUACUUAGUAUAAUCAUGAAAGUAGGUUAAACAUUGUAUGGCAUAAUUAUAUCACCUAAGAUUUUAAAAGAUUUAAUUAAAUACUUAUAAUCUGAAGAGCAUCGUGAGAUUUAUUAGACAAAUUUAGAAGUAUCAAGAGAUAAUCUAAAGUACUUUUACGUGAUACGUCUUUGACUUGUCAAGAAAAUAAUUGGAUAUAUAAUUCCAAUUCUGAAUCAAAAUUUGAAACUCUGUUUUUUGCUAAUUGUUUUCUCACCCAUAUCUUGUUUGAUUUGAUUAUUUAUUUAAUUUCUUAAUUAGUGAUUAAAAACCCUCUGAAUUUAAAUUUUGUUAUUUUUAUUAGAGGAAUUAAAGUAUGAAAAAUUAACUCACUGCUGCAGGUUCGACCCUACAGUACUUCAAGGGAAUUAUUAUUACGAUCGACCCUGUACAGUUAUAGAAAUUCAUCGAUCACACAGCAACUAAAAAAAAUUAAUGCACAAUAAUGUCAUGAGCAGAAACAGUUCGCAUCUUAGCUGUUCAUCAUUCACGUAGAUUUCAAUUAGUGGUCAACAAAUAAAGGCAUCGAAAAAAGUAAUCCAACUAGAUAAGUGAAUUUAUACUACAACAUAUUUCUUUUUUCUACCGCAAAAACUUAACUAAUUUACGACAAUGUAGUCCAAGCUAAUUGAAGAUUAAUUUUCCCUAAAAAAUGUUCAUGAUAAAAACUCGACAAAGAGAUAAUACAACAGCUUACUUUUGGAGAUGAUCUUAUACGGUAUUUAUUAACAAACCAAUGAGGAGCGACAAAAUGUACAUAGGUUCCCUCCAUAUAUUAGCCACUUAAGCCUUUUUUUUUCCUUUUGGGACUACACAUGACAAAAUGAGGAGUGAAUAAGUCACUUAGCAUCAAAAAUUUUCCCUCCAUAUAAUUAGUUCAACCUGAUUUAAGACUAAAUUUUUACUAUAGGAAUGUUAGUGAUUCAACAAUGAAACACCAUAGAAACUUAUUUUGGGAGAUUGUCCUAGAAGAUAAAAAAUGAGCAACCAAUCAGAAUCCAUUCAGUCUAAUUAAUUCACCAGCUAUGUAUAUUUCAUCCAUUUUCACAUUAUAGAAAGAACAAUAAUGCAUGGCUUUAUCCAUCAUAAAUUGCUCGUAUAACAUCAAGAUAUUCAUGGUGUGGACCGCAAAUGGCUCGUCAUGUCUACUGGCUACAUUUUAAACAUAUCUUAUGGCCAGAAUGAUCAUCUUAUCAACUUAACGAGUUUAUUCAUAGUACCAUACCAUUAAUUUAAAAAAGUUUCAACCUUUUACCUUCUAUAGAUGUCAAGGAAUAUAGCUAAUAACGCACUUUUGGCAGCAAUCUUCCUUCACCCAAUUAAAGAUUUUCGGAGCUUAAAGUUCAGCUCCUAAAGCUCUUCUCCAAGGCUCACCAACCAACAGAGAAAUUACUUUUAGCAAAGUUGUUAAAUUUUGGCAACAGGUUUUGAUGGCAUCUUGGUAAGAUUGGAAGAUUAUACUGCGCUUCUAAGAUAAUGUUUAAAAAAGCUAUUUUAGUGAGGGCAUUAUGGUCAAUUUGCCCCUGAUGAUAUUGACAUUAGGUCCCAUCAACAUCAGAAGGGAGCUCAUUGUAUUAUUGGAUAUAACAAGGGUGCUAGUGAAAUUAUGAAAACCCCAAGGGAGGUUUUUGAAAUUAACCCUAAAAUACUCAUUCCACGCGAGGCGUGGCGUUCCCCUCCUAGUUCCUAUAAAUAGGGCACCAACUCAAUGCACUUAUCACUCGAUAUCAAUAAUUUAGCACAUUAUUUACAUUUUGAGUGAGAUUGUGAUCAAAUGGCAUCUUCAAAAAAUUUGCUCUUUCUUAUUGGUGUUCUCUUUGCACUUGUGCUCCUCAUUUCCUCUGAUGCAGCAGCUGCAGGUGCCUAGUCCUUUUUUUUUUUUCCUUUCUUCCUUUUUUUUUUUGGCUGCACCUAAACACUUAAAUGAAUGGAGAUUUGGAGACUCAUUAUUGGGAUGUGAAUUUUUAUGGAAGUCUAUUUGCAUAUUAUCUAGCAAGUCAUAUUAAUGUGCUAAUAUCUUUUUCAUUGUUUAGCAAAAGUAAAUUUGGGUUGCUUCUAUCAAUGGUUAGUGGCACAUCUGAUUUUUCAUGCAUCCUUAUAGUAUUGCUGUAAGGAUACACGUUCCAUAGUGUCGCACCAAAGAUUAAACUAACGUUGAAAACCAAAUUAAAUGCUUCUAAUUAUAAUUUAAAGCAAAAUAAUUCAUAUCCAAGUCGCACCAUCUUAUAUGCCUGGACUGUUUUGUUUAAUCCAUAUUCUUUUCUUUGCAUAUAUCUUGCAAAUUUUCAGCCUAGCCGGUCACCUAACGUUCGCAGCUUAAGAUAAAGCUCCAAAUAUUUAUGUCUCCUUGUGUCUUGAAACAGAUCAGAAGAGCAAUAAAACCACUGGUGUCCACGAUGCCAGUUCAGGCGAGGUUCAUCAGGAUAGCAUAAGCGAAGAUCGUUGCACAUAUGGUUGCUGCCGCUGGUACAAUGGAUAUUGCCAAAGAUGCUGUCCACCUCGUGAGAAUUGCAGAUAUGGUUGCUGCAGCUGGUACAAUGGAUAUUGCCAAAGAUGCUGUCCACCUCCUGAGAAUUGCAGAUAUGGUUGCUGCCGCUGGUACAAUGGAUAUUGCCAAAGAUGCUGUCCACCUGCUGGGUAGACCCCUGAAGCUACAUCCGGAGAUGAGGUCAAAAAUUAAUGCUAAAUAAAUAAGGGUGUGACACAGGAUCCGUGACACCUAUAUUAUUACCUUAAUAUGUUAUGUUGUGUUUGCCUUUGAUGGUUGAUUUCCUAUAUGUGUAAAAGACUUGUGCGGCUUCUCUUUGAAUUGGUGUAGAAUCAACAGGGGAAGCAUGUAAUGAGUACUCAGUUCGAGUGCUCUUCUUAUGUUGUUGUCAUGUUGAAUAAAUAAAUCUACUUGAUCAUCUACUGCAAUUGAUGAUCUCUAUCUCAGUUACAUCAGAAACUUCUGUACCUUGGACCUGCUAGAAUUUAGUGUGAUUGAUAUAAGACGUGCAGAAUGUUCACUAUAUGUAUAUAUGUGCUUCUUCAUCGUGCCAUGCCAUUACAAUGUGAAAGAAUUCAGCAUCGACGGAGUGAAACGUACCCAAUCCUGCUCCUGAGAAAGGAAACAAAGUCCCUCAAAAAUGGAUAUUUUGGAUGCCAUCAAGAUUUUGAAUUGAAUGCCAUUUGGAGAUCUGAAUGUUGUUUUCUUUUACCUUUAGCUUCGUUCAAGAUUUUUUUGGUGGAAAUGCUUCAUUUAUACGAAUUUUCCUAGUUAGUAAAUGCUUCUAUUACACUUGUACAAUACACAUUUAAAAGUAUAACACAAUAAAAGCUUGUGUAGUUCAUAUAUUUCAAAAAUAUUCAUACUUUUCAACUAAAUUAUAAAAAUACGUAGUAAAUUCUUGAUACAUUAUACUUUACGAACUAUACUUUAAAUUUUACAAAUAUUUAAUACUAUCACUUAUCAAUAACUCCACAUGUUAAUUUGUCUCCCAAUUCAAUAAAUUAUAGUACUUCCUCCCUUUUUUUAUAACUGACGUUUAAGGUUUUGCACACCAAUUAAGAAAAGUUUUUCAUUGCUUAAAUCUGUACACUACUUUUCUUUUGUACCCUCAUUAAUUGUCCAAUUCACCCAUGUUUUCUCUCACUAGAAUACGGAGGGGCAGAUAAUUACUAGGGUUGUUACAAAGAGAGAAGCAAUAAUUACUAGGAGUAGUAAUUAAGAACCCUGUAUUGGAAAAGAGAGAUAAAAGGGUAAAAUUGUGAAAAAAUAAUAAAUACUGUAUGGAGAUAAUAAAACGACAGAUAAAAGUACACUAGAGCAAAUUUUUUAAACGUCAGUUAUAAAAAAAGGGAGGGAGUAGCUAAUUCUCAAAGCUAACCGACACCAAAAUUCCCUCACUUGUUCACCUCCUAGUGGAUUUAUAUUAAUUACAUUGCAUUUAUUUCCUAAGCAUGAGUUUUGUAACCCCUCAUAUUAAAUCUCAACGAUUGAUUUUAACGGUUACCAAGGCGUCUAGUAAUUGGUUUGCUAUUAAUUUGAACUAGACAUUUAUUAGGUCUAGUAGAAUUUAUUCCUUCUUAUCACUUAGUUCAUAAACCUUAUGAAUCGUUAAAACCAGCUCUAACAUUAGCUAACAAGACUUCUACCAUUUCGGGUUUUGCUUAGAAAUCAGUCUGAUAGUUUAACUUGCUUCGUCCAGCUUUAUGAGUUGCUUUUUUUUUUCCAUAUUUGACAUUUCACCUAACUUUAAUAUGGGGACCAAGUUAGUAUUGUUGACAUUUCAUAUCUAAGACCAAGUUAGUAUUGUUGACAUUUCAUCUGACUUAGUUAGUAUUGUUGACAUUUCAUAUCUAAGACUUCUUAAUUAAUUGAUUUGUUAUAAGAACUAUAACGUAUGCGUGUUUUGUAAGCUUUCAUGUUUUUUUUUUAAUUCUUGUGGACCAGCAACGGAUAGUUUCUUCUAGUACCAAGCUUCCUUUGAAGUUCUUUAUUAUUAUUAUUUUUUGCGUGUCCAAAUGUAAAUUAAAAGAACCAACAACUUUGAACAAGUCUAUAUCUAGUAAAGAUAGAUAUAAAGAGGGAUACUAUAUCACUGCAACAGAAAAGGGAUUUGGCGAGGAGCAAAAGUCCACGCCAAUUAAUUUCAGCGAGAAAAAUGCUUCCUCGCCAAGUUUCUUGCUAGAUGCUCAUCGCAAAAAAUUAUUAGCGAGGAUGCUGCUGCUUUUCUCGCUAAUGAAACAGAUCAAUAGCAAGGGUUGACCUCCUCGCUAAUAGCUCAAAUACUAUGGCGAGAAAAACUUUUCUCACCACUAAAGUUAAAAACUCCCCACAAAAACCAGUAGUUCCUUGCAAAUAGUCAAGGUGUUUUGCUAGGAAAAAUGGCGCAUCCCCACCAAUAGUAUAGAAUUAGCAAGAAGUCUUUUGACAAAUCUGCAAUGCCCCGCGUACCAGCAAAACAUUUUUGGCUAGGAAAGUUUCCUCUCUAAUAAGUGAUAAUUGAUUAUUGCCUAACUGUUUGGUGGGAAAAUGUUCCUCUCCAAUGCUGUUAUGAACAUUUCUUAAUCCCAUUUUAGCAUGCUAAUCUUAAUUCUCUGAGCAAAUUACUGGGUGGUUUUAUUAGAAAAUUUAGCUGCAAAUAGCUUCAAUUUGGCUUCUCAUGUGUCUGUUGUACAUUUUCCAGGUUCUUAUAAGUAUCAAAUUGUUUGGCAAAAUUAUUUUUUUUAAUGAAUCAUGACCAACGUAGCUGCUCAUUAAAUUUAAACUCAUAAGCCCUGCUAUUGAUAGCUUUUUGGAAUAUCACUUGGUGCCAACAAACCCCAUUUUGCUACUUUGAUAAACAUUCAAUAGAAAACAUACAAAAGCUUUGGUUAGCUAAAAAUAAUUGCUAGCAAAGUAAUACAUCAACAUCCAGCUCUUUCAACAUCUUGAGCCAUACAAUAGGAAGUGCUUGAAAUCAAUUGGCAAUCCAAAUUUUUUUUAGCUCAUUAACCAUCCAAGAAAUCGCAACUUCAAUAAGUCAUUACAAAAGAAGAUUUCAUCAAGAGAACACCACAAAAAGGAGAAGCAGAAAAAAAAUAUAAGAGAGAGAGAGAGAGAGAGUUAAACUAGUCACAUGGACACAUAUUUGUCACCUCAGUAUUUCCGAUUCCUUAAUUCAGCCCAGUUAUCUUGGAACUCUAUCGGCAAUCCAUGGAACAUUUUUUGAAUGACAAUAUGCUGUUGCAACCUUCUGAUGAAAACUUCAAAGGUUCUAUGAUAGGUUGUAUUUUUGUCAUUAAUUCUAUGAUUAUUUUCCUUGUUUAUAUUACCAAAUAUUAUAUUAAUUGCUUGAUUCUACUUAUAUUUAGUAUUUUGUGUCAAUUGUAGGAAGGUGGAGCAAAAAGUAAUAAAAGAGGUGAUUUUUCAAGAGUUUUCCAAUUCAAGAUGGAGUUUACGUGGAGUAUUGGAUGAAAAUUAGGAAACUACCACUUUUUAUUAGAUGUCUUAUUAGGGAACAAUUAGCAUUAGUUGGAGAAGUUUCCUUUUACAAUUAGAAUUCUAUUUUUAGUUGGCCAAUGGACAGCCGAAGUAGUAGACUUCAAUUAGGAAACAAAGAGAGAAAAAAGGCCGGAAUCUCUCGUGAUUACUACCUUGGAGGGACAAGUAAAAGGAGACGGCCGCUGGUCUCUUCUUUAGUGAGUAUUUAGGGAAAAACCAAUGGUUAUCGAUGGAGUCAUGCGGAUCUCCCCUGAGAAUGUGUAGCUAAAUCUUCGUUUUCUAAUCGAAUGUCAAUUUGAGGACUUUGUUCCAAACAUCUGUGAGAUCGAAUUAUUUUACUUAUUUCUUUUAUUCAUUGGUAUUUGUGCGUUUUCUGAUUUAACUUCUUAUGCUUAUUAUGUUAUUUGAAUGUCAAGUGCCUGAUAUUCGAAUUAAUCUAAUAAUCUUCUGCCAGAUUAAUUGAUUGAAUCCGUAAUUGUUCAAUUGAUUAAUACUAGUGGCAACUAGCAUGAUUGGUUUCAUGUUAGGAAAACGUAUGAUCUAACUUAAACGAACCGUCAUAGCGUGUUUGUUAGUUAGGGUUAGACUUUUCUAAUUCUUAUUGCAAUCGAGAAAUUAAAUCUUAUAAUCGUACCUAGGGUUAUUUCGCGAUUAGGGAAAUAGUUAAUGGUCGUACCUUAACUAUAAAAAAAGUAAGGAAACACUGGUUGUUUAUCGUGUGUAUGAUAACUAUAACCAAUCUAUUAAUUAGUAAUUGAAUUAUCUUUGCAUUGAUGAUCAGUUGAAUGGACCAUGUCUGAAAAGUUGCACCUUUGGUUAGAGUUGUAUUGGUUAUUGAUUAAUUCCUGUUUAUUUCUAUUAGUUGUUUCAUUAGUUGAUUAAUUAAUUAUUUUAUAUUUUCCAAAAAUCCCCCAUACUUCGGACUCUGGAAGAAAUGAAUUAUCUCCAGUCCCUAUGGAUUCGACUCUGCUCACCGCUAUGUAUAAAUUUGUAUUUUUUUUGAGUAGGUAAUUAUUAGUACACAGGUUCGACACCUGUCAUUCUAUAACUAUAUACAGAGUCAUCUUUUUCAAAGAUUUCCUAUGCUGCAAAAUGUCUAUGAGCUUUAUUUCAUCUUCCUCCCCUAUAAAUUUUCUGAUUCCAAUCUGCCUAAGAUGUUCAACAAAGUGUAUUGGGAAAACUGUUUGGAAAAGUAGAUUCUAAGUCCUUGUAUAUGCAAAGUCCUCCUUACACAACUUUACAUAUUGAGAAGAUAAAAAAUUGCAGAACAUAAUAACACUUGAAAUUAGUGAGAAUAUAUCCAAAAAAAACAAAAUAUUAAUACUCGAAAUCAAGUUUUACAAUCAGUGCACAAAAAGCACCUAAACCCAAAUGACCCAUGUUUUGGAAUAGACCAAGUUUAGUUCAACUGCAGAAAUUCCUAGUACAAAGGAACAACAACUUCAACUUCAAUAAAUUGCAAGCUGGUAUUAUGAUUCUAUGAAUCCUGAAGCUCCCCCAAGUGCUCUUGCCUCCAACACUAAGUAUGUACACAGACGCUGACCUGUUCUAUAUACUUGUAGGUAAAUUCAGAUCAGACGGCAUUCAAUAGAACUGCCUUGAUUUGGCUCCAUAUCAGCACUACUACUCUUUAAAUCUAACUUGAUUAAGCUGCACAAAAGGGAAGAUUACAUUAGAUGGAGAAAUUUUACUGAUUGCAUAUGAAAUAGGGCCUAAAACCAACUAGGAAAAGCAGAGAAGUUUCUUAAAUAAAUAGGUAUUUCUGGGCGUCAGUGGCUAUGUUCUUUUGCUAUUCAAGUAGAAAUAAGGAAAUGAAGAUUUGAAAUCAGAGUUCUUCACCUGCUUCCCGUAUUGCUUUUAUCUCUUUCCCAUUAGUUGCUUUAAAGAAUUAAAGAAAAGUAGCAUAAACGUUACUCUUGCGUAUAUAUUUUUUCCUUGUUUCACUCUUACAUGACAAGGGUACAAAACCUAAUUGAGGGUAAAGGAUAAACAUGUCCAAAUGGAACACUAUUGGAAGGACUGUCCUCAAUGCCUAAACAUUGAGGUAGUUUGCUAGGAGUGCUAGAGUCUAGACAUAAGAUUUGUAGCAAACCGAAAAAAGCAACCAAAUGAACGUGUUUCUCGAUCUUCAGGCAUCAUUUAGCAUUUGGAUCCUAGCUAGCAAAGACAGUAGUAAAUCAACUAAUAUAUCUUGUUGAUUGCACUGCAUUGGACAUGCGCCAAGCUAAAAGUUUUGUUUCUUUUAUUUAGCUUCUUCAAUCAAAUGAUGAGUAUCUGAUUUGCAAUUUGAUUUCAGCACUAUUCAAGGUUGUGGAUCAUCAUCGAAUGUGGAACUGCAGAAAAGUAAUUCAAGCAGUUGACUAUUAAACCACACCGCUCUCUGCUCAAAAGUCUUCGGUGCUCUAUUUUGAACAUGAAGCAAUAAUUGGUCCAAUAAAGAAACUUCCUCGCCUGAUCCGCCAAAUAACCCCCCCCAAAAAAAACACACUCCGACUUCCCCUUCCGGCCAUCAACGCCUCCAUUGCUCAUUCCCACCAAAUGCUCUAAUGUCAUUCCCUUCCUAGAAAGUUGUUCACAGGGAAAAGAGCGAGAAGAAAAAAUACUAUCUAUCUUAAUAAAAGGUCGAAAGUAGGUACUACUAGUUUUUUGUUUGUACACCAAACCAGCAAUUGGUGGAUUGGAGAAUCAAUAAUAGUGUGUGUGGAUCCACCGAGUUUCUUAUAGCUGAUAAUAAUUAAUAAAAGAAAGAAAAUCCAAGCUCAGAAGCUGCUCCUCAUUAUCUUUCUCACAUGAGGGCAUCUUAACCUCCCCCAGACCCAGACCAUUUUCAUCCCCAUCCAAUUGAUUGCAGAAACCAAUAUAUUACACAUACCCACUAACCCUACUUAAGUACUAGUGUGAUGUAUAUCACUCAAACCCCCACCUAAAACUGACGGCACCACCAAAUCCUCCCCCCACGCGAACUCCGCAGGACACCCAGAUCCGUGAUAAAAAGGGAGGAGAGAAUUUAGUUGUCGAUCAUUUGAGUCGAUUGCCUAUUGUCAAGGAUGAUUUUAUAUUGAGGAAAACUUUUGCGAAUGAGCAACUAUUUUCUGUUAAUCCCUCUCUUCCUUGGUAUGCGAAUAUUAUUCAUUUCUUUUUUUCUUUUACAGAAACAUUAGGAAAUAUAUUGAUUUCAAACCAAGCUAUACAAACUUGAGCAACGGCCCAAAAGGAUAUUAUUCAUUUCUUGACCACUAAUCAAUUGCUUGCACAUUGGUCAAAAACAAAAUGAGAUAAGCUCAGACGUGAUGCUAAAUAUUACUUAUGGAAAGACCCCUAUUUAUAGAGGCAAUGUGCAGAUCAAAUACUACGCAGAUGUGUAAGUAAGAGUGAAUUUAAUUCUAUUUUAAUAUUUUAUCACUCUUAUGCAUGUGGAGGCCAUUUUAGACCACAAAGAACAGCUUGUAAAGUAGUGGAAAGCGAUUUUUAUCGGCCCACAAUUUUCAAAGAUACACAUUUGUUUUGUAAGUCAUGUGAUAGAUGCCAAAGGAUAAGAAAUAUUUGUCAUAAAACUUAGAUACUAAAAACCCUUAUGAGUUUUUGUGAAAUGUUUUAUGCAUGGGGUAUUGAUUUUAUGGGUCAAUUUCCUUCGUCUUUUGGUUUCCUUUACAUCUUGUUGGCCAUAGAUUAUGUGUCCAAGUAGAUAAAAACAAAAGCCAUCGAGAACUAAUGAUUCUAAAGUGGUUGUAGAUUUCAUUCAAUCACAUAUUUUUGUUCAUUUUGGGGUAUCACGAAUUAUAGUAAGUCAUCGAGAAAAACACUUUUGCAAUAAAAUGAUGGCGGCUGUAUUUCGUAAAUAUGGAGUGACUCAUAAGGUAUUUAGUUCUUAUCACCCCCAAACGAAUGGUCAAGCGGAGAUUUUGAAUAGGGAAAUUAAAUAAAUAUUGGAGAAGAUGGUUCGCUCCGAUAGGAAGGAUUGGAGUUCACGAUUGAACGAUGUACUCUAGAUUGAUAGGACAGUCUAUAAGACUCCUAUAGGUAUAUCUCCCUAUAGGUUGGUAUUUCAGAAGUCGUGCCAUUUACCAGUUGAGCUCGAGCACAAAACAUAUUGGGGGAUCAAGAAAUGCAACAUGGAUCUUGAUGAGGCUGGAGUAACAGAAAACUUCAAUUACAAGAAUUGGAAGAGUUGAGGAAUGAAACUUACGAGAAUGCAACACUAUAUAAAAAGAAGAUUAAGGUUUUUCGUGACCAAUAAGUUGCAAGGAAAUCAUUUGUAGUUGGGCAAAGAGUUCUUCUCUAUCAAUCUCAUCUAAAGCUCUUUCUAGGUAAGUUGCGCUCUCGUUGGGCUGGUCCAUUUGUUGUGAUUAAUAUUUUUCACUAUAGUGCAGUGGAAAUUCAGAGUAUGCAGAUAGAUAAGAAAUUUGUGGUUAAUGGUCAUUGUUUUAAAUCCUAUUAUGAAAGUGUUUCAAUGGAGAAGGUGGAGAUAAUAAAUCUUGAAGAUCCUACUUAUGCUAGUUGAACAAUAUUCGACCAUGUCUAAUCAAAGACGUUAAACCAAGACGCUUAUUGGGAGGCAAUCAAAUUCUUUUUUUAUUGUUUGUUCACUAAUAUUAUGUGUUUCACUAUGUUUAUCUUAUAUUUUUCAAAUUUGGCAUUUAUUUUUCAUUUUUAAUUUUUUUUAGUUAGAAGACUUUUCCCAACAAAACGCGCCCACGCGUUAAGGGUAUGUGGUAAUGCACAAAUAUCCAAUUCCAUCAUCAGAAAACUAUGGACCAACAUGACGUGCCCACAUUUUGAGGGUAUGUUGUAACUCGUAAUUAGCCAACUUUAUCAUAAAAAGUGUUUCAACCAAUAAGACGUGCCCACGUCUUGUCCUAGCAAGGGAGAAAAAACAAAUUGAACCCAAAAGAAUUUUUUUUCUCUUCUUUUUUUUCUUUCCUUUUUUUUUAUUCUUUCAUAUGCCUUUUCCCUUUUCUAUUUCUUUUCCUUUCCUUCUUUCUUUCUUUCUUCUUUCUUUUUUUCUUUCUUUAUUUCGCUCUUUCUUUUCCUCAGCUGCACGGCCAAAACUCUACUUGCUGCUUGCCCGUAGUUCAUCGCCCACCGUCCACUGUUGUCGCAGUUCGCUAGUUUGUCUCUACUACCGUUGCUGUCAUCACCGUUCGUCAAAGUCUAUCACUGGUUUCGCCAUCGCCCGUCUCUAGUUUUGCUGUCGCUCGCUACUGUGCCAUUCACCGCUGCUCGCACCGCCCUGAACGUCCAUCCUCUACCUACGACAGCCAUCGCUCCGCACUUUCUCUAUUGUCUUGUUUCUACUGACCCAGUUUUUGGUAUUCUUGUCCUUCUCUUUUAAAUAUUGUUGGGUUGCUACAUCGGAGUUUAUUAGAAUUUCUUUUUGCAGGGUUGAUUUAAUUUGUUGAUUGGGUAUUCCUCGAAUUGUUGGAUUGGCACUACUUGACAUCUGCUUGUUUUCUGAUGAUGACCACUAACUUGCAAUACUAUUUUGCAUCCAUGGGGAUUGAAUGCUGAUUGGAGGUUAUAAACUGUGGUGAAAUUGCCGCUACUUACUUGCCAAUUGCUGAUUGUUGAUAUUGAUAGGGGGUAUUGUUCUUACAUUUCUAGUUUUGUUAUUAAAUAGUGUCACAUCUCUGGGCUCUUUACUGUACACUUUGAUUUGAAAUUGCUUGGCUAUCUUUAGUCAUUUGGCAUACAUUAGAGGCUUGUAUUUCGCUAUUGUCUGAAUCGUCGUUUACUGCUAUUUUUGGAUUUAGUUAUCUAAAUGGCUAAGAAAAAAAAGACCACCAAGGCCAAGACCUCUACGACUAAAACCACUCCCCCAUCCCAACCAACUAUACCCUUGAGUGAACCUUCUACCAUCCUUCUUUUUUGGGUAAAUGGGCAUGCUUAGGUAGGGACAAGGGGGUCCAUAUCUCCUCACUCUUCCACUUUAGGGGUAAUUUGGCUCUCACCAAAGCCGUCGAUAAGAAAAGAUACUCUAAUUAUUAUGAGUGGCGAAUUAUUCCUUGUAAAUAUCUUGACCCUCCCAUCAUGGUUUCUUUGAAUAUCUUUGAGAAUAUUGCACAAAUGUUUACUGCCAUAGGCUAGCAUUCUUAUACCGAAAUAUGAUGUCCUACUUUUGUUGAAUUGAUUAGAGAGUUUUAUGCCACCUUUGAGUUUGAUCUAUCCAUGGGGUAUUCUGUCACAACUUCGAAUGUGAUUCGAUUUCGAUUGAUGGGUAGGGAGUUUAAGUUCUCCAUUACCGAGCUUAAUUUGGCCUCUGGGUUCAUCGAUAAUGAGUAUGCCAAUUCUAGGGAAUAUGCCGAGAGUGCUUGUGAUUAUAUCGACCCAUUUUUCUCCUUUCACACCGAGAUUUUGAAGGACGUUUCUAUUGAUGGUGAUUGUUAUGAUCCUAGCCAGUCAAAGAGCUGUUAUCUCAAGGACCUGAGUUCUUGUUAUAUUCAGCACUUUUUAGUCUAUAAUUACUCAGGUAGGAAAGAUAGUUACAAGACCUUUUCUAAGCCCAAAUUUUUCUUUAUUUGGUGCAUGACUAAAAAUAUCAAAGUUAAUUUGUGCUAUUGGCUAGUUUCCCAAUUCAAGACGGUUAUGGUUAAGAAAAACAAACCUUUGAUUCUUGGGUCUUGCAUCACACAUUUAAGUAUUCAUUUAGACAUUCUUGAUCCCCAUAACCAUGAUUUAUAUUUCGCUUGUAACAUGGACCCCUUAAAUAUGGUUUGUCUAGAGAAAAUGGGUGUAGUGGAAUAGGUUGAUGAAGCGUGGCAGUUUACUCUUUCGGGGCCCACUCAUGUACCCGUUCGUCAUCCUUCCGUGUGUGCUAGCACCUCUUCUACUUCAGGAGUAGCCGAUGGCAAGCCUGGACCAUCUACCUCCGCACCUUCUCCAUCGUCGUCUUGGUAUGCUGAGUGGCGAUACCUUCGUGCACAAGUUCACCAUAUGGAUGAACGGUUGACUAAUCUUGCACUUCGCAUGUCCCAGAUGUCCUAGACUUUUGCGGCUUACUUCCACCAUGUGGGUUUUACGAUGCCAUUCCCGCCUCAUCCAUAGCUGUCCGGAGUCCUUCUCCAUUUUCUUUAGGAAAGUUUCGUUGUCCCCUUCUUUUUCUUUUCUUUAUUUCUUCCAUUCGGGACAAUAUCAGAUUUAGGUGUAGGGGGGAGUUGUAGUACAGUUGGUACUAUUCUUUUAGCUGUUUUCAUUUUCUUUUUAUCAUUUGUGAGUAUUUUUAUCAGAUUUAGGUGUGGGGGGGAGUUGUAGUACAGUUGGUACUGUUCAUUUUAGCUGUUUUCAUUUUAUUUUUGUCAUUUGUGAGUAUUUUUAUGGAUAUUUGGGCUCGACAAUGGUUAGUUGAUUCUAAUUUUUCUAUUACCAAGUUUUAUUUAUAAAAAUGUAUCAAGUGUAAUAUGGGUAAGUCUAAGAAUAGCUCCUUGGUGAAUAUUUGAGAUUUUGUGACUUUUGCAAUUUUUGGUUAGCUUUUCUAGGCAUUGUGCAUAUUUUUCUAGUAUUUUCCAUGUAAAUUGGUUCGAUUAUUAAUCUUAAUUCUCCAUGUUUGAGGAAAUGAUGCAAGAUUGUGUGAUUUUUAAUGUUAUUUUGUUGCUAAUUUGUGAAUAGUAUUGGACUAUAUUCCGCUGGUUAUCGCUACCUAAUAACCGGGAGUUUUCACUUAAAGUGUCAACUUUCGUGUCAAACAGUAGCGGUAGCUAUGAGUAUGUGGCCCUUAAAUGAUGAAAAGUUGAGUAACAGGAUUCCUUCAUUUGGUAGAUGUCAGAAUUUACAUCAAAAGACUUGAAUGGCUAAGGACUAAAUCUUGUCCCUGAAAAAUGAACUAAAAAAAAAAAAGAAAAAAAGGAAACUGUGCGAGUAUGCAGUUGAUUAUGUUAGCCUGUCGAUCCAUGAGUUUAAUGUUGAGAUUUUGGUCAAUAGUUGAGCCGUUUGCUGAUCAAUGCUAGUCAAAUGUUCUAUCUUCUUAGAUUAGUUAGUCAGGAAUUGUUGAAGUCCUUGGUUUUAAAAGCUAACCGAAGAGCUAUUUCGUGGAACUUAGCUAUCAAUGCUUGAUAUAUUCUUUGAUGAUAUUUUGACAAUAAACGAGUUGAGUGAUAAUCAUUGUUGGGAUUCAGUUGCUGAUUUGUUGUUUCUCAUACUUGAGAACAAGUAUGAUCUAGGUGUGGGGGGAAAUUGAUAGGAUGAAAAAUUGUUAUUCAAUUUAUGAUUAUUUUCCCUUUUAUUCUACUUAUAUUUGGUAUGCGAUGCUAAUUGUAGGGCAGUGGAGUGAAAGUUGCUAAAAAGGGAUGAUUUUCUUCAAAGUUGGUUGUCAAGUGCGGAGAUGCGGGAUUUGUGCGCAAGAGUUUCCUAAUCCAAAAUGGAGUCUGAGUAGAGUAGCGACUAGAGAUUAAGAAAGUUUUUCUUCUAGAGAUUUGAUUUAAUUAGGAAGCAAUUAGUGUUAUCUUUUGGGAGUGUUUCCUUUUUCAAUUAGAAGUAGUUUUAUUCUUGAAAGCAAGAAAAUAGGGGAAGGGCCGUUUGACUUUUAGUACUUGACAAAAAGCAAGACGUGGGAGAUGAGAAGUUUUUGGGAGCGCUGGUGACUAGACUCACCGGGAGGAAAAGAAAAAAGAUCCUGUCCUCUUUGUCAUUGCUUUUACUCUCGUUUUCUAUUUUACUGGAUGCUUAUGCAAUUUAAUUCAAUUAAAUUGUGUUGCUUGAUGCCGAUGAUGUGCAACUAAAUUUUGUUUUUCUAGCCAAGAAAUAACGUGAAUUUGGGUUAUCAACAACUGUGAGAUCUAACUGUUUUUAUUAAUUUCUUUUAUUCAUUAGUAUUCAUUUUUUUUGGUUUAAUUGCUUAUGGGUAUUAGUUGUUUGAAUAUCAAAGGCGUUUGAUAUUUAAUUCAACCUAACAAACUAUUACCAGUUAAAAUAGUUAAAUUCACAAUUAUUUAAUUAUUUUAAAUUAGUAGCGACUAGCGUGAUUAGCUUUACGUCAGGGAGACAUAUGAUUUAAUUUAAAUAAACCCUGAUAAUGUGUUUAUUGAUUAGAACAAGACUUUUCUAGUUUCUAAUGCAAUCAAGGAAUUAAAUUUUAUCGACGUACAUAGGGUUAUUUUUUUAUUAGAGAAGUAGUUAACGAGUGUACCUUAACUAUUGAGACACUAAAGAAGAGCUGGUUGUCAUCGCGUGUUUGGCAACUAUAACAUAUUUAUUAACCAAUAAAUGAAAUAAUUCUUGCAACGAUGAGCAGUUGUUUGACCCGCUUCCAGAAUUAUUUCCUUGGUUAGAGCUCGUUCAUCCUUGAUUUAAAUUUAAUCUGUUUUAGUUUAAUUAUUUUCAAUUUGCAUUGAUUAUUUAUUUUUAAUUGCAAUUCUCCAAACUCCCCCCAAUUAAUUGUCACUUGGAAAGAAGCAAAUUUUCACUCGAAACCUUGAGUUUAUAUCUUUUUGAGUAGGAAUUUAUUAUUACACAAGCCUGACACCUGUCAAUUAACACAAGGUUUCGAGCAAUGCACAGUUUCUUUUGUAUCUAGAAUGGCUAAUGUAGCAAGUCAUAUGCUAGCAAAUUUUGCAAUAAAACUAGUUAAUGAUAUAGAAUGGGUAAAUGAUUUCCCAAUUCGACUAAUAGAAGCAGCUAGGAAGGAUGAGUGGGUGAUUGCCCCUUUUUGUAAUUGACUCUUGUACUUCAAGUGUUAAUAUAAAUACUAAUAUUAUCAUUUGUUGAUAAAAAAGAAAAGUGUUUAUUUGUUUAAUAAAAUGGUCACGGUAGUGUUUAUAUAAUUUUGUAAACAUUGAAAAAUAAAUUACCUCGUUGAAUUUGUAUAAUUUGAUCAUGUUGAAGAUACAUAAUCUUGAAAAAGCUGAGAAAUUUUCUAGUAAAUAUUAGCUAAACAAACAAGUCAUUAUCUUAAUUUGAUAGCUAAUCAUUGUUCAUAUCAAUAUACUACCUAUAAAGUUAGACUCGCAAUACUACUGGUACGGUAUAAAAUUUCUUGUCAGAGCAAUUUAUAAUUUCAUCCCAUUUUUACCCUUAAUUGUUAACCUCAAGUUGUUCAAAUAUCCAUGGGACAGUGUAACCCCUUUGAAGGUCAAUUCUUACACCCUCAUCAAAGUUUGUGGAGUUGCGCAAACACAAAAACGAGACAUCCUUAGUCAAAUGGGGUUCGUUCUUUGUGCGAUUCAUUCCUCGGCAAAGCUCCUCCUCCUCCGAUUUUAUUAUAUGCCGCUGUUAAAAUAGGAUACUAAUUAGGUGAAUACGAGGACUCUGAUUCGACUCUCGAUCUUUCCUCUCAAAUUACACUAAUAUUUUUAAUCAUACACUCAUCCCCUUACUAACUUCCUAUGGGCCCAAUAUCUUGAGUAGAAUUCGAUUGGAACAACCGAAAAGAAAAGAAAAGAAAAGAAAACAAAUACAAAACAAUGAAAUAGACACUUAGUCAAGUUGGAACCUAUGAGGAAGUGAGGAGCACAAGUGCGAACAGAUCACCAAGGAAAAAGAAACAAGUUUUUCGAGAAUGCAAUUUGAUUUCAAGCUCAAUCAUAUUCUAAGAGUCAAUGAUAAGAUCGAAAAAAGUAGGUCCAUUGUUAAGAUAUAGACGGAGAUGGUUGCUUAUUGAGCGUUGGAAAUAUUUCAUAUGCAAGUUGUAAUUAUAUCUCAAGUUGUAUAAUUUUAAUUUAAUAAGAUUAAGUUAAUGACCAUGUCAAUGAUCUCUGCGUCAUGCAUGCCAUUCUUUUUUCUUGUACUCUCCCAAAAGCUGAAAAUUCUCGUCUCAAUCUCCUCCUCCAGCAAUGGCUGCAUGUCUGUACAUGUUCCCCCACAACAAGAAUAAUGAAUCAAUUGCCAUAAUUGCACGCAUUUAAAUUUUCUGAGCUGGUGAUAAAUUGCAUAGUUUUGAUUUUUUUCUGUUUCCGGUUCCCACUCUAGCUACUUCUAGAUUUAUUAAUUGGAAAAAAAAGAAGAAGGAAUAAAUUAAACCUUAUUUAAUUACUUUUUUAGUCAGGAUAUCUAUAGUAGAUGUAAUUAUCUCUAUAGAAAUGAAUGAAGCAUCCUAGCUUGUGAUCAUUAUCCUCUGUUGCAAUUCUCUUGAUCAAACUUCAAAUUAAGGUCUUGUUUGCUAACCCAAUUGAGCACUUAAAUUUAAUGGAUUCAGAUUUUAACAUAUUAAGAUACGUUUCAUAACCAAAAGUUGAACAUUUGAAUUAAUUAAGUGACACUAAAUUUUUCAGGCAAAACUUACCCCUAAAAAAGAGCGAUAAGUUAUUCACUUAUCACUUAAUGUAAUAUGCACUCAAAUAUAUCAGAUUUAAUACUUAUAAUAACUUAAUGAAUUCAAAUUUCAUAUUUCAUAUUUCAAUUUUAUCAAACGCACCCUAUCUCAGCGCAAACUGAAUAUGAAAUCCAAAGUUGAAAAUCCAAGAUGUUAGAACUUUGAAACCAUAGAGCCUCUAGGCAAAUUCAGCAUUUUUACAUUCUAUUGAUUUAGGGCAUCUUCAAUUAUCAGUUUCAACUCCAUGGUAUAAUAUAUGUUGAAGAUAUGUAAUCCGAUAUUAUGAAAAGAUUUGAUAUUGUGAAUAUUAGAAAAGAUUAGAUUUGAUUGAUUAUAGUAUCAUGUGAUUAUAGUAUCAUAUAUUAGGUAAUAGAUUGAUUUAGAUUAGCAUUAUUUUAAGAUCUAAAUUAGGCUACACUUGUGUAUAUAUAUUUGUAUAUUGUGUAGUUCAAAAAUAUAUGAAGAAGAGUAUUUUCUCUCUCUUUUUCUUAGUUUUCAUGGUAUCAGAGAUUCAGGCUCUGUUAUCAGUUUAUCUUUUGACGUGACCCUAUUGAGUCACUUUUAGGUCUUUCUUGUGUGAAUUAUAAUGUCAGAUAUGAAAGGUAGUAGUAGAGAGAUGAAAAUAGUAAUUUCUGAUGUUAUUCUUACAACAUAAAAAAUUACUGAACAUAAAUUGAGUGGAAAAAUUUUUUUGGAUUGGAGUAAAACUAUUCGGAUAUAUCUGCGCAGCAUCGAUAAAGAUGAUCAUCUCACUGAUGACCCACCCAUUGAUGGGAAAGAAAAAAAGUUUGGCUAAGGGAAGAUGCAAAACUAUUUUUGCAGAUCCGAAACUCUAUUGAUAAUGAGAUAGUCAGUCUCAUCAAUCAUUGUGAGUUUGUUAAAGAUCUUAUGGAUUAUUUGACUUUCUUGUAUUCUGGUAAGGAUAAUUUAAAUCAUAUAUAUGAUGUUUGCAAGGAAUUUUACCGUCCGAAAAAGCAGCAGAGAUCCCUUACAGAAUAUUUUAUGAAAUUUAAACGUGUGUAUGAGGAAUUGAAUUCUCUCAUUCCUUUUAGUACUGAUGUAAAAAUUCAACAGUCUCAACGGGAACAAAUGGCUAUAAUGAGUUUUCUUGCAAGAUUACCAGUUGAAUUUGAUGCUACUCGAACACAAAUUCUCUCUAGCCUAGAGAUUAUUUCCCUCCAUAAAACUUUCACACGAGUAUUGAGAACCGAGAGAUCUUUGUUUACUUCCAAUGUUACUAGUGCUCUCGCAAAUCGAAAUGGAGCUGGUCAUAAUGGUAGAAACAGUGACAAAAAUGGGACUGGUGGGAUUGCUGGUCAUAGACAAUACAACUCAAAUCAGCGAGUCUGUUAUCACUAUAAGAAACCAGACCAUACCAUAUGUACGUGUUGGGACCUUCAUGGUAGACCUCAACAGCAGCCCUUAUUUGCAAAUUUUGCAACUCAGGAAAAUAAUUAUGUGUCGUCUGAUAAAUUCAUACUCAUCUCUGCUGAUGAGUUUGCCCUUUUUACCGAGUUCCAAGCCUCACAAAAAUCUGCUAACCCAUCUUCUAGUACCAAUCCUCCUUCUAUUGAUCACUCAGGUAAAUCUACUACAUGCCUUGUGUCAUCUUCUAACAAAUGGGUCAUCGAUUCCGGUGCAACAGAUCAUAUGACCGGUAAUAAAGGUAUCCUCUCCUCUUUUAAUCCUAACAAAGAUCAUCCGAAUGUUACUUUAACUGAUGGGUCAUGUGGUUCAGUUGUGGGUUCUAGUAUAGCAAUUCUUGUGUCAUCUAUCCCCUUAUAUUCAGUUUUAUGCUUACCUAAUUUUCGUUUAAUCUACUCUCAGUCAGUAAAAUUAUAAAAACUCUCAAGUGCUCUGUCUCAUUCUUUUCUGAAUAUUGUAAUUUUUAGGAUCUUAUGACGGAAAAGAUUAUUGGUAAAGGACGUGAGUCUAGCAGCCUGUAUACACUUGAAACCCCUUCAUCGAAAGUGCCGAAACCUGUUACAUGUUCCUCCACCUUGACUCCGCUUGAAAUUCACUGUCGUUUGGGUCAUCCAUCUCUACCCAUUUUGAAGAAAUUGUGUCCAAAUUUUCAGAAUUUAUCCCAUUUAGAUUGUGAGUCAUGCCAAUUUGCUAAGUAUCAUCGUUUGCCUUACUUGUCUAGAGUCAAUAAAUGGGUUUCAUCCCCCUUUGAAUUAGUGCACUCUGAUAGAUGGAGUCGUUGUCCAAUAGUAUCUAAGUCUGGUUUUAAGUAUUUUGUCACCUUUGUUGAUGACUACUCUCGUGUUACUUGGUUAUAUUUAAUAAGAAAUCGUUCAGAUUUAUUUAAUAUCUUUUGUUCCUUUUGUUCUGAAAUAAAAACACAAUUCAAUAUGUCUGUCCGCAUUUUGCAAAGUGAUAAUGCAAAAGAGUAUUUUUCUAAACUCUUUAAUUCAUAUAUGUCGGAAAAUGGAAUCCUUCACCAAUUUUCAUGUCCUGACACACCCCCACAAAAUGGUGUUGCUGAAAGAAAAAAUAGGCAUUUAUUAGAAAUUGCUAGAGCCCUUCUAUUUCACAUGAAGGUUCCUAAACAAUUUUGGGCAAAUGCAAUUUCAACAGUCUGUUUCUUAAUUAAUCGCAUGCCAUCUUCUGUGCCUGCUGGUGAGAUUCCUUAUUCAAUUUUGUUUCCAACCCAAUCUUUAUUCCCCAUUGAGCCACGCAUAUUUGGGUAUGCUUGUUUUGUUCGUGAUACCCGUCCUCAGGUGUCUAAAUUAGAUCUCAAAUCUCUCAAGUGUGUGUUUAUGGGUUAUUCACGUCUUCAAAAAGGGUAUAGAUGUUAUUCUCCAAGUUUAGAUCGUUAUUUAGUCUCUGUCGAUGUUACAUUUUUUGAGGCGCAUCCAUUUUUUCUUGAGUCUAAUGUUUAUAGUAGUUAGGAGGAGGGAGAUGAUAUUCUAGUUUACACUAUUAUAAUAACUGUUCCUACAAGACCACCAAUCACUCAAGUGUAUUCUCGUCGUCCUCACCACAUAGACCCACAUUCUCCACUACCUUCUCUGUCUACAGAUCCGAGUCCUGAUCCACCGCUUCUUCAGUCUCUAGAUUCCAGUUUUAUUUGCCUAUUGCUUUAAGAAAAGGUAAAAGUCAGUAUACACUUACCCAGUUUCAUCAUUUGCUUCAUAUGACCAUUUAUCUCUCUCUUUGCGUUAUUUUACUGCUUCCUUAGAUUCAAUAUCUCUUCCUCAACGCUUAUCUGAGACUUUGGAACAUCCUGGUUGGCGGGCUGCUAUGGAGGAAAAAAUGAUGGCCCUAGAUAAUAAUGGUACCUGGGAUUUGGUUCAGCUACCAACAGGUAAGAAAUUUAUUGGUUGUAAAUGGGUGUUUGCUGUUAAAGUCAAUCCUGAUGGUUCUAUUGCUCGUCUCAAAGCUCAUCUUGUUGCAAAAGGGUAUGCUCAGACAUAUGGGGUGGAUUACUCAGACACGUUUUCUCCCGUAGCAAAACUCACCUUUGUUCGAUUAUUUAUUUCCCUUGCUGCUACUAAUAAUUGGCCUUUGUACCAAUUAGAUGUUAAGAGUGCAUUCCUUCAUGAGAAUUUGCAAGAGAAAGUUUAUAUGGAGUAACCACCUGGAUUUGUUGCUCAGGGGAAGUCUGGUAAGAUUUGUAGACUCUGAAAGUCAUUAUAUGGUUUAAAACAGAGUCCUCGUGCUUGGUUCGGGAGAUUCAGUGAGGUGGUUCAAGAGUUUGGCAUGAAGAAGUGUAAUUCUGAUCAUUCUGUCUUUUGUCAAUAAUCUGAAGUUGGUAUUAUUCUAUUUAGUGGUUUAUGUUGAUGAUAUUGUUAUUACUGGUAGUAACAAUGCAGGUAUUGCAGGUCUUAAAAAUUUACUUCAAUCGCGCUUCCAGACAAAAGAUUUGGGUAUGUUGAAAUAUUUUUUAGGCAUUGAGGUUACAAGAUGUAAACAAGGUAUCUUCCUAUGCCAAAAAAAGUAUGUCCUUGAUCUUUUGAAAGCAACAGAAAAGCUAGGUGCUAAGCCAUGCAAUGCACCAAUGAUCCCCAACAUGCAGCUUACAGCAGAUGAUGAGGAGUUAUUCUCAGAUCUUGAAAUGUACCGGAGAUUAGUGGGGAAGUUGAAUUAUCUUAUUGUGACUCGUCCGGAUAUUGCAUAUCCGGUUAGUAUUGUGAGUCAAUUUAUGUCCUCGAUCACCAAGAACCACCCAUUGGGUAGUUUUAGAGAAAAUCUUAUGUUAUCUUAAAGGAACUCCAGGACGUGGUAUACUAUAUGGUAAUCAUGGUCAAUCUCAUGUUGAAUGUUUCACAGAUGCGGAUUGGGCAGGUUCUAAAAUUGAUCGAAGAUCUACAACUGGAUAUUGUGUCUUCGUUGGAGGUAAUUUGGUAUCGUGGAGAAGUAAGAAAUAAAGUGCAGUAUCUCGCUCUAGUGCAGAGUCUGAAUACCAAUCUAUUGCACAAUCCACUUGUGAGCUUAUAUGGAUACAUCAAUUAUUGUGUGAAGUGGGAAUCAAUAAUUCACUUCCAAUGAAGUUAUGAUGUGACAAUCAAGCUGCCCUUCAUAUAGUAUUAAAUCAAGUUUUUCAUGAGAGAACAAAGCAUAUCGAAGUUGAUUGCUACUUUGUUCGUGAAAAAAUUCAGCAAAACUCGAUCUCAACCAGUCAUGUGAGAACUGGAGAACAGUUAGCUGAUAUUUUCACUAAACCUCUAAAUGGUCCGAGAAUUGAUUACAUUUGGGGCAAGAUGGGCAUGAUUAACAUCUAUGCUCCAUCUUGAGGGGGAGUGUUGAAGAUAUGUAAUCUGAUAUUAUGGAAAGAUUUGAUAUUGUAAAUAUUAGAAAAGAUUAGAUUUGAUUGAUUAUAGUAUCAUAUAUUAGGUAAUAGAUUGAUUUAGAUUAGCAUUAUUUUAGAAUCUAAAUUAGGUUACACUUGUGUAUAUAUAUUUGUAUAUUGUGUAGUCCAAAAAUAUAUGAAAAAGAGUAUUUUCUCUCCCUUUUUCUUAGUUUUCAAUAUAGAUAUUACCUCUAAUAGUUGUACGCACUUGCACAACAAAUACAGAUUGUGAAAUUAAUUGUAUAAGUUUGAUAUUUUGUAGGCUUUAGGAUAUAAUUUUCACGUUUAGGAAAAAGAAAAUAUGUUAGUAAGUAAUAAUGUGAUACCCCUUGUCCCACGUUGGAAGUGGGAGAGGAAAAGGAUUGAUAUAUAUGCAAGAUUUGGUCUCAUAAGUUACUAGUUACCUGGGCUAACCAUGUCGGGAAAGUGUAUUUCGACACAAAAAUUGCUUAGGCCAACCAUGGGCUUGGAUGGUGAUAAAUAACUUACUAGAAGCCAGGCAUAUUUAUGUUUAGAUGUCCUGAAAGCAGAGUAGUUCAGAAUCUAGAUAAUGGUAAUGAUAUGAUGAGAAUGUGAAGUUAUUUGGUAAACUUUAAAGAAUAAUAAUUUCAUCAAGGCAUCGUAUACAACCAUGAUGACACAAUCUCAACUUUCAUUCUUUUGUUAAAUCUCAGUUUUUUUCUCUUAAAUUUUUUCGAAUAAAGGUAGGAUGGAAUUUAAGCAGUAGAGGGGUGGAAGGGAAAUUUGAAUUUAAAACCUCUAAUUUCUAAGUUUUUCACUAAGCUAUCGUCAAAACCAAAAAAAAAAUUAAAAGUAAAAAAAAAUUAGCACCUUAUGGUCAAUGCUCCUGUUCGAAGAUUUAUUCCUUUGGUUUGUCAUCAUCUCCCUCUAUGAAAUCUAAGUACCCUUGGUUGACAAUUUGUUUCCCUGAGCAUCCAUCAACACUUUUAUAUAGUAUUUUUUUUUAAUAUAGUAUUAGAUUAGACUAGAUUAGAUUAUCAAUGCACCAUCAAUAUAGUAUUAGAUUAUCAAUGCACCAUCAAAACACUUUUAUAUAGUAUUAGAUUAGAUUAGAUUAGAUUAUCAAUGCACCAUCAAUAUCCUUAAAUAUAAUAGCUUAAGUAUAGUAAUCAAAAUACUGUUAGUAAUCUGUAUGAUUAUUUUUUAUCCUAUAAUGUUUUAGUUUUAGGAAGAUCACAAAUGCUGCGUACGUAUAAAGCAUGCCAUAGGCUAAAUUAAGCUAAAUUAAGUACAUUGCUAAAAUGGAGAGCAUUGCUAAAUUGAGUACUUUAAGAUAAAGACUUAAGCAGCCAGAUCCAUUUGAUGUCAGCUGCUUCAAAAUCCACCUCAAAAUAAAUUAGCCUUUGUUCUAGAUUUAGCUUAAUGCUAAGUCCCUUCACCAUUCUUAGUAAUAAUUCAAUUCUGCCUCAAUUUUCUUCUGAUCUUCAAGGUAAAUGUACGAUAAAUUUCAAAAUAUAUCCCAAAUAUAUGAAUUUCUUGAAACCAUCCUUCAAUCUCAUUACCUACUCAACAAAAUGUUCCAUAAACACAAAUACAUUAAUGAAUUUGGAGUUGAUUUGAAGAAUUGGCGAGAACAACAGGGCUCCUUAGAUUUAACAAUUUCAAAUAACCCCAAGCUAGAAUUUUUCAUAUAUUCAAACAAGAAAUUGGAAAAAUCUGACUAGCUUGCAACGAGUACUACAUCUCAAGACAAGGGAUCUUUUCAGUCACUCUUUUAUUGUAUCGAAAACUUACUUGCAUCUAUGAAUAAGCAAUACUGAGCUUGCAACGAGUACUGCAUCUCAAGACAGGAGCGUCUAUCUUACUUAAACAAACAAUAAAAAGGAGAUUGAUUGAGAAAUGGCCACAUUAUCUUAUCAUUCUUAAUUAUCAUUAGUUCAAUUAUCAACUUUAGCAGUCGAGAAAGGCUGCAACUUGUACAAGGACAAUAAAUUCUUUAUUCCUUCGUCCGGAGACUUGAGACGUGGACGCUUCAUUAGUCAAUAAUAAUAAAGUGUGGAAUUCGACGACUAUUCUUAGCUCGUUCAAGGAAACAGAGAAGAGACCAAUUCAGCUGGUACCCCUCUUAUUUUCAAUAUUAUGCUGACCACUCUUACUUUAGUGUUGUGACCAAUUCAGCCCAUAUAUAGCCGAGUAUGAGAGUCAAUUUACUCGGUUAUCUAAAUUUGCGCCUAAACUGAUUGUAACCCAGCAAAUGCGGAUAAGGCGUUUUGUCCAGGGACUAAAUGUUGAGAUUCAGAAGGACCUAGUUGUAGCCCAACUUAGCGCCUUUAGUGAUGCUAUGGAGAAAACCCAGCGGGUUGAAAAUGCGAGGUUACAGGUGAGAAACUUCCAAACCAAGAAAAGGGGCUUUCGUGGGAGUAGCUCCGAGCAAGAGGGUAAAAGUACACCACCUAAGAUUGGAAAGGAAAACGGGAGAAUAUGACAACCGGGAGAAAAGGGACCCAACAACCAACUAAGACUAACCUGGACAGUCGGAAGAGGAAGGGACUGGAUCAAAGGUACCGGCUCGGAUGUAUUCUCUAGAGCACCAUCAAGUCCCUGACUCGUCUGAGGACGUAGAAGGUACGAUCCGUUGGUUACCUUAGAUUUUGAGAGAUCCCGUUGAAAAGAAAAUUUCGAGGACGAAAUUUCUUUAAGGGGAAAGAGUGUGAGAACCCGUAAAUUUUUUAAAUUUUAUAUUAUUUAUUUUAUUUCCACGCGUGCAUUUUUCUUCACUAUACCCUACUAUUUUGAUUUUCCAGAUAUUUUAUAAGUAAAUAGAGUUUUUAAAUCAUUUUCCUAGUUUAAGUUAGUAUAUGAUAAGUUUGAAGUGUAUUAUUGACGUGGGACCCACUAGUGCGGUAAAUGCGAUAUAUUUUUGACAAUUUGUUGGAGUUUUGUAUCAAGCGAUAUUAUUUUACAAGGUGCUAGAAUACAAUUAGAGGUGAGCUAGAUAAAUUACCAUUGGUAGACAAAGUAUGAGAAUGAAACCCUAAGGUGCCAUUUGUUACAAAAUCAUUGGAAGUUGGACUUUGACUUAAGACCAUCUUAUGUUUUAUUUAACCAAUUUUGACCAGGAACCCUCUUCAUUUCUUCUUGGCUUGGCCGAACAAAGGGAGAGGAAAAACCAAGAGAGUUCCUCAUCUUCAACUUCAAUUUCUAGCCCAAAUCUUGAGUUUCAACCACUAGUAUCUCAAAUUACUCCAUAAAAAUUUUUUGCUAGGAAGGAUUAGAGGUGAUGGUGGAGUGAUUUUUGAGGGGGAAGUACUAAUCUAUCAUCUUUCUAGUGUUUCUAAGGUAACUUGUCAAGAAACACCUCAUUUACUUCCAAUAAUUGUAUAGUAGGGGUUGAUAGUUGUUAAAUACGUAGUUUUGUGGGAGAUUUCUUGGUUUAAAGCAGUAUUAUGGUAAUUUUCAAUUUUAUGGUAAUUUUUCUGCCCUCAUGUGAUAAGUAAUGGUUGGUCAUAGAAUGAUAGCUUUAUAUGGUGUAAAAUGAAGCUUUGGUAUGCUAGAUCUGGUUGCCUAAAGAAAUUUCAGCUAGGGUGCAAGAAUUUCAGUUUUAGGGUUUCAAUCUGCCCUAUUUUUACACUGCAUGUUCGUCUAGGAUAGAGACCGAAUCAGGCCUUGCUCAAAACAUGAAAGUUGUAGGUAAUUGAGUUAGCUAUCUUCUUGUAAAAUUUCAGCUCAAUAGGAGUACUGUAGCCUAUGAAAUGACUGAAAUACCCUUGACUGCCUACAAGCUUUGUUCCGCGGACAGUUUUCUAUUUUCUCUAAGAUUUUGAUUUUUGACCGUGAAAAUGCAUGAUUUGGCUUUGGAGGUUUUCAUAAGAAAUGUAGGUAUAUGUCUUAGCUUUGAAACACCAUGAAAUUUGUCUCAAUCCAAUAAAUGUAGCUUUAGUUGUGGUUAUUAUACUAAAAGAUAUGUUUUAUAGUCUAUGAUUUAUCUAUGAAAUUGUGGUUGAUUGGAGUUGGGAUUAGUGAUGAAAUGUAGGAUGGAAAAAUAAGGAAUUUAUUAAGGGGAGAUGCUGUCCAAUUUUCUAGCCGUUUGAUUCCUUUAAGUUGGAGUUGCAUUGUGGUAGAAUGAGGGCGUUUGGGGUUGUUUGUAACCCUCGUACCACUGUUAUCCGUUUGCUCAAAAAUCGCAUUUUUAUUCUUUUGUAGUAGUAUAUAACUUGGAGAGGCACUCGACUAGUAAUCGAGCCUCACUUGUGCAUCUGUUUACUCGGUUUUGGAUAUGUAAACUUUAACUGUUUUUACCUUUGAUAUUCUUAGGGUUUCACGGUGAUUAAGGCCACUUUGGGUGAAAAUUUUGAAGUACCUGUACUUGAACUGGUGAGUGUACCACUUCCCUAAUUUGUUGCUUAUCUGGCUAUCCGUGACUUCUGUAUACUCUGUAUGAAAUGAGAGUGUACUUUAUCACUCUCGUUUCUCUCAUCUGUUUACUUUGUUUCCUGCAUACUAUAUAAGUCUGUAUUUGCUCUCUGUAUCUGUUAUUUGUAUCUGCUCUCUGUAUAAGUCUGCGACCUUUGGCUCAAAACCUGUGACUAGUUACUCGAGUCGAGCCGGCAAGGGCCAGUUCGAUUAGAUAACGAUCCACGGUAGUCUGUUUCUAGAAUCUUUGGGUAUUGAGACUCUUGAUUCCGGUAUACUCGAGUAUUACAUUCCUAUUCCUGUUGAGGUGUUCGGACCUGGUAGUGGUAUGUUUGAUGGACGGAAUUUGGCGUAAAAUGGGGUCUACGAACAUGAUUGUUACCAUACAUUGACGGAGAGUCAACGAGUUUGGAUCAAUACUGCAAAUAGAAAUCUGGCUCCUGAGAGCCACUUGUAUCCUUCUAUAUUAAAUCACAGUGUCUAACUGCUUUACUUUAUAUCUGGUAUGUGUAUCUGAUUGGUUAAAUGUGAAAUGCCAUGAUUUGAUUGCUUAUACAUUUGGUACCUUAUUGAGCGUAAACUCACCCCAUUCCGUUAUCCUUGUUUUCCUUACAGGGUUCCAUGUUUUGAAACCAAGAUUUUUGGAAAAAAGAGUUGAGCUAGUUGUACGACUUCUUUUGUUUAUACUCCUCUGUAACUGAAACCCUAAUUGUAAUUCGUAUCCGUGCAGAUAUUUUGACUUGUACUUCAAGUAAUUUGUUGAAGACACGAAUGUAUAGAUGUUGGCAAGUGUAUAGUGGUAUAUAUAUUUGAUGAUAAAUGCAUGUUUUAUGAUUGUAUUAGCUUUACUUUUACCCGUUGGAAAGAUCGGACAAGGGUGGGCUUGGAACGAGAAAACAAAAAAAAAUUGGUGAGAAAUUAUUUCUGACAAUCCGGCCGUAUAUUUGGCUAGUUAUUGGCCGGAUUGCUGGCUGGAUUGACAGGGAAUUUGAACAAAUUUCGUUCAGCUACUGCCUCGAAUCUGUCCAACUUCCAGCCGGAUUGUGACGUGGCACUUGCUUUUCGUUUCGUUUUCAAUUUUCGUUGGAAUAUUAUAUCAAAGUUCUAUUGUAUCUUUCAGUUUAGUUGCUUAGUUUUCGAAAGUUCAUUUUCGCGAAGUCCUUUUGAAUGCUUUGUAGGGUUUUCGUGCAUAAAUUAAAAGAACCCAUCAACUUUGAACAAGUCUAUAUCUAGUAAAGAUAGAUAUAAAGAGGGAUAUUAUAUCACUGCAACGAAAAAGGGAUUUGGCGAGGAGCAAAAGUCCACGCCAAAAGUUUUGACUUCCUUGCUAAUUAAUUUCAGCGAGAAAAAUGCUUCCUCGCCAAAUUUCUUGCUAGAUGCUCGUCGCUAAAAGUUAUUAGCGAGGAUGCUGCUGCUUUUCUCGCUAAUGAAACAGAUGAAUAGCAAGGGUUGACCUCCUCGCUAAUAGCUCAAAUACUAUGGCAAGAAAAGCUUUCCUCACCAACUAAAGUUAAAAACUCCCCACAAAAACCAGUAGUUCCUUGCAAAUAGUCAAGGUGUUUUGCUAGGAAAAAUAGCGCAUCCUCACCAAUAGUAUAGAAUUAGCAAGGACCCGUGUACCAGUAAAACAUUUUUGGCCAGGAAAGUAUCCUCUCUAAUAAGCGAUAAUUGAUUAUUGCCUAACUGUUUGGUGGGAAAAUGUUCCUCUCCAAUGCUGUUAUGAACAUUUCUUAAUCCCAUUUUAGCAUGGUAAUCUUAAUUCUCUGAGCAAAUUACUGGGUGGUUUUAUUAGAAAAUUUAGCUGCAAAUAGCUUCAAUUUGGCUUCUCAUGUGUCUGUUGUACAUUUUCCAGGUUCUUAUAAGUAUCAAAUUGUUUGGCAAAAAAUUUUUUUUAAUGAAUCAUGACCAACGUAGCUGCUCAUUAAAUUUAAACUCAUAAGCCCUGGUAUUUGAUAGGUUUUUGGAAUAUCACUUGGUGCCAACAAACUCCCUUUUGCUACUUUGAUAAACAUUCAAUAGAAAACAUACAAAAGCUUUGGUUAGCUAAAAAUAAUUGCUAGCACAAUAAUACAUCAACAUCCAGCUCUUUCAACAUCUUGAGCCAUACAAUAGGAAGUGCUUGAAAUCAAUUGGCAAUCCAAAUUUUUUUUAGCUCAUUAACCAUCCUAGAAAUCGCAACUUCAAUAAGUCAUUACAGAAGAAGAUUUCAUCGAGAGAACACCACAAAAAGGAGAAGCAGAAAAAAAAAAUAUAACAGAGAGAGAGAGAGAGAGAGAGAGAGAGAGAGAGAGUUAAACUAGUCGUAUGGACGCAUAUUUGUCACCUCAGUAUUUCCGAUUCCUUAAUUCAGUCCAGUUAUCUUGGAACUCUAUCGGCAAUCCAUGGAACAUUUUUUGAAUGACAAUAUGCUGUUUCAACCUUUUGAUGAAGACUUCAAAGGUUCUAUGAUAGGUUGCAUUUUUGUCAUUAAUUCUAUGAUUAUUUUCCUCGUUUAUAUAAUCAAAUAUUGUAUUAAUUGAUUGAUUCUACUUAUAUUUGGCACUUUGUGUCAAUUGUAGGAAGGUGGAGCAAAAAGUAAUAAAAGAGAUGAUUUUUCAAGAGUUUUCCAAUUCAAGAUGGAGUUUAGGUGGAGUAUUGGAUGAAAAUUAGGAAACUACAACUUUUCAUUAGAUGUCUUAUUAGGGAACAAUUAGCAUUAGUUGGAGAAGUUUCCUUUUGCAAUUAGAAUUCUAUUUUUAGUUGGCCAAUGGACGGCCAAAGUAGUAGACUUCAAUUAGGAAAUAAAGAGAGAAAAAAGGCCGGAAUCCCGGUGAUUCCUACCUUGGAGGGAACAAGAAAAAGGAGACUGGCCACUGGUCUCUUCUUUAGUGAGUCUUUAGGGAAAAACGAAUGGUUAUCGAUGGAGUCCUGUGGAUCUCCCCUGACGAUGUGAAGCUAAAUUUCCGUUUUCUAGUCGAAUGUCAAUUUGAGGACUCGGUUCCAAACAUCUGUGAGAUCGAAUUAUUUUACUUAUUUCUUUUAUUCAUUGGUAUUUGUGCAUUUUCUGAUUUAACUUCUUAUGCUUGUUAUGUUAUUUGAAUGUCAAUGGACCGAUAUUCGAAUUAACCUAAUAAUCUACUGCCAGAUUAAUUGAUUGAAUCCGUAAUUGUUCAAUUGGUUUCAUGUUAGGGAAAUGUAUGAUUUAACUUAAACGAACCCUCGUAGCAUGUUUGUUAGUUUGGAUUGAGCUUGUCUAAUUCUUAUUGCAAUCGAGAAAUUAAAUCCUAUAGUCGUACCUAGGGUUAUUUCUUGGUUAGAGAAAUAGUUAAUGGUCGUACCUUGACUAUCGAAAAAGUAAGGAAAGUUUGGUUGUUUAUCGCGUGUAUGACAACUAUAACCAAUCUAUUAAUUAGUAAUUGAAUUAUCUUUGUAUCGAUGAUUAAUUGAAUGGACCGUGUUUGAAAAGUUGCAUCUUUGGCUAGAGUUGUAUUAGUUAUUGAUUAAUUCCUGUUUAUUUCUAUUAGUUGUUUCAUUAGUUGGUUAAUUAGUUAUUUUAUAUUUUCCAAAACCCCCCAUACUUCGGACUCUGGAAGAAAUGAAUUAUCCCCAAUCCCUAUGGAUGCGACCCUGCUCACCGCUAUAUACAAAUUUGUAUUUUUCUUGAGUAGAUAAUUAUUAUUGCAUAGGUUCGACACCUAUCAUUCUAUAACUGUAUACAGAGUCAUCUUUUUCAAAGAUUUCCCAUGCUGCAAAAUGUACUCUACGAGCUUUAUUUCAUCUUCUUCCCCUAUAAUUUUGCUGAUUCCAAUCUGGCUAAGAUGUUCAACAAAGCGUAUUGGGAAAACUGUUUGGAAAAGUGGAUUUGAAGUCCUUGUAUAUGCAAAGUCCUCCUUACACAACUUUACAUAUUGAGAAGAUCAAAAAUUGCAGAACAUAAUAAUACUUGAAAUUAGUGAGAAUAUAUCCAAAAGAAACAAAAUAUUAAUACCUGAAAUCAGGUUUUACAAUCAGUGCACAAAAAGCACCUAAACCCAAAUGGCCCAUGUUGGAAUAGACCAAGUUUAGUUCGACUGCAGAAAUUCCUUGUACAAUGGAACUGCAACUUCAACUUUAGUAAAUUGCAAGCUGGUAUUAUGAUUCUAUGAAUCCUGAAAUCUCCCCCAAGUCCUCUUGCCUCCAACACUAAGUAUGUACACAGACGCCGACCUGUUAUAUACACUUGUAGGAAAAUUCAGAUCAGACGGCAUUCAAUAGAACUGCCUUGAUUUGGCUCCAUAUCAGCACUACUGCUCUUUAAAUCUAACUUGAUUAAGCUGCACAAAAAGGGAAGAUUACAUUAUAUGGAGAAAUUUUACUGAUGGCAUAUGAAAUAGGGGCUAAAACCAACUACGAAAAGCAGAGAAGUUAACCUCAACCGACCAGGAAACAAGAUGCAAAAGUCAGAGGUUGUUAGCUUAAACCUCAACCAAACGAAAAAUGAAAUCUUUGAUAUUAAACACAUAACCCACAUAAGUUAGCUUCACAGGGUCCAGAAGGAUGGUUGGAACUCAAUUUUCCUAAAAUUGUGAGGAAAAUAAUGCAAUCCUAGAAAUCUAACACAAAUAAUGGUAAUAAAAUCACACAAGAAGGGUAUGAAGACUUACAAAAUGGCACCAAAAUAUAGAUCUAACAGUAUUUGAAGCAAAUGGAUGAAGCAUUGAAGUUGUUCUCAAAUUUUUUGACAGCAAUAAAACCUAAGCUCCUUCACGUUUAGCAAUUCAUAGGAGAUAGAUAGGAGGCGGGUCUUCUUUUUUAGCAAUUCCUCAGAGGUCUUCUUCCCGUUUAGCAAUUCCUGCAUCUGUUCUUUUAUUUUUGGACUAAAAAUCACCAAUGUUGGCCUUUGAGAGAAGAACAGAUGCGUGCUUCUCAAUUGACAGAGACAAGAGAGGACCAGCCUUUCUAUGUAUAUAUCCCUCAGCCUCUAACAAGUUUGAAUUUUGACGGAAGGAUGUUGCGGGAAAAAUAAAAUUCUUGGAGGGGAUAAAACACGCGUCCUAAAUUCUGAUUUAAGUGUUGUAGUCAAAAGUUUCUAAGAAUUGGAGUAUAUUAUAUAAUAUAUAGAAUGAAUAUUGAGUAUUAGAAGCAUAUAAUUCGAAAGAAAUCAUGUAUGAGAAAAUGAAACUAAUGAAAAUAUUCAUGUGCAAUCAAUAUAAUAAAUUGUCAUAUUUAUAAUUUUUAAGUUUGCAAUUCAUAAAUGUAGUAACAAAUAAUGUAAUUCAUGUGCAAUCAAUAUAAUUAUAUUGUUAAUUAAGGUUAUAAUUGUGCUAUAUAAAGUAUUUGGGACAAUUUGAAAAAUAUCUAGAAAUUUGGGACUACUUAUAAUAUAUUCAAAAUGUAUUUUGAUUAAACUAGACAACUUGUUCUUUCUUGUUGUAAAUCCAAAUUCAAUUAUGGAACAAUAUACAUGGAAAAGUUGACCUUAUAUGUGUAUAAAUCAUCUUAUUAAUAAAAUAGUUAAACACAAUACAUUUAGUUAACUAUGAUUUAGUGAUUGAUUAUUACAUCAUUUUUUAUAUAAUAUGAUAAUUAAAUAUUACAUAUAUAAUAAAAUGUUUCAAAUAUAUUUUAAUUGAUAGAAAAAAUGGUAUAAUACAAUAAACAAAUAAUUAAAGAAAAUUUUGAGGGAAGAAUUUUGUGCUAAAAAACAUGUAUUUUGGGUUCAAAUUUAUAACCCACCACUUAUCCACUUAGAAUUAGCAAAAGUAUUAAUUCAUUUCUGAAGACUCUAAACCAUACUAAUUUAUUAUAAUAAAGACACAAAACACUAGCUCCAUGUAAUAACCUAUAGCAAAGAUCAUCUAUUCACUUUAGUUAAAUAUAUGAGUCAAAUUUAAAGAUUAAUCAAAUUUUCUAGGUUUUAAAAUUGGGGUGAGUUAUUUACAUGGAUUAAAACUGUCUGAAUAUAGUUUACUAUGCAAUAAACGACACUCAAUUUCGAGUUUUUUACACAAAGAUAUGGCCAAAAUACUAAAAUUGUUACUUAAUUGUUUGAAAAAUAGUAGGGUCAUAGGAUUGUAUGAUCUGGAUCACGAUCCUAUUGAUCUUGUUAAUUCAAUGCUAAUUUUUUAUCCUACUUACAAUUUGGAUCGUUAGCCAUGAUCCGUAUCGUAGGAUUGUAGAUCGCGAUUCUAACAACUAUGGUUGUAGUUAAAAGUUUCUAAGAAUUGGAGUUUAUUAUAUAAUAUAUAGAAUGAAUAUUGAGUAUUAGAAAUAUAUAAUUUGAAAGAAAUCACGCAUGUGAAAAAUGCAACUAAUGAAAAUAUUCUCAAUAUACAGCUGAAAAACUAACUAAGUUUGUUGAAGCUCUAGUCUUUUGCUAAUUGUUUUCUCACCCAUAUCUUAUUUGAUUUGAUUAUUUAUUUAAUUUCUUAAUUAGUGAUUAAAAACCCUCUAAAUUUAAAUUUUAUUAUUUUUAUUAGAGUAAUUAAAGUAGAAAAAAAUAACUCAUUCCUACAUGUUUGACCCUGGAGUACUCCAAGUGAAUUAUUAUUUCGAUCAACCCUAUACAGUUAUAGAAAUUCAUCUAUCACACAGCAACUAAAAAAAACAUUAACGCACAAUAAUGUCCUGAGCACAGUUCCCAUCUUAGCUGUUCAACAUUCACGGUGGAUUUCAAUUAGUGGUAAACAGAUAAAGGCAUCGAAAAAAGUAAUCUAAUUACGAGAUAAUUGAAUUUAUACUACAGCAUAUUUCUUUUUUCUACUGCAAAAACUUAACUAAUUUAAGACAAUGUAGUCCAAGCUAAUUGAAGAUUAAUUUUCCCCAAAAAAUGUUCAUGAUAAAAACUCGACAAAGAGAUAAUGCAGCAACUUACUUUUGGAAGUGAUCUUAUACGGUCUUUAUUAACAAACUAAUUAGCCACUUAAGCCUUUUUUUUUUGGGACAGUACAUGACAAAAUGAGGAGGGAAUCAGUCACUUAGCAUCUAAAAUUUUCCCUCCAUAUAAUUAGUUCAACCUGAUUUAAGACUAAAAUUUUUACUAUAGGAAUGUUCGUGAUUCAACAAUGAAACACCAUAUAAACUUAUUUUGGGAGAUUUGUCCUAGAAGACAAAAAAUGAGCAACCAAUCAGAAAGUCGUACUUACAUAUCAAAAUCGAUACAAUCUACUUAAUUCACCAGCUAUGUAUAUUUCAUCCAUUUUCACAUGACAGAAAGAACAACAAUGCAUGGCAUUAUCCAUCAUAAAUUGCUCAUAUAACAUGCGAUCUAUUAUGCAUCUAAGGCUUUGAAUGGAACUUAACUCAAUUAUACAAUCACAGAAAAUGAGCUUUAGUAGUUAUUUUUGCCUUAGAAAAAUUUCAUUCUUAUUUAUUAGAAGAUAAAGUGAUUGUGUAUUCUGACUAUGCAGCGCUACGGUACUUGAUGACUAAGAAGAAUGCUAAACCAAGGUUGAUAAGAUGGAUUUUGCUUUUAUAUGAGUUCAAUUUGAAAAUUCGUGAUAAAAAGGGAGAAGAGAAUUUAGUUGCCGAUCAUUUGAGUCGAUUGUCGAUUGUCAAGUAUGAUUUUAUAUUGAGGAAAACUUUUCCUAAUGAGCAACUAUUUUCUGUUAAUCCCUCUCUUCCUUGGUAUGCGGAUAUUAUUCAUUUCUUGACCACUAAUCAAUUGCUUGCACAUUGGUCAAAAACAAAAUGAGAAAAGCUCAAAUGUGAUGCUGAGUAUUACUUAUGGGAUGACCCCUAUUUAUAGUGGCAAUGUGCAGAUCAAGUACCACGCAGAUGUGUGAGUAAGAGUGAAUUUAAUUCUAUUUUAAUAUUUUAUCACUCUUAUGCAUGUGGACACCAUUUUAGACCACAAAGAACAGUUCGUAAAGUAUUGGAAAGCGAUUUUUAUUGGCCCACAAUUUUCAAAGAUACAUACUUGUUUUGUAAGUCAUGUGAUAGAUGUCAAAGGUAGGAAAUAUUUGUCAUAAAAAUUAGAUACUAAAAACCCUUAUGAUUUUUUGUGAAAUUUUUGAUGCAUGGGAUAUUGAUUUUAUGGGUCCAUUUCCUUCGUCUUUUGGUUUCCUUUACAUCUUGUUGGCCGUAGAUUAUGUGUCCAAGUAGAUAAAAACAAAAGCCACCCAAGCCAAUGAUUCUAAAGUGGUUGUAGAUUUCAAUCAAUCACAUAUUUUUGUUCAUUUUAGGGUACCACGAAUUAUAGUAAGUGAUCGAGAAAAACACUUUUGCAAUAAAAUGAUGGCGGCUGUAUUUCGUAAAUAUGGAGUGACUCAUAAGGUAUUUACGUCCUAUCACCCCUAAACGAAUGGUCAAGCAGAGAUUUCGAAUAGGGAAAUUAAAUAUAUAUUGAAGAAGAUGGUUCGCUCCGAUAGGAAGGGUUGGAGUUCAUGAUUGAACGAUGUACUCUGGAUUUAUAGGACAGUCGAUAAGACUCCUAUAGGUAUAUCUCCCUAUAGGUUGGUAUUUGAGAAGCCGUGUCAUUUACCGGUUGAGCUCGAGCACAAAGCAUAUUGGGGGAUCAAGAAAUGCAACAUGGAUCUUGAUGAGGCUGGAGUACACAGAAAACUUCAAUUACAAGCAUUGGAAGAGUUGAGGAAUGAUACUUACGAGAAUGCAACACUAUAUAAAGAGAAGAUUAAGGUUUUUCGUGACCAAUAAGUUGCAAGGAAAUCAUUUGUAGUUGGGCAAAGAGUUCUUCUCUAUCAAUCUCGUCUAAAGCUCUUUCUAAGUAAGUUACGCUCUUGUUGGACUAGUUGACAGGUUGUCAAGCCUGUGCAAUAAUAAAAACCUGCUCAACUAAAAUUAAUUUUUGCAAUAGUGGUAAGCAGGGUCGAAUCCACAGGGACUGGGUGUAACUGUUUCUUUUCAAAUCCACAGUAACCGAGGGGUAUUUUUGUGUAGAAAGUGACAAUCAAAUAAAUUCAAAUAAAAUCCAAGAAGCUAAUAAAAACUAAAAUCGAAUGGAUGAUAACUAAGGUUCUAGCCAAGAAAUAACUUCAGUAAUGGUUCACCUAAUUGAUUAUCGAUACAAAGGCAAUUUCAAUUAUUUAUUAAUAAAUAGGUUAUAACUGCCAAACAAGCGAUGCCAGUCAACCCAUUCUUACUGCGUCGGUGAUCAAGGUAUGCCCAUUAAUCACUACUCUAAUUGAGCAAUAAUCUCAUGUACGCCCGUAAGAUUUAAUUCCCCAAUUGCCUUACUUAUUAGAGGAGUCCUAUUCUAACCAAAUAACGCACUACCAGGGUUAUUUCAAAUUAGCCCGCGUAUCCCCCUGACACAAAUAUAAUCAUGCCAGUUGUCACCAAUUCAGGGCAAUUAAACAAUUACAGAUUUAAUGCCCUAAUUGACAAUAAAUUAUCAAGUUAACUAAUUAUCCAGAUCCAAAACAAUCAAUUAAUUAAAUAAUCAUAAAUACUGCAAUCAAGGGAUAUGUGAAUAUUAAUAAAUAAAAAAAAAAGAUAAAAUUAAAUCGAUCUUACAAUUUUUAGGCGAACCAAAGCCUCCGUUGUUCCUUGACUAGAGUGAAGAAAUUAAUUCAUAUUUGAUGUGAAAAACCCACACAAAAGUGAAGCAUCAGUCGCGGCCAUUGCCGAACAAAUGAAUGGAAAACGAAAGUUACAGAGAAUGAUUGAAUCUCCUAAUUGCUCGUAACAUCCGAGGAAUGAAAAGAAAACUACUAAGAGCUAAACAAAAAAGAAAAGUCAAAGGCUAAGCCAUCACAAUAGUGCUAGUUCUCUGCGCUUUUUUUCUAUCUAAUACCUAGCCACUCUAAAGCUUAUCUCCUGUGCGGCGGCUCCCUUGCCAGAAGAAGACUUCGGCCUUUUCGGGUUUUUCUCUUGCCGUCUUCGGCCAAUUAUCAAAAAGGGCUGCACCUUCUGUUCCAAAAAUGCCCCUAGAUACUUUGUACUUGAGCUCCUUCCUGAUGAUUGCCAAAUUGGUAUUUGUUAUAGUAUUUUCGAUCCACUCCCUGAAAUAAAUACAAAUUGUCAAAAGUGAAUAGAAUCUAAUAAUUAAUCCAUAUCAGGUCAGGUAAUAGGAAAAAUUAAUAAUAAAAUAAAUGAUAAAAUUGUAACCUAUUACUAGUCCAUUUGUUGUGAUUAAUAUUUUUCACUAUGGUGUAGUGAAAAUUCUAAGUAUGCAAAUAGCUAAGACAUUUGUGGUUAAUGGCCAUUGUUUUAAACCCUAUUAUGAAAGUGUUUCAAUGGAGAAGGUGGAGAUAAUAAUUCUUGAAGAUCCCACUUAUGCUGCUUGAACAAUAUUCGACCAUGUCUAAUCAAAGACAUUAAAGUAAGACGCUUAUUGGGAGGCAAUCAAAUUCUUUCUUUAUUGUUUGUUCACUAAUAUUAUGUGUUUCACUAUGUUUAUCUUAGGUUUUUCAAAUUUGGUAUUUUAAAUUUCGUUUUUAAUGUUUUAUUGGUUAGGUGACUUUCUCCCAACAAGGCGUGCCCAUGCCUUAAAGGUACGUGGUAAUACACAAAUAUCCAAUUCCAUCAUCAGAAAACUAUGGACCAACAUGACGUGCCCACAUUUUGAGGGUAUGUUGUAACUCGUAAUUAGCCAACUUUAUCAUCAAAAGAGUUUCAACCAAUAAGACGUGCCCGCGUCUUGUCCUAGCAAGGGGAAAAAAACAAAUUGAACCCAAAAGAAUUUUUUUUUCUCUUCUUUUUUUUUUCUUUCCUUUUUUUUUUCUUUCAUUUGCCUUUUCCCUUUUCUAUUUCUUUUCCUUUCCUUCUUUCUUUCUUUCUUCUUUCUUUUUUUCUUUCUUUAUUUCGCUCUUUCUUUUCCUCAGUUGCAUGGCCAAAACUCUACAUGUUGCUUGCUCGCCGUUCAUCGCCCACCGUCCAUUGCUGUUGCAGUUCGCUAGUUUGUCUUUGCUACUGUUUUUGUCGUCGCUGUUCGUCAAAGCCUGUCACUGGUUUCGCCAUCGCCCGUCUCUAGUUUUUCCGUCGCUCGCUAUUGUGCCAUUCACUGCUGCUUGAACCACCAUGAACGUCCAUCCCCUGCAAGCAACCGCCAUCGCUUCGCACUUUCUCUAUUGUCUUGUUUCUACUGACCCAGUUUUUGGUAUUCUUGUCCUUCUCUUUUAAAUAUUGUUGGGUUGCUACUUCAGAGUUUAUUAGAAUUUCUUUUUGCGGGGUUGAUUUAAUUUGUUGAUUGGGUAUUCCUCGAAUUGUUGGAUUGGCACUACCUGACAUUUGCUUGUUUUCUGAUGAUGACCACUAACUUGCACUACUAUUUUGCAUCCAUGGGGAUUCAAUGGUGAUUGGAGGUUAUAAACUGUGCUGAAAUUGCCGCUACUUACUUGCCAAUUUCUAAUUGUUGAUAUUGAUAGGGGGUAUUGUUCUUACAUUUCUAGUUUUGUUAUUAAAUAGUGUCACAUCUCUGGGCUCUUUACUGUACACUUUGAUUUGAGAUUGCUUGGCUAUCUUUAGUCGUUUGGAAUACAUUAGCGGCUUGUAGUUCGCCCUUGUUUGAAUUGUUGUUUAUAGCUAUUUUUGGAUUCAGUUAUCUAAAUGGCUAAGAAAAAAAAGACCACCAAGGCCAACACCCCUACGACUAAAACCACUCCCCCAUCCCAACCAACUAUACCCAUGACUGACCCUUCUACCAUCCUUCUUUUUCGGGUAAAUGGGCAUGCUUAGGUAGGGACAAGGGGGUCCAUAUCUCCUCACUCUCCCACUUUGGGGCUAAUUUGUCUCUCACCAAAGCUAUCGAUAAGCAAAGAUACUCUAAUUAUUAUGAGUGGCGAAUUAUUCCUUGUAAACAUCUUGACCCUCCCAUCAUGGUUUCUUUGAAUAUCUUUGAGAAUGUUGCACAAAUGUACUGCCAUAGGCUAGCGUUCUCAUGCUGAAAUACGAUGUGCUACUUUUGUUGAAUUGGUUAGAGAGUUUUACGCCACCUUUGAGUUUGAUCUAUCCAUGGGGUAUUCUGUCACAACCUCAAAUGUGAUUCGAUUUUGAUUGAUAGGUAGGGAGUUUAAGUUCUCCAUUGCCGAGUUUAAUUUGGCCUUUGGGUUUAUUGAUAGUGAGUAUGCCAAUUCUAGGGAAUAUGCUGAGAGUGCUUGUGAUUAUGUCGACCCAUUUUUCUCCUUUCACACCGAGAUUUGGAAGGACGUUUCUAUUGAUGGUGAUUGUUAUGAUCCUAGCCGGUCAAAAGAGCUGUUAUCUCAAGGACCUGAGUUCCUGUUAUAUUCAGCACUUUUUAGCCUAUAAUUACUCAGGUAGGAAAGAUAGUUCCGAGACCUUUUCUAAACCCAAAUUUUUCUUUAUUUGGUGCAUGACUAAAAAUAUCAAGGUUAAUUUGUCCUAUUGGCUAGUUUCCCAAUUCAAGAUGGUUAUGGUUAAGAAAAACAAACCUUUGAUUCUUGGGUCUUACAUCACACAUUUAGCUAUUCAUUUAGACAUUCUUGAUCCCCAUAACCAUGAUUUACAUUUGGCUUGUAACAUGGACCCUUUAGAUAUGGUUUGUCAAGAGAAAAUGGGUGUAGUGGAACCGGUUGAUGAUGCGUGACAGUUUACUCUUUCGGGCCCACUCAUGUACCCGUUCGUCGUCUUUCUGUGUGUGCUAGUACCUCCUCUACUUCAGGAGUAGCCGAUGGCAAGCCUGGACCAUCUACCUCCGCACCUUCUCCAUCGUCUUCUUGGGAUGCUGAGUGGCGAUACCUUCAUGCACAAGUUCACCAUAUGGAUGAAUGGUUGACUAAUCUUGCACUUCACAUGUCCGAGAUGUCCUAGACUUUUGCGGCUUACUUCCAUCAUGUGGGUUUUACGCUGCCAUUCCCGCCUCAUCUAUAGCUGUCCGGAGUCCUUCUCCACUUUCUUUAGGAAAGUUUCGUUGUCCCCUUCCUUUUCCUUUCUUUAUUUCUUCAUUCGGAACAAUAUCAGAUUUAGGUGUAGGGGGUAGUUGUAGUACAGUUGGUACUGUUCAUUUUAGCUAUUUUCAUUUUUUUUUGUCAUUUGUGAGUAUUUUUAUGGAUAUUUGGGAUCGACAAUGGUUAGUUGAUUCCAAAUUUUCUAUUACCAAGUUUUAUUUUUAAAAAUGUAUCAAGUGUAAUAUGGGUAAGUCUAAGAAUAGCUCCUUGGUGAAUAUUUGAGAUUUUGUGACUUUUGCAAUUUUUGGUUAGCUUUUCUAGGCAUUGUGCAUAUUUUUCUAGUAUUUUUCAUGUAAAUUGGUUCGAUUAUUAAUCUUAGUUCUCCAUGUUUGAGGAAAUGAUGCAAGCUUGUGUGAUUUUUAAUGUUAUUUUGUUGCUAAUUUGUGAAUAGUGUUCGCUAUAUUCCGCUGGUUAUCGCUACCUAAUAACCGGGGCUAUGAGUAUGUGGCCCUUAAAUGAUGAAAAGUUGAGUAACCGGAUUCCUUCAUUUGGUAGAUGUCAGAAUUUACAUCAAAAGACUUGAAUGGCUAAGGACUAAAUCUUGUCCCUGAAAAAUGAAGAAAAAAAAGAAAAAAAAAAAGAAACUAUGCAAGUAUGCAGUUGAUUAUGUUAGCCUGUCGAUCCAUGGGUUUAAUGUUGAGAUUUUGGCUAAUAGUCGAGCCAUUUGCUGAUCAAUGCUAGUUAAAUGUUCUAUCUUCUUAGAUUAGUUAGUCAGGAAUUGGAGAAGUCCUUGGUUUUAAAAGCUAACCGAAGAGCUAUUUCGUGGAACUUAGCUAUCAAUGCUUGAUGUAUACUUUGAUGAUAUUUUGACAAUAGACGAGUUGAGUGAUAACCAUUGUUGGGAUUCAGUUGUUGAUUUGUUGUUUCUCAUACUUGAGAACAAGUAUGGUCUAGGUAUGGGGGGAAUUGAUAGGGUGCAAAAUUGUUAUUCAAUUCAUGAUUAUUUUUCCCUUUUAUUCUAGUCAAAUACUAUUUUAAUUGUUCAAUUCUACUUGUAUUUGGUAUUUGAUGCUAAUUGUAGGGCGGUGGAGUGAAAGUUGCUAAAAAUGGACGAUUUUCCUCAAAGUUGGUUAUCAAGUGCGGAGAUGCGGGAUUUGCAUGCAAGAGUUUCCUAAUCCAAAAUGGAGUUUGAGCAGAGUAGCGACUAGAGAUUAAGAAAGUUUUUCUUCUAGAGAUUUGAUUUAAUUAGGAAGCAAUUAGCGUUAUCUUUUGGGAGUGUUUCCUUUUUCAAUUAGAAGUAGUUUUAUUGUUGAAAGCAAGAAAAUAGGGGAAGGGCCAUUUGACUUUUAGUACUUGACAAAAAACGAGACUUGGGAGACGAGAAGUUUUUGGGAACGGUGGUGACUAGACUCGCCGGGAGGAAAAGAACAAAGAUCUUGUCCUUUUUGUCAUUGCUUUUACUCUCGUUUUCUAUUUUAUUGGAUGCUUAUGCAAUUUAAUUCAAUUAAAUUGUGUUGCUUGAUGCCGAUGAUGUGCAACUAAAUUUUGCUUUUCUAGCCAAGAAAUAACGUGAAUUUGGGUCAUCAACAACUGUGAGAUCUAAUUAUUUUUAUUAAUUUCUUUUAUUCGUUAGUAUUCAUAUGUUUUCUAGUUUAGUUGCUUAUGGGUAUUAGUUGUUUGAAUAUCAAAGGUGUUUGAUAUUUAAUUCAACCUAACAAACUAUUGACAGUUAAGAAAGUUAAAUUCACAAUUAUUAAAUUAUUUUAAAUUAGUAGUGACUAGCGUGAUUGGCUUUACGUCCGGGAGACAUAUGAUUUAAUUUAAAUAAACCCUGAUAAUGUGUUUAUUGAUUAGAACAAGACUUUUCUAGUUUCUAAUGCAAUCAAAGAAUUAAAUUUUAUCGACGUACCUAAGGUUAUUUUUUGGUUAGAGAAGUAGUUAACAAGUAUACCUUAACUAUUGAGACACUAAGGAAGGGCUAGUUGUCAUCACGUGUUUGGCAACUAUAACCUAUUUAUUAACCAAUAAAUGAAAUAAUUCUUUUAGCGAUGAGCAGUUAUUUGACCCGCUUCUGGAGUUAUUUCCUUGGUUAGAGCUCAUUUAUCAUUGAUUUAAAUUUAAUCUAUUUUAGUUUAAUUAUUUUCAAUUUGCACUGAUUAUUUAUUUUUAAUUGCAAUUUUCCAAACUCCCCCCAAUUAAUUGUCACUUGAAAAGAAGCAAAUUUUCACUCGAAACCUCGAGUUUAUAUCUUUUUGAGUAGGAAUUUAUUAUUACACAAGCCUAACACACGAGGGUUCGAGCAGUGCACAGUUUUUUUUUGUAUCUAGAAUGGCUAAUGUAGCAAGUCAUAUGCUAGCACAUUUUGCAACAUAACUAGUUUAUGAUAUAGAAUGGGUAAAUGAUUUCCCAAUUCGACUAAUAGAAGCAGCUAGGAAGGAUGAGUUGUGAGGACCCGUAAAUUUUCGUAAUUUUAUAUUAUUUAUUUUAUUUCCUCGCGUGCAUUUUUCUGCAUUAUACCCUACUAUUUUGAUUUUCCAGAAAUUUUAUAAGUGAAUAGAGUUUUUAAAUCAUUUUCCUAGUUUAAGUUAGUUCAUGAUAAGUUUGAAGUGUAUUAUUGACGUGGAACCUGCUAGUGCGGUAAAUGCGAUAUAUUUUUGACAACUUCUUGGAGUUUUGUAUCAAGUGAUAUUAUUUUACAAGGUGCUAGAAUACAAUUAGAGGUCAGUUAGAUAAAUUACCAUUGGUAGACAAAGGAUGAGAAUGAAACCCUAAGGUGCUAUUUGUUACAAAAUCAUUAGAAGUUGGACUUUGACUUAAGACCAUCUUAUCUUUUAUUUAACCAAUUUUGACCAAGAACCCUUUUCAUUUCUUCUUGGCUUGGCCAAACAAAGGGAGAGGAAAAACCAAGAGAGUUCCUCAUCUUCAACUUCAAUUUCUAGCCCAAAUCUUGAGUUUCAACCACUAGUAUCUCAAAUUACUCCAUAAAAACUUCUUGCUAGGAAGGAUUAGAGGUGUUGGUGGAGUGAUUUUUGAGGGGGAAGUACUAAGCUAUCAUCUUUCUAGUGUUUCUAAGGUAACUUGUCAAGAAACCCCUCAGUUACUUCUAAUAAUUGUAUAGUAGUGGUUUAUAGUUGUUAAAUACGUAGUUUUGUGGGAGAUUACUUGGUUUAAAGUAGUAUUAUGGUAAUUUUUAAUUUUAUGGUGAUUUUUCUGCCAUCAUGUGAUGAGUAAUGGUUGGUCAUAGAAUGAUAGCUUUAUAUGGUGUAAAAUGAAGCUUUGGUAUGCUAGAUUUGGUUGCCUAAAGAAAUUUCAGCUAGGAUGCAAGAAUUUCAGUUUUAGGGUUUCAAUCUACCCUGUUUUUGCACUGCAUGUUCAUCUAGGAUAGAGACCGAAUCAGCCCUUGCUCAAAACAUGAAAUUGUAUAUAAUUGAGUUAGCUAUCUUCCUGUAAAAUUGCAGCCCAAUCGGAGCACUGUAUCCUAUGAAACAACCGAAAUACCCUUGCCUACCCACAAACUUUGUUUCGCGGACAGUUUUCUAUUUUCUCUAAGAUUUUGAUUUUUGACCAUGAAAAUGCAUGAUUUGGCUUUGGAGGUCUUCAUAAGAAAUGUAGGUAUAUGUUUUAGCUUCGAAACGCCAUAAGAUUUGUCUCAAUCCAAUCAAUGUAGCUUUAGUUGUGGUUAUUAUACUGAAAGGUGUGUUUUAUAGUCUAUGAUUUGUAUGUGAAAUUGUGGUUGAUUGGAGUUGGGAUUGGUGAUGAAAUGUAUGAUGGAAAAAUAAGGAAUUUAAGGGGAGAUGCUGUCUAAUUUUCUAAGCCAUUUGAUUCCUUUAAGUUGGAGUUGCAUUGUGGUAGAAUGAGGGGGUUUGGGGUUGUUUGUAACCCUCGUAACAACUGUUAUCCGUUUGCUCAAAAGUCGCAUUUUUAUUCUUUUGUAGUAGUAUAUAACUUGGAGAGGCACCCGACUAGUAAUCGAGCCUCACUUGUGCAUCCUGUUUACUCGGUUUUGGAUGUGGAAACUUCAACUGCUUUACCUUUGAUAUUCUUAGGGUUUCACGGUGAUUAAGGCCACUUUGGGUGAAUAUUUUGAAGUACCUGUACUUGAAUUGGUGAGUAUACCACUUCCCUAAUUUGUCGCUUAUCUGGCUAUCCGUGACUUUUGUAUACUCUGUAUGAAAUGAGGGUGUACUUUAUCACUCUUGUUUCUCUCGUCUGUUUACUUUGUUUCCUGCAUAAUGUAUAAAUCUGUAUUUGCUCUCUGUAUCUGUUAUUUGUAUCUGUUCUCUGUAUAAGUAUGUGACCUUUGAGCUCAAAACCUGUGGCUAGUUACUCGAGUCGCGCCGACAAGGGUUAGGUCGAUUGGAUAAUGAACCACGGUAGUCUGUUUCUAGGAAUUUUUGGGUAUUGAGACUUUUGAUUCUGGUAUACUCGAGUAUUACCAUUCUUGUUCCUGUUGAGGUGUUCGGACCCGGUAAGGGGUAUGUUUGGUAGACGAAAUUUGGCGUAAAAUGGGGUCUACAGACAUGGUUGUUCUUUAUACGUUGACGGAGAGUCAACGAGUUUGCAUCAAGUACUGCAAAUGAAAAUCUGGCUCCUAAGAGCAACCUGUAUCCUUCCUAUAUUAAAUGACAAUGUCUAAUUGCUUUACUUUAUAUCUGAUAUCUGUAUCUGAUUGGUUAAAUGUGAAAUGCCAUGAUUUUACUACUUAUACGUUUGGUACCUCAUUGACCGUAAGCUCACCCCGUUCCGUUAUCCUUGUUUUCCUUACAGGGUUCCAUGUUUUGAAACCAAGAUUUUUGGAAGAAAAGUGUUGAGCUAGUUGUAGGACUUCUUUUGUUUAUACUCCUCCGUAACUGAAACCCUAAUUGUAAUUCGUAUCCGUGCGGAUAUUUUGACUUGUACUUCAAGUAAUUUGUUGAAGACACGAAUGUAUAGAUGUUGGCAAGUGUAUAGUGGUAUAUAUAUUUGAUGAUAAAUGCAUGUUUUAUGAUUGUAUGAGCUUUACUUUUACCCGUUAGAAAGAUCGGACAAGGGCGGGCUUGGAACGAGAAAACAAAAAAAAAUUUGGUGAGAAAUCAUUUCUGAGAAUCCAGCCGUAUAUCUGGCCAGUUAUUGGCCGGAUUGUUGGCCGGAUUGACAGGAAAUUUGAACAAAAUUUCGUUCAGCUAUUGCCUCAAAUCCGGUCGGAUAUCCGGCAACUUCCGGCUGGAUUGUGACAUGGCACUUGCUCUUUCGUUUCGUUUUCAAUUUUCGUUGGAAUAUUAUAUCAAAGUCCUAUUGUAUCUUUAAGUUUGGUUGCUUGGUUUUCGAAAGUUCAUUUUCUUGAAGUCCUUUUGAAUGCUUCGUAGGGUGUUUGUGCGUUUCUGUUCAGUAGUCUUGGCAAGAGUUGGGCAGGCGGUCCGCCGAACCCUUUGGUUCGCCAUAGGGGGAAGUUGGUCCGUCACAGUUGGUAUCAGAGCUGCUUCGUGUGGUCUCUGCACGGAGUGAGUUUGGGCCAAGUGAUGUUAUGGUCCUGCUUUGUGAAUGUGUUUAAAGGAUUAAGUGUUUUCCUUAAGGGUAAGUUAUGAACCGUGCGUGUUAUAAGUGUAAAAAUCUUUAUCAUGGAACUUGAGAAAGAUAGAUAUGUAUGUUGGGUAGGAAUCGUUAAUAUGGAUGAUUUACGCUUGGGAUCGGCCGGCUCGAGUUGUGAAUUAUCUUAUUUGGGAUUCUUGUACCCGGCUACUAAAGAGAUGAGAGCCUAGGUUAGAAGAGACUUGGGCAAAAUAGAAAUGUGAUUCUAUGGGAGUUCGUGUGAUUUGUUCAGGUGUCAUUAGGUAUGAUUAACCUCGAUUAAGAUAUAAAUUGUGUUAUUUUCGUAGAUUAUGGACGGAGCCCUAGAGGGGAAAAACUUUUCGUUAAUUACUUUUUUACCUUUGGCCUGGAUGGUAUAUAGUACUUUUGAUGACCCCGUUACCCUCUUGGACCCCUUUUGUUUGUAUCUAACUGGCUGCUACUGUGUGAAUUGUUUGAUAAAGUUGUGUUAGAUAGAUAUAUGCCUUUUGAUCUGUGUGUAUCUCUUGCUACUUAUUCAUGCAUAUCAUUAUUUUAAUGUUACAUUCACGCUUCGACCGUAGAUUGGUUAGACCAAUGGAGGGAACUCGUCAUGGACGUGGUCGUGGGUGCGGACGUAAGCAACUUUCGACUAAAAGAGGUAAUCGGGAACCCACACCUGAACCAAACCCUGAGCCUAGAAUUGACUCUAAUGCCCAAGUAGCCGCUGUUAUCCAGUGUAUGACCGAUUUGCUAGCCCAUGUAGUGGAACAUCAGGGCCAAAACCCUAAUCGUCAACCUGGAAACCCUGGUAACAAUGUAGAGAGCGAGGAUAGAGCCCUUGAAAGAUUUUAAAGUUCUCUCCACCAAAAUUCCUUGGAGGACCCGAUCCAGAUGUGGCCGAAAAGUGGUUGAAGAAAAUGAUAGACAUAUUUGCGGCUUUACACUAUACCGAAGAGAGGCAGGUCACGUUCGCUGUCUUCCAACUGGAGGGAGCCGCCCGUUCUUGGUGGAACGUAAUUCGAAUGAAAUAGGAAAGAGAACAUACCCCGAGGACAUGGGCGAACUUCAAGAGGGAAUUCAAUGCCAGGUUUUUCCCUCCUCUGAUCCAAGAAAAGAAGGAAAAUGAAUUCAUUCGGCUUCGACAAGGAACUCAAACCGUAGCCGAGUAUGAGAGUCAAUUUACUCGGUUAUCUAAAUUUGCGCCUAAACUGAUUGUAACCCAGCAAAUGCGGAUAAGGCGUUUUGUCCAGGGACUAAAUGUUGAGAUUCAGAAGGACCUAGUUGUAGCCCAACUUAGCGCCUUUAGUGAUGCUAUGGAGAAAACCCAGCGGGUUGAAAAUGCGAGGUUACAGGUGAGAAACUUCCAAACCAAGAAAAGGGGCUUUCGUGGGAGUAGCUCCGAGCAAGAGGGUAAAAGUACACCACCUAAGAUUGGAAAGGAAAACGGGAGAAUAUGACAACCGGGAGAAAAGGGACCCAACAACCAACUAAGACUAACCCUGGACAGUCGGAAGAGGAAGGGACUGGAUCAAAGGUACCGGCUCGGAUGUAUUCUCUAGAGCACCAUCAAGUCCCUGACUCGUCUGAGGACGUAGAAGGUACGAUCCGUUGGUUACCUUAGAUUUUGAGAGAUCCCGUUGAAAAGAAAAUUUCGAGGACGAAAUUUCUUUAAGGGGAAAGAGUGUGAGAACCCGUAAAUUUUUUAAAUUUUAUAUUAUUUAUUUUAUUUCCACGCGUGCAUUUUUCUUCACUAUACCCUACUAUUUUGAUUUUCCAGAUAUUUUAUAAGUAAAUAGAGUUUUUAAAUCAUUUUCCUAGUUUAAGUUAGUAUAUGAUAAGUUUGAAGUGUAUUAUUGACGUGGGACCCACUAGUGCGGUAAAUGCGAUAUAUUUUUGACAAUUUGUUGGAGUUUUGUAUCAAGCGAUAUUAUUUUACAAGGUGCUAGAAUACAAUUAGAGGUGAGCUAGAUAAAUUACCAUUGGUAGACAAAGUAUGAGAAUGAAACCCUAAGGUGCCAUUUGUUACAAAAUCAUUGGAAGUUGGACUUUGACUUAAGACCAUCUUAUGUUUUAUUUAACCAAUUUUGACCAGGAACCCUCUUCAUUUCUUCUUGGCUUGGCCGAACAAAGGGAGAGGAAAAACCAAGAGAGUUCCUCAUCUUCAACUUCAAUUUCUAGCCCAAAUCUUGAGUUUCAACCACUAGUAUCUCAAAUUACUCCAUAAAAAUUUUUUGCUAGGAAGGAUUAGAGGUGAUGGUGGAGUGAUUUUUGAGGGGGAAGUACUAAUCUAUCAUCUUUCUAGUGUUUCUAAGGUAACUUGUCAAGAAACACCUCAUUUACUUCCAAUAAUUGUAUAGUAGGGGUUGAUAGUUGUUAAAUACGUAGUUUUGUGGGAGAUUUCUUGGUUUAAAGCAGUAUUAUGGUAAUUUUCAAUUUUAUGGUAAAUUUUCUGCCCUCAUGUGAUAAGUAAUGGUUGGUCAUAGAAUGAUAGCUUUAUAUGGUGUAAAAUGAAGCUUUGGUAUGCUAGAUCUGGUUGCCUAAAGAAAUUUCAGCUAGGGUGCAAGAAUUUCAGUUUUAGGGUUUCAAUCUGCCCUAUUUUUACACUGCAUGUUCGUCUAGGAUAGAGACCGAAUCAGGCCUUGCUCAAAACAUGAAAGUUGUAGGUAAUUGAGUUAGCUAUCUUCUUGUAAAAUUUCAGCUCAAUAGGAGUACUGUAGCCUAUGAAAUGACUGAAAUACCCUUGACUGCCUACAAGCUUUGUUCCGCGGACAGUUUUCUAUUUUCUCUAAGAUUUUGAUUUUUGACCGUGAAAAUGCAUGAUUUGGCUUUGGAGGUUUUCAUAAGAAAUGUAGGUAUAUGUCUUAGCUUUGAAACACCAUAAAAUUUGUCUCAAUCCAAUAAAUGUAGCUUUAGUUGUGGUUAUUAUACUAAAAGAUAUGUUUUAUAGUCUAUGAUUUAUCUAUGAAAUUGUGGUUGAUUGGAGUUGGGAUUAGUGAUGAAAUGUAGGAUGGAAAAAUAAGGAAUUUAUUAAGGGGAGAUGCUGUCCAAUUUUCUAGACCGUUUGAUUCCUUUAAGUUGGAGUUGCAUUGUGGUAGAAUGAGGGCGUUUGGGGUUGUUUGUAACCCUCGUACCAAUUGUUAUCCGUUUGCUCAAAAAUCGCAUUUUUAUUCUUUUGUAGUAGUAUAUAACUUGGAGAGGCACUCGACUAGUAAUCGAGCCUCACUUGUGCAUCCUGUUUACUCGGUUUUGGAUAUGUAAACUUUAACUGUUUUUACCUUUGAUAUUCUUAGGGUUUCACGGUGAUUAAGGCCACUUUGGGUGAAAAUUUUGAAGUACCUGUACUUGAACUGGUGAGUGUACCACUUCCCUAAUUUGUUGCUUAUCUAGCUAUCCGUGACUUCUGUAUACUCUGUAUGAAAUGAGAGUGUACUUUAUCACUCUCGUUUCUCUCAUCUGUUUACUUUGUUUCCUGCAUACUAUAUAAGUCUGUAUUUGCUCUCUGUAUCUGUUAUUUGUAUCUGCUCUCUGUAUAAGUCUGCGACCUUUGGGCUCAAAACCUGUGACUAGUUACUCGAGUCGAGCCGGCAAGGGCCAGUUCGAUUAGAUAACGAUCCACGGUAGUCUGUUUCUAGAAAUCUUUGGGUAUUGAGACUCUUGAUUCCGGUAUACUCGAGUAUUACCAUUCCUAUUCCUGUUGAGGUGUUCGGACCUGGUAGUGGGGUAUGUUUGAUGGACGGAAUUUGGCGUAAAAUGGGGUCUACGAACAUGAUUGUUACCUAUACAUUGACGGAGAGUCAACGAGUUUGGAUCAAAUACUGCAAAUAGAAAUCUGGCUCCUGAGAGCCACUUGUAUCCUUUCUAUAUUAAAUCACAGUGUCUAACUGCUUUACUUUAUAUCUGGUAUGUGUAUCUGAUUGGUUAAAUGUGAAAUGCCAUGAUUUGAUUGCUUAUACAUUUGGUACCUUAUUGAGCGUAAACUCACCCCAUUCCGUUAUCCUUGUUUUCCUUACAGGGUUCCAUGUUUUGAAACCAAGAUUUUUGGAAGAAAAGAGUUGAGCUAGUUGUACGACUUCUUUUGUUUAUACUCCUCUGUAACUGAAACCCUAAUUGUAAUUCGUAUCCGUGCAGAUAUUUUGACUUGUACUUCAAGUAAUUUGUUGAAGACACGAAUGUAUAGAUGUUGGCAAGUGUAUAGUGGUAUAUAUAUUUGAUGAUAAAUGCAUGUUUUAUGAUUGUAUUAGCUUUACUUUUACCCGUUGGAAAGAUCGGACAAGGGUGGGCUUGGAACGAGAAAACAAAAAAAAAAUUGGUGAGAAAUUAUUUCUGACAAUCCGGCCGUAUAUUUGGCUAGUUAUUGGCCGGAUUGCUGGCUGGAUUGACAGGGAAUUUUGAACCAAAUUUCGUUCAGCUACUGCCUCGAAUCUGUCCAACUUCCAGCCGGAUUGUGACGUGGCACUUGCUUUUUCGUUUCGUUUUCAAUUUUCGUUGGAAUAUUAUAUCAAAGUUCUAUUGUAUCUUUCAGUUUAGUUGCUUAGUUUUCGAAAGUUCAUUUUCGCGAAGUCCUUUUGAAUGCUUUGUAGGGUUUUCGUGCAUUUCUAUUUAGUAGUCCUGACGAGAGUUGGCAGGCGAUCCGCCGAAUCCUUUGGUUCGUCUUAGGGGGAAGUGGGGCCGUCACAGUAGUGGGUGAAUGCUCCUUUUUGCAAUUAACUCUUGUACUUCAAGUGUUAAUAUAUAUACUGAUAUUAUCAUUUGUUGAAAAAAAAGGAAAGUAUUUAUUUGUUUAAUAAAAUAGUCACGGUAGUGUUUAUAUAAUUUUGUAAACAUUGAAAAACAAAUUACCUCGUUGAAUUUGUAUAAUUUCAUUAUGUUGAAGAAACAUAAUCUUGAAAAAGCAGAGAAAUUUUCUUGUAAAUAUUAGCUAAACAAACAAGUCAUUAUUUUAUUUUGAUAGCUAAUCAUUGUUCAUAUCAAUAUACUAGUUAUAAAGUUAUACUCGCAAUACUAAUGUUACGAUAUAAAAUUUCUUGUCAGAGCAAUUUAUAAUUUCAUCCCAUUUUUACCUUGACUGUUAACCUCAAGUUCUUCAGAUAUCCAUGGGAUAGUGUAACCCCUUUGAAGGUCAAUUCUUACACCCUUAUCAAAGUUUCUGGAGUUGCGUAUUAUAGGGGUGCAAAAACAAAAACGAGACAUCCUUUAUCAAAUGGAGUUCCUUCUUUUUGCGAUUCAUUCCUCUGCAAACCUCCUCCUCCUCCUCCUCCGAUUUUAAUAUAUGCCACUGUUAAAAUAGGAUACUUUUGUGGGUUUAAUGACUAGAUCGACACGAACUCUUUUGUGCCCAACAUUUGCUCCGGGCAUCGUUACUACAGAGUAUGUGAUCCAAUUACCCGUGUAAGGUCACAAUGUUAGAGAUGUGAAAUUAUAUUGCAAUGGUCCCUAAAAUCCAACUUGAUCGAUAGGAACACUAAUUAGGUGAAUACGAGGACUCUGAUUCAACUCUCGAUCUUUCCGCUCAAAUUACACUAAUAUUUUUAAUCAUACACUCAUCCCCUUACUAACUUCCUAUGGGCCCAAUAUGUUGAGUAGAAUUCGAUUGGAACAACCGAAAAAAAAGAAAAGAAAACAAAUAAAAAACAAUGAAAUAGACACUUAGUCAAGUUGGAACCUAACAGGAAGUGAGGAGCACAAGUGCGAACAGAUCACCAAGGAAAAAGAAACAAGUUUUUCGAGAAUGAAAUUUGAUUUCAAGCUCAAUCAAAUUCUAAGAGUCAAUGAUAAGAUCGAAAAAUGUGGGACCAUUGUUAAGAUGUAGACGGAGAUGGUUGCUUAUUGAGCGUUGGAGGUAUUUCAUAUGCAAGUUGUAAUUAUAUCUCAACUUGUAUAAUUUUAAUUUAAUAAGAUUAAAUUAAUGACCAUGCCAAUGAUUUCUGGCGUCAUGCAUGACAUUCUUUUUUCUUGUACUCUCCCAAAAGCUAAAAAUUCUCAUCUCAAUCUUCUCCUCCAACGGUGGCUGCAUGUCUGUACAUGUUCCCCCACAACAAGAAUAAUGAAUCAAUUGCCAUAAUUGCACGCGUUUAAAUUUUCUGAGCUGGUGAUAAAUUGCAUAGUUUUGAUUUUUCUGUUUCCGGUUCCCACUCUAGCUAUGUCUAGAUUUACUAAUUGAAAAAAAGGAGAAGGAAUAAAUUAAACCUUAUUUAAUUGCUUUUUUAAGUCAGGAUAUCUAUAGUAGAUAUAAUUAUCUCUAUAGAAAUGAAUGAAGCAUACUAACUUGUGAUCAUUAUCGUCUAUUGCAAUUCUCUUGUUGCAACUUCAAAUUAAGGCCUUGUUUGAUAAUCCAAUUCAACACUUAAAUUUAAUGGAUUUAGAUCUUAACAUGUUCAGAUGCGUUUGAUAACAAAAAAUUGAAUAUCUGAAUUAAUCAAGUAGCACUAAAUCUAGACAGAACUUGCUCCUAAAAAUAAGUGAUAAGCUAUUCACUUAUCACUUAAUGUGAUAUAUACUCAAAUGUAUCAAAUUUAGUAUAUAACAAUUUAAUAACUUAAUGCAUUCAUAUUUCAAAUUUUAGAUUUCAGUUUUAUCAAACGCACCCUAACAGAGCGCGAACUGAAUAUGAAAUCCAAAGUUGAAAAUCCAAGGGUUAGAACUUUGAAACAAUAGAGCCUCUGAUAUGUUGCAAUUUUCUUGUUUAUUUUAUUAUUAAUUUUUCCUAUUACCUGACUCGAUGUGGAUUAAUUGUUGGAUUCUACUCACUUUUAGUAUUUUGCAUUUAUUUCAGGGAGUAGAAUGAAAAUAUGAUAACAAGUGCCGAUUUGACAGAAGAGGAAUCCAAAUAAUAGAACUUAUCCCAGGGGCAAUUUUGGGAAAGGAAAACUUAUCCCCAUUUUGGUAAUUACUGCAAAGGCAAGGAUGAAGGCAGGGCUUCCUUUUUGCUGGUGGGGGCCGCCAUACAAUAGUUAGGCAUUAGAGAGGAUUGCAAUUAGAUAGGAAUGGGAAACGGAUGCUUUUGAGUAGGACUCCUCCUGCGCAUGGCAGGAGCAACUAAGAGUUGUUUUCUUUAGCUUUUUGCUGGGAUCUCUUUUUUAUAUUUUUCUUUCCUACGCAUGUCAAAGGAGGGGAGCUUACCCUUUGACUUUUCUUUUCGUCUUUAGUUGCUCUUCCGUGGGAGUAGACAAGGGAUGAGUUAAAUCCCUUUGUCUAGUCAAGGAACAACGGAAGCUUUGAUUCGGCUAAAAAUUGUGAGAUCGAUUUGAUUUUAUCUUUUUCUUUUAGUUAUUGUUAUUCGUAUAUUCUUUGAUUUCAGUACUUAUGGUUAUUUAAUUAAUUGAUUGUCUUGGAUCCGGAUAAUUAGUUAAUUUGGUAAUCUAUUGUCAAUUAGGGCAUUAAAUCCGUAAUUGUUUAAUUGCCUUGAUAUAGUGACAACUGACAUGAUUGGUUUUGUGUCAGAGAAAUACGCGGGCUAACCUAAAAUAACCCUGGUAGUGUGUUAUUUGGUUAGAAUAGGGCUUCUCUAAACGUAAGGCAAUUGGAGAAUUAAAUCUUACGGACGUACCUAGGAUUAUUUUCCAAUUAGGGCAGUGAUUAACGGGGGUACCUUAAUCACCGACACAGUAAGGAGGGGUUGAUUGUCAUCGCUUGUUUGACAGUUAUAACCUAUUUAUUAGUAAAUAAUUGAAAUUUGUUUUGCAUCGAUGAUCAAUUAAGUGAACCAUUGCUAAAGUUAUUUCUUGGCUAGAUUCUUAAUUAUCACUCAUUUGAUUUUAGUAGAUUGUUAUUUAAUUUUUAGUAGCUUCUUAGAUUUUCUUUGUUUGUCAUCUUCUGCACAAAAACACCCCCCGGUUACUGUGAAUUUGAAAAGAAACAGUUAUACCCAAUCCAUGUGGAUUUGACCAUGCUUACCAUUAUUUACAAAAAUUAACUUUAGUUGAGCAAGUUUUUAUUAUUGCACAGGCCUGACAACCUGUCAAUUUUUGGCGCCGUUGUCGGGGACUGGUGUCAGAUUAAUUUGUUUCUUUUUGAGUUCAUCUUUUUUUGAUUUUUUAUUUAUUUUUCUCUUAUUUUUUAUAUAGUUUAUGACCACUAACAUUCCGUAUUUUGAUGAUAGACUGGACUUUAUUCCUGAUUGGGGUUAUGAGACACGUGUUUUUCCUAAUGAUGAAUUGGCUGCUGCAAAUUAUGAAACUUAUUUUGCCUCAGCUUAUUCAACCGACACAUGCCUCGUAUUUCAAGAUUACCUAAGUGUUCCAACAGAUACUUUUAGAGAUUUUUCACCUCGAUUUCAAACGUGGUAUGAUCCUUAUUCAAACAGGUAUGAUCAAGGAUGGUGAAAAAAUUUCAAUUUUAAUUAUGUGACCGGACCAAUGAAUUUUCAACAGCAAGAGUCUCAACAACCAUCAUCCAUGUCAGGUAUGUCUCUUAAAAAAAUGAUUGAAUUACUAGCCGCUAAUACAUAUCGAACUCAGCAAGAGACACAAGCGAUGGCGGAUCAAGUGCAACUAUUGAUAUCCAGGAUGGCAGAUCAAAUACAUCUAUUGACAUUCAGGAUAACGCGAUUAGCUUCUCACCUUGAAGAAUUACCCUCACAAAUCAAUAUCAACCUUGAAGAAGAUGAGAGUGCAAUUAUCCGGCCAAAUGACAUGGAACUGCAAGAGUUUCACGGAAACGGAUCUAAAGAUGCAGUUGAAAAGGAAGCUGAAGUGCAAGAAAUGUGGCCCCAGUAUCAACUCGUCCAAGUGAAUGAAUCCAGUGAAUAAUCUCCAAAUGCGGUGACAUCUCCUCCAAUCCUUAAUCAAUAUUCUCCUGACUCUUAUUUUUCAAUUCUUGUUAAUGAAAUUGACUUUAUUAUACUAGAAAAUUUUGAAUUCAAUGAUAGGAAUAAAUUAAGAGUAGCGAUGGCAAGAUAUCUUGGACCAAUAAAUGCACGUGAGGGGCGAGUGAAUGGAGAAUGCAAAUUAUCGUUGACUUGUUUGGCGCCAUUUACUAGCCCAUGGAAGCCCGUAACUCGUGUGCUCGAGAAUUAUUCUAUUUACGAGGAUUAUCAGGACUAUAUUGAUGAUGAAGCAUUAAGAUGAGCCACAAAAUUUUAUCCUCCAUGAAUAAAACAUGAUAAUGUCUAGCUAAAGACGUUAAAGAAAAGCGCUCAUUGGGAGGCAACCUAAUUUCUCUUAGUUAUUUGUUCAUUUAUUUUAUUAGUUUAAAUAUGUUCGUCCUUAGAUUUGACUAAUUUAUGGUUUCAAUUUUCGUUUUUGAUAAUUCGUAGGUGUCUCUCCGACUUGACGCGCCCGCGCCAAAUCGUAUGGAGAACUCACGGUCAGAAGGGUUCUUAUCCUCAUGACGUGCCCGCAUCAAGUCACCUGGAGAGCUCCUUAUUCCUUGCCCUCAUGACGUGCCCACGUCAUGUUCGCAGGAAAGGUAAGUAUUCAAAAAACUCAAGAACGGUUAUUGAUUUUCUGUUAAUCUCUACUUUUGAAUUUCAGAAAUAAAAUUUGCCAAUAAUAAUGAAACAAAAAAAUUUCAAAAAAAAGAAUAAAUAAAAAUUAAUUUUAAAAAAAUUUUGUUUCACCAUAGAUUAGAUUUUCAAAGUACAAAUUUUUAACCAAAAAAAAAUAAUUUCUCUUUCUUUUCUAUGUCUUUUUUUUCUUCUUUUCUUCUUUCUUUCCUUCUUUUCUUUCUUUCUUUCUUUCUUUCUUUCUUUUCUUUCUUCCUUCUUCCCCGCUGCUUUCCCUUUUCCCCUUUUGCUUUCUUCUUCGCCCGACAUCCCUAGCAACCGGCGCGUCUCGCCGUCCACCACCUUCACACCACCAACGCAUCACUCCACCUUGCGUAGCCACGAACCUCCGCCAGCUCACCCCGAUUCGCGCGCCGCCCCUCCAGUCCGACCCACCUCGACGACACCCGCUCAAGACCAGGCCGCGUGCCACCAGUUUAACUUCACCAACGCCGCCGCUGUCCAGCCCCGAGCUCCACCUCACGAUCGUGCCUACCACUGCAGUAGCUCCAGCUACACCGCUGCCCCUCCUUUUUCCCUCACUCUGCCUCUCGGCCACACGCUGCGUACAGCCGCAGCCAGACAGCCACGCUGCUUUUGAGCUCAGCCACCUGCCCAAGCCGCCACCAGCUCGCUCCCACUUCUCUGCAACAGCCCCUGUGCACCACCAGUCGCCGCCUUCGCCAUACCCACUCUCUACCCACGGCCACGUCUCUCUCUCUCUCCUUCUCUCUAUCACCACGGUGGAGGUACCAUUACACCUAUUACCUGCCUGUUUUGAAUAACCUUUGCUGGGUUUCCUUAUUGGCCUCACUAAAGGACUCCUCUGCUAGAAUUUAGUGGCGUCAGUUUCUUGGCUUGUCCGUUUGAUUUAACUCCUCCCUGUGUGUACACCAGUGGUACUGGUUGCGGUGUUGCUUUAAAUUUCUUAAUCCUAUGUGCUUGACUGCCUAUUUGACUUUUGAGUUUUAGUACUUGAAUUGUUUCUCGAAUUCUAAACGGUGGUUGCUGGAAUAGCCUGUUGCUUGGCUCCAUUGCUAAUUUUGGUCGUUUGAAUUGGGUAAUUGACUGUGCACUUGGUGACAUUUGUUGAGUUUCAGUUGCUCAAAUUGGUUGAAUUCACUGCUCUGUUGGGGUCCCUGUGGGUAUCACUUGAGUUCUGUUUUGUUAGUUUCUGUCUUGUGCCCCAUGAAGUGCCGUUAGUUGGGUAUUUUUCUGUGCUUGUUUGUUGAAUUGAGGGGCUACUGUGCCCCUUCCUUUGUUUUUGGUGAUCUGUUGUGUCUAAUUGACUUGCUUGGGGUAAUUUGCCCAUCAAUUUUAAUUACUCAAGUCUUUGGAGCAGUUGUUGCACAUUUGGACUGCUUUGUUUCUACAUCUGACUGAAUUGGGACCACAAGUGCUUAUCUAUUGCAUUUGCUAUACGUGUUGGAGUAUUUGUAUAACCUGUGGGUGAUUGAAUUGUGUAUUUUGUUCAUUGAGCUGGCUUUUUAUUUGUUAUUGCUUUGAAUUGCCUGCUUCCAUUAUUUGUUGGCACCUGUAGUCUCUUGUUGUUUGGAGUGAUAACUGCUACCCAUGGUGAAGCCACGAUCCUCCUUUAGGUUUAGGACACCUAGAACUACUCCACCUUCUCCCACCCCAGGGGCCGACGACUGACUCCAACUCCGGAUGACAGUUGAGAGACUGGAGACUCGAGUGACCUACGUUGACAUCAACUUGCAUAACAUGGCGCAAAAUUUGGCAGCACGUAUGCACCAUGCGGGUCCCAUGUUUUGAUGACUUCAGGAAAGUACUGUUCCCUUCUCCUUCCUUCUGCUUUUACAUUGUCACAUUGAGGGCAAUGUGUGAAUUAGGUGUGGGGGGGAUCGUUGUAGCGCUAGUAUUUUUGUUUUUAGUUUCUAGGGACUUUUGCUUUAUUUUUAGUUUGUUUUUUUGUCCAUCUUUCGUUUAUUUUCUUUUCUUUUUUCUAGUGGUCAGUCCUUAUAUGAAUACCAAGUUUUGAUGCUGGAUUGUUGUUUCUAAUUCUGCUAUUGCCGAGUUUUAGUAAUAAAAGGGUAUCAAGUUAAUGUGGUUGAGUUCAGGAAUAUCUCUCUGGUGAAUAUCAGUAAUUGCUUGACUUUUCUAAUUUCUGGUUAACUUUUCUAGGUAUAAGGAAUGAUUGUUGGCAUUUUUCAUGUGAAUUGGUCCAGUUAUUAAUCUUAGUUCUCCAUGUUUGAAAAUGAGACUAGCUGAUGCAAAUUUUCUUUUGGUUUUUGUGUUAUAUUGAGUUUUUGUGUUAUUUGGUUGUUAAUAAGAGUAACUAUACUCCUCUAAUUGUUACUACUGAGUAACCAGGGAUUUUCACUAAAAGUAUCGAUUCUCGCGUCAAAAGGUAGUGAUUUCUAUGAGUACGUGGUCACCUAGCGAUAGGAGCUGAAUAACAGGGCUCCUUCAUCUGACAAAUGUUGGAGUUCGCGUCAAAAGGCUCUAAUGGCUAGAGACUAAGUCUUCUGCUAUUCUCAAAAGAAGAAAAAAAGAGAGAAAAUAGAAAAGUGUGAUAAUUUUAAAAAAAAAAAGUGAAGGUUGUGUCAAAUGUGACGAAAGUCAGCUUGCCGUUUUAUGGGUUUAAUGUUGAGAUUUUGGUUAAUAGUUGGACCAAUUGCUGAUAAAUGUGAACAACCAUUCCUUUUUCUUAGAAUAGUUUGCUUUAAAUUGGAGGAGUUGGUGGUUGGGAAGCUAACCGGGGUGAUUUUUCUUUGAUCAUGACCCGUGAUGCUUGAUAAAUUUUUUUUUCUUGGUAUUUUGGUAGUGCGGUAGUUGGAGCAAUAACCAUUGUCAAACUUUGAUGUUCAAUUGCUGUUCCUAUGGUUGAGGGCAAGCAUGGUUUAGGUGUGGGGGGAAUUGAUAGGUUGCAAUUUCAUUAUUUAUUUUAUUAUUAAUUUUCCCUAUUACCUGACUCGAUGUGGAUUAAUUGUUAGAUUCUACUCACUUUUAGUAUUUUGCAUUUAUUUCAGGGAGUAGAACGAAAAUAUGAUAACAAGUGCCGAUUUGACAAAAGAGGAAUCCAAAUAAUAGAACUUAUCCCAGGGGUAUUUUUGAAAAAGGAAAACUUAUCCCCAUUUUAGUAAUUACUGCAAAGGCAUGGAUGAAGGCAGGGCUUCCUUUUUGCUGGUAGGGGCCGCCGCACAAUAGUAAGGCAUUAGAGAGGAUUGCAAUUAGAUAGGAAUGGAAAACGGAUGCUUUUGAGUAGGACUCCUCCUGCGCAUGGCAAGAGCAACUAAGAGUUGUUUUCUUUAACUGUUCGCUGGGAUCUCUUUUUUAUAUUUUUCUUUCCUACGCAUGUCAGAGGAGGGGAGCUUAGCCUUUGACUUUUCUUUUCGUCUUUAGUUGCUCUUCCGUAGGAGUAGACAAGGGAUGAGUUAAAUCCCUUUGUCUAGUCAAGGAACAACGGAAGCUUUGAUUCGCCUAAAAAUUGUGAGAUCGAUUUAAUUUUAUUUUUUGAAUGAGAGGGAUCAUUCCCAUCAUGGUUAUCAGAACUAGCUAGGAAAGAUAUGGGGGUAGUUACCCCGUUUUGUAAUUAACUCUUGUAAUUUCAAGUAUUAAUAUAUAUAUAAUUGGUAUCAUUUGUUGGAAAAAAAAUUAUUUUAUUUUUUCUUUUAUUUAUUGGUAUUCGCAUAUUCUUUGAUUUCAGUACUUAUGGUUAUUUAAUUAAUUGAUUGUCUUGGAUCCAGAUAAUUAGUUAAUUUGGUAAUCUAUUGUCAAUUAGAGCAUUAAAUCCGUAAUUGUUUAAUUCCCUUGAUAUAGUGACAACUGACAUGAUUGGCUUUGUGUCAGGGAAAUACGCGGGCUAAUAUAAAAUAACCCUGGUAGUGUGUUAUUUGGUUAGAAUAGGGCUCCUCUAAACGUAAGGCAAUUGGGGAAUUAAAUUUUACGGGCGUACCUAGGAUUAUUUUCCCAUUAGGGCAGUGAUUAACGGGCGUACCUUAAUCACCGACACAGUAAGGAGGGAUUAACUGUCAUCGUUUGUUUGACAGUUAUAACCUAUUUAUUAGUAAAUAAUUGGAAUUAGCUUUGCAUUGAUGAUCAAUUAGGUGAACCAUUGCUGAAGUUAUUUCUUGGCUAGAUUCUUAAUUAUCACUCAUUUGAUUUUAGUAGAUUGUUAUUUAAUUUUUAGUAGCUUCUUAGAUUUUCUUUGUUUGUCAUCUUCUGCACAAAAACACCCCCCGGUUACUGUGAAUUUGAAAAGAAACAGUUAUACCCAAUCCAUGUGGAUUCGACCAUGCUUACCACUAUUUAUAAAAAUUAACUUUAGUUAAGCAGGUUUUUAUUAUUGCACAGGCUUGACAACCUGUCAGCCUCUAGGCAAAUUCAGCAUUUUUACAUUCUACUGAUUUAGGGCAUCUUCAAUUAUCAGUUUCAACUCCAUGGUAUAGUAUAGAUAUUACCUCUAAUAGUUGUACGCACUUACACAACAAAUACAGAUUGUGAAAUUAAUUGUAUAAGUUUGAUAUUUUGUAGGUUUUGGGAUAUAAUUUUCACGUUUAGGAAAAAGAAAAUAAGUUAGUAAGUAAUAAUGUGAUACCCCUUGUCCCACGUUGGAAGUGGGAGAGGAAAAGGAUUGAUAUAUAUAAGAUUUGGUCUCAUAAGUUACUAGUUAUUUGGAAUAACCAUUUUGGGAUAGUGAAUUUCGACACAAAAAUUACUUGGGCCAACCAUGGGCUUGGAUGGUGACAAAUAACUUACUAGAAGCUAGGUAUAUUUAUGUUUAGAAGUCCUGAAAGCAGAGCAGUUAAGAAUCUUGAUAAUGGUAAACUUUGCUAAAUCUUAGUUUUUUUGUCUUAAUUUUUUUCAAAUAAAGGAAGGAUGGAAUUUAAGCAGUAGAGGGGUUGAAGAGGAAUUUGAAUUCAAAAUCUCUAAUUUCUAAGCUUUUCACUAAGCAAUCAUCAAAACCAAAAUAAUAAUAAUAAUAAUAAUAAUUGACAGGUGCCGAACCUGUACAAUAAUAAAUACCUACUCGAGAAAAAUACAGAUUUUGUAUAUAGCGGUGAGUAGGGUCGAAUCCACAGGGACUGGGGAUAAUUCGUUUCUUCUAGAGUCCAGAGUAUGGGAGGUUCUUGGAUUAAAUGCUAACUAAAUAAAUUAAGUGCAGAAAAUAAUUGAUUAAAAGAAAUAAUUAAGAGAAACUCUAGCCAAGGGUACACUUCAGAAAUGGUUCAGGCACUGAUCAUUGAUUCACAGAUAAUUCCACAUUUAUUAAUAGAUUAGUUAUAGUUGCCAUGCACGCGAUAAACAACCAACCUUUCCUUACUUUCUCGAUAGUUAAGGUACGACCGUUAACUAUUUCUCUAACCCAAAAACAACCCUAGGUACGACCGUAGGGUUUAAUUUCUAGAUUGCAUUAAUAAUUAGAAAGACCCAAUCCUAACUAACAAACACGCUACGAGGGUUUGUUUAAGUUAGAUCGUAUGUUCCCCUGACAUAAACCCAAUUACGCCAGUUGCUACUGAGAUAAAGAUAACAAACAAUUACGGAUUCAAUUAUCCCUAUUUAGCAAAAUAGCCUAUGUGAAUAAUUAAAUAUUGCGCAUCUAUUCAAUCACUCACACGAGCUAUAACAAUUAAAAGCAGGAAACAUAUAAAUACCAAUAAAUUAAGGAAGCAAUUAAAAUAAAUUAGAUCUCACAGUAAUUGUUGAACCAAGUCUUCAGUUGUCCCCUUGACUAGAAUUAAGAGGUUAGUCCUCCAUUAAUGGAGAACAACCAUGCGAAAGAGCUAAGAAAAGAAAACUAAAAACUAUGCUCAAAGCCUAAACUAAAACUAUUGAUUGAUAAGAGUUCUCUGUACGUUUGUCUCCUUUUUAAAGCCAACAAUGACUAAAGCUUCUUAUCCCUGUGGUCCCCGCUGGAAUUGAGAAUCAAACCAAAAGUGGGGCUCUACCAAAUUCCUUGCUUUUAGUUUCCUAUUGCCCGUAGGACUCCAAUCUCCUCAUCAGCAAAGGAAAUGCAAUCUCUUUGUAGCACCAUGUGGGCCCGGUUGUUUGAAAUCCCAAUUAUCUCCAAAAAGUCCCUCAUUUUUGUAGUUUUCUGUUUCACUUCCUGAAAUUGAGUCCAAUACCAAAUAUAAGUAAAUAUUAAUAAUUAAAAUAAUAUUUGGCAAGGAUAAAGGGAAAAAUUAACAAUAAAAUAACCAACAAUUAACACCCUAUCAAUUCCCCCCACACCUAAAUCAUGCUUGCCCUCAAGCAUAAGAACAGCAAUUGAACACCAAAAUUUGAUAAUGGCUAUUGCUCUAACUAUCAUAUCGCCAAGAUACCCAGAAAAACAUAUAUCAAGCAUCACAGUUAAGAUCCAAGAAAAACCACUCCGGUUAGCUUCUCAACCACCAACUCCUCCAAUUUAAAGCAAACUAAUCUAAGAAAAAAGAAUGGUUGCUCACAUUUAUCAGCAAAUGGUCCAACUAUUAACCAAAAUCUCGACAUUAAGAUCACAAUCUGGCAAGCUGACUUAUUCACAUACUAACACAAUCUUUAUUUUAUUUUUUUCCAUUUUUUUUGUUUUUUUUGUUUCUUUUUUUUUUUGUUUUUUUUGAGUAACAAAAGACUUAGUCUAUAGCCCUUAGAGCCUUUUGACGCGAACUCCAACAUUUGACAGAUGGAGGAGCCCGGUUACUCAGCUCUAAACAACUACCUUUUGACGCGAGAAUCGACACUUUAGGUGAAGAUCCCCGGUUACUCAGUAGUAACAACUAGUGGAGUACAGUCACCUCUUAUUUAUGAUAACAUACCACAAUAACUAGAAAAUAUCACAAAAAUAACAGCAGCCAGCCUCAAAUUUCCAAACAUGGAGAACUAAAAUUAAUAAUUGGACCAAUUCACAUAAAAAAUGCCAACAAUCAUUCCCUAUGCCUAGAAAAGUUAACCAAAAAUUGGAAAAGUUAAGCAAUUACUGCUAUUCACCAAAGAGAUAUUCCUGAACUCAACCACAUUAACAUAAUACCCUUUUGUUAAUAACACUUAGCAAUAGCAGAAUUAGAGACAACAAUCCAACAUCAAACUUGGUAUUCAAAUAAAAAACUGACCACUAGGAAGAAAGAAAAGGAAAUAAACGAAAAAUAGAACAAAUAACAACGAAAAUAAAGGAAAAGAAAAAAACUAAAAGCUGAACACCAGAAAUACCAGCUGUACCACAGCUCUCCCCCCCACACCUAAAUCCGACAUUGUCCUCAAUGGAGAUCAUAAAGUAAAGAAAGCGAAUAGGACAACUACACUUCCUUGAAUACGUGGUGGAAGGUCUCGGGCGGCUAUGGAAUAGGUGGGAACGGUGGAGUGAAAAUGGUGCUACGGUAGUGCGCGGCAGUGAAAGAUUGUAGAGGGAAGGAGAGCUCCGACGUGCGUCUUGAUCCAGGCGAACUAGAGUGCAACAGAGAACUUCAAACCAGCAAAUUUCCAGACAAUGCAGCAGUUUCAAUCAAUGGCCGAGGACGUCCAACAAUGUGCUUGAACGCAGUCAAUUCCAACGAAUAUGGCGAUCAAACAGACUAGAAGCGGUAAUAGAGUCUAAAUAAAUCAACAAAUCUCAACAAAUGAACCCAAUUCUACCCAAAAUCGCAACAAAUGUUCUAAAGAUUUAGCAACAGGCAUUUCAUCAAACACUAUAUGGGCAUAAAGGAUUCAGUAAUUCUCUGCUCGAAUGAUGUAAUUUAGCAUCCAAAAUUAUCAGAAAUCAAUGGACUUCGGUCCAAUUGACACAGAAAAACAUGUACAACCCAAAACCAUGAGCAACUAAUAAGAAAAUUGCAACAAACAAAAAUUCGGCAGACAUGCUCUAAAAGCUUGGGGAGGAACUGAAAUUCAAAGGAAAAGGGUCAACUUACAGAGCUCUUGCUUGAGCGGCGGCGAUUUGCUGAUGGCGGUGGAGGAUCCCGACGAGAUGGUAGCUGCGAAAAAUUCUGGAGCUGCCAACAAGAUGCAAUUCCUCGCUCAGUUUUUCUGCUUGCCCGAAAUUCCUUUUCUUCUUGCUCGGUUUUUGCAACCCCCUUUUCUUGCUUUGUUUCUGUUUGCAGCCGCGGCCCUUUUUUCUGUUUUUUCCUUGGCUUUCACCAAUUCUUUUCCUCAUUUAGUUCCUCCAGCCUGCAGCCUUUUGCUUUUUCUUGUUUCCCCUUUUCCUCCCCUGCCGAAACCUCCCCUAUUUUUCUUUUUGUUUCUCUGUUCUUUUUUCCAGUUCUCUUCUUCAACCGAGAGCCUCCCUCUCUGUUUUCUGUUUUCCCCCAAAAGAUCUCCGCCGCACUUUCUUUCUCUUCCCUUGUUUUUCUAUUCUUUCGUUUAUUUCUUCCCGAAAAAAACUUCCCCCAAUCUUUCAGAUUUUCCCUUGGCUCUUGCCCAAGACUCCCUCUCUGUUUUUCCAGUUUUUUCUUCGGCCUGUCACUCUCUCCUUUUUGCCCAGAUUUUUCCUUGUUCAACCUCUUCUUGCCUUGUCCGCCGCCCCCCUCAUUUUUACUCUGUUUUUUUUUCCUUUUGUCGCAGCCUCCUCCCCUGCUCUUCUGUUUUUCUUUCCUUUUUCUUGACCGAAGCUCCCUCCAACCUAGCCGCCGUCAUUCUCUUUUUUUGUUCGCCUCCCCCCUUCCUUUUGACUCUCCCUAGCCGUCCCUCUUUUCUAAUUUCCUCACUCAACUAGCCGUCCACCAGAUUCUACUCCACACUCUCUCUCAAAACCUAGCCCUUUUCCUUUCAGCCGUCACUCAGUCCCCUGCCGUGAGCUUUUUCUUUUUCCUCUCCAAAGCUGCGUCUUUCUUUCCUCCCUAAACCCUAGCCACUCUCUGCUCCCUUCUAUUCUCUCAAACUCCCAGCCUGUUUCUGAACCUCCCAGCCGUCAACCUUUUUUUCUCCCCUCUGCCUUGCGGCUUCAUCUUAUGCCUUUUUAUAAGGAGCUAAAUCCCCAAACCCUCACACCUAAGGUUAGGAUGAUAGUGAGAUUUAUCCAAGAUUUUGGAGCCCUUGGAUGAUAGAUUUGAGCCGCUGUCCUUCCUCUGUUCGUUUCAUGCCUCUGCUUAAUAUGAAGAGAGAGCUCGGAUCUUGUGUGGCUCACGCAAGUUUGAGCUUGCCUUUUUCUUUUCUUAAUUAAUUAAUUAAAGCUGUAAAAGUCAAAUAAAAAUGAGAAUAAAACAAAUGAAAAUGCCCUAAAAAUUUAAUUUUUCUUGAUGAUUUUUUUUCUUUUUUUUCCUAUUAAUAAACAGUAAAACAUAUUUUUUAAGAAUAAUUUUCUCUUUUGACAAAUUUUACACUAAAAGUCUUAACAAAAAUAAACAGCUAAAAGGGAAAGAACGAAUACAAAAUAAAAAUAAAAACUAAAAUAAAAUAAUAGAUAAUAAUAAUAAUCUAAAAUGCUAUACAAAGGCUAAAAGUGUAAAACCAAAAUCAUGAAAUUAACAAAUAAAAAUAGAUAAGAAUUAUUACUAAAACAAAGAAUAAAAAUGGAAUGAAAAUUAUUCAAAAAUUUGGUGUCUACAGUUUGCCCCUCUUUGUCUGAGUUUUGAAAAAACUUGAGACAAAGAAGUAGACACCAAAUACUCACCUGUUAUUCGGCUGCGAACAACUCGAAUGAUUGACGCUUUCUGAAAUGGGGACUGACCCCUUUAACAAAAUUUUAAAAAGAAUGGGACUGACCCAAACAAAAUUUUAAAAUCAUGGGACUGACCCGAAUAGAAUUUAAAAUGGAAUGCACACUAGUGGGACUGACCCAUGUUUAGUGGCAACGAAAAUGAAAUGCACACUGGUGGGACUAACCCACGUUCAGUGGCAGUGUAAAUGAAAUGCACGCUAGUGGGACUGACCCAUGUUUAACGGCAACGAAAAUGAAAUGCGCGCUAGUGGGACUGACCCAUGUUUAGCGGCAAAGAAAACAAAAUGCACACUAGUGGGACUAACCCGUGUUUAGUGGCAAUGAAACAUGAAAUGCACGCUAGUGGGACUGACCAUGUUUAGCGGCAAAGAAAAUAAAAUGCACACUAGUGGGACUAAUCCAUGUUUAGUGGCAAUGAAACAUGAAAUGCACGCUAGUGGGACUGACCCAUGUUUAGCGGCAAUGCAAAUGAAGUGCACACUAGUGGGACUGACCCACGGCUAGUGGCGAUGGAAAUAAAAUGCUCACCAGUGGGACUGACCCACGGCAAGUGGCGAUGCAAAAUAAAAUGCUGGUAUGUAUGAAGAAACUAUAUAAGAUUUACUUGAAGAAUCAUCCAAAAAUUUGCCCAAGUGAUGAAAUGGUCAGUGGGAUUAAACCCGAGCCUGCCUUGGUUGGUGGUACAAAAUCCAAGCCCAACGUGAACUUUGUGAUGUUGGCGGCACCAAGUCCAGGCCCAACGUGAUGUUUGUGAUGUUGGUGGCACGAAAACCAAGCCCAACGUGAUGUUGGUGAAGUUGGCGGCACAAAAUCCAAGCCCAACGUAAUAAAGUGAAGUUGGUGGCACAAAAUUCAAGCCCAACGUGAUAUUUGUGAUGUUGGCGGCACAAAAUCCAGGCCCAACGUGAUGUUUGUGAUGUUGGCGGCACAAAAUCCAGGCCCAACGUGAACUUUACGAUGUUGGCGGCACCAAGUCCAGGCCCAACGUGAACUUUGUGAUGUUGGCGGCACCAAGUCCAGGCCCAACGUGAUGUUUGUGAUGUUGGUGGCACGAAAAUCAAGCCCAAUGUGAUGUUUGUGAAGUUGGCGGCACAAAAUCCAGGUCCAACGUGAUAAAGUGAUGUUGGCGGCACAAAAUGGCUCGCUUGUGUCUCCUGAUGAAAUCGAUUUAUAUUAGCAAUUAGUAAUCCCAUCAUUUCUUCAAGAGACAUACCUGACACGGAGGAUGAUUGCUGAGACUCUUGCUGUUGAAAAUCCAUUGGCCCGGUCGCAUAAUCAAAAUUGGAAUUAUCCCACCAUCCUUGAUCAUACCCGUUUGAAUAAGGGUCAUACUGCGUUUGAUAUUGGGGUGGAAAAUCUCCAAAAGUAUCAAUUGGAGCGCUUAGAUUAUCUUGAAAUGCGGGGCAUGUGUCAGUUGAAUAACCUGAAUCAAAAUAAGUUCCACAAUUUGCAACAGCCCAUUGAUCAUUAGGGAAAACAUGAGUCUCAUACCCCCAUUCAGGAACAAAGUCCAGUCUAUCAUCAAAAUAUGGAAUGUUAGCAGCCAUAAAAAAAAUAAUAAUAAAAAAAAAGAAAAAAAAAUAAGAGAAAAAUAAAUUUAAAAAAAAAAUGAAAACAAAAUAAACUCAAAAAGAAACAAAUUAAUCAGACACCAGUCCCCGGCAACGGCGCCAAAAAUUGACAGGCACCGAACCUGUGCAAUAAUAAAUACCUACUCGAGAAAAAUACAGAUUUUGUAUAUAGCGGUGAGUAGGGUCGAAUCCACAGGGAUUGGGGAUAAUUCGUUUCUUCUAGAGUUCAGAGUAUGGGAGGUUCUUGGAUUAAAUGCUAACUAAAUAAAUUAAGUGCAGAAAAUAAUUGAUUAAAAGAAAUAAUUAAGAGAAACUCUAGCCAAGGGUACACUUCAGAAAUGGUUCAGGCACUGAUCAUUGAUUCACAGAUAAUUUCACAUUUAUUAAUAGAUUAGUUAUAGUUGCCAUGCACGCGAUAAACAACCAACCUUUCCUUACUUUCUCGAUAGUUAAGGUAUGACCGUUAACUAUUUCUCUAACCCAAAAACAACCCUAGGUACGACCGUAGGGUUUAAUUUCUAGAUUGCAUUAAUAAUUAGAAAGACCCAAUCCUAACUAACAAACACGCUACGAGAGUUUGUUUAAGUUAGAUCGUAUGUUCCCCUGACAUAAACCCAAUUACGCCAGUUGCUACUGAGAUAAAGAUAACGAACAAUUACGGAUUCAAUUAUCCCUAUUUAGCAAAAUAGCCUAUGUGAAUAAUUAAAUAUUGCGCAUCUAUUCAAUCACUCACACGAGCUAUAGCAAUUAAAAGCAGGAAACAUAUAAAUACCAAUAAAUUAAGGAAGCAAUUAAAAUAAAUUAGAUCUCACAGUAAUUGUUGAACCAAGUCUUCAGUUGUCCCCUUGACUAGAAUUAAGAGGUUAGUCCUCCAUUAAUGGAGAACAACCAUGCGAAAGAGCUAAGAAAAGAAAACUAAAAACUAUGCUCAAAGCCUAAACUAAAACUAUUGAUUGAUAAGAGUUCUCUGUACGUUUGUCUCCUUUUUAAAGCCAACAAUGACUAAAGCUUCUUAUCCCUGUGGUCCCCGCUGGAAUUGAGAAUCAAACCAAAAGUGGGGCUCUACUAAAUUCCUUGCUUUUAGUUUCCUAUUGCCCGUAGGACUCCAAUCUCCUCAUCAGCAAAGGAAAUGCAAUCUCUUUGUAGCAUCAUGUGGGCCCGGUUGUUUGAAAUCCCAAUUAUCUCCAAAAAGUCCCUCAUUUUUGUAGUUUUCUGUUUCACUUCCUGAAAUUGAGUCCAAUACCAAAUAUAAGUAAAUAUUAAUAAUUAAAACAAUAUUUGGCAAGGAUAAAGGGGAAAAUUAACAAUAAAAUAACCAACAAUUAAUACCCUAUCAAUAAUAAUAAUAAUAAUAAGUAAAAAAAAAAAAUGGGCACCUUUUGGUCAAUGCUAGAUCCUGUUCGAAGAUUUAUUCCUUUGGUUUGUCAUCAUCUCCCUCUAUUGAAAUCUAAGUACCCUUGGUUGACAAUUUGUUUCCCUGAGCAGCCAUCAACGCUUUUAUAUAGUAUUAGAUUAGAUUAGAUUGUCAAUGCACCAUCAAUAUCCUUCAAUCUCACCACCUGCUCAACAAAAUGUUCCAUAAACACAAAUAUAUUAAUGAAUUUGGAGUUGAUUUGAAGAAUUGACGAGAACCGCAAGCUAGAAUUUUUCAUAUAGUCAAACAAGAAAUUGGAAAAAUCUGACUAGCUUGCAACGAGUACUACAUCUCAAGACAAGGGAUCUUUCAGUCACUCUUUUAUUGUAUCGAAGACCUACUUGCAUCUAUGAAUAAGCAAUACUGAGUGAUUUUAGAUGUGAAGUUGAUUCCAUGUGGUAGGACAACUUUGGUUUUCAAAAAUAAGGGCAGUCCAAUUCACUCAAUACAAAAAAAAAAAUUAAAAUGAUAAUAUUCAAAGGAACGUCUAUCUUACCUGAAAAAAAAACAAACAAACAAAAAACAAUAAAAAGGAGAUUGAUAUCCUAUCCAGUAUCCAGAGAUUGAACAAUAGCCACAUUAUAUUAUAAUUCUUAAUGAUCAUUAGCUGAACUAUCAACUUUAGCAGUCAAGAAAGGCUGUAACUUGUAUAAGGACAAUAAAUUCUUUAUUCCGGCGUCCGGAGACUUGAGACGUGGACGCUUCAUUAGUCAAUAAUAAAGUGUGGAAUUCGACGAAUAUUCUUAGCUCGUUCAAGAUAACAGAGAAGAUUCACUCUUGUACAAGCAACAGGAACAGCUACUUAAACUAUUGGAUAAUUUCAUAAACCUUGGCUGAAGUUUUGGACAAUUUCAGUAUCCCUAUUAUUUUCAAUAUUACGCUGACCAUUCUUACUUUAACUAAUGUAGUAACCAAUUCAGCCCAUAUCAGUAAAAGAAAUGGAAUAAAUUGACAAGAAAUGGUGUCAUCACAUUUUGUUCCACAUUUACCCUUAUAGACCCUAAAAGAAAUAUUGUAACAAAUUUUACUUCGUACCUUCGAUCUUGAAUCACUUUUCUAUUCUCUUACUCUAAACUUUAAUUUUGGACGCUUUCCAUGUGAUUGGAGGCAACAGCACAACAGAGCUCUUCUUAAGUCUCUGAUCGUUAGUGUCACAUGACCAUUGCUAAUUAUGCUAUUGCUUUUGAAUGGAAAUAGCAUAAAAGUCUUGGGGAAUGAACAAAUUGAAUAGACCAUUUUGCAGAGCAGUGAAAUAUUCCGAAGCCGUGAAGCACAGUGACAAGCUACAAAUUAUAGUAAUUUAUAUUUAUUAAUUGUCAAUGAAUGGUUUUAUUUGAGCUAUAAUUAGAAUGGAAGUUGCCUAAUUUAAGUAUAUUUUGGUUUUUGCGGGAAAAGCACGCAAUUGAGGAGGGGAUGAAUAAAAAACGCAACAAAAGAAGAAGAAACGUUGAAAGGGACUUUGUGAGGACUUCUUCCAGUUCCAAUGAUUUCUAAAGAAAUUUCUAAAAUUAUGAUGAAUUUUAAAAAAAUUCUACAAAGGGGCCAUUUUGAGUAUGGGAUUCCGUCCAAGGGGUCUUCGCAUUCAGCAAAUGCGAGCUUCCUCAGCUCGCAUUUGCUGAAUGCGAAGUCUCUUGAAUUUGCAACCAACGAAAUCCAAAAAAAAAAACAGACCUCGCAUUUGUAAACAGUACGUAGGCCUGACCUCUUAUCCUGUUUCUGAGCAACAAAGCAUAGCCACGAAUUUGAAAGCCAUUUGCCAAGUGAAAAGAAAAUGUGCAGUGCAAAUGGGACACAAAAUUGAUUGGGGAGUCCUGUUGAGGUAGUACAAGUGGCAAAUUGGGAGGGGAGAGAGAGGCGCAGCUGGCUAGCUUCACAGAAAUAGGUUCCGAAUAGGGGUCCAAGCUCUACAAUGGCGCAGAGCUUCCAACGAGAAAGAUGUGAGGGAUUUCGUCUGCCGAUCCUGGAAGCUUGGACUGGUGUCUAGCUCAGCAAAAGAGAAGAGAAAGUGAGCUGGAUGGAGAGAGUGAGCUCCAAUUUCUGCAGGUUAGGAGACAGAUUAGAAUGCCGUAAUUAUGAGCUCUGCCUUUUUUUCAGAUUGAGUACCUCGCAUUCGAGAAAUGCGAGGUACCUCAGCUCGCAUUUGGCAUAUACGACCUUUGUUGUUUUUUACUUUUUCUCAAAACCUUUCUCUUUUUUCUUGAAACACUGACCUCGCAUUUGUGAAAUGUGAAGUCUUUGAACUAGCGUUUCACAAAUGUGAAGACCAUAAUCCUAGAAUUAGCUUCAAAAAUUACCCCCCUUGUAAAACAACUUUUUUUUCUAUCACAAUUUAAGAAUUUACUCUGAUUUUUGAGCAUAACAAGUUUGCGGCCAGAGUUAGAGCCGGUCUUCGGGCCGAACUUUAUUGGAAAACCCAUUCAAACUCGAUUUUUGGUAAGUUUUCAAGACCUAUUCCUACCACAUUUCGGAUGCAACUUUGAGAGACUAUAAAUAGGACAUUCUAGGAUAUUUUUAGGUUAGAAAGCAUUUAGCUUACAUUAGUUCAUCCUUUUUAUAUCUUCUUUUCUUGAGAGAUCACAAAGGAAGUGUUGAAGAAUCAAAGAGAAAGUUCAAGAUGGAGAUUGGAGUAGGGAAAAAUUGAGAAGUUUUCUUUAUUUUUAACUUCUUAUUUUGUCUUUCAUUUGAAUUCUUGGAUUUAUCUAUGAAUAUGUUGAACUAAUUUAUAGCUAGACUUAAGAUUUUGUGAAGGAGAUUUGAUUAUUUGUUCUAGAUAAAUUAUUCAAUUUUUCUUUGAUUUAUCUAUCUUGCCUUUAUUACAUAUUUAUGUUUGGCCACUAUAGAUAUGCUUUUAGGGUUUGUAUUGAAUUGAGAAGCGAUAUACAACCAUAUAUUAGAUAAAUAAACUUACUUAACCUAAUUAUGAAUGUGGGUUAGGAUUUGUAUGGCAUAAUCAUAUCACCUAAAAUCUUAAAGGGUUUAAUUAAAUACCUAUGAUCUUGAGAGCAAUGUGAGAUUUCAUUAGACACAAUUUAGAUGUAUCGAGAGAUAAUUAAAAUACUUUUACGUGAUACGUCUUUGACAUGUUAAGAAAAUAAUUGGAUAAUGAUUCCAAUUAUGAAUCAAAAUUUGAAACUCUAGUCUUUUGCUAAUUGUUUUCUCACCUAUAUCUUAUUUGAUUUGAUUACUUAUUUAAUUUCUUAAUUAGUGACUAAAAACCCUCUAAAUUUAAAUUUUAUUAUUUUUAUUAGAAUAAUUAAAGUAGAAAAAAUUAACUCAUUCCUAUAUGUUUGACCCUGAAGUACUCCAAGUGAAUUAUUAUUUCGAUCAACCCUAUACAGUUAUAGAAAUUCAUCGAUCACACAGCAACUAAAAAAAAAUUAACGCACAAUAAUGUCAUGAACACAGUUCCCAUCUUAGUUGUUCAACAUUCACGGUGGAUUUCAAUUAGUGGUAAAUAGAUAAAGGCAUCGAAAAAAGUAAUCUAAUUACUAGAUAAUUGAAUUUAUACUACAGCAUAUUUCUUUUUUCUACUGCAAAAACUUAACUAAUUUAAGACAAUGUAGUCCAAGCUAAUUGAAGAUUAAUUUCCCUAAAAAAUGUUCAUGAUAAAAACUCAACAAAGAGAUAAUACAACAGCUUACUUUUGGAGGUGAUCUUAUAUGGUCUUUAUUAACAAACUAAUUAGCCACUUAAGCCUUUUUUUUUCCUUUUGGGACUACACAUGACAAAAUGAGGAGUGAAUCAGUCGCUUAGUAUCUAAAAUUUUCCCUCCAUAAUUAGUUCAACCUGAUUUAAGACUAAAUUUUUACUAUAGGAAUGUUCGUGAUUCAGCAAUGAAAGACCAUAUAAACUUAUUUUGGGAGAUUUGUCCUAGAAGACAAAAAAUGAGCAACCAAUCAGAAAGUCGUACUUACAUAUCAAAAUCGAUACAGUCUACUUAAUUCACCAGCUAUGUAUAUUUCAUCCAUUUUCACAUAAUAGAAAGAACAAUAAUGCAUGGCAUUAUCCAUCGUAAAUUGCUCAUAUAACAUCAAGAUAUCAUGGUGUGGACCUCAAAUGACUCGUCAUGUCUACUGGCUACAUUUUAAACAUAUCUUAUGGCCAGAAUGUUCAUCUUAUCAACUUCACGAGUUUAGUCAUGGUACCAUACCAUUAAAUUAAAAAAAUUUCCACCGUUUACCUUUUAUAGACGUCAAGGAAUAUAGCUAAUAACGCACUUUUGGCAGCAAGCUUCCUUCACCCAAUUAAAGAUUUUCGGAGCUUAAAGUUCAGCUCCUAAAGCUCUUCUCCAAGGCUCACCAACCAACAGAGAAAUUACUUUUAGCAAAGUUGUUAAAUUUUGGCACCAGGUUUUGAUGGCAUCUUGGCAAGAUUGGAAGAUUAUAUUGCGCUUCUAAGAUAAUGUUUAAAAAAGCUAUUUUAGUGAGGGCAUUAUGGUCAAUUUGUCCCUGAUGAUAUUGACAUUAGGUCCCAUCAACAUCAGAAGGGAGCUCAUUGCAUUAUUGGAUAUAACAAGGGUGCUAGUGAAAUUAUGAAAACCCUCAAGGAAGGUAUUUGAAAUUAACCCUAAAAUACUCAUUCCACGCAAGGCGUGGCGUUCCCCUCCUAGUUCCUAUAAAUAGGGCUGCAACUCAAUGCACUUAUCACUCGACAUCAAUAAUUUAGCACAUUAUUUACAUUUUGAGUGAGAUUGUGAUCAAAUGGCAUCUUCAAAAAAUUUGCUCUUUCUUAUUGGUGUUCUUUUUGCACUUGUGUACCUCAUUUCCUCUGAUGCAACAGCUGCAGGUGCCUAGUCCCUUUUUUUCUUUUCCUUUCUUCCUUUUUUUUUUGGCUGCACCUAAAUACUUAAAUGAAUGGAGAUUUGGAGACUCAUUAUUGGAAUGUGAAUUUUUAUGCAAGUCAUAUUAAUGUGCUAAUAUCUUUUUCAUUGUUUAGCAAAAGUAAAUUUGGGUUGCUUCUAUCAAUGGUUAGUGGCACAUCUGAUUUUUCAUGCAUCCUUAUAGUAUUGCGGUAAGGAUACACGUUCCAUAGUGUCGCACCAAAGAUUAAACUAACGUCGAAAACCAAAUUAAAUGCUUCUAAUUAUAAUUUAAAGCAAAAUAAUUCCCCUUAUAAAUGGACGAAACUCCCUGCCAACAAAUCCAAAUUCAAGAAAAAAAUUUUCUUAAGGGGAAACUCUGCCAAAAUUUUCUUAAAAUAAAUAAAAUAUUUACUUAAAAAAAUAAAGCAAAAUAAUUCAUAUCCAAGUCGCACCAUCUUAUAUGCCUAGACUGUUUUGUUUAAUCCAUAGUAUUCUUUUCUUUCCAUAUAUCUUGCAAAUUUUCAGCCUAGCCGGUCACCUAACGUUCGCAGCUUAAGAUAAAGCUCCAAAUAUUUAUGUCUCCUUGUGUCUUGAAACAGAUCAGAAGAGCGUGAAAACCACUGGUGUCCACGAUGCCAGUUCAGGCGAGGUUCAUCAGGAUAGCAAAAGCGAAGAUCGUUGCAGACAUGGUUGCUGCCACUGGUACCAUGGACACUGCCAAAGAUGCUGUCGAACUGCCGAGGAGACCCCUGAAGUCACAUCUGGAGAUGAGGAUACCGUAACCGCAGAUCGUUGCAGACAUGGUUGCUGCCGCUGGUACCAUGGACAUUGCCAAAGAUGCUGUCCACCUGAAGAUCGUUGCAGACAUGGUUGCUGCCACUGGUACCAUGGACAUUGCCAAAGAUGCUGUCCACCUGCUGAGGAGACCCCUGAACAUCGUUGCAGACAUGGUUGCUGCCGCUGGUACCAUGGACAUUGCCAAAGAUGCUGUCCACCUGCUGAGGAGACUUGCAGACAUGGUUGCUGCCACUGGUACCAUGGACAUUGCCAAAGAUGCUGUCGAACUGCUGAGGAGACCCCUGAAGCUACAUCCGGAGAUGAGGUCAAAAAUUAAUCCUAAAUAAAUAAGGCCGUGACACAGGAUCCGUGACACCUAUAUUAUUACCUUAAUAUGUUAUGUUGUGUUUGCUUUUAAUGGUUGAUUUCCUAUAUGUGUAAAAGACUUGUGCGGCUUCUCUUUGAAUUGAUGUAGAAUCAACGGGGGAAGCAUGUAAUGAGUACUCAGUUCGAGUGCUCUUCUUAUGUUGUUGUCAUGUUGAAUAAAUAAAUCUACUUGAUCAUCUACUACAAUUGAUGAUCUUCUUAUGUUUUUUUUCACUUUAUCUUCCUUCAAGAUUUUUGGUGGAAAUGCUUCAUUUAUACGAAUUUUCCUAGUUAGUAAAUGCUUCUAUUACACUUGUACAAUACACAUUUAAAAGUAUAACACAACAAAAGCUUGUGUAGUUCAUAUAUUUAAAAAAUAUUCAUACUUUUCAACUAAACUAUAAAAAUACGUAAUAAAUUCUUGAUACAUUAUACUUUACGAACUAUACUUUAAAUUUUAAAAAUAUUUAAUAGUAUCACUUAUCAAUAACUCCACAUGUUAAUUUGUCUUCCAAUUCAGUAAAUUAUAGUAGCUAAUUCUCAAAGCUAACCGACACCAAAAUUCCCUCACUUGUUGGAUUUAUAUUAAUUACAUUGCAUUUAUUUCCUAAGCAUGAGUUUUGUAACCCCUCAUAUUAAAUCUCAAUGAUUGAUUUUAACGGUUACCAAGGCGUCUAGUAAUUGGUUUGCUAUUAAUUUGAACUAGACAUUUAUUAGGUCUAGUAGAAUUUAUUCCGUCUUAUCACUUAGUUCAUAAACCUUACGAAUCGUUAAAACCAGCUCUAACAUUACCUAACAAGACUUCUACAAUUUCGGGUUUUGCUUAGAAAUCAGUCUGAUAGGUUAACUUGCUUCGUCCAACUUUAUGAGUUGCUUCUCUUUUUUUUCCCAUAUUUGACAUUUCAUCUUACUUUAAUAUGGGGACCAAGUUAGUAUUGUUGACAUUUCAUAUCUAAGACUUCUUAGUUAAUUGAUUUGUUAUAAGAACUAUAACGUAUGCGUGUUUUGUAAGCUUUCAUUUUUAUUUUUUUUUCAAUUCUUGUGGACCAGCAACGGAUAGUUUCUUCUAGUACCAAGCUUCCUUUGAAGUUCUUUAUUUUUUUUUUUUUGCGUGUCCAAAUGUAAAUUAAAAGAACCAACAACUUUGAACAAGUCUAUAUCUAGUAAAGAUAGAUAUAAAGAGGGAUACUAUAUCACUGCAACAAAAAAGGGAUUUGGCGAGGAGCAAAAGUCCACGCCAAUAGUUUUGACUUCCUCGCCAAUUAAUUUCAGCGAGAAAAAUGCUUCCUCGUCAAGUUUCUUGCUAGAUGCUUGUCGCUAAAAGUUAUUAGCGAGGAUGCUGCUGCUUUUCUCACUAAUGAAACAGAUCAAUAGCAAGGGUUGACCUCCUCGCCAAUCUGAUUCAAAUACUAUGGCGAGAAAAACUUUCCUCACCACUAAAGUUAAAAACUCCCCACAAAAACCAGUAGUUCCUGAUAAGUGACUAAUUUACGUAAUAAUUAUAUGAUAUUUUAUAUUAUUUUUUGUCACUUUAGUUAUAUUAUUGGAAGAAAAUGAAUCAUUUUGGCUAUAAUUGGUAAAAAAUGCUUUUAAGUGAUUAAAUGAGGUUUUUAUCACUUUUUAGUGGGAUUUCGUGCAUUUUGACAGUUUUGACACAUUUUCGUCGUAUUUUGGCUAUAACUUGGGAUACAAUGAUCGGAUUGAGAUGAUUUUUAAACCAAUUUGAAGAUAAGAGAUAGAUCUACAACUUUGGUGCAGACAUUUGAAUCCAGUUUGAAGGUUUUCAAAGUCAAAAAGCUGAAUUACAAUAGCAAAUUUCUACUGGUCAAAGCUGAAACAGGGCAAUGAGCAGUCAAGGGUAUUUCGGUCAUUUCUCAGCCUAAACAGAUCCAAAUGAGGUGAUUCUUGAUGCAUUGGAAAGAUAAGUCAAAGGGCUACAAGUUUCAUGUUUUGGUCAAGAGCUAAAUCAGCUUUUAUCAUCAAGAAAAGUUCAGUGGAAGUUGAUGCAAAAUCGGAGCAAAGCUGGAAAUUGAACCAGAAGUGACCAAAUGGUCACUGUAGCAAUCCGGCCGGAAUUUGGCCGGAUUUGUGGCCAGAUUCCUGGCCGGAUUGUGGUUAGAAAAGGCUGUUAUGUACGCGUAAAACUCAAUUUCACCUCCACCAACUCACAUGUGAUGCUAGACUUGUGAGAAACAUUCCCAACUGUAAAAGAGAGGUGUAAACCUCAAGUCUUGACCAAUCUUUCAUCUAUAUAUAGCCAAAUUCAUUGCAAGAUUGAAGGAUAUAGAGAGACAUAUGGGAGAACUUGGAGAGUGCAGAAAUGUAGCUCUUUCAUCUUCCUAGUGUUAGUUUAGCUUAGUGUAGAGUAGUAUAGAUCAUCCAUUCUUGUAUCUUGGCUAGAUUAGGAUGAAGAUGGAGAUGAAGAUGGAGGAGUUGAAGCUCAAGUGACAUGGGUUAUUUCUUCUCCAACUCUUUAUCUUUUGUAUCAGAUUCUUAAGUUUGGUUAAUAUACAAGUUCUGGAUUUUGUGUUUAUUAUGUGUUUUUAAAGUUUAUACCUUGGGUUUGGUUGAACUUUCUAUGAUUGUUAGUGUUUAUUAUUUGGUUAUUUGAUUGCUAUGAUUUGAGCAAGUUAUUUAGCACUUUGGCUCUUUAAAUCAUGAUUAAUCUGGUACCAUUGAUUGUGAUUAUCUAAGGUGUUGUUUCUGCAAUGAAAAUUGAGAUUUAACACUAGUUCAAGAAGUGCUAAACAUAGGGAGUACACUCACGAAAGUAGAGGUGCACCUAUGUGGUUUUUAGUGAUUCAUUUCGUGUAAUUUCAUUGAAGAAUGAACUUGUAGCUAAUUUCAUAACCAUGAGAAUAAGUAUGGAUUAGUUAUAAGUAUAAUUGAUUCACUACGAAAGUAGGAUUCAAAUACAUAAGGAAAUUACACCAUAACUAGCCUAGAUGUAGUACUCAAUGAUCCAAAUAUAGCACUUGUAUGAGUAGUUAGGGAUACCACAACCUAAGGAGCUUUUAUUUGUUAUUUCAGUAGGUUAAAUUUGUUAUAAUUCAUUGAUAGUCUAAAUAAUAGAGAAGCUUUAGUAAUAUCGGUAAUUGUUCACUCUUCCCUGUGGGAUCUACCCGAUAUAUACCCUAAACUACUAGUUGAUCUGUAUACUUGCAGUGAACGGGUGUAAUUCGGUUUUUUUUUAACUUGUACGUAUGUAAAAUACCCGUCAAGUUUUUGGCGCCGUUGCCGGGGAAGAUUUGGCAAUAUCGGUGUGAAGAGCAACUUUAUUAGUUUAGACAUUUCAUUAGUCAUAGUGUGAAUGUUAUUUUCUGCUAUUUUUGUGUUUUAUGUGUGUAUGUGUUUCAUUACCUAUUUUUCUUACUAAUUUUGCUUUUGAGGUUGUUUAAAAGCAAUUUUAGGUGAUGAGAAGGAUAGGUCAAUUUGGAGGACAAUGCUUGAGAAAUGAAAGUUUGGCAAUGGAUGGUUACCAAGUGCAAAGCUCCUUCAACAGAGGUAAUCAAGAAUUUACUGAAUGUAUGUCUUUUGAAGAUGGUUUAAGGUGCUUAAAGGCUAAAUUUGAUGUUAUGAUGUUACAAGUUCAAAUGGACACAAUUAUGCAUAAAAUUGAGAAAGGGAGGAAUGUUAAUGCUUUUAAUUCUUAUCAUGUGAUUUGUGACUUGUGUGGAGGUUAUCAUGCUUCUAAUACAUGUAGACAAGCACAAAAUGUAGAUUAUUUUGAUGAAUUAGAGCAUUACAAUCCUUGUUUUGAUCAAUAUAGUGCUAAUUGGAGCAAUUCUCCUGCUUGUGGUUGGGAUAAUCAAUGUACAUAAAGUGAUUAUCCAUAUUUUUAUGAUUACCAACCUGAAAGUGUCCAAUAUGAAUCAAAACCAUCUUGGGAGUUGGCAAUAGAGAAGUUAGCUAAUGCACCUCUACCUUGGGAGUUAGAAAGUAAACCAUUAGCUAAUGACUCUAAUGCAUCUUGGGAGCUAGCUGUAGAAAAUUUUUCUAAUUAAUUUGAUUCAACAAUAAAAAAGCUAGCAAACGCAACUUCCGACCGUUUUGAUAGGAUUGAGGAAAGAAUAGAUGAAUUAGCUUCUCACUUUGGUAGAAUAUAUGAGCAAUUGAAUGUAUUGUGUGAAGUUAUUUCCUCUAAUAAUUUGCAAAAUGAUCCUAGCAUGAAUGGUGGGAAUGUUGUAUGUGAAAAUGGGUUGUAUUUUGACGAAAAUUAUGAAUCUCAAGUGUGUUUUAAUGAACAAAUAUCCAUUUCACAUGAUAAUAUCUUUGGAACUAACUUUGAGCCUCAAGAGGUGAGUUUUAAUGACUCAUUUUUCACCCCUCUUGAGGAGUGCAGUGAAAGUAUAGGUUCUAAGGGUAUUGCUGCCCAAGAUACUCUCACGACAUUUCAUUUGGUAAGUUCUCAAGUGGUGCAUAUUCAAGGUAAUAUCUAUGAAACACUUGGGAUAGGUAAGUCACUUCCAUCUCUCACAUUAUUAGAUCAUGUGACUUUUGUUAUAAAGUCACCAUUUAAUGAUCCACCACAUCCUAAAAUGGUGGAUUAUUCUUUAACUAAACCUCCUUGAAAAAUGAGGUGAAAUAGUCAAGCUAAUGACUGUAAAGAAGCACUCGUUGGGAGGCAACCCAGCGAUUUCUUGAUUUUAGUAAGUUUUAGUUGUUUAACUAGUGUUUUUGUGUGUUUUGUAGGUGGUAAUGACAAGGGUUCAUGCAAAUGAUCUCAAUGAAAAAAGUGUCAAUAUUGAGGCAAAAAGGAAGUUUUCAUGUUCAAUUGAUGCAUUUCAUGCAUUUAAAGUGUUUCAUGUUAAAGUUACAUUCAUGCAUGAUCAUGUAUUUUCAAGUGUAUUUGGUUUAGAAAGACACAUUUUCAAUGUUAAACUUGGAUUUUAUUCAAAGAACAUGAAAGUAGGUGGAAUGCGGAAGAUUGGCCAAGCAAAUUUGGAGGAAAAACUACAGAAAACAGCUUUUUCUGUAGCAAAUCCGGCCAUAAAUCCGGCCAAAUAUUGGCCGGAUUGAAGGCCAGAUAGUCAGGGGAGAAAGAAAAAUUUUUUCGGACUCACUGGCUAGAAUCCGGCAGUAAAUCCGGCCGGAUUGUAAAAAAAAAAAAACUUACUGUAGCAAUCCGGCCAAGAAUUCGGCCGGAAAUCCGGCCAUAAACUGGCCGGAUAUGCAACAGGAAAAAAAAAAUUCUGCCCAGAAUCCUUCCAGCAAUCCAUCCACGAAUCUCUCCAAUUUUUGGCCGGAUUGUGAACAGUAACCAGCGUAAGAUGAAUCCGUUUCACGGAUUCCUCACAAUUUUUCUCCCUUCUUCUUCAACCCAACUCAUACACUAACACCUCAAACACAUACCACUCACUAAAACACCACUUUUCACCAUUUAAUCUUCAAAUAACCUUCACCAAAUCACUUUCUCCCAUCCUCUAGAGUGAAUUUCAUAGUUCAUAUAUUUUCAAAAACAACUCUAAAGUGGUUUCAAGCUUACCAUUAGUUAGUUCUACCUUCUUGAAAUCACUCAAUCGAGGUCAAAUUGGAGUAAGUUUCUUGGGGGUUUUCACAUCAUAUUCAUCUCUAAACAUCACCAAACCACCUUGAGGCAACAAAUCUUCACCUAACUUUGUUAUUUGAAUUUUGCCAUGAUUAAAUAUUUUCUAUUUUUAGGCAAUUUUUAAUAUGUGAAGUUAGGUGCAUUUAUUUGAGUUUAUUGAUGCUAUUGGUGAUUGUUAGUGAUAAAUAUAUGUUGUGAUUUGCAUUUAUUGUAUUUAUUUGGUGAAUUCUUGCUAGUUUAUGCUUAAUUUGGCUUGGUGACGAAGUUGCAUAUUAAGUGGCCAAUGUAGCAUUUUAAUUAGUUUAGUGGGAGUUUUUGAUAUUCAUGUGAGUAAUUUAGAUUACCUAAUGAAUGAAAAGAUGCUUGGUUGAAUGAUUUCUUAAAUUCUUGGGUAAUUCUUAAAGAAAAGGUGAAUUGAAGAUGGCCUUAAUUUAUGAAAUUCAUAAAUGCACUUAUAAUCUUUGUGGUUCAAUGGUUUUUAGUAUUUCAUGAAUUCUCACGAAGGUCAUCUAUGAUUUGUUUUGGUGUGUUUGCCUUCAUUUUGAGAUUACUUUUGUACUUGAGGGGACUUGAUCAUUGAUGACAAAAUGUAUGAAUAGAACUUAUUUUGUUCAUGAUUGUGCAUUUAUUGUGUGAAAUUAGCUUCCCUUUGCUUUGGAUAAUAAUGCAUAUAUUUCAUUAGCAAAGAUUAGCUCAUUUCAUGUUUUUAUCCCAUGAACAUUGUAUGGUUCCACAUGCUCGAUCAUUUUUCCUUUUUCCUUGACUUGCAUGUUUUCUUCUAGUUGAUUGCAACCGUUUAUUUUUAAGAAAUUUAUUUGUUUUGAUUUUGUCUUUUUCAGGGUGCAAUAAGUGAACUCUCCAUUCUUUCUCAAAUACGGUUGGAAAUUUAUCACAUUGCUAUGGAUUUGGAUCGCGCAAGUCAUAAGGGGAGUAUUUUCUUUUACUCUUUAUUUAUUUUCCUUUCCUCACAUUGAGGACAAUGUGAAAUUUAAGUGUGGGGGGUGGGGGGAAAUACUGGACUUGCAUUUUAAUGCUAUGUGAUGAUAUUUUGUGAAUCUAAAUGCUUAGAAAUGUUGGAAUUGUGUUUGAAUUACUUGCCAUAUGGAUAAUUUGCUUAAAAUUGGGUUUGUUGGCAGGGAGUUUUCAUCCAUUUAUAGGUGGAAACUCUGUCAAAAUUUUUUAAAAAUCUUUUCCAAUAUUUCACUAUGGCCCAAAAGUUCUUCAAAUUUUUGCAUUUUCAUUCAAAAAGGGUUAAUUUGUUCCAACCUUAAGAGAUUAAUUCUUCCAAUUGUUGAAACUUUAUGUGUAUUUUGGAAAGUUUAGUUCUCAUUUAACUAGGAAAUAGUUAUUAUGCAAUUAGAAUUUUUACAUUUUAGAAAGUAUAUUUGGUAAAGUGAAGAAAAUUAUGCCUAUAAUUUUACAUGUUUAAUGAGAUUUCUUCUCUUUACUUAAUUUUACAACUAAGUGAUUGAUAUAGUCAAUAAAGGUUAUACUCCUCCUUUGAUUAUUUUUCUAUCAUUUUCUAUGAGGGAAAAUCUAUUUAUUUUCUUAUAAAAAAAAGAGAGAAAAAAAAUAUAUAUAUAUAAUAAAAAGAAAAAAAGGAAAGAAAAGAAAGUAAAUAAAAUUUAUUCUACUCCAAUGAUUCUCGUACCGAGUAACUGGGGAUUGGCAUCUAAAAAUGUCGAUUUUCACGUAAAAAGGUAUUUGAAUUAAGAGUAUGCAUAGCAACUUGAAUAGGUGAAAUGUUGAGUAACCGGGGAUCUUCACCUAAAAGUAUCGAUUUUCGCGUAAAAAGGCAUUCUCACUAUUUAAGUAAAAAUUAGUAUGAAUAAAUCCCUCUUAGUUAUAGAAUUUUGAGAAAAAGAUGAUUAUAGGAGGAUGAAGGAUAUAAAUUGACUAUGUGAUUUGCUUAUUUGUAAAAUUAAGUUAGGGUAAGAGAUUAAAUUUAACUUGUUGAAUUUAGGGUAUAAUUAUCUUUCCUUUACUUGAUAUUAUGAGUAUUUAGUGUAAUUUGAACAAUGAUAUAAUGAUUAUUUUCCAAGUCUUGAGGAAUUAAAUUGGACAAAGUGCAUAUCUUGUUUCACCUCUUGAAUCAUUGUAGUUGAUUAUGUGUGGAUUGCUUGAGCACAAGCAAUGAUUUAAGUGCAGGAGAGUUUGAUAAGUGACUAAUUUACGUAAUAAUUGUAUGAUAUUUUAUAUUAUUUUUAGUCACUUUAGUUAUAUUAUUGGAAGAAAAUAAAUCGUUUUGGCUAUAAUUGGUGAAAAAUGCUUUUAAGUGAUUAAAUGAGAUUUUUAUCACUUUUUAGUGGGAUUUUGUGCAUUUUGACACAUUUUUGUAUUUUGGUUAUAACUAGGGUUACAAUGAUCAGAUUGCGAUGAUUUUUAAACCAAUUUGAAGAUAAGAGAUAGAUUUACAACUUUGGUGAAGACAUCUAAAUCCAGUUUGAAGGUUUUCAAAGUCAAAAAUCUGAAUUACAAUAGCAAAUUUCUACUGGUCGAAGCUGAAACAGGGCAAUGAGCAGUCAAGGGUAUUUUGGUCAUUUCUCAGUCUAAACAGAUCCAAAUGAGGUGAUUCUUGAUGCAUUGGAAAGCUAAGUCAAAGGGAUACAAGUUUCAUGUUUUGGUCAAGAGCUAAAUCAGCUUUUAUCAUCAAGAAAAGUUCAGUGGAAGUUGAUACAAAAUCGGAGCAGAGCUGGAAAUUGAACCAGAAGUGACCAAAUGGUCACUGUACAAUCCGGCCAGAAUUUGGCCGGAUUUGUGGCUGGAUUGUGGUCAGAAAAGGCUGCUAUGUACGCAUAAAACUCAAUUUCAUCUCCACCAACUCACAUGUGAUGCUAGACUUGUGAGAAACAUUCCCAACUGUAAAAAAGAGGUGUAAACCUCAAGUCUUGACCAAUCUUUCAUCUAUAUAUAGCCAAAUUCAUUGCAAAAUUGAAUGAUAUAGAGAGACAUACGGGAGAACUUGGAGAGUGCAGAAAUGUAGCUCUUUCAUCUUCCUAGUGUUAGUUUAGCUUAGUGUAGAAUAGUAUAGAUCAUCCAUUCUUGUAUCUUGGCUAGAUUAGGAUGAAGAUGGAGAUGAAGAUGGAGGAGUUGAAGCUCAAGUGACAAGGGUUAUUUCUUCUCCAAUCUUUAUCCUUUGUAUCAGAUUCUUAAGUUUGUUUAAUAUACAAGUUCUGGAUUUUGUGUUUAUUAUAUAUUUUUAAAGUUUAUACCUUGGGUUUGGUUGAACUUUCUAUGAUUGUUAGUGUUUAUUAUUUGGUUAUUUGAUUGCUAUGAUUUGAGCAAGUUAUUUAGCACUUUGGCUCUAUAAAUCAUGAUUAAUCUGGUACCAUUAAUUGUGAUUAUCUAAGGUGUUGUUUCUGCAAUGAAAAUUGAGAUUUAACACUAGUUCAAGAAGUGCUAAACAUAGGGAGUACACUCACGAAAGUAGAGGUGCACCUAUAUGGUUUUUAGUGAUUCAUUUCAUGUAAUUUCACUGAAGAAAUGAACUUGUAGCUAAUUUCAUAACCAUGAGAAUAGGUUAUUCCCUAAUCGUCCAUAUCCCAUAUUCAAGGGGUUAUUCCCUAAUCUAAUCAAGCAAAUGAACUAACCUAGUUCUAAUGGUUAUAUGAAAUGCAAGUCUAAUGCCAUGUUUCAUACAAAAGGGGCAAAUAAUAUACAUAUAAGGGACAAUAUAGGGGAAGGGGUAUACAUAUAUAAGGAAAGUGUCAUGCGACAUGGUGAAAGAGGCCCUAAAAGUAAAAAUAUGCAUGAGAUGAAGUGAUUUUUCACACAAUCAUGGGCUAGCGUUGGACUAGCCCACAUCUACGCUCUCUCACAAGCAUUGGACUUGCAAGAGCUCGAGGGGACAACCAUGACUAGCAUUGGACUAGCCACGGUUACGUGCAUUUGCAUCCAUCAUACACAUAUAUAAGUAAUUGCAUAAUUAGAGCAAGUAGACAUGUGAGCACGUAAUUCACAUAACACAUAAGCAUGCAUAUCUAGAUGCCAAAACCUAGGAAAGCGAUUAAACACAUAGCACAUAGACAUGCAAAAAACACAUAAGGCAAUUAAGGCCCUAACUAUUACAUUUUUAGGGGGAAGGCCUACUACAAUCUAAAAGGGGGAAUAAGAAGGAAUAAAACAAUUAAAUCCCUAACUAUUACAAUUUUGGCAUUCGAGUGCCUUCCAAAUGAAAAAAUUGAAUUAAAAUUGAAGCAAAAACUACGCAACUAAAGAAAUAAAUAAAUAAAGUGAAAAUGAAAUAAACACUUAAAGUCAUGCAAUUGCACAUAUAAGACACAUAUACGCACGUAUGGUCAAAUAAAGUCAAAAAUAAAGGAUAGAGUGUACCUCCCUCGCAAUGGUAAGCAAAUGAAGGGAAAGUAGCUUCAAAACAAUAAAAGGGUCAAGGUACCACUUUAAUUGAGAAAAAUUAAAAGAAAUGCGCAAAUACAAAGCUCACUUGAUCAUAAAGCCCCUAAAGUCAUGACUUAAGUGCAAUUGAAACAAAGCAUAGUAGUCAAUUGAAGCAAACAAGCAAUGAAGUUGUUAAAUUAAAACUACCAAGGACCAAAUUGAGGAGAUUAUUCAAUUGAUUGGGUCAUAGUAGCAUUAGUUAGAAACAAGGGGUUAGAAUGCAAUUCUUGGGACAUUUCAUGCAAGUUUUCAUGCAACCUACGAAGACAAGAAGCUUCUGCAACUACUUUCUAUUAAGCUUCAAUCAACAAAAAAUGAAAACUGCUGCACUUUGCUUUCAAAUUAACUCAGAUUUUCCGAUUCAAAUACACAACUUUGAUUAGAUAUUUUUCAAUCACAACUUUAGAUUAAGCAACAAACUACAUAGCCGCCACAAUCCAAACAACAAAAACUUAGAAAAACAUCAUGCGAGAUUCUGGACAAAACAUUCAUACAAAUGACUCAAGCGCGUCCCCACUCAUUCAAACACAAACAGCAGAAACGAAAAAAAAAGGAUUCUAAAAUUCAGUCUGAUUUCCUUUCCUCUCUGCCACUACCAAUUCCUGCGGAUUCUGGCCAGCCUUAAGCUGGCCAGAUUUCCUCUUAAAUGCAUACAGAGAAAGGACAAAAUUUCCUCUUUUUGGUUCAGAAUCUCCAUUCAGGCAUUUCAUCAAACACUAUAUGGGCAUAAAGGAAUUCAGUAAUUCUCUGCUCGAAUGAUGUAAUUUAGCAUCCAAAAUUAUCAGAAAUCAAUGGACUUCGGUCCAAUUGACACAGAAAAACAUGUACAACCCAAAACCAUGAGCAACUAAUAAGAAAAUUGCAACAAACAAAAAUUCGGCAGACAUGCUCUAAAAGCUUGGGGAGGAACUGAAAUUCAAAGGAAAAGGGUCAACUUACAGAGCUCUUGCUUGAGCGGCGGCGAUUUGCUGAUGGCGGUGGAGGAUCCCGACGAGAUGGUAGCUGCGAAAAAUUCUGGAGCUGCCAACAAGAUGCAAUUCCUCCGCUCAGUUUUUCUGCUUGCCCGAAAUUCCUUUUCUUCUUGCUCGGUUUUUGCAACCCCCUUUUCUUGCUUUGUUUCUGUUUGCAGCCGCGGCCCUUUUUUCUGUUUUUUCCUUGGCUUUUCACCAAUUCUUUUCCUCAUUUAGUUCCUCCAGCCUGCAGCCUUUUGCUUUUUCUUGUUUCCCCUUUUCCUCCCCUGCCGAAACCUCCCCUAUUUUUCUUUUUGUUGCUCUGUUCUUUUUUCCAGUUCUCUUCUUCAACCGAGAGCCUCCCUCUCUGUUUUCUGUUUUCCCCCAAAAGAUCUCCGCCGCCACUUUCUUUCUCUUCCCUUGUUUUUCUAUUCUUUCGUUUAUUUCUUCCCGAAAAAACUUCCCCCAAUCUUUCAGAUUUUCCCUUGGCUCUUGCCCAAGACUCCCUCUCUGUUUUUCCAGUUUUUUUCUUCGGCCUGUCACUCUCUCCUUUUUGCCCAGAUUUUUCCUUGUUCAACCUCUUCUUGCCUUGUCCGCCGCCCCCUCAUUUUUACUCUGUUUUUUUUUUCCUUUUGUCGCAGCCUCCUCCCCUGCUCUUCUGUUUUUCUUUCCUUUUUCUUGACCGAAGCUCCCUCCAACCUAGCCGCCGUCAUUCUCUUUUUUUGUUCGCCUCCCCCCUUCCUUUUGACUCUCCCUAGCCGUCCCUCUUUUCUAAUUUCCUCACUCAACUAGCCGUCCACCAGAUUCUACUCCACACUCUCUCUCAAAACCUAGCCCUUUUCCUUUCAGCCGUCACUCAGUCCCCUGCCGUGAGCUUUUUCUUUUUCCUCUCCAAAGCUGCGUCUUUCUUUCCUCCCUAAACCCUAGCCACUCUCUGCUCCCUUCUAUUCUCUCAAACUCCCAGCCUGUUUCUGAACCUCCCAGCCGUCAACCUUUUUUUCUCCCCUCUGCCUUGCGGCUUCAUCUUAUGCCUUUUUAUAAGGAGCUAAAUCCCCAAACCCUCACACCUAAGGUUAGGAUGAUAGUGAGAUUUAUCCAAGAUUUUGGAGCCCUUGGAUGAUAGAUUUGAGCCGCUGUCCUUCCUCUGUUCGUUUCAUGCCUCUGCUUAAUAUGAAGAGAGAGCUCGGAUCUUGUGUGGCUCACGCAAGUUUGAGCUUGCCUUUUUCUUUUCUUAAUUAAUUAAUUAAAGCUGUAAAAGUCAAAUAAAAAUGAGAAUAAAACAAAUGAAAAUGCCCUAAAAAUUUAAUUUUUCUUGAUGAUUUUUUUUCUUUUUUUUCCUAUUAAUAAACAGUAAAACAUAUUUUUUAAGAAUAAUUUUCUCUUUUGACAAAUUUUACACUAAAAGUCUUAACAAAAAUAAACAGCUAAAAGGGAAAGAACGAAUACAAAAUAAAAAUAAAAACUAAAAUAAAAUAAUAGAUAAUAAUAAUAAUCUAAAAUGCUAUACAAAGGCUAAAAGUGUAAAACCAAAAUCAUGAAAUUAACAAAUAAAAAUAGAUAAGAAUUAUUACUAAAACAAAGAAUAAAAAUGGAAUGAAAAUUAUUCAAAAAUUUGGUGUCUACAGUUUGCCCCUCUUUGUCUGAGUUUUGAAAAAACUUGAGACAAAGAAGUAGACACCAAAUACUCACCUGUUAUUCGGCUGCGAACAACUCGAAUGAUUGACGCUUUCUGAAAUGGGGACUGACCCCUUUAACAAAAUUUUAAAAAGAAUGGGACUGACCCAAACAAAAUUUUAAAAUCAUGGGACUGACCCGAAUAGAAUUUAAAAUGGAAUGCACACUAGUGGGACUGACCCAUGUUUAGUGGCAACGAAAAUGAAAUGCACACUGGUGGGACUAACCCACGUUCAGUGGCAGUGUAAAUGAAAUGCACGCUAGUGGGACUGACCCAUGUUUAACGGCAACGAAAAUGAAAUGCGCGCUAGUGGGACUGACCCAUGUUUAGCGGCAAAGAAAACAAAAUGCACACUAGUGGGACUAACCCGUGUUUAGUGGCAAUGAAACAUGAAAUGCACGCUAGUGGGACUGACCCAUGUUUAGCGGCAAAGAAAAUAAAAUGCACACUAGUGGGACUAAUCCAUGUUUAGUGGCAAUGAAACAUGAAAUGCACGCUAGUGGGACUGACCCAUGUUUAGCGGCAAUGCAAAUGAAGUGCACACUAGUGGGACUGACCCACGGCUAGUGGCGAUGGAAAUAAAAUGCUCACCAGUGGGACUGACCCACGGCAAGUGGCGAUGCAAAAUAAAAUGCUGGUAUGUAUGAAGAAACUAUAUAAGAUUUACUUGAAGAAUCAUCCAAAAAUUUGCCCAAGUGAUGAAAUGGUCAGUGGGAUUAAACCCGAGCCUGCCUUGGUUGGUGGUACAAAAUCCAAGCCCAACGUGAACUUUGUGAUGUUGGCGGCACCAAGUCCAGGCCCAACGUGAUGUUUGUGAUGUUGGUGGCACGAAAACCAAGCCCAACGUGAUGUUGGUGAAGUUGGCGGCACAAAAUCCAAGCCCAACGUAAUAAAGUGAAGUUGGUGGCACAAAAUUCAAGCCCAACGUGAUAUUUGUGAUGUUGGCGGCACAAAAUCCAGGCCCAACGUGAUGUUUGUGAUGUUGGCGGCACAAAAUCCAGGCCCAACGUGAACUUUACGAUGUUGGCGGCACCAAUCCAGGCCCAACGUGAACUUUGUGAUGUUGGCGCACCAAGUCCAGGCCCAACGUGAUGUUUGUGAUGUUGGUGGCACGAAAAUCAAGCCCAAUGUGAUGUUUGUGAAGUUGCGGCACAAAAUCCAGGUCCAACGUGAUAAAGUGAUGUUGGCGCACAAAAUCCAGGCCAACGUGAUAUUUGUAAUGUUGGCGGCCCACAAAAAUCCAGGCCCAACGUGAUGUUUGUGAAGUUGGCGGCACAAAAUCCAGGCCCAACGUGAUGUUUGUGAGUGAAGUUGGUGGCACAAAAUUCAAACCAACGUGAUAUUUGUGAAAUUGGCGGCACAAAAUUCAGGCCCAACGUGAUGUUUGUGAAGUUGGCGGCACAAAAUUCAGGCCCAACGUGAUGUUUGUGAUGUUGGCGGCACAAAAUCCAGGCCCAACGUGAACUUUGCGAUGUUGGCGGCACCAAGUCCAGGCCCAACGUGAACUUUGUGAUGUUGGCGGCACCAAGUCCAGGCCCGACGUGAUGUUUGUGAUGUUGGUGGCACGAAAACCAAGCCCAACGUGAUGUUUGUGAAGUUGGCAGCACAAAAUCCAGCUCCAACGUGAUAAAGUGAUGUUGGCGGCACAAAAUCCAGGCCCAACGUGAUAUUUGUAAUGUUGGCGGCACAAAAUUCAGAUCCAACGUGAACUUUGUGAGGUUGGCGGCACAAAAUUCAGGCCCAACGAUUGUUAUAUCAUUCAUGAGUAGCUAAAUUUCUUUAUCUAGAGAGUAGAUGAAACUUAUGGCUAAAUGAUAUGAAUUGAAUGUGAUUUACACUUGUUAUAUCUUGUAUUAACUUGUCUAUUUGUGCAAUUGUAAUUACUUGUUGUUGUUUGAUCACCAAUAGCAUGUUUAUAGUUGUUAUUAGUCAAUGAGAAUUGAUAGUAACAAUGGAAAAAACAUGAGUAGAGCUUGAGUUGUAUGUUCAUGAAAAUAGAUGUACACUUAAGUGGAUUAGCUAGCAUUUCAUGAAGGAAAACAGAGUAGAACUAGUAGUUCACCAUGAAAAUAGGGAAAAUUGGAUUGCUCUAGGCCAUUUUAUCAUGAGAAUGAGAUUUGGUAAAUUGAAAUGAAUCCCUGGUUAAACAACAAUAAUAACAAGAGGUAAAUCUAUUCAUUUGUGUUGUUUAUGCCAUAAGUGGAAUCUACAUCCCUAGAUUUAUUCUUGAGUGAAAUUUAUCCAUUUGCAUUUAGCAUUUGUUAAACUAGAUUUAUAAACAAUAGCAUUAUAAUUUCUCUGCUCAAAUUCAUUUAUAAGUCUAAAUAAUAGAGAAAAUAAGGGUCUAGUACUUGUUUAAAUUGCUCCUCGUGGGAUCGACUCGAUACAUACCUUACAUUACGGUUUCGGCCUGUAUACUUGCAGUCAACGGGUAUAAAAUCGGAUUUAAACUUGCAUUGAUAUAAAAAUCCCGUCACAUAUGUGAGAUCGAAUUAUUUUACUUAUUUCUUUUAUUCAUUGGUAUUUGUACAUUUUCUGAUUUAACUUCAUAUACUUGUUAUGUUAUUUGAAUGUCAAGGGCCCGAUAUUCGAAUUAACCUAAUAAUCUACUGUCAGAUUAAUUGAUUGAAUCUGUAAUUGUUCAAUUGAUUAAUACUAGUGGCAACUAGCGUGAUUGGUUUUAUGUUAGGGAAACGUAUAAUCUAAUUUAAACGAACCCUCGUAGCGUGUUUGUUAAUUAGGGUUGGGCUUUUCUAAUUCUUAUUGCAAUUGAGAAAUUAAAUCCUAUAGUCGUACCUAGGGUUAUUUUUUGGUUAGGAAAAUAGUUAAUGGUCGUACCUUAACUAUCGAAAAAGUAAGGAAAGGUUGGUUGUUUAUCGCGUGUAUAACAACUAUAACCAAUCUAUUAAUUAGUAAUUGAAAUUAUCUUUGCAUCGAUGAUCAGUUGAAUGGACCGUGUCUGAAAAGUUGCACCUUUGGCUAGAGUUGUAUUGGUUAUUGAUUAAUUCCUGUUUAUUUCUAUUAGUUGUUUCAUUAGUUGAUUAAUUAGUUAUUUUAUAUUUUCCAAAAACCCCCAUACUUCGGACUCUGGAAGAAAUGAAUUAUCCCCAGUCCUGUGGAUUCGACCCUGCUCACCGCUAUAUACAAAUUUGUAUUUUUCUUGAGUAGGUAAUUAUUAUUGCACAUGUUCAACACCUGUCAUUCUAUAACUGUAUACAGAGUCAUCUUUUUCAAAGAUUUCCCAUGCUGCAAAAUGUACUCUACGAGCUUUAUUUCAUCUUCCUCCCCUAUAAAUUGUCUGAUUCCAAUCUGCCUAAGAUGUUCAACAAAGCGUAUUGGGAAAACUAUUUGGAAAUGUAGAUUCCAGGUCCUUGUAUAUGCAAAGUCCUUCUUACACAACUUUACAUAUUGAGAAGAUCAAAAAUUGCAAAACAUAAUAAUACUUGAAAUUAGUGAGAAUAUAUCCAAAAGAAACAAAAUAUUAAUACCUGAAAUCAGGUUUUACAAUCUGUGCACAAAAAGCACCUAAACCCAAAUGGCCCAUGUUGGAAUAGACCAAGUUUAGUUCAACUGCAGAAAUUCCUAGUACAAUGGAACUGCAACUUCAAAUUCAGUAAAUUGCAAACUGAUAUUAUGAUUCUAUAAAUCCUAAAAUCUCACCCAAGUCCUCUUGCCUCCAACACAAAGUAUGUACACAGAUGCUGACCUAUUCUAUACACUUGUAGGUAAAUUCAAAUCAGACGGCAUUCAAUAGAACUGCCUUGAUUGGCUCCAUAUCAGCACUACUGCUCUUUAAAUCUAAAUUGAUUAAGCUGCACAAAAAGGGAAGAUUACAUUAGAUGGAGAAAUUUUACUGAUUGCAUAUGAAAUAGGGGCUAAAAUCAACUAGGAAAAGCAGAGAAGUUAACCUCAAUGACCAGGAAACAAGAUGCAAAAGUCAGAAGUUGUGCUUAAACCUCAACCAAAAGAAAAAUGCAAUCUUUGAUAUUAAACACAUAACCCACAUAAGUUAGCUUCACAGAGUCCAGAAGGAUGGUUGGAACUCAAUUUUCCUAAAAUUGUGAGGAAAAUAAUGCAAUCUUAGAAAUCUAACACAAAUAAUGGUAAUAAAACACAAGAAGGGUAUAAAAACUUACAAAAUGGCGCCAAAAUAUAGAUCUAACAGUAUUUGAAGCAAAUGGAUGAAGCAUUGAAGUUGUUCUAAGAUUUUUGGACAGCAAUAAAACCUAAGCUCCUUCACGUUUAGCAAUUCUUAGGAGAUAGACAGGAGGCGGGUCUUCUUUUUUAGCAAUUCCUUAGAGGUCUCCUUCCCGUUUAGCAAUUCCCGCAUAUGUUCUUCUAUUUUUGGACUAAAAACCACCGAUGUUGGCCUUUGAGAGAAGAACAGAUGCGUGCUUCUCAAUUGACAGAGACAAGAGAGGACCAACCUUUCUAUGUAUAUAUCCCUCAGCCUCUAACAAGCCUUUGAAUUUUGACGGAAGGAUGUUGCGGGAAAAAUAAAAUUCUUGGAGGGAAUAAAACGCGCGUCCUAAAUUCUGAUUUAAGUGUUGUUGUUAAAAGUUUCUAAGAAUUGGAGUAUAUUAUAUAAUAUAUAGAAUGAAAUUGAGUAUUAGAAGUAUAUAAUUUGAAAGAAAUCAUGUAUGAGAAAAUGAAACUAAUGAAAAUAUUCAUGUGCAAUCAAUAUAAUAAAUUGUCAUCUUUAUAAUUUUUAAGUUUGCAAUUCAUAAAUAUGGUAACAAAUAAUGUAAUUCAUGUGCAAUCAAUAUAAUUAUAUUGUUAAUUAAGGUUAUAAUUGUGCUAUAUAAAGUAUUUGGGACAAUUUGAAAAAUAUCUAGAAAUUUGGGACUACUUAUAAUGUAUUUUGAUUAAACUAUACAACUUGUCCUUUCUUGUUGUAAAUCCAAAUUCAAUUAUGGAACAAUAUACAUGGAAAAUUUGACCUUAUAUGUGUAUAAAUCAUCUUAUUAAUAAAAUAGUUAAACACAAUACAUUUAGUUAACUAUGAUUUAGUGAUUGAUUAUUACAUCAUUUUUUAUAUAAUACGAUAAUUAAAUAUUACAUAUAUAAUAAAAUGUUUCAAAUAUAUUUUAAUUGAUCGAAAAAAUGGUAUACUUACAAUAAACAAAUAAUUAAAGAAAAUUUUGAGAGUAGAAUUUUGUGCUAAAAAUGUGUAUUUUGGGUUCAAAUUUAUAACCACCACUUAUCCACUUAGAAUUAGCAAAAGUAUUAAUUCAUUUCUAAAGACUCUAAACCAUACUAAUUUAUUAUAAUAAAGAUACAAAACACUAGCUCCAUGUGAUAACCUAUAGCAAAAAUCAUCUAUUCACUUUAGUAAAAUAUAUGAGUCAAAUUUAAAGAUUCAUCAAAUUUUCUAGGUUUUAAAAUUGGGGUGCGUUAUUUACAUGGAUUUAAAGCUGUCUGAAUAUAGUUUACUACGCAAUAAACGUCACUCAAUUUCGAGUUUUCUACACAAAGAUAUGACCAAAAUACUAAAAUUGUUACUUAAUUUUUUUAAAAAUAGUAGGAUCGUAUGAUCCGGAUUACGAUCCUAUUGAUCUUGUUAAUUUAAUGCUAAUUUUUUAUCCUACUUACAAUUUGGAUCGUUAGCCAUGAUCCGUAUCGUAGGAUCGUAGAUCGUGAUUCUAGCAACUAUGGUUGUAGUUAAAAGUUUCUAAGAAUUGAGUAUAUUAUAUAAUAUAUAGAAUGAAUAUUGAGUAUUAGAAGUAUAUAAUUUGAAAGAAAUCAUGUAUGUGAAAAAUGCAACUAAUGAAAAUAUUCUCAAUAUACAGCUGAAAAAAUAACUAAGUUUGAUAAAUUUGCAUUUAAUUUUUAGAUAGAAGUUUGUUGUAUGAUAUGUAAUUGCCAUUUCUUGAAAUUAUUCUUCACUCUUAUACCUUCACUAAACUUCAAAGAACUUAGCUACGCAUAAAAUAGAAUGAAAGGAAUGCUUUCAAGUGUGCUAGUAAGUUAAUAUUUAUAUUAUAUCUGUGCUAAUACGUGUCCAUAUGUAUAAUUCAAAAGUUUUAUGUAUUUCAUAUACGAAUGUCUUUUUUCAAGUAACCGCAUAGAACACUUGAUAGGUUGUAUUUUUGCCAUUAAUUUUAUGAUUAUUUCCCUCUUUAUUUUACCAAAUAUUGUAUUAAUUGAUAGAUUCUACUUAUAUUUGGUGCUUUAUGUUAAUUAUAGGACGUUGGGGUAAAAAGUGCUAAAAAAGGGUGAUUUUCUUGGAAUUGAUUGUCACUCGCAAGUUUCUCAAUUCAAGAUGAAGUCUACGUGGAUUAUUUGUGGAAGAUUAGGAAAUUACCAUUUUUCUUAGAUAUUUUAUUUAGAAAACAAUUGGCAUUAUUCUUGGAGUUAUCUUUUUCAAUUGACCCGCUUCCGAAGUUAUUUCCUUCGUUAGAGAUUGUUUAUCCUUGAUUUAAAUUUAAUCUAUUUUAGUUUAAUUAUUUUCAAUUUGCAUUGAUUAUUUAUUUUUAAUUGCAAUUUUCCAAACUCCCCCCAAUUAAUUGUCACUUGGAAAGAAGCAAAUUUUCACUCAAAACCUUGAGUUUAUAUCUUUUUGAGUAGGAAUUUAUUAUUACACAAGUCUGACACCUGUCAAUUAAACAAGGUUUCGAGCAAUGCAUAGUUUCUUUUGUACCUAGAAUAGCUAAUGUAGCAAGUCAUAUGCUAACACAUUUUGCAACAUAACUAGUUUAUGAUAUAGAAUGGGUACAUGAUUUCCCAAUUCGACUAAUAGAAGGGUGAAUGCCCCUUUUUGUAAUUAACUCUUGCACUUCAAGUGUUAACAUAUAUACUGAUAUUAUCAUUUGUUGAAAAAAAAAGGAAAGUGUUUAUUUGUUUAAUAAAAUAGUCAUGGUAGUGUUUAUAUAAUUUCGUAAACAUUGAAAAGUAAAUUACCUCGUUGAAUUUGUAUAAUUUGAUUAUGUUGAAGAAACAUAAUCUUGGAAAAGCAGAGAAAUUUUCUAGUAAAUAUUAGAUAAACAAACAAGUCAUUAUUUUAUUUUGAUAGCUAAUCAUUGUUCAUAUCAAUAUACUAGCUAUAAAGUUAUACUCGCAAUACUACUGUUACGGUAUAAAAUUUCUUGUUAGAGCAAUUUAUAAUUUAUAGAGCAAUUUCUUGUUAGAGCUAUAAAGUUAUACUCGCAAUACUACUGUUACGGUAUAAAAUUUCUUGUUAGAGCAAUUUAUAAUUUCAUCCCAUUUUUACCGUUGACUGUUAACCUCAAGUUCUUUAGAUAUCCAUGGGACAGUGUAACCCCUUUGAAGGUCAAUUCUUACUGUUGAUGUGGCGUGUCCCACAUCGGAGGCUGCAUAAGGAAGUUUUCUUCCUUUCGUCCCACAUCAGCAAUCAAGAAGGAAAGCCUCCCCUUGUUUACCUAUAAAUAAGGGGGUUUAGUGGUGAAGAAAAGUGUACCACAUUCAAGAGAGUUAUAUGGGCUAUUAGCUUUUUGAGUCAUUUAGCCCAUUUGUAGUCAAAUGUUUUAUGCUCUCUUGUUUUUAAUUUAGGAAUAUUUUCUAAACUUUUUAUAAGUGCCUUUUGGCCUAGGAACCACUUUUCUAUGGCUUUUGUAUAUCUUUUUCAUAGUGAAAGAUUUGUUCCUCCUUUGCCCGUGAACGUAGGUUAAUUUGACCGAACCACGUAAAUUUCUGUGUCUUUUAUUUUGUUUUGUUAUUUGUAUUUAUUGGGUUGCCACAACCCUUUUAUAUGGUCAGUUUUACCGCCUAAAAUAUUAUAUGGUCGGUUUUACCGCCUAAACAUUAUAUGGUCGGUUAUACCGCCUACUUUGUGCUAACUUCAGUUUGUUUAUUUCUGGACCAAUCCUAACACUUACACCCUCAUCAAAGUUUCUGGAGUUGCGUAUUAUAGGGGUGCAAACACAAAAACGAGACAUUCUUAAUCAAAUGGUGUUCCUUCUUUUUGCGAUUCAUUCCUCUGCAAACCUCCUCCUCCUCCGAUUUUAAUAUAUGCCACUGUUAAAAUAGGAUACUUUUGUGGGUUUAAUGAUUAGAUCUUUUUUUUUUUUUUUUUUGUCGACACAGGGGUGUCCGGGUCAAUCCUUACGGGGCCCGACUAAUCCCCUGCGGCCCGGGCCCGGCGCCCCAACCCAACUCUAGCACGAUAAGUGCGCGGAGGAAUCCAGCAGAGCAGAGACUCGAACUCGGUUUAAUGAUUAGAUCGAGACGAACUCUUUUGUGCAAAACAUUUGCCCCAGGCAUCGUUACUACAGAGUAUGUGAUCCAAUUACCUAUGUAAGGUCACAAUGUUAGAGAUGUGAAAUUAUAUUGCAAUGGUCCCUAAAAUCCAACUUGAUCUAUAGGAAUACUAAUUAGGUGAAUACGAGGACUCUGAUUCGACUCUCGAUCUUUCCUAUCAAAUUACAGUAAUAUUUUUAAUCAUACACUCAUCCCCUUACUAACUUCCUAUGGGCCCAAUAUGUUGAGUAGAAUUCGAUUGGAACAACCGAAAAAAAAAAAAGAAAAGAAAACAAAUACAAAACAAUGAAAUAGACACUUAGUCAAGUUGGAACCUAUGAGGAAGUGAGGAGCACAAGUGCGAACAGAUCACCAAGGAAAAAGAAACAAGUUUUUCGAGAAUGCAAUUUGAUUUCAAGCUCAAUCAUAUUCUAAGAGUCAAUGAUAAGAUAGAAAAAAUGUAGGUCCAUUGUUAAAAUAUAGACGGAGAUAGUUGCUUAUUGAGCGUUGGAAGUAUUUCAUAUGCUUGUAAUUAUAUCUCAACUUGUAUAAUUUUAAUUUAAUAAGAUUAAAUUAAUGACCAUGUCAAUGAUUUAUGCGUCAUGCAUGACAUUCUUUUUUCUUGUACUCUCCCAAAAGCUGAAAAUUCUCGUCUCAAUCUCCUCCUCCACCGAUGGCUGCAUGUCUGUACAUGUUCCCCCACAACAAGAAUAAUGAAUCAAUUGCCAUAAUUGCACGCAUUUAAAUUUUCUGAGCUGGUGAUAAAUUGCAUAGUUUUGAUUUUUUUCUAUUUCCGGUUCCCACUCUAGCUACUUCUAGAUUUAUUAAUUGGAAAAAAAAAAAGAAGAAGGAAUAAAUUAAACCUUAUUUAAUUACUUUUUUAGUCAGGAUAUCUAUAGUAGAUGUAAUUAUCUCUAUAGAAAUGAAUGAAGCAUCCUACCUUGUGAUCAUUAUCCUCUGUUGCAAUUCUCUUGUUCAAACUUCAAGUUAAGGUUUGUUUGCUAAUUUAAUGGAUUCAGAACUUAAAUUUAAUGGAUUCAGAUCUUAACAUGUUCAAAUGCUUUUGAUAACCAAAACUUGAAUAUUUGAAUUAAUUAAGUGACACUAAAUUUUCUAGACAAAACUUACUCCUAAAAAUAAGUGAUAAACUAUUUACUUAUCACUUAAUGUGAUAUAUACUCAAAUGUAUCAGAUGUAGUACAUAACAAUUUAAUAACUUAAUGAAUUCAGACUUCAGAUUUCAGAUUUCAGUUUUAUCAAACGCACCUUAACUCAGUGCAAACUAAAUAUGAAAUCCAAAGUUGAAAAUCCAAGAGGUUAGAACUUUGAAACCAUAGAGCCUCUAGGCAAAUUCAGCAUUUUUACAUUCUAACUGAUUUAGGGCAUCUUCAAUUAUCAGUUUCAACUCCAUGGUAUAAUAUAGAUAUUACCUCUAAUAGUUGAACACACUUACGCAACAAAUAUAGGGCCUGUUUGGCACCCUAGUUUUUUACCAAGUUUUUUAGCUACUAGUUUUUUAACAACUUUUGCUACAGGAACCCCAAAAAACUUUUCAAAGUUUUUUACCUACACACUUCAAAAAUCUAUACACAAAAAAUUUCUCAAAAACUUUUCUUCCUCCCUCACCCAACCCACCACACCAGACACCGCCUCCACCACCUCUCCCGGCGCCGGUCACUUAAUCCGCGCGCCGCCGGUAACCUCAAAAAAAAAUUUUGAAUUUCUGAGUCCCUCACCCUCAAAAAUUUAUUAUAUAUAUUAUAUAUUUAUAUAUUUAUUUAAACAUAUUAUAAAUAUUUUAUUUUAUUUAAAAUAUAUUUUUAUAUAUUUAUAUAAAUAUUAUAUACCAUAUAAAUUAAUAUUAAUAUAAAUAUGUAAUUAUACAUUUAUAUAAAUAUUAUAUAUUAUAUAUUUAAUAUAUAUUACACAUUUAUGUAUAUUUAUAUACAAUUAUAUUAUGUAUUAUGUAUAAUAUAAUACAUUUAUACAUAAUAUUAACACACAAUAUUAAUUAUACAUUUAUACAUAAUACUAAUACAUUUAUACAUUUAUAUUAAUUAUAUUAAUACAUUAAUACAUAAUAUUAUAUAUUUAUAUAUUUAUAAUAUAUUAAUUUAUAUAUUUAUAUAAUAUUCAUUUAUAAUAAUAUACAAUUAUUACAUUUGUAAAUAUAUUUAUAUUAUGUAUUAUAUAUAAUAUAAUACAUUUAUAUAUUUUUAUAUACCUAUAUAAAUAUAUUUAUUUAUAAAUGUAUUAUAAAUGCAUAAAUAUAUAUAAAUAUUUAAACAAUAAAAAUUAUAAAUUAUAAACAAUAUUAAUUAUACAUUUAUACAUAAUAUUAAUACAUUUAUACAUUUAUACUAAUUAUAUUAAUACAGUUAUACAUAAUCAUCAUAUAUAUUUAUAAAUUAUAAUUUAUACAUUUAUAUAAUAUUCAUUUAUAAUAUAUACAUUUAUAUUAAUUAUACAUUUAUACAUUUAUAAAUAUAUGUAUAUUAUGUAUUAUAUAUAAUAUAAUACAUUUAUAUAUUUUUAUAUAAAUAUAUAAAUAUAUUUAUUUAUAAAUAUUUAUAAAUGUAUUAUAAAUGCAUAAAUGCAUAUAAAUAUUUAAACAAUAAAAAUUAUAAAUUAUAAACAAUAUAAUUAUACAUUAUACAUACAUAUUAAUACAUAAUAUUAAUUAUAUUAAUACAUUUAUACAUUUAUACAUAAUCAUCAUAUACAUUUAUAAAUUAUAAUUUAUACAUUUAUCUAAUAUUCAUUUAUAAUUUAUAAUUUAUAUUAAUUAUACAUUUAUAAAUAUAUGUAUAUUAUGUAUUAUAUAUAAUAUAAUACAUUUAUAUAUUUUUAUACAAAUAUAUUUAUUUCUAAAUAUUUAUAAAUGUAUUAUAAAUGCAUAAAUGUAUAAAAAUUAUAAAUUAUAAAUUAUAAAAUACUCAAAAAUAUGUUUUAAAAAUACCUCUAAAAAUAAUCCAAAAAACGUCUACAGUAACAUUUCAAAAACUUCUACAAAAAAAUUUUUCACCUUACAAAAACUUCUACAAAAUUUUUUCAAAAAUUUCUACAGUGCUCUACAGUAAAGUUUUAGACAAACUCCCAAAAAACUCAGGUUCCAAACAGGCCAUAGAUUGUGAAAUUAAUUGUAUAAGUUUGAUAUUUUGUAGGUUUUGGGAUAUAAUUUUCACGUUUAGGAAAAAGAAAAUAUGUUAGUAAGUAAUAAUGUGAUACCCCUUGUCCCACGUUGGAAGUGGGAGAGGAAAAGGAUUGAUAUAUAUACAAGAUUUGGUCGCAUAAGUUACUAGUUACUUGGGCUAACCAUGUCGGGAAAGUGUAUUUCGAUACAAAAAUUACUUAGGCCAACCAUGGGCUUGGAUGGUGAUAAAUAACUUACUAGAAGCCAGGCAUAUUUAUGUUUAGAUGUCCUAAAAGCAGAGUAGUUCAUAAUCUAGAUAAUGGUAACGAUAUGAUUAGAAUGUGAAGUUAUUUGGUAAACUUUAUAGAUUAAUAAUUUCAUCAAAGCAUCAUAUACAAGCAUGAUGACACAAUCUCAACUUUCAUUCUUUUGUUAAAUCUUAGUUUUUUUCUCUUAAAUUUUUUCGAAUAAAGGAAGGAUGGAAUUUAAGCAGUAGAGGGGUGGAAGGGGAAUUUGAAGUCAAAAUCUCUAAUUUCUAAGUUUUCCCCUAAGCAAUCGUCAAAAUCAAAAAAAAAAUUAAAAGAAAAAAAAUGAGCACCUCAUGGUCAAUGCUCCUGUUCGAAGAUUUAUUCCUUUGGUUUGUCAUCAUCUCCCUCUAUGAAAUCUAAGUACCCUUGGUUGACAAUUUGUUUCCCUGAGCAUCCAUCAACACUUUUAUAUAGUAUUUUUUUUAAUAUAGUAUUAGAUUAGAUUAGAUUAGAUUAUCAAUGUGUUAAUGCGCAAAUUAGGCAGUUUAUUUGUUAAUAUUUUCCCCUUUAUUUUGACCAAAUGUUGUGAUAAUUUGCUAGAUUCUACUUAUAAUUGAAUUUUUGUGUGAUUUCUAGGAACUUCAAGUUAAUUGAGGCAGAAAAGGAGAAAUCGAAGCCUAAUUGAGGAAAUUCCAUUAAGAAAAUCUUGAUACAAGUUUCUUAGUUGAUACUAGAAAGCACGCAUCCCAUUUGAUAGGGAAUGAAGCAGAAAACUACAAAAAAGGAGGGACUUUAUGGAGAAUAUGGAGACUUCUAAGGGCUUCAAACCUUGGGCCCUUGAAUUGUGGGGACCACAAAGCUAGUGAAAGAUAUUUGGUCAUUUGGGCUCUUCAAAGAAAGCAACGUAGAGAGACUUGGAAGAAGAAGUAAUUUUGGAGACUUUGUCCACAUGUGGGGACCACCGGAGAUAGCUUUUAGUCAUCUUACUUUUGGCUUUUUAAAGUGAGGACGUACAGAAGCAAGAGGACACCGCUAGUUUAGCUUUUUAGUUUAGUUCUAGUUUCCUUUCUCUUGACUGGCCUCUGACACACGCCAGGUGUUCGACAAUAUUCCCCAACGGGAAAAACAUAUUUUAUUCCUUGCUUUCUAGUAAAACGCAAUGCCUUUGCAAUCCAUUACUUCGUGUGGUGAUUUAAUCAUGAGGCGUGGCUAAGUUUAUCUAGUCAGAGGUUAAAUCGAAGCUUUGGUUCGACAAAACUGUGAGAUCGAAUUUAUUUGCCUACGUUCUUUAAUUUGCAAGUAUUUAUAUAUUUCCUGUUCACUUAUGCAUAUGAUUAUUUCUUGCAAUUAAAUACUUGAUCACUGUUUAAUUGUGUGAGUAAUUAACAGCCAUCUACGAGUGCUCAAUCCGUAAUUUUGGGUAAUUUUAGUGCAUGUGGCAAGUGACAUGAUUCAAUUGUAGUAGAAACUUUUGAGUUGUUGUUGUGGAAAUAUAUGAUAUAGCCUAAAUAAACCGAGCAUGUGUGUUUGUUGGUUAUAAUUGGUGGCCAGUCUAAUGAUUAAUGCUGUCAAUAGGUUAAAUCCUAAGAGCGUGUUUAGGACUGCUUAAUUGGCUAGGGUAAUAACUACAGAGCUUGUUGUGGUUAUCGAAUCAGGAAGGUUAGGCAGGUUGUCAGAGCUUGUUGACAACCAUAACCAGUUUAUUUGUAAAUGAAAGAUUUUAUCUCUGCAUCUGUGAUCAGUGAUUCGAACCAUUAGUGGAGAUUAUACCUUUGACUAGAGAUUUUCCUUCCGUUAAUUUACUUUAUAUUUAUUGUUAUUUAUUUUAUCUGCGAUUGUCUUAUUUUUAAUUUGAGCAAUUAAAUUAGACAGUUCCAUAUCAAUUCCCCCCAUUUUUAUUUAAUGUUACAUUCAUUCAAAAUAAAUUCCCAAGUCGCUGGAUUCGACCCUGCUCACUGCUAUAUUCGAAUUUUGUCUUUCACGUAAUUAAUAUACUUUGGUAUAUCGGAUCAAGCAAACUCUGGCACCAGGGUGAAGCUAGUAACCCAUUGCACAGCCUAAGUCCCUGCUCCAGUACCAUAGUGGACUUAAUUCGUGACUUAAGAGUAGGAAUUUUAUUUUUGCUGGUUUGACACCCACCACAAUGCACCAUCAAAACACUUUUAUAUAGUAUUAGAUUAGAUUAGAUUAUCAAUGCACCAUCAAUAUCCUUAAAUAUAAAAGCUUAAGUAUAGUAAUCAAAAUACUGUUAGUAAUCUGUACGAUUAUUUUUUAUCCUUUAAUGUUUUAGUUUUAGGAAGAUCACAAAUGCUGCGUAUAAAGCAUGCCAUAGGCUAAAUUAAGCUAAAUUAAGUACAUUGCUAAAAUGGAGAGCAUUGGUAAAUUAAGUACUUUAAGAUAAAGACUUAAGCAGCCAGAUCCAUUUGAUGUCAGCUGCUUCAAUAUCCACCUCAAAAUAAAUUAGCCUUUGUUCUAGAUUUAGCUUAAUGCUAAGUCCCUUAACCAUUCUUAGUAAUAAUUCAACUCUGCCUCAAUUUUCUUCUGAUCUUCAAGGUAAAUGUACGAUAAAUUUCAAAAUAUAUCCCAAAUAUAUGAAUUUCUUGAAACCAUCCUUGAAUCUCAUUACCUACUCAACAAAAUGUUCCAUAAACACAAAGAAUUGACGAGAACAACAGGGCUCCUUAGAUUUAACAAUUUCAAAUAAGCCCAAGCUAGAAUUUUUCAUAUAUUCAAACAAGAAAUUGGAAAAAUCUGACUAAGCAAUACUGAAUUGUAUCGAAAACCUACUUUUUUUUUUUUUUCCUGCAACGAUAGAUUUUUGUAUUGAUUGGCAAAAAAACUUAUAUGAGCAAAGGCUCAAGGAAUUCUAUACAAGAGUGUUAGACACACUGAGGAUUAAUCCAUUCCUCAUCUUGAAAUAUGCCCAAAGCAUAAUCACUAAUCACUUCACAUCUAGAGUCUAAGCUCCUAUCUAAGCAAAAGGAGCAUUUCUGAAAUAAGGACCUGAGGUCGUUAAUAUCGUCUAUCAAAGUAGCCAUUUUGAUGUCCUUAGCCAUCCUUUCCUUUAUCAUCUUCAGUAGUUGGGGGCUGGGGAUGUGGACAACAAUUUCCUUCCAUUGCUGGUGUCUAGCCUUUAUGAUGGCCAUUUUCACAGCUUCUGCAGUAGACUGCAUCUGAUGCACUGUUUUUCUGUCAAUAAGUGCCCAGGCAGCCACCCACUGAUUGUUGAAAGUAGAUGCAAAAAUCCCCAUUCCAACUCUGUUGGUUUGGUCUUGCACCUUAGUUGAUAUUCUGAUCUGAAUUUCAUUCCUUCUUGCCUCCUCCGGAUCAACUUUCUCAUCUGCUCUUACCGCAUCUUCAGUGAAUAUUUUCUGCUUGCUCUGGACAGCUUUUUGUUCUUGCCAUUCCUGUUGAGCCUUUUGGAUUGUUUUCCAAGGGUGCCUGUGUUUGGCAUUGAACUGCCAUUCAUUUCUCCUUUUCCAGAGUUGCCAGAGGAUGUUCACAGUGAGCUCUAUAUGCUCCUUUCCUUCUGUCCUGCAUGUAGCUUCCAGAAGAGCAGUCCACCAAGCUUGAAAAUUCCCUGUCUGUUCCCUUAACCCAUCCCAUUGUAAUGGAGCCAUUUUCCACACCUCUUGUGCUUUGCUGCAUUGGAAAAACAUGUGUUCAAUUGACUCUUCUUGUUCACCACAGCCACCACAGAUUGGAUCACCUUUGUGUGUUCUUUUAAAAACCAGGCUGUUGACUGGUAAUAAACCAUGUAGGCACUUCCAAAGGAAAUGUUUGAUCUUACUCUUAACGUUCAGCCUCCACAUCCACUUCCAUUGCUUUUCAUAGGAACUUGCUAUACUAUUUCCGCCUCAUUCUCUCUUCUUCCUUUGUGUUGAACAGUUCCUCUACACAAUGCCUUGUAACCUGAGUUGACAGUGUAGAUGCCAUUGCCGCUAUGUAUCCAGUAAUUGCUAUCAUCCUUUCCUGAUAUACUAAUAGGAAUCUCCAGAAUUUCCUCUGAGUGAUAAGCAAUACUGAGUGAUGAUAUUUUUAGGGCAGUCCAAUUCACUCAAUACAAAAAUAUUUUUAAAUGAUGAUAUUCACAGGAACGUCUAUCUUACUUAAACAAACAAUAAAAAGGAGAUUGAUUGAGAAAUGGCCACAUUAUCUUAUCAUUCUUAAUUAUCAUUAGUUCAAUUAUCAACUUUAGCAGUCGAGAAAGGCUGCAACUUGUACAGGGACAAUAAAUUCUUUAGGGCCCAAUUCUUUAUUCCUGCGUCCGGAGAAUUGAGACGUGGACGCUUCAUUAGUCAAUAAUAAUAAAGUGUGGAAUUCGACUACUAUUCUUAGCUCGUUCAAGGAAACAGAGAGGAGACGCUCUUGCACAGCUACUUAAACUAUUGGAUAAUUUCAUAGACCUUUCCUGAAGUUUUGGACAAUUUCAGCUAGUACCCCUCUUAUUUUCAAUAUUACGCUGACCACUCUUACUUUAACCAGUGACCAAUUCAGCCCAUAUAUGUAAAAGAAAUGGAAUAAAUUGACAAGAAAUGGUGUCAUCACAUUUUAUUCCAUAUUUUCCCUUGGAGACCCUAAAAGAAAUAUUGUAACAUAGGACAAACUUCACUUUGUCCCUCCGAAGUUGAAUCACUUUUCUAUUCUAUACACUAAACUUCAAUUUUGGAUGCUUUGCAUGUGGUUGGAGGCAAAAGCAUGGCAGAGCCCUUUUUGAGUCUCUGAUCUUUAUUAUCACAUGACCAUUGCUAAUUAUACUAUUGCUUUUGAAUGGAAAUAGCAUAAAAGUCUUAGUGAAUGAACAAAUUGAAUAGACCAUUUCGCAGAGCAGUGAAAUAUUCCAAAGCCGUGAAGCACAGUGAUAAGCUACAAAUUACAGUGGUUUAUAUUUAUUAAUUGUCAAUGAAUGGUUGUAUUUGAGCUAUAUUUUGAAUGGAUGUUGCCUAAUUUAAGUAUAUGUUGGUUUUUGUGGGAAAAGCACGCGAUUGAGGAGGAAAUGAAUCGAAACGCAACAAAAGGGGAAGAAUGCCAAGACACAAGGAUCCGUGGGUGGAUCCUAUGUCCAACGCCAAACAUUGAAAGGGACUUUGCGAGGACUUCUUCUAGUUCUAAUGAUUGGAAAACCCACUCAAACUCGAUUUUUGGUAAGUUUUCAAGACCCAUUCUUACCAUAUUUCGGAUACAACUUUGAGAGACUAUAAGGACAAUCUAGGAUGUUUUUAGAUUGGAAAGCAUUUGGCUAAAGUUAGUUCAUCAUUUUUAUACCUUCUUUUCUUGAGAGAUCACAAUGGAAGUGUUGAAAAAUCAAAGGAGUUCAAGAUGGAGAUUGGAGCGGGGAAAAAUUGAGAAGUUUUCUUACUUUUAACUUCUUAAUUAUUUUGUCUUUCAUUUGAAUUCUUGGAUUUAUCUAUGAAUAUGUUGAACUCAUUUAUAUCCAAAGUUAGGAUUUUGUGAAGGAGAUUUAAUUAUUUGUUUUAGAUAAAUUAUUCGCUUUGCUUAGAUUUAUUUAUCUUGCCUUUAUUACAUGUUUAUGUUUUGCCACUAUAGAUAUGCUUUUAGGAUUUGUAUUGAGUUGAGAAGUGAUAUACAACCGUACAUUAGAUAGAUAAACAUACUUAGUAUAAUCAUGAAAGUGGGUUAAACAUUGUAUGGCAUAAUUAUAUCACCUAAUAUUUUAAAGGAUUUAAUUAAAUACUUAUAAUCUCGAGAGCAACGCGAGAUUUCAUUAGACAAAUUUAGAAAUAUCAACAGAUAAUCUAAAGUACUUUUACGUGAUACAUCUUUGACUUGUUAAGAAAAUAAUUGGAUAAAUAAUUCCAAUUCUGAAUCAAAAUUUAAAACUCUAGUCUUUUGCUAAUUGUUUUCUCACCUAUAUCUUGUUUGAUUUGAUUAUUUAUUUAAUUUCUUAAUUAGUGAUUAAAAAUCUCUGAAUUUAAAUUUUGUUAUUUUUAUUAGAGGAAUUAAAGUAGGAAAAAUUAACUCACUCCUGCAGGUUCGACCCCUGGAGUACUCCAAGGAAUUAUUAUUACGAUCGACCUUGUACAUUAUAGAAAUUCAUCGAUCACACAGCAACUAAAAAAAAUUAAUGCACAAUAAUGUCAUGAGCAGAAACAGUUCCCAUCUUAGUUGUUCAACAUUCACGGUGGAUUUCAAUUAGUGGUCAAUAGAUAAAGGCAUCGAAAAAAGUAAUCUAACUAGAUAAGUGAAUUUAUAUUGUACAACAUAUUUCUUUUUUCUACCGCAAAAACUUAACUAAUUUAAGACAAUGUAGUCCAAGCUAAUUGAAGAUUAAUUUUCCUAAAAAAUGUUCAUGAUAAAAACUCAACAAAGAGAUAAUACAACAGCUUACUUUUGGAGGUGAUCUUAUACGGUCUUUAUUAACAAACUAAUUAGCCACUUAAGCCUUUUUUUUUUUUUUGGGACUACAUGACAAAAUGAGGAGUGAAUCAGUCACUUAGUAUCUAAAAUUUUCCCUCCAUAUAAUUAGUUCAACCUGAUUUAAGACUAAAUUUUUACUAUAGGAAUGUUCGUGAUUCAACAAUGAAACACCAUAGAAACUUAUUUUGGGAGAUUGUCCUAGAAGAUAAAAAAUGAGCAACCAAUCAGAAAGUCGUACUCACAUAUCAAAAUCCAUUCAGUCUAAUUAAUUCACCAGCUAUGUAUAUUUCAUCCAUUUUCACAUUAUAGAAAGAACAAUAAUGCAUGGCAUUAUCCAUCAUAAAUUGCUCAUAUAACAUCAAGAUAUUCAUGGUGUGGACCUCAAAUGACUCGUCAUGUCUACUGGCUACAUUUAAACAUAUCUUAUGGCCAGAAUGUUCAUCUUAUCAACUUAACGAGUUUAUUCAUGGUACCAUACCAUUAAAUUAAAAAAUUUCCACCUUUACCUUUAUAGAUGUCAAGGAAUAUAGCUAAUAACGCACUUUUGGCAGCAAUCUUCCUUCACCAAUUAAAGAUUUUCGGAGCUUAAAGUUCAGCUCCUAAAGCUCUUCUCCAAGUCUCACAAACCAACAGAGAAAUUACUUUUAGGAAAGUUGUUAAAUUUUGGCUUUGAUGGUAUCUUGGUAAGAUUGGAAGAUUAUAUUGCGCUUCUAAGAUAAUGUUUAAAAAAGCUAUUUUAGUGAGAGCAUUAUGGUCAAUUUGCCCCUGAUGAUAUUGACAUUAGGUCCCAUCAACAUCAGAAGGGAGCUCAUUGUAUUAUUGGAUAUAACAAGGGUGGUAGUGAAAUUAUGAAAACCCUCAAGGGAGGUUUUUGAAAUUAACCCUAAAAUACUCAUUCCACGCAAGGCGUGGCGUUCCCCUCCUAGUUCCUAUAAAUAGGGCACCAACUCAAUGCACUUAUCACUCGACAUCAAUAAUUUAGCACAUUAUUUACAUUUUGAGUGAGAUUGUGAUAAAAAUGGCAUCUUCAAAAAAUUUGCUCUUUCUUAUUGGUGUUCUCUUUGCACUUGUGCUCCUCAUUUCCUCUGAUGCAACAGCUGCAGGUACCUAGUCCCUUUUUUUUUUCCUUUCUUCCUUUUUUUUUUUGGCUGCACCUAAAUACUUAAAUGAAUGGAGAUUUGGAGACUCAUUAUUGGGAUGUGAAUUUUUAUGGAAGGCUAUUUGUAUAUUAUCAAGCAAGUCAUAUUAAUGUGCUAAUAUCCUUUUCAUUGUUUAGCAAAAGUAAAUUGGGUUGCUUCUAUCAAUGGUUAGUGGCACAUCUGAUUUUUCAUGCAUCCUUAUAGUAUUGCUGUAAGGAUACACGUUCCAUAGUGUCGCACCAAAGGUUAAACUAACGUCGAAAACCAAAUUAAAUGCUUCUAAUUAUAAUUUAAAGCAAAUAAUUCAUAUCCAAGUCGCACCAUCUUAUAUGCCUGGACUGUUUUGUUUAAUCCAUAGUAUUCUUUUCUUUGCAUAUAUCUUGCAAAUUUUCAGCCUAGCCGGUCACCUAACGUUCGCAGCUUAAGAUAAAGCUCCAAAUAUUUAUGUCUCCUUGUGUCUUGAAACAGAUCAGAAGAGCGUGAAAACCACUGGUGUCCACGAUGCCAGUUCAGGCAAAGAUCGUUGCAGACAUGGUUGCUGCCAGUGGUACCAUGGACACUGCCAAAGAUGCUGUCGAACUGCCGAGGAGACCCCUGAAGCCACAUCUGGAGAUGAGGAUACCGUCACCGCAGAUCGUUGCAGAUAUGGUUGCUGCCGCUGGUACCAUGGAUAUUGCCAAAGAUGCUGUCCAUGCAGAUAUGGUUGCUGCCGCUGGUACUAUGGAUAUUGCCAAAGAUGCUGUCCACCUGCUGAGGAGACCCCUGAAGCUACAUCCGGAGAUGAGGUCAAAAAUUAAUGCUAAAUAAAUAAGGGUGUGACACAGGAUCCGUGACACCUAUAUUAUUACCUUAAUAUGUUAUGUUGUGUUUGC
rnacentral:lncRNA from 1 species